UGAUGAAAGUGUUCUUCUCCUCGACAUCGUAGAGAACAGAGAGGUACUUGGAAGUGAGAGAGAGCUGAGGCUGAGUGACCUCGCGCUGGGAGUUGUUCUGAAACGACAGCUUGAGCUUGGCGAGGUUGUCGAAAAGCUUGCAAGAGACUUUAUUCAGGAAGAGGAGACUGUCGCUGUCGAAUUCGGAAGUCACGCGGAGCUUUGGUCUGUUCAGGGACUUGAGAAAGGGGAAGAGGGAGGAGCGAGUCGGUGGAGGCGGUGGUUCCGAGGUUGUUGAUUGAAGGGUAGGUGGAGGAGGAGGAGGAGGUGGGGAAGUGGAAAGGCUGGAGCUUUGAGGAGAUUGAUCCGCCAUUGAAAAGUGGGGGUUUGGGGAGAGAAUCUAUCGCUAAAGUCGAAACACGAGAUUCAAGUACUAGAGAGAGAGAGAGAGAAGAGUAUAUGAAUAACAGACGGUUCUUGUUUUUCUUUGUAAAUGUUUUUCUGAAAUUUCAGAAUUUUUGCGAUUUAAAUUUAUAAAUAAAAAUCUGCAAUUUUUAAAAAUAAAAAUGAAACCCAUUCAUAUAAACAGCGAGUUAUAUUUAAUAUUGCAGUUUUUGCAGAUUAUUUUAUCCUAUUAAAAAUGAAAAACAGUUAUCAACAUCUCAACUUAAUUUUAAUAUAAAAAUAUUAUAACAAUUUUAAAUUUUUAACCAAAACAAAACAUAAUUACUUUAUUUUAAUGCUAAAUUAUAAAAAAAUUGAAAUCAAUAUAAUUGUAUCUAUAUUAUUUUUAAUUUUAUUGUAUAGAUACCCAAAAUCCCAUUAAAUCUCAAGACAACUCUAGAAUUUCGUUAUUACCGUCCGGAUCAUGGAAUAACGAAGCAGCCGGAGAAGAGUGAUAAAAGCCUGACCAUUGCUAUGUGAGGAGGAAGAAGAGAGGACAAGAAGAAUCAAGUUAAAGGAAGCUGAGCUGGACGAAUGAAGCUUGAUGAUUGGUUAAUGAAAAGUCAGUAAGACUUGAGCGGAGUAUAAAUAGAAGUUGUUGCAUUCAGUUAGAACUUAAGAGGUAGCUUUGUAAUUGGAUUGAGUCUAUUGACAUGAGGAGAUACUCGACUGGGUUAGGCCAGCGACUCUCAUUGAUUCAUUUUACAAAGACUAAAUCGGUUAGUACAUUUCUUCAUGGCAACGCAUCAACUUCCAAAAAUGCAUUCUUCAACACUUUUAUUCUAUCUCUCAACAAAUUUUUAUCCUAUUUUUCAUAUAUAUUUUUUUGGAGUUUCGCUCUACUUGCUUUGGCUACAUUAUCAUGUGUUAUAUACAUUGAGUUAAAUGUGUUAUGCUAAGAAGAAUUCAAGCUUCGUUAUCACUUUAUAUUUGACUUGUAGCAUGUGUUAUUUAUACAUUGUGAGUUAAAUGUUUUAUUCUAAGAUUCUUCCUUGUAGAUGAAAGUGCUGUGAAGGAAACUGCAUUGAGUUAUUCUGUUUUGUUUGGUUGAUUCAAACAGAGACACAAGAUGAAUCAGAGGAAGAAAGAAGCACCAAAUGAAGCGAUACAAGAUUGGAUGGAUCCACAAGGAGAAAUGGGUGAAGCAAAACAGUAGUGAAUUAAAAAAUAAGAAUGUGUCCUGACUCAGGCAUCAGGAUAUUGCGAUACACUCGAAACGGUCAAACAAGAGAGAGAUUUUGAGACUAACUAGAGUACAACAACAUCCACAAUAAUGACACGAAAACAGAGGAACUCUGCAUUCUGCUAUUUAUUCACCACACAUUCAGUUCUUGAAACAUGUUUGUCUAGUUCCGCUCCACCAAUAUAAAAGCAAACGGACACAAGAAGAAAGCUAUAACAAGCAAAAGAAUCAAAGGAAACAAUUUUGUAAAGAGGCAAAGUACACAAAAGAAUUUUAGGCAGAUCAAACAUGAAAGCAAAAAAAAAAAAAACAUUGAUUUUUAGGAAAACACGAGAGGGAAAACGUUUUAUUACGAGAUUAAUAAUGAAAAACUCAGUGAUCAUAAGUGUCAACCAAAAAAACAUAUACAAUCGCUAAACAUCAUUUAUUACGAGAUUGGUUUUUCACAAACGAGACGGAAUCUCGAAUGACCGGAUGCAACGCUUAAUUUGUUUUCACAAAUUACACAUAAUUUUUCAUUAUCAAUCAAAUAAUAGUAUAGAUUUUACCCUCAAAAAUAAAACUUGAAAAUAGGAGAAGUGGAAAAAAACUUUAUUACGAUAUUGAUUAAGAGAACUAAAUGAUCAAAAAUGUAAAUACAAUCUCUAACUAUCAAUUAAGACCGGAUGUAACAUUUAAUUUUUUUUUUUCACAAAUUAUACAUUAAGUUUUCAAUAUCAGUAAAGUAAUAUAGAAUUUUCCACCUAAAAUUUUUGAAGUUUUUAUUUUUAAAAAAUUGUGAAAAAAAUGUUAUGACAAAAAAAAAUAGGUUAGCAAAGAAGACCAUACCUUGCAAAUCAGUUUCGGAUGGAGAAAGACAGCGACCCUGACGUCAAUGACAUGGCCAGACGAAAUGGAUAGAUCCAAUUUUAUCAGUGAUCCAAUAUUGGCAACCUACAACAAGGCAUGACAUUUUAUCAUCACGUUUUUUGACAAUAAUAGAAAGAAUCAGACAGUAGUUCAAAACAAAAAGAAAGAAUCAGACAUUGACGGGCUCACCUCGUCGCAAAGCAGAGUAGAGCAGAGACCGGACAACCUUAAUACGAGGAGGCAGACACAAGUACCUGAGACUGAAUCCACCACCAUCACCACCUCACACAACAAGACCGAAACCAGACCUCAAAGCAGAGACCAGACCACCUUAAUCAACAGCAAAGAGCAGCAAAAUGGAACUCGGAUGAAGCCGGAAACAAGCAGUGAAACAUCACCACAACCAAAACCACCGAAAACAAGAUUUGAAACCCCCCCCCGAGAGGAAAACACGAACCCAAGAAGAAGAAUGAAAGCCCCAUACAGAACGAGAUCAAGGAAAAGCCAUUAACUAGAACAUCUCUCACUCACACUGAAGAUAUUACACGACAGGUAGCUUCUUUAGUUCUCUCUCUUUCUCUAGUUGUUGUUGUUGUUGUUGUUGGACUAUUUGCCUUCUGUGAACCAGACUAUUUAUAGAGAGUAAGUAACUGAGCGUGCGGAUAACAAAUAAACAAAAAAAAAAAGUAAAUGAAAAUAGCAAAAUCUACCCGUUGCCUCACACAACCCAAUAAAAUACUAACGUUGUAAAAAGAUAAAUAUUUUUAUUUUGCUUUCCAAGAUAAUUUAUUGUUUUUUAUUCACUGUAAAAAAUUUGAAAGCAAAAUCUACUCGUUGCCUCACACAACCCAAUAAAAUACUAACCGUUGUAAAAAGAUAAAUAUUUUUAUUUUGCUUUCCAAGAUAAUUUAUUGUUUUUUAUUCACUAUAAAAAAUUUGAAAGCAAAAUCUACCCGUUGCCUCACACAUUCCAAUCAAAUAGUAACGGUUGUAAGAAGAUAAAUAUUUUUAUUUUGCUUUAGUGAAACAAAAAUGUUGUAGGUUGUCGUUAAAUUCUUUUACAAAGACAAUAGGGAAUAUGAAAAAGUUAAUACGGUGAUUGUGCUAUAGAUAGAGGUCAUGGUCAAACUUAAUAUGGUGUUGUGUUAUAAGAAAGAGCUAGACAUAGAGAGAUUAAUCUAUUGCAAUCUUGUAAUCUCUAUUGUUGUUCUUAAGAGACACUUUUCUUUAGAGUGAAUAAAGACAAGUUUUGAUAUCCGAUUCAAUCCAAGUUUAAGCACUAAGAAAAGGUUCAAUGAUUCAAAAAGGAGAGUAAUAACCUUGAUGGUAAAGAGGUUAACAUGAACAAUACUACGGAAAGUUCUUAAAUAGACCAAAAAGAGCUACAGAGCACCAGUUAUGUAGUUGCAAACAACCCCUAGUAGUUUCAAAAGCCGGUCUGAAAGGCAGCAGAACAAGUGGGAACCGAACAUCUCUAACUUUCAGCUCUUCUAGAACCACACCAUGUGGACAAAACUUGGAAGCUCAACGCAUGUUUCCCUCUCUCAGAACAUCGAUCAUGUUGUAGAUUCUCUGGUCUGCUUUCAACCGAAUCUUCAUUUCACAAAAAGUGUCGAAACAACAAUAAGCAUAUUUUAGACAAAGGUGGGAGACUAAUAAGAUAGCUGAGUAAUCUACAGAACCUUUUUGGCAAGGAAAAGCACCGCGUCAACAGUACCCUCAGCGUAUAUUGAUCUGCCACAGACAUUAUGCUGGAACUCAAAGGAGACACUACAAAGAAAAGUGAGCUCGUCAUGGAACAUACACACUUUCACAAUAGAGAUCAAAGUUAUAUAAUGAUGUCUUUACGUUUCAUCAGGUGAUGUCAAGUGAUAGAGAUAGAAAGCGUGACCAGAGACAUGCUCUUCCGGAACCCCAACCAUCUCAACUUGCUGCUUAGGAUCCCUAAUCAAUUGUAUCUAACCACACAAACACAAAAAAAAAGUUGUAUACAAAGAAAACUCAUAUUCAGAGAUCAAACGAGCCACAAGCAAUGAACCUGAUCCAUGUCGUAAGACACUCCUAGUUCCUGGAAGCAAGAGAUAACAGCCUUUGCUGUUCCGGACGCAUCCAACUUGCUAGCUUGAUGAGACUCCAUCACCUACACAUAUACACAUUGGCUGUUAAAUUAAAACGUAGCAAGAAGAAGCAAUAUAAAAAAAAUGUAUACCUCCAAGGAAUAACCAGAAAAGGCUCCUGGAAACUGCUCAGCCAUUAUCUCCAUAGCCGCAAGAAACGCAACAACCUGUUUACCCAUCUGUGGGGAGAUCACAGCAUAGAUCUUCGCUUUUUCAACACUCUCAUACAGUUUCUCCCUGUCUCCACCAGUUGUUCCCAUUACAAAAGGAACACCCACUCUGCUAUACAGCUCCGCAUUAUCUAACAUUACAUCACUCAAUCAGAACCAGUUUUUUUUUUCAAGAAUGAGAGAGAGGUUCUAAAGUAGUAGUUAACCAUUGACUGCAGUGGGGAUGGUGUAGUCGACAACAAUGAGCUCAGGAUGCUUCUGAAACACUGAGGAAAGAACCUCUUCUCUCUCUGUAGGACCGUGCACGGUGAUCUCUUUCCCACACACCUCAACGGUCUGCCCAGCCUCGGAAGCAGAUCCAAAGGAAGUGGGAACUAUGUUUACUCCUGCAGUGUCUGCCGCUUUGAUUACAGCUUUCCCCAUUUUGCCAGUACAUCCAUUCACCUGUAAGUGUAAGAGACAAUGUAACCGAACAAUAACCAAAACCAUAAGACAGUUAAUGUAAUACUACCAUGAUGGAUAUGCCAUUUCCAGGCAAAACAGACUUCACGGCUCCCUCCUCCGUCGCCGUCAUUGAUAAAACCGCCGGAAGACGACGUUUCGCAUUGCCGAGAAAGCUAACACGGGUUUUAACUAAAGUUUGGUUCUUUAUAGAAGCAAAUGCGAGACGAGGGUUUACUGAGGGAUGAAGGAAGACGCUUGGAGUCGGAGACGACACUAGCCUGUGAUCAAUACAACGUUUUAUGUCAAUAGAUUCCUUUUUAAAGAGUUAAAAAUCAAAAGAGUCGAAAAUGGUUACCAGUUCGUCGUAGCCAUAUCCUAUUGUAUUCUCCCAAAAGACGAAAUUUUUGUUCUUUUUUAUGCGGCAGACAGAAAAAAAGUUAAAGUCUUUCACUUUUGUCUGAAAGUUCCGACCGGCGAGAGAGUGAGACUUAGGGCUUAGUUUUGUGACCCCUUCUUAUCAAAACCGAAAAUCUCUAAACCAAACCAAUGGAUUCAGUAAACAAACCGGAAUUUAUUUAAUAGCUAAACCGACGAUAAGUUGCUCAUCAAAAGAAAUCUCUAACCAAACCAUUGGCUUCGGUAUAUAAACCGGAAUUUUAUUGAAUAGCUAAACCAAGGAUAGUUUAUCCUUUCUCACCAAACCGGAAAUCUCUAAACCAAACCAUUGGAUUCAGUAAAUAAACCGGAAUUUUAUUAAAUAGCUAAACCAAGGAUAGUUUAUCCCCUUCGCAUCAAACUGGAAUUCUCUUAACCAAACCAUUGGAUUCACUAUUAAACCGGAGUCUAUCAAAUAGCUAAACCGAGGAUAGUUCAAUUCAAGAAAAUAAAUGAACCGACGAUAGUUUAUCCCCUUCUCAUAAAACCGGAAAUCUUUAAACCAAACCAUUGGAUUCAGUAAUAAACCGGAAUUAAUUAAAUAGCUAAACCAAAUGAUAAGAACGAUCUUUCCAAGCACACUCUCACUAUCUCAAGAGAAGGAAAAAUGAAGUCGUUAGCUUCGCCGCCAUCCCUCCGCCUAACUCCGACGACACGCCAUCAUCUCCCUUCGCGUCAAUCGUCUUCAGCCUGUUACCCUCACGUUGUCUCUUCUUUAAUCAAAUCCAAUAAUAGCUUAUCGUUCUCCUCAGCCGCAUCUGGUAUAUGCUUUACCUUCUCACACUGUCUCCUUAAAGGUCAAUACUUUAAGAUGUUAAGAUCUUGUGUUAGGUUUCGCAUCACCACUCGCUGUAGAGAAGGAGCUGCGCCUAGAGACGUCUGCUGUUCGCCACGUCACUGGGUCGCUUAUCAGAGGAGAAGGUCUUAGAUUCGCCAUCGUGAGCUCUCUUUCCUUUCGGUUUAAAGUCUUCACCUUUACAAGGAUCUGUUGAGUGCUGAUAGAUUUGUUUUUAAUCGUCAAGGUUGUUGCUCGUUUCAAUGAGGUUGUGACGAAGUUGCUAUUGGAAGGAGCUAUCGAGACUUUCAAGAAGUACUCUGUUAGAGAGGAAGACAUCGAGGUAUCUAAUCAUAAUGAUAAAAGAUGGGAGCUUUGCAUCCUUGUGAAGCCUAAGCUAGUGAAAGUCUUUUUUCAAUCAGGUUAUAUGGGUUCCUGGAAGCUUUGAGAUUGGUGUUGUUGCGCAAAAGCUUGGGAAGUCAGGAAAGUUUCAUGCCGUUUUAUGUAUCGGUGCUGUGGUAUGAUUGUUUGUGCUUAGAAAGUACUUUGCUUUGUGUUGCUGACAUGUGUUUAUAGAGUUGGAUUUUGAUCUUUGAGUCCUUUGUUGUGUGUUAGAUAAGAGGAGAUACUACUCAUUAUGAUGCUGUUGCCAAUUCUGCUGCAUCUGGUGUACUUUCUGCUGGCAUAAACUCAGGUUUAUCUCUAUCAUCAUUUGCGUCAUAUGCAUUUUUUUUUAAACACAUGUAUGUAACAGAGAAAGAUUUUACUUUUUUACACUUCCAAACUCAAUCCCCACACCAUUAAUUAGUUACUUGAUAAUUUUGUUAUGGGCUGUUGAGUCAGUUUUGUCAAUGUCAUCUUAUCUUGCAUUUAGUUUAGCUUUGCAGUAGUAGAUGUAAACGCUUCAAAUUCCCAAUUUUGCAGGUGUUCCAUGCAUAUUUGGUGUACUGACAUGCGAGGACAUGGAUCAGGUUAGCUUCUAGUAUUAUGCAAAGCAAGAAUUGAUAGCUGAUUUAUCAUAUAAUAUGAUAAACAUUGAAUUAUUUGAUUUUGUGGUUAAACUGAAACUACAGGCUCUGAAUCGAUCUGGUGGCAAAGCUGGGAACAAAGGAGCUGAAACUGCUUUGACGGCAGUAAGUAUCAAUUAUGAUCAAUCCUUUGCAAAUUAUCAUGUUAUCAACCAUUUGAGUUCUUGUAUCUUAUGCAAAGUCCCUUGAAUGUUCUCUCCUUCUGUUCUUUCCGCAGCUCGAGAUGGCGUCCUUGUUUGAGCACCACCUGAAAUAGCUAGCUCCUCGUUCCAUGGAUGAACUUGUUUGGUUACAAUCCAAUCUCCGACACUUGCACCUGAAAAGAUUUGUCAAAAUGUUUUCUUUUAUUACCUCAGUGAAAAAUAUUUAAACGCGUUUUUUUUUUUUUUUGUAAGCUUCAUGUCUUGUUUUUGAAUCGUGUGUAAUAAUAAUAAAUAGUUCCUCUGGAUUUUAGGGGACGAGUGGGCUACUCAGUACCAAUCGAAAAUUAUGAUACUCAUUGCGAUAAUAUCUUGAAAUCUAGGUGUCUAAAUGCAAUUGAAUACACUUUAGAAAAGCCGAUGGCCCAAUAGUGACUUUACACGUAGUUUUGUCGGCAAGGCAAAUGACGCGUCAACAUUUAUUACUAGUUGAUAUAGUUCAACGGAUGAGCCUUAUUACACAAACUCCAAUCAUUCUGUGACUCGCAUUCAUCCAACGCUCUCUAGGUAAAGAUCCAUAUCCAUUUCUGAUCGUUAUCUGUUCUUGCGUUGAUUCUUAUCUGUAUCUGAUCUAGAAGAAGGUGAUGAUUAGAUCAAGUUUUGCUGAUUCUGACUUUAUUCUUACCGAUCUGAUUGACCUUUCGCUUGAUCUAACGCUAUGAUCUGUUAGAUCGUGUUCAUUAUUGAUGUACUUCAAAAACAUGCAAUGUAUGUUCUUGUGCUAUGGGAUUAUAAAGUGUUGUCACGGUCUCAUAGACUUUUAUCAUCUAAUUGAUGAGAUCUACUGUGUUGCGAGUUCUUUUGGUAGAUAGUCUUUUCCUUUCUCAUUUCUAUAUGUUGUGACUGUGUCCUAAUCUGAAAAUUUGAGAUCAUAAAUAUACUUUUGAUUAUUUUCAUAAUUUAGGGACCUAAACCUAUGUAAAAAAAAAUGUCAAAAAAAAUUAAGAGAUCAAAGCCAGUAGUUCGUUAGGUUUGACCCAAAUCUGGUCCUGCUUGUUCUUGCUCUUUAUCUGACUUGUGUGAAUGAAACAUAUGAUGUAGCCAGGACCGGAUUUUGGUCAAGCCCAAUGAUAUACUGAUCUUGAUCUCUAAAAUUUUGGACAUUUAAUUUUUCUUUUUUUAUAUAGACGUAGGCACACAAAUUAUGAAAAAAAGUUUUAUAAAAAUUCGUUUAAAAAAUGUCCCAAAUUCUCAGAUCAUGUCAUGUCAUGGAUGUAGUAUAGUCUUAUAUAGACGUAGGCACACAAAUUAUGGGGAAACGUUUUAUAAAAAUUCUUAAAAAAAAUGUCCCAAAUUCUCAGAUCAUGUCAUGUCAUGUCAUGGAUGUAGUAGUAUAGACUUUAAUAACUGGUGAAAGCUGUUUGGUUUGACGUUUUUUUGUUUGUUGUUGUAAUGAUGUCCCCUUGCUUCUUCUUCUCAGCUAUGUCUACAUCCGAGAACAAAGUUGAGAUAGUCGACAGAGGCCACAAGGAGGAGGAAGAAAAAGAAGAAGGCGAAGGAGGCUUCCUCGACAAGGUCAAAGACUUCAUCCACGACAUCGGCGAAAAGAUCGAAGGCACCAUCGGCUUCGGCAAACCAACGGCCGACGUCUCCGCCAUCCACAUCCCCAAGAUCAACCUCGAGAGAGCAGACAUCGUCGUGGACGUCCUCGUCAAGAACCCCAACCCAGUCCCCAUCCCUCUCAUCGACAUCGACUACCUCGUCGAGAGCGACGGGCGAAAACUCGUCUCGGGCCUCAUCCCCGACGCAGGAACCCUCAAGGCCCACGGGGAAGAGACCGUCAAGAUCCCCCUGUCGUUGAUCUACGACGACAUCAACAGCACUUACAACGACAUCAACCCCGGGAUGAUCAUACCUUACAGGAUCAAAGUCGACCUCAUCGUCGACGUGCCCGUCCUAGGGAGGCUGACGCUUCCCUUGGAGAAGCGCGGUGAGAUCCCUAUCCCCAAGAAGCCUAACGUCGACGUGGAGAAGAUUAAGUUCCAGAAGUUUUCUUUGGAGGAGACCGUGGCGAUUUUGCACGUGAGGCUUGAGAACAUGAAUGACUUCGACUUGGGGCUGAACGACUUGGACUGCGAGGUCUGGCUGUGCGACGUGAGUAUUGGGAAAGCUGAGAUAUCGGAUUCUAUUAAGCUUGAUAAGAACGGGAGCGGGUUGGUUAAUGUGCCGAUGACGUUUAAGCCGAAGGACUUUGGGUCUGCGCUUUGGGAUAUGAUACGUGGGAAAGGGACGGGGUAUACUAUUAAAGGGAAUGUGGAUGUUGAUACGCCGUUUGGUGCUAUGAAGUUGCCUAUUAUUAAGGAAGGUGGUGAGACUCGUUUGAAGAAGGAAGAUGAUGAUGAUGACGAUGAUGAGGUUGGUAUAUGUUCUUCUUGUCUUUUUACUUAUAAGAUUGAACAUUGUGUUGUAUGAUUGUUUUGGCUCAUGGAACUAUGUUUGUUUUCUUUUUCAGGAGUAAGGGAAAGAGCUCAAGAGAGUGAGUGUGUUGAGUACUGAAUCUUCCAUCUUUAAGAAUAAUGUUUUUAAGUUAAAAACUGAGGACUUGUUUGGUGUGUGCUUUUGAUUACUGUUGGAUCAGACUUAUGAGUAGUGAUGUCUUUUUUAUUGGACUUCUCUAUAUCAGUGUGGUCCUGUUGAUUAUGUUUUCUAGCCAAAUCAUACCGAUCUAUACCAAACAAAAAUGAAAUCAUCUCUAAAUUUUGAACCAAAAUAAUUGAACUAACCGGAUUUGAUUUGAAUUUAUCCGGUUCGAUUCAGUUUGGUAAUCGAUUAAUUCAAUUUUUAAACCAAAAUGUUUUGAUGUACCAAACUAGCCUUAUUGAAACUGGACUAAUUGUAAUUUGGCAAAGCCUAGAUGCAUGAACAUAAAUAAAUUGUCCCCAUGACCUCAACUAAAAUGAUGUUUUCAAAUCUCAAAUGAUUCAGUUUCUAUAAUACAAGAAAUUAACCAUAAUUACAAAAACCGGAUUGUAUUUCUGAGUCACGGUCGGACCGGACGAUCUGAACCGGUUUUGGCAAAUUGAUAGGCUUCCCUCAUGGUUUAAGAAACCGAACCCUUUUUAGUUCCUCACUUCCUCUUAUUCGAUCAGGGCUAGAGAUCGCAAAAACCCUAUAUUUUCACUGUUUUUGAGAAGAUCACUCCAAUGUCGCCCAUUGUGGCGCUAUGCAGAGCUCGAGCUUCGUCUUCUUAUUCUUUAUUCAACAGUGUUGUUCGUCCAGCAUUUUCGCAGUUUCUCCACAGGUACUAGUUAUAACUCUUGACAAUAAAUACGACGCAUGGAAUUAUAUUAAAAGGCUCUUGAUCCUGAGUAUGUGAUCUGUAGUUUCUAACUAUAUGUUUCUUAUUACUAAUGUUGAGAAAAUGAUUAUGUCAGGGAGUUUCUUGUCUUCUGUUCCAUUUCUUUGGUGGUUAUUAUAUGAUGCAGGGUUAUAUAUCAAAUUCUUGGAUCAGGCUCUUUUAUUAUUUUUGGUUAAGGAGAUCCUUCAUUUUCAUAUAUUAUUGGUAUAUGUUAGUCCUGAGUUUUCAUCUAGCUUUUGUGUUAUAAUCCACUGUCUUUUUUAGGUGCACUUCUUUGUGACAAGUCACUUCUAGGCCUCUAAGGUUUGUUGGUAUUUUUGAAUGUUUUGCCGAUGUAGUACAGAACAAAACAUUGGUGGCAGAGAUGAAAGAAAAGAUGCUCCACAUGGACAUGAACUCAAUGAUAGGAAGCUCCAUGCCACUAGGUAUGAUGCGCAUAGGAACAAUCAUCAACAACAUCGAGAUGAAUCCAAAACAAGGCGCGAAGCUAGUCCGAGCUGCAGGAACAAACGGCAAGAUCCUUAAGGAGCCAUCUUCAGGGAAGUGUUUGAUAAAGCUUCCAUCAGGGGACACAAGGUGGAUCAACUCCAGUUUCCGUGCUACGAUUGGUGAAGUGUCAAACCUGUCUCACGGAGUGAAGAAGAAGCUGAGGAAAGCAGGAGAGAGUAGGUGGCUGGGGAUAAGACCAAAAGUGAGAGGCCUGGCGAAGAGUCCUUGUGAUCAUCCACACGGUGGUGGUGAAGGGAAAAGCAAAAGUAGUGGAAGCAGAGGAAGGACGUCGGUAACCCCGUGGGGGAAACCGUGCAAAGGUGGUUACAAGUCAGCUAGUGUCAAAAAGAAGAUGAAGAGAUUGGCGGCUAGAGAAGCCAAGAUGAUGUGAUGUGAUGAAGAUGGUUGGAACGUUGCUACUUGUCUUUUUGUUCUUUGAAUUGAAAUAAAACGUUUUGAACGUGCGCCACGUUUUUAAUAAACGCGUUUUAACGUAUUAAAUGAGUUGCUGUUGUGCUAAUCGUCUGCGCCGAACUUUAGAAGUUGUUUAUUUAUUAUACGCUUCUGUGAAGUAAGAGACUGUAGCAGUAGGAGGAGGUUGAAUCGAGGAAAGGGAUCAAAGACAAAAGAAAUAAUAAUUAAAAAUGGAGAUUAGAGGAGUCAAAAGGUUGGAACAAUGCACUGAAUCAAUCCCCACGAUAAAAACAUUCAAAACAUAUGUCUUCUUUGACUUGUAUUACUUUUAAAUAUUUCAGACUCGGGAAAAAAUAAUUUGUGUUAGAAUGAACUAAUGAAAUGAUAUUAGUCACUUUAAAAUAUUAUUAGGUUAAGAGAUUAGUAGUUGGUAUUAAUAAAAACACUACACAUUUGACUACAUAUUGCUUUAAUACUUGUGUAAUACAUACUUUUAGUAAGUUUUCUCUUGGUGGGUAUAAAUAAGUAAUAAUAGAGAAAUAUCCUAAGAUAUCAUUUUUUAAAUUUUUGUCACAAAAAUAGUUUUCAACGAAAAAAAUGACCAAAAUAAAUUUUAUUAAAGGGUAAAAAUGUAUUUUUAUCCUAGGGUUAACUAAUCUAGACUUAGGAUUUAGAGUCAAGGGGUGAAAGUUUGGGAUAUGGUUUCAAAUUUAAAUAAACAAAAAAUAAAUAUUAAAAUUUUCAAAAUAAAAAAGGUUAUUUUGGUCAUUUUCUUUCUUGAGAGUUAUUUUUGUGACAAAAACUUAAAAAUGAUUAUUUGAGAGAAUUGUCAUAAGUAAUAUUACAUAGAUAUUUUCGGUAAAAUAAUUACAUGAAAGUAAUUUAGAUGGCUUUUGUUGUAUAAAACAAGAUGGCUCUUCUGAAACUCAAGAAAGUCAAUUUGACAUUUUCCUUGGUCUACAGUCAAAACAGCCUACUAUUUGAAAAAAAAACUUUAAGGGUGUUUUGAAAGAAAAAGAUAAAAACAUGAAUGGUAUUAGAAGGGGUAAUCAUGAAGGGAGGAACACACAUAAUUUGAAGAGUAUGAGAUUCUAAACACACAAGAGAGCAGCCACCAUGCUUGCAGUCUCGAGUCCUACUCCUCCAUAUUUAUUCAUAAUUUCAUCUUCAUUCUUAUCUUAUGUACAUUUAUCCCUUUUUAUUUUUCUACUAACUGUUUUAUUUUUGGUUUUUCAUUUUUGGCAUAUAGACACAAGAAAAAUGUAGUGGUAUACAAAAAGGGUCGUUAAUUCUAGAAAUUUUAUAAUGACUGAAGUUAGUAAAAUUUGUUUUAAGGAAAAAUUAGAAGCAGAUAUUUUUUUUUUUUGACUAAAGGCUUAGAAGCAGAUAAUGGUAUGCUAUUCUUUUUCUUUGGAAGGUGAUGUCACAAAUAAAACAAGAAUGGUAGUAGAUUUUAGAAGGGGCAGCAGUGAAGGAAGAAGCACACAGAAUUUGAGGAGCAUGAGAUUGUAAACACACAACAGAGUAGCUUUCAAGCGUGGCUGGUUACUCUCAAUCGACUCCCAACGAGAGACAGAAUGAUUUCAUGGGGGCUGUCUGUCCCUCCCACUUGUCUGCUAAAAAAAAAAAAAAAAAAACAGAGUAGCCACCGUGCUUGCCAUCUCGGGUCGUACUCCAUAUUUAUUCAUCAUUUCAUUUUUAUUCUUAUUUCUACUAGUCCUUUAAGUUAUUUAUUUUACUAAUGCUUUAUUUAGAACAAAACUUAGGUUCAUCCUUAUUAUGAAUGGUUAAAUUCACACACUUUUCAUAACUAACCAAAAUACCUUGUAUGAAUAGUUUAAGAAAACAAUAAAAUUAAAAAUUAAAUAGCUGGAAAAAAAACAACACCGACAUUAAUUAGCGCCGUCUGCAAAAUUCUAAAUUCUAAAAACCUAAACUCUAAAACCAUAAACCCUAAAUCCAAAACACUACACCAUAAACCCCAAUCCUAAUAUCUAAACCCUAAAUCUUAAAUCCUAAACCCUAAAUCUUAAACCCUAAACCCAAACUCUACACUAUAAACCCUAAACCCUAAAACCUAAACCCAAAACUCUAAACCAUAAACCCUAAAUCCUAAAAUCUAAACCUUAAAUCCUAAACCCUAAACGCAAAACUUUAAAUCUUAAACUCAAACCCUAAAUCAUAAACCCUAAAUCCUAAACCCUAGACCCCAAACUUUAAAUCUUAAACCCAAACCCUAAAUCAUAAACCCUAAACCCAAAUGAGUUUACGGUUUAGAAGUUUGGGUUUAGGGUUUAGGAUUUGAAAUUUUGGGGUUAGAGUUUAGGAUUUGAGUUUAGGGUUUAGGAUUUAGGAUUUAGGGUUUAGAUUUUAGGGUUUAGAGUUUUGGGUUUAGGGUUUAGGGUUUAGAUUUUAGGAUUUAAGGUUUAUUGUUUAGAGUUUGGGUUUAAGGUUUAAGAUUUAGGGUUUAGAUUUUAGGAUUGAAUUUAUGGUUUAGUGUUUCGGAUUUAGGAUUUAUGGUUUUAGAGUUUAGGUUUUUAGACGGCGUUAAUUAAUGUUGGUGUUAUUUUUUUCAGCUAUUUAUUAUUUUUUAUUGUCUUUUUUAAUUACUCCUACAUGACAUGACACGUUGAUUGGUUAUGAAGAGUGUGGUGAAUUUAACUAUUCAUCGUAGGAGUGAACCUAAGUAUUAUUACUUUAUUUACUAGUUUUCACGUUUUAGCAUAUAUCCACACAAGAAAAAUGUAGUGGUAUACAAAAAAUAAAGAAUUGACAAUUCGAGACAUUUUUUUAAUGGCUGAUGUAAGUAAAAUAUGUUUUAAGGAAAAGUUAGAAGCAAUUAAUUGUUCAUUUUCAAAUAUAACAUGAAUUAUAUGCUGUUUUCUUUGAAAGGUGAUCUCACAAUCAAAACAAAUAGUCAUCCCCAAUCUCUCAAUGAAGUGGUUGUAUUUCACAUCCAGUAUGCUAAUCGUUGUUAGUUUUCCAAAACUCGUUGUUACUGUGUUUAACUUUACAUUAUUCAAGUAAUAAUCAACAUCUCAAUGAUUAAUCAUAAGAAAAUAUCGAUAACAGUUGAUUGAUAUUAAAUAUUGAAAAUGACAUGGAGUAGAAAAUUAUGUUAUGAUUAGUUUGUUUUCACUCUUAACUUUUAUGUCAAGGGAGGUGAAAGGAAAACGAAUCAUCAACAUACAUGCAAUGAAUCCAAAUAACGUCACUAGCAGAUGCAUGAAUUUUGUUUUAAAAUUUUUCCAUGUUAUCAUCCUUUAAUUUCCUUUUCAGUCUGGUCAUAUCUUUGCUGAAUAGAAAAAUCGACAAAAGUAUAUGUCCCCAUAUAGUAUGUAUUCUUAUCUGUAUCCAGAAGAAAAUAAAAGCUUUAGCUACACUGUAAAGAAUUAGUUUAUCAAUUAGUUCCUAGAUUAAUUAUGCAUAUGAUUGAAUAUACUAAUUAUGCUGAUCAGGCGAUUGAAGAUCCACGGUGUAGUACUAAUAAACCAUAAUAGUAUUGAUACUUACGAAAUUUUUAAUUUUUUAUUAGAGACAUUUGUAAGACACAUUUAAUAUUGAAUAUUUCUGUAAGCAAAUAUUAUCAUAUUAUUCUACAACAAUAUGCAUAUAUAUUUAUAAAAUACUUAAUAGUAGUUCAAAUAAGUAAUUUAACAUAGAAAAUUCAUUGGAUCUCUAAAACUACAAAUUGAUAUCUAAAAUCAAUCGACUGUUACAACGAUUUAAAUAACAAAAAAAAAAAUGUUGAGUGUUAUAUAGAUCUGAUAUUAGUUUAUGUUUCACUACAUAGCUACCUACUUAUAAGAAAAUUAACAUAAUUUAUCUUUACAAUGUUGUAUACUAUAUACCAUUUCUUUUAGCUUUAUACUAUAUACUAUGAGAAAAGAGAAACUGAAGAUGUAUAACGUAGAAGAAAGAGAUUGGAGAGUUGUACGAGGAAUAUUAAUAAGACAAGUUGUUGAGAUAUGCAUUGAACCGAUCGGAACGAGCCACGUGACAACGACAUGUGCAAUUUCAUCCACAUUAUAUACCUUUUGAAAUCAUUCGAUUUUAAUUGUUUAUCAACAUUUUACUAUUAGCCUUAUGCAACUAUAUUUUUUUCAAUAUAUCCCUACGUAAUACCACCAAAAUUAUUAAAGCAGAAAACAGAAUAAUGCCUAUAGUCUUAAUGGAGAAUAAUAGUCUCAAGUAUGUGAUGAAACUGUGGGCAUAUCAUAUAAACUCGUUAUUGUGAUAAUAAUGCCUAUGCAUUAUUCAAAUACAUAAUAAUUCUAUAAAGUAAUUAUAUAUGUUGAAUAUUGUUGCAGCAGGUCCACUGCCACUAGACAAGCAAUCUAAUGGAAGGGUUUGCGAUGUUCAAGGCAAUCAUGCAUAUGGGUUGCCAUUUCUAUAGCUUUCCCUUUCGACCAUUUUUUUAUUUUGAAUUUCUUGAAACUGAAUAUAAUAAUAACAGAAUCCACAAAUUGUUUUCGUAAGAAAUUCUACUGUCUUCUUGUCCACCUUACAAAAAAAAUAUAUAUAUCUUUCUUGGUUUUGCCUACGAAUAAAAAUCUUCUUUUGAUCUGGAUAAGAGAUUGCGAUCUCUUGUACAUGACUAUGGUUUUUAUAUACAUGUGAACUGCAUUAUAUUAUAUACAAAUGUAUGUUGUAUCUACUGACAAUGAGACUGAUGAUCUUGAAACUCCUACCGAAUAUUUGUUAUUUUUGUAAUCUUCUCCACGUUAACUGUCUACAAAAAGUUGAUGAAAUUCGAUACGGAUUUGAUCUUUCUUUUACACUAAUAAUUAUUCAUGAAUAUAUUUCCAGUACAAGCUAAAAAUAUUACACAACUGCAUGUAAACAGAUGUGAUCGAUUUAAAUCGUCAGAUAGCACUGUCCUCUACCACAGAAAAUGCAUUUUAUAUAAAAUAUACUUCCAUAAGCAUAACGUCUACGUACACAUUUUCAUAUUUAUGAGCAAUCUAAUGGAAGGGUUUGCGAUGUUCAAGGCAAUCAUGCAUAUGGGUUGCCAUUUCUAUAGCUUUCCCUUUCGACCAUUUUUUUAUUUUGAAUUUCUUGAAACUGAAUAUAAUAAUAACAGAAUCCACAAAUUGUUUUCGUAAGAAAUUCUACUGUCUUCUUGUCCACCUUACAAAAAAAAUAUAUAUAUCUUUCUUGGUUUUGCCUACGAAUAAAAAUCUUCUUUUGAUCUGGAUAAGAGAUUGCGAUCUCUUGUACAUGACUAUGGUUUUUAUAUACAUGUGAACUGCAUUAUAUUAUAUACAAAUGUAUGUUGUAUCUACUGACAAUGAGACUGAUGAUCUUGAAACUCCUACCGAAUAUUUGUUAUUUUUGUAAUCUUCUCCACGUUAACUGUCUACAAAAAGUUGAUGAAAUUCGAUACGGAUUUGAUCUUUCUUUUACACUAAUAAUUAUUCAUGAAUAUAUUUCCAGUACAAGCUAAAAAUAUUACACAACUGCAUGUAAACAGAUGUGAUCGAUUUAAAUCGUCAGAUAGCACUGUCCUCUACCACAGAAAAUGCAUUUUAUAUAAAAUAUACUUCCAUAAGCAUAACGUCUACGUACACAUUUUCAUAUUUAUGUAGGAAUGUGUGACAUUGAUCCUAACGAUCGGAUCAAGUUCAUAUCCGCAAGACAAAAUGAAUAUCUUUAAUUGUUGGAAAGAUAUCACGAUUAACAUGUAACUCUAACAGCCAUCUCUGUCAUAAGAUUUUAUGUCUGCAUGCUAAUCUUUUUAGCGUGGUUAAGUUUUUUUUUCUUUUGAGAAAAUGGUUAAGUUUUGCUUUUAUUAAUGAAUUGAGAUAAGGUCUUGUGGUAAUAAUUUGUAUAGUUAAAUUAGAAUAAUGAUGUCAUUUAGUUAGUGGUUGAUACACAACAUUUUUCUGUUCUAAUAUAAUUGACGUAGUUGAUGUUUUUUUUUUGGUCUAAGACGUAGUUGAUGUUAUAUAUGUGAUUCAUUGUAUUUGAAGUUAGUAAUGCAUAGGUAACCUGUCAAUUGGUUAAUACCAGACAGGCCAAACAAGGAGCUGCUUACUUAAAAUAUCAUGUCCCUUAUUAAUCACGCAACCAAAUACAUAAGUCUCAUCAUCAGUUUAAUAUGCAAGUGAAAAAUUGAUUUACCAUGCACCCCCAAAUUUGAUAAAUAAUUUAAAUAAACAUAAAUUCAUACAAUUUUAAAUUUGACAAAUUUGUGUAUUAGUUUUUACUGCUUUAAAUUUGAAUUUAAUAUUUUUGCAAUAAGAUAAUAUUUUUAACGACUAAUCAAAAAUACUUAAACCCAAAGAAAAUAAAUAUUGGACCAAUUGUCCCACUAGGAAACAUGAGAUAAUAUGAUAUAUCCACCACAUGAAAUGCCGUAGAGAAGAAUAACAUCAUGGGUCCUAAUUGGUCGAUAAACAUACACAACAUUAUUAUUAGGUGGAAAAUAUAACUAUGAUUUCUAAUAAUUUUUAUGUGAAUGUAUUUGUGGAAAAUAACUUGACAAUUUUACUAUUUUCAAUCUUGUAAUCAUUAUUGUUAUGAUCUCUUGAAUUCAUCCCUAGUGCCAUACAUAGUUUCAAUAGAUGACAACCCUGAAUAAUAAUGAUAUCAUUGUGAUAAACAAUGGAAAACAAGCAUAAUAUAUAGAACACAGAUUAAGUGAUUAGUUUUAGAAGAAAUAAGAGUUAUAUCAUUCUUUAAUUAUUUGUUUCUAGCCUUUUUAGUGGCUAAUUUUGUUGUCAAAUUGUCAAUAAUCAGGCCAUAACGCAAUCACAUUCCAAAAUUUCUGCAACAAAAGAAGGAACUAGCUUAUUUUUAAAAGAAAAAAAACAUCUAGUAGUUAAAUUUUAAUAUUUUUAUUUGUUUUCAUAUCACCAACGAUAAAUUGAUUUAUUUUAAAUAAUAGGAGACUAAUAAAGCCAACAACUCAUAAAGGAAAAAAACACGACUGUUUUUUUUUUUUUUUGAAUAAACAAAAACAACAUGACUACAUAAAAACACCAUUGAAUAUUCUCAAAAGAAACUGAAAAACCUCCACUCGAAAGAGAGACUUACCCCAAAUAUUGCAGUCUACGUCAGCUUCAACUCUAAGGAAGAGAGAUAAAGUGUCUAGGGGAGAAGAACCAACUGUGAUUGUGAAGAGAGAGAGAGAUAAGCAAAAGUAUUCUAAAUUUGCAGGCAGGCCUUCCAGAACCAGCAACUUGUUACACCCAAUAGACAAAAAAAAAAAAAGUCAAAAAUUAAAUCCUUUUUAAAAACAUUAUUGCUCUGUUUUUGAAAAUAAAGAUCUGUAAAUUCAAUGAACCUUCCUCUCUCUCCUGAUUCCACAGUCCAAUCCCAAAAAAAAAGAUUAUUUAUUUAUUUGCUACUUGUCUUCUCCAUCUCCUACCUUUUUAUACCAAAACCACACCCACUUUCUUUCUUCCUCUGUAUUCUCCUUACAAAGAAAGAAAAGUAGUUUCUAACGUUGUAUCUUCUUCUCUUUGAAGUAGUUUAUGCACAGAUCAACCCUCAAGAAAAGAACUACACCUUUUUCAGAUGAUUCGUGAAAUCUCCGGUCUACAAAACGACAUCGUAAACAUUCAAGAACGCUCUUCAAGCAGCAACAACAAGAUCAUGGACAUGAGAAGAGAUAUUCGCCGACCAGCUCAAGCUCCUAUGAUGAGUAAGCAAGAAUAUUUUCGGACAUUGUCGUCUCAGAACAGUCCGAGGAGGCUAAUCUCAGCGAGUUACUUCAGUUUGGAGUCAAUGGUUGUUCUUGUUGGUCUCACAGCAUCGCUCUUGAUCCUUCCCUUGAUUCUUCCACCGUUGCCUCCUCCUCCGUUCAUGCUGCUUCUCAUUCCUAUUGGGAUAAUGGUUCUGCUUAUGGUUCUUGCUUUAAUGCCUUCUUCUUCCUCUUCUUCUUCUUCUUCUAAUGCCAAACAUGUAACAAGAACUUAUAUGUAAUACAAGGAGAAUGAGUUUUUGUUUUAUCUAUUGUUAAUUUGUUAUUACAUAAGGUUUCAGGGUAAGAGAUUUUGUAUAACUAUUUCAUUUGUAAAACUUACUAUAAACUUUCAUGACUUUAUCUACAAUGGUCUCAAUAUGGGAUUGGAGCAUUUGAAAAUCCAAGGGAAAAGAGUUUCAGAUUUCAUUCUAUUUACAUGGCUUUCGGUUCGGGCAUUUUGGUUUUUGUUUUUUUGGUAACUAAUUUACAAAUUUCGGUUCGUUUUACGUAGUAAAGUUGGGAACCGUCUAAUAUUUAAAACCAAUCUUUCCGAAUCUUAUUUUCCGGUUAAUUCUUCGGAUAAUUUUAAAUAUUUUAGGUAAAAAAUUAUUCGGAUUUUUGGAUAUUUCGGUUUAUAAAUACUAUGUUUAGUAUAUUUAGAAACUGAUAUAUAAUUUGUAUUUUUACACUUUUGGAUAUCCAUUCGGUUUUCACUUAGAUUCCACGCAUAAAGGAUCUAUGUCUGUUAUUUUUGAAAUUUGACUCUGUUUCAACAAUUUUGGUUUGGCUAUUGGGUUCUAGAUAAAUGUGCAACUAAAGUCAGAGACAGAAGUAAGACUAUAUCUUGUAGUUGAAAUUUUAAUAUAAAGUUAUCAUCUCCCAUGGGUUAGGACUUAGGAGAUUGAGAAAGAGACAUUCUCAUAGACCUGAAUCCGGAUCCAAAAUUGUAGUGAUCAGAUCUUAUUCUUUUUUCAACUAUCCUAAGGUUAAAUUUAACCCCAAUAACUAGGAUGCUGGAUCCCAUUGUUGCUCAGUGUGAAGAACCUUUGACCAAAAAAAUAGGAAGGUGAUGCUCCAACACUGCCAUGACCUGAUGAUGGCCUUUGUACACUUCUUCUGUGUCCACAUCAAAGCCUUGAAGCUGCUUCACUGCUUCCACGAGCUGUCCUCUCAGCUUCUGCGAAAGCAACCUCCCACCUGCCUUCACACACCCUCUGUACAGCGGCAUGUAAGCAAUAGCAACCCUCAAAGGAGCUGGGAGAUCCUUUAAACAUAUAGCAGACUCCCCAAUCUUCAAAACCCUCAUGAAGUUCAAGAAGUUAUCUCUGCUUUCCUUCACUCCUUGCUUGAAUGCAGCCUCUGACCAAUGCUCUUGGAGAAACGAUCUCAAUUCUAAAGGAACAGACUCGUCUUCUGAGUUUGCAAUGGUGUCUGCAGCUGAAUAAGUUGCCACUGGAUCUUCAAGGAAAUCUGAUUUGAGGAGAAACUCAACUCCUUUAAACGAACCACCACUUCUUUCUCCAGCUGCUUUGAGGAUCUCUACGCUGAGAGCAGCGAGGACGGCUCUCGGCACAUGAGGGAGGAGAUAAGCAGCGAUCUCCACCCGGCUGCUCGAAGUUGCUGCCGUGAGAGCCAAGCAAAGCUCCAUUUCCCGGCAGCCUCUUUUCACAAACCAUUCCACAACUUGCACACAGCCUCUCUCCGCUGCUCUCAUCAAAGGACUCAAGAAAGCAACGGCGUUGCCUUCUUCCACAAGGCAGUCCAUCGUUUCGAUUUUACUGUAAUGAGAGGCGAAACCUAGUGCUAAGUCUACAUCCACGUCUAAGCUAUUCCUCUGAGCAAUCUAACACCAAGAGAAAAAACACAAAGUUAAAGAGUGCACUGCAAGCAACCACAUAAAAGAAUAGGGUUUACCUGCAGCAAGAUUCUCACAAGCUCCGUGCUUCCAAAACGAGAAGCUUCAAGAAAGCAUUGGUUCACGUUAUCCGCGCCUCCUUCCACCAGCAUACCGAGCAAUCCAUGUACCACACUAGCUGAGAUUCCAGAAGCCCAUCCGGGGCUAAACGAGGUGGAGAAGAGUGUGAGAGGGAAGCAAGCUGCGUCAAAGGCUUCUGUGAAGUCUUUUCCUGAUAGAUUGUUUCCUGCAAGAUCCAAGAACGUCUUGAAAGCAGAGAGCUGGAGUUGGAUCUCAGCAGCAGCAGCUGAGUCUUGGUUAGCUUUAUCUCUAGCGCUAUCAGAGUGGAAACCAAUGCACUUGAAGGCCCAUUCAGUAAACUUUCGAACUUUGUCACCUGCUUCUGCUUUUAAGACUUUAUCACCGUCACACUCUUGGAGACGCUCGCGCAACGUGGAUACAACCAAGAUGGAGCAACUCUAAGAUCUAAGAAGAUGGACCCGGAAAUCUGAACCGGAACGACCAAACAAUACAUGAUUGGGUCCGGGUCCGGGUCCUACGCGAGACCCGAUCAGGUACCCGAAAUACUCGAAACUUUUAGUAUAUAUUAUGUAUAUUUGAGUGUUUCCGUAUAUUUUUAGUAUUACAGAUUUUUUUAGUUUUGGGUUCGGGUUUGGGUAUUUUCUGGAUUUUCGGUAAAGUUUUCUGUAUUUUUGGGUAUUUGAAUAUUUUUCGGAUUCUCAGGUAAUUUUUCGGAUCCAUUUCGGGUCCCGAAUACGUGAACCCGAAAUAUACCUUACUGGUAUUUUAACUAAAUAUUAGAACCAACAUUUUCUAAGUACCUGGUUGACAGUUAGUUUUACUUGAACCUUUUAUAUGUGAGCAUCUUAAAUUUGUUGGUGGUUUCUAAUAAUCUUUUAUUCCUGUCCUAAACAGAGUUAUGAUGCUACAACACACUUUGAUACAACUGUUGUUGUUGAUGUGUUGAACUUGUAUAAAUUGAUUACUGGAAAAGUAAUGUUUCAGAUUCACAAAUGUAUCUGUUUUUUUUUUUUUAUUAAUCACACUCUUCUUUCCAACCUACAUUUGUGGAAAGAAGAGUUUGAUCUUCUUGAAAAAAGAAAAUCUUGUAUUCAAUCAAACAGGCAAAGACUUAAAAGCAAUAUUCUUAAUUACAACACCGUUAAAAUCAGUUUUGUAUAUUACACAAAGCCAAUGAAGUGUUUUUUUUUUUGUCUGAAAACAUAAUCUAAUGGAAAAGCUUUUGUUUAGGAUGUAUAACUGUGUAAAGAGUUAUUUUUCCUCAACAAUCUCAGGUUUCUUCUCAGAGAGGUGACUUUGUUGAGAGGAGCCUUUUACUAGAAGCGACUGCAACUGGAUAGACUUCGGUGAAGGAGCGGCUAUAGGAUUUGGAAUGCCACCAUGACUGGAACCUGCGUGAGUCGAGCCUUUCUUUUUAGUCAUCUUUGCUGACUUUGCCCAUCCAGCAAUCUGUUUCUGCGCCUGAUCAGUGAAUAUUGCGCCUUUGAACGAACUCCCCAUCUUAUCACCAAAAAAAGACCAGACAAGAAUAAGAAUUGUGUGAUGGUUUUGAGUUUAUGUCUCUAUCCAGUUUGUAUCAGAACACAAGAAUAUGUACCUGAGCAACGAGGGCGUAUAGUGGUAAGGUACUGUAACUACAGAGAAGCUGAACCAAUACCCUAAGCAGAGAAAACACAGUCAAAACAUGAUUAAGAAACUUUCAAAGGAGAUGUAAGAAGCUUUGGCUAUAUUACCCAAUGACAAGUCUUGGAAUUAUGAACUUGACUUGCCCCAUGAUGCAAGAAUCAAAACCAUAUUGGGCCUGUUGUUUUGUUAUGUGUGAAGCAAUCUUUGUGAGAGGCAUGUGUUUUCAUUGUUUUGGUUUAGUUUCAUUAUGGUAAGAGCACUUACAAAGAUAAAGAAGAUGAAUGCUAACUCAAAUGAGUUUUGGAAAAGAAUGAAGUGGAUCAAGAAGAGAACUAGCCGGGGACUUUUGAACCAGAACAGAUCAUCUGAUGGUCGUACUACCAAAUCUCCCUCUACAGCAAUGUGUUUCUCUGCAACUUCAUGAGCUAAAUCUGUGAUGAUAUGCUCCAGCUUCAUCCCCACAGCAAGCAAAAGCUGAGGAGACAAAAAAAAAAUUAGCCUAAACCGACCAAUCUCAAGAUGGAUUUGAAUGAUGAUAUACAUGGAGGGGUUUAGGGACUUACAAUCAAAGGAAGAAAAGCUAGCCAGAAGUAAACAUGCCAUGCUACAAGAAAGAUAUUUAUGAUCAUUAACCAAGGGGAGAAAAGAGUGUAGGAAAGUGACUUGGAUCGCAAGUUAAAAGAUAUUAGCAGCUUACCAGCAAUGUUUAGAAGCAAGAAGAGAACCACAAACACCCAAAGGUACCAACUGCAAUUUGAUAUAUACAUUAAUUAGCAUAGAAUGAGUAACACGAUAUGAAUACUUUUGGUUUUUAGAUUACCUGAUACCAACAACUUUUUUGAAAUCUGAAUUUAAGGCACGUAUGAGAUACUUGUGGAAAUUAAACUUUGGAUUGGUCUUGCAAUGAGUCUAUAUAUAAACCAAGAAGAAUAUAAAGUUGUGACUAGAGAUUCUAGUAGAGUGAAACUCAAAUUUGUAGAAUAAAGAAAACUCGAGAUAUCUACCGUGACGAAUCCUAGCCUCAUUGUGAUGUAAUCCGAUUCAUUGACUGAUGCAAGAAACUGCUUCAUAAACGAAUGCUACAAAAACACACUCAAAGACUCAAUUAACUUGCAUGUAGUACAUACAAACAUGUCUUGCGAGUCAAGAUAACUUUAUUAGAAGGCCAAAAGAAAAAACACUCACCACCCAUCCAAAGCAAGCAUCAGCUUUUCCAACUCCAAGAAACCGUCCCCUGAUGAAGUCAUGUUCUCGGACCGCUGUAUAUUUCUUCUGGAUCACUGUGUAUAUAGAUGCAUGGGGUUAAUGUCGUAACGUUAAGAGAUUACAGGUUAGAGAUUGACCCUAUAUAUAUAUACCUUUUUAUAUUAGUUAAUUAUUUUUCCAACUACUGAUAUAAGACUUUCAUUAUUCAUCGAUAUUACCAUGAUUCACAAAUGAGAAUGCUUCUACUAAGUAUUACUUAGCAUAUUACUGUACCUUCGUCUGCGUUGUAGUCUUUUUCUAAAACUUUAUCCUCCCAUUUUCGCCAUUGCAUUAUCUAUGCAUUAAUGUCAUGUUAUGAUCAUUUGAAAUGUAUAAUAAGAAACUUGUUACCCCUUCAUAUAAUUUAUAUGGCUUUAGGGUUUAAGAAUGAUUAAGUUAAUACCUUCAUGGUACCAAAAAGAAUGGUCAAGAGGCAGAAAAUAAUGUGAGCAAUAGCUAACACGAAGAUGAAUAUAUGAAGCUCAUGCAGAGCUGAUAUUGACAUUAAUGGAGCCUUUCCCUGAAUUUGAAACAUUAUCACCAAAGUUAAUUUUUUAAAAAUGACUAUGUCACUAGUUUACAAUACAUGUUAAUUUACUUAAUUGUAUACACGUCUUAAAACGUGCAAGACAAUAAGAGAAUAUGGUUGGGGUUGACCUGAAAAUAAAAUAAAAUCAAAAGGUUAUAUACCUUCUGGGAGCAGUAGUCGCCGGCUGCGGAGUCUCCGGCAAGGAGAUGACGGCCGGUGAAGCUGAGCUGGAAAUGAGAGUUGUCAUUGAGGGACUUGUCUUCUUUUGGUUUCUUACAAGGGAGAAGCUUCUCGCUCAACUCCUUUGAUAUGCAAAUCUUUGCUAUUCUAGACUGGCUUACUGACAGCAGUAACGAUAUGAACCCUAGCAGCAUAAGUUCUGUUUCCACCCAAACGAUCGCAAUGUUUAUAUUCCAAGAAUCAUGUUAGAAAACAAUGAUCAAAUGAUGUAACAAUCAUUCGCAAAUUUUCAAAAUAAAGGGAUUAAUAUGUGAAAUUAUUUAACAACUCGGCUAAAACACAUGAGAUAACCUUCUUUGACUUUCUGUAAUGCCCCGAAAAGCUGCUUCUGAUCGUUCUUAUCAAAGUGCUGUAUUCCAAAUGUAUAUAGUCAGCAACGUAUAAAACUACCUAUAAAAAUUGUAUGUAGUAUAUGUAUAAAUAUUUAACCUUUCCGGCACGGUGGAGGCCACGCUCGACGGCGAAAGAGAUGGAGACGAUGACGGAGCAGACGAGAGCCACCACCCAUGUUGGUGUGUACUCCAAGGUCGUUCCUUCUCCUGCCAUUUUUGUUCCGGUGAUUCUUGAUAUUCAUUCUUGAUCUCAUUGUUUUGUGGUUUAUAUAUUUUGUAGUGUGUUGACCAACUAUUUGUUUUUAUUAAAUUACGGUUUUCAAAUCGACGAUCUUAUUCCAUUGGAACGUGUCUUUUAUAAUAAAAAGGGAAUUCACAUUCUGUACAGGUUGUAUUCAUACACUUGGUAAUACAUAUUGGAUAUAAUGUGAAUGUAUGUGGUGUCAGUGUGUAUGUGUGUUCUGUAUGUUUGAUUUUUUUCCAAUUUUGACAGUUCAUAUGACACAGACAAAUAUUUCUUACAUACAAAUAUGAUAAAUAGUUCUGACUUAUAUGGAAUAAAAUGUAACUUUAUAUUCAUGUCCUUCUAAUAAAAGAAUUUAUACAUACAUCUAGACUACAUAGAAUAAGAAAAAUAUUAUUUAGAAAGUCGAUAAGAUCUACUAUAUCAAAUUUAUGAAAAAUACCAAAAAAAAAAAAUUUAAAAAAUCUAAAUUAAUUUUAAGAGAUUGGAAAAUAGAGAAAAAUAAGAAAUUAAUAUAUGUCUUUAAUAUACAAUUUAACUAUUAGUUAAAAAUUAAGUUAGAUCAUUCACUAUAUAAACUAAUGCACAUUAUAAUUUAACUUUCACGAGGGUUUGAUGUAAUUCUUCCACAAAUGUUUUAAUGUUUUUUACUCUUAUUAAGUUAUCAAAUACUAAACAUUACAAAUCACUUUCUAAACUUGUUGAAAUGGUCUAGUUUGUUGAAAUGGUCUUGGUCGCAGUUUAAAAUAGGGCAAUCAUCAGAGCACACCAAUUAUCUUGAACAAAUCGCCCAAUUUGUACAAUCCAUCUCGGGUCAAACAAAAGAAUGUUAUGUUCCCUAACAAUGGGUUGAAGUGCUAACAAGGUUCGACAUUCUCUUAAACCAAACAUAAAAUUACUCCAUGUUGUUCGGUAGACACUAGCCAAGUCCACUUAUUGAUAUAAAACCAUACGUCAAAUCGAUUAGUUAGACGUCCCGUUGAUUAAACAAUCAUAUCACUUAACCGGUUAACAAGUUUAAUAAAUCAAUCAAGUGACCAACCAACUUUGCAAAUACAGAUUAAAACUUAUGAAGUCAACGAUAUCCUUGUCAGAAUUUUAAUGAAAUUACGAAAUUGGGAUUGACUCAUUUCACAUGAAGCAUAGUUUAACCAUGAAGAUUAUUACACUACAGUGAAGCUGAAAUAAUGGAGUUAAGUUCGUCUUUUACAUGCAUUUUAUUCCAUUUAUUGAACCGAUAUCGGUUACAAUCAAUCACAUUCUGGUAUAUCUAGAAUUUAGAACUAUAAAAAAACUGUUCAAACCGAAGAUUUCGGUCCAAAAUAAAAAUAUCAUAAUUCUACGAAACAAAUCAAAUAUUAUUAUAUAAUAUUCAUUAAAAAAAAUUAAAUAUCAGUUUUGAUCUAUUAUAUAUGCAAUAUAUUAAUGUAUGUAAAGAAGAAGAAAUUCCAUUAAAAUAUUUCAACUAUUUUUCGUUAAGCUUUUUAACACUAAAACUUUUUUUGCUAUUUGGGUUAAUACCCAAACAAAUUAAUAUAUGCUAAUGUUAAUACAUUUACUUUUAAAAUUGUGCUCAUUCUAAUAUCUAAGUAUGUUCAUUUUAAUAAUAAGUUUCAAACAAAACUUAGACUAAAAAAAUAUAAAUUUUAUUUUAACGGUUAAGAAUAAAAGUAACUAAAUUUGGAUAAUCUUAAUUUUUAUAAAAUUAUUUUGUGUAGUAAUUUCAAAUUUAAUUUAUUUUCUGAAGUUUAAAAUAAUUUAUUUAUUUUUAAAAAAUUAUUUUUUUCUAAAAUUUUAAAAUAUAUCCAACAUUAGUUACUUUUAUUCUUAAAAUUUAAAAUAAAAUUUUAUUAAAAAAAAUUGUUUGAAAUUUCUUUUAAUUUUGCAUGAAACCUAUUAUUAUUUUUGAUUAAAAUUAACAUAGUGUGAAUAUUAAAAUGAAAACAAUUUUAAAAGUACGUGUAUUAAAAUGAAUAAAUUAAUUAGUUUGAGUAUUAAACGGAGUAGCAGUAAAGUUUGGGUGUUAAAAAACCUUAAUCAAUUUUAGUUGAAGUAUUUUAUGAAUUUUUCCUUUAAAGAAUUAUAAAUAGAUCAUAUAAUUGUUAUAUUUUAUAUUUAUUCGUCAAAUUUAUUAUCUAGAUAUUCAAAUUUCAGAAAUUUAAAUAAAAUAAUAGUUUUCCUUAUAAAAGGUAUGAUUGAAAUUAUAAAAGAACCGUUCAGACCGGUGAUUCUCAUAUUGAUAUUUAGGCUUUUUGGCGAGAAAAUAAACAAAAGUGAAAUAAGAUUUUUUUAGAAACAAUUUGUUGGGAAGAAGAAGUAACAUAAUCAUAACACUGUCUCUGAUAGAAGAACAAAGUUCAAAGAAGGAAGCUUUGAUCAUCAGUUCAUUCUCCUCACAAGCUCGUUGAUGAAGUUCUCCCUGUUUCCAGCAUCACCACCUUCAACGUAGUGGUUCCUCUUCUUCUUCAGACCACCGAGUGGCGCCUUCAGCUGAAACGGCCAAAGGAAGUUGUUGGCUUCUUUGAAGUGAGGUCCAACGGUCAUGAUCUCAUGGAUCAGAUCCUCCACGCAGAUGAUGUUGUGCUUUCCUAGACCUUGAUUCACUAUCGAGUUGUCUGUGAGUGCUAUCCUCUGAUGGUUCAGCUUUCCGAAACCUCUCUUGUAUAUCAGUUCCUUAACAGUCUUCAAGUUUGGGUACCCGUAAGUCACGUAAGGCUCAACACGACGCAACAUGUUGAUUGUUGCCUUGUUCACCUUUAGGAACACACCAUUGAAUAUCUGCACAAGUGUGUGUACACACACAAGUUUAUAGACACAUCUAGCGAUUAUAAUAUGAUGUAUGAGAACUUAUAAAUAUCUUAUUGAUAUUUUUGUUGUAUUAUUUCAAAGUAAAAUAUACUAGUUACUUUUUGAAAAAACUAAAAAUUAUAGUAAAACCAAAAAUCUAAAUCUAAAAACUAAAAAUCAAAAACCUAAAAAUCAAAAACAAAAACCUAAACAUCAAAAUCUAAAAAACUAAAAAUCUAAAAACCAAAAAAUACUAAAACGAUCAGAGCUUAGGAGACUUCAAGACUUACUUGUCUCAAACGCAGGAGCUGUAGAAUCUUCUUGGUUUUCGGGUCAAUAGCGUUGAUUCUAAAAAAGACAAACAUUAAUGUAAGGACACAACAUAAACUGUCGGAAACUGGAACCUACUUCUGUAAGAAAACAGCAACAUACCCACGGAUACGAAUGAUAAAGAGCAGUUUAGCCUCUGGGUCAACAUAGAACCCUCCUUUCAACUUAGCCUCACGCUUCAACCUGAUCAACUCAUUGUCCUAAGCAAACCAAACACAUCAUUAAGACAAGAAAACACAAAUUACUUAGUGAAAUGAGACAACACAAAGUGUGUUUCUUUAAAACCUUCUCAGCGUAUUCUUUGGCAUAUUGCUCAGCUCUCUUGAAGAUAAGCUUCCUUGUCUCAACGCUCUUCUUCUUAGCAGCUUCGGCUUCUUGCUUCUUCGCCAAUGCCCACUCCUCUUCCCUCUUGAUCUUUUUCAAGACGGACUCUGGAACCACCACCUUAGAUUCCGCCAUUUCUUCCUACACAGAGCAAUGCAAUGAGCAGACACAAACUAGGGUUUCGUUACGUCACAUUGGUUCAGUAACUACGUUUAGAUUCCAUCCACUAAUCUAGUAAGUGAAGUUUCUACAAUAGAGGCUUAUCAAUCUCAAAUGUAUACAAACCUAGGAAAGGGGGCUACCACUGGACACAAGACAACUUAUGUUUCGGGACCAAAAAGUAUACGAGGUAGAUCGGAGAAGCUUACUUUGAGAGGAAGGUAUUGUCUGAGAGAGAGGGGCACGGCGCAGAGAGGAAGAAGAAGAAGAAAAAUGGGCUUAGGGUUUUUAAUUCGUAACCUUGUUUUAAUGGGCCAUUUAUCAGGAGGCCUGUUUAUCUUAUUUUAUUGGGCUUCGUGGGAUUAAACGCCGGCCUGGGUGAUCAUCGACAGCAUUUGAAAAGUUUGAAUAGGAUUUACACAUUGUAAGAAUUGGGUGAUUUAUUAACUAGCAAUUUUGUUUAACUUUUUUUUUUUGGUGAUUGUUGUGGUGUCUUCGUAUCGUUUCAUUUGUAAAAAUACAUAACUUAGCAUUUGUACCAUUGUUACUUUCUGGCUUGUAGAUAAACUUAUAUAAUUAGGACCUCUUUAACAUUUUCUGAUAUUCUAGUCGUAUCUAUCUACCCGUAUCUGUCUACCAACAUAGUUCACACAACUAUUGUAUAAUGACUUUGUUAAUUCUCUUCUUUUUCUUUUAAAGAAUGUUAAAUUUUUCAAAAACCCUUUUUACGAUCAAAUGCAACUAUGGUUCGAAAAGAACCUUAUACAAAAUAACAUUUGUGAUACCCUAGAUGAAUGAUCUAACAUCUGUCAUUUAUAUAUAUAUGUGUGUGUUUUCUGAAUUCUGAUAUAAAUCUACGUUUUUAUAUUAUAUUUCUAGUUUGUAUAAAAUAAUUUAAUGUUUUGUGAUAUAACUCUAUAAAUGAAAGGGAAAACAUUGUAUUUUUUAUAAUCUCAGGCGAAAUUUGCAUGAGUAUGAAAUGAUUCAUUACAUAUGAAACAGUAGUAAACAAGAAAGCUUUGAAAAUUUGGUUGUUAGGGUGCAGUUUUUCGUCUUUUCAAUAAUAGUAAACUUAUGUAUAUUCCCAUUUAAAUAUUAUAAUUAUCAUAAAAAUGAAAAAUGUUUUUGAUGGAAGUGGACGUAGUCAUUGUAAUCACCGAACAUCAUGGGAUCUCUGUUACUAUAAAGCAGUUAUUAUAAUAACCCGUAACAACUUCACUUUGUAACCGGAGAAGAUGAAGGUGAUCGAUAAGAUCAAGUCAUGGACCGAUGAAGGUAAAACAACGUUCUCCUUCGAGUUCUUCCCACCGAGGACGGAGGAUGGAGUCGACAAUCUCUUCGAACGUAUGGAUCGUCUCGUCGCUUACGGUCCUGCCUUCUGCGACAUCACGUGGGGAGCUGGUGGAUCUACGGCAGAUCUCACGCUCGACAUUGUCUCGAGGAUGCAGAACGUUGUCUGCGUCGAGAGUAUGAUGCAUCUCACGUGCACAAACAUGCCGGUGGAGAAGAUCGAUCAUGCGCUUGAGACGAUAAGAUCUAAUGGGAUUCAGAACGUUCUUGCGCUUAGAGGUGAUCCUCCUCAUGGUGAGAACAAGUUUGUUCAGGUUGAAGGAGGGUUUGGUUGCGCUUUGGAUCUUGUGAAUCAUAUUAGGAGCAAGUAUGGUGAUUACUUUGGUGUCGCCGUUGCUGGUUACCCUGGUACUCUCUCUCUUGUUCACUAUCUGUUUUAGACACAACCUGAUGAAACAUUAGUUUUAGUCUCUAAAUUUUUUAAAAAACCAUUAUUUUUAUUUCAAAAUGAUGUAUAUUUUUGUGUUUCACAAAUAUUAAAAAACAUAUCAUAAAUUAAUUAUAAUUUAGCUAUUUUUCAUAAGUUUAAACCAAUAAUAUUUGAAUGUAUAAUUAUUUUUUUGAAAUUUACAAUUUAUCAUUAUUAACUACUGGAAUUUACAUAGAAAAUGUAAACAUAUAUAUUUUUGAAACACAUUUUUAUUUUAUAAAAUUAUUUGAAAUUUAAAAAUUAUCAUUAUUAACUACUAGAAAUUAUCAUUAUUUUAUAUAAAUAUUAUAUAUAAGUUGCAUGAAUCCAAAUUACCGUAUUUUUUACUUAUUAAGAUUAACCUUAAAAUUGUUUAUCUCUAAAUGAUCAGUGAACUCUUUUGAUAUACAGAGGCUCAUCCUGAUGUCAUUGGUGAAAAUGGCCUAGCUUCAAAGGAAGCUUACCAGAGUGAUCUUGAGUACCUUAAGAAGAAGGUCUUGUUUUGUUUCAUCAUUUAUUUUGUAAAGGCUCUUGCAUUGUGUAUUUGAAUAUGGAUCGUUUUCUUGGAACAGGUUGAUGCUGGAGCUGAUCUAAUCGUUACUCAGCUUUUCUUUGACACUGAUAUGUUACUCAAAUUUGUGAAUGACUGUCGGCAAAUUGGUAUCAACUGCCCCAUUGUUCCUGGAAUCAUGCCCAUUAAUAACUACAAAGGGUUUUUGCGUAUGAUUGGUUUUUGCAAGACCAAGGUAUAUGUUUUCAGUUCUUAGUGUAGCAUCAAGUCAUGCAAAUUAAUGACUUAACUUUGAAGCUCAUGAAUAUUGUAGAUACCAGCUGAGGUCAUGGCUGCAUUGGAGCCUAUCCAGGAUAAUGAAGAAGCUGUGAAAGCCUAUGGUAUUCACCUUGGAACAGAGAUGUGUAAAAAGAUCUUGGCUCAUGGGAUUAAGUCUCUUCAUCUCUACACAUUGAACAUGGAGAAAUCAGCUCUUUCAAUAUUGAUGGUUGGUCCUCAUUGUGUACUACUGAAAUUUACGUUAAAAGUAUCCUAACCAUCAUUAUGAUGAUGUUGCAGAAUCUUGGUAUGAUUGAAGAGUCCAAAAUCUCUCGCUCUUUACCAUGGAGACGUCCUGCUAAUGUUUUCCGUAUUAAGGAAGAUGUGCGUCCCAUUUUCUGGUAAACCACACUUAGUUUCUUGUGUUGUUCUGAUUAUGUCUAGCUAGUAGCCACAGACUUUAUUCUACACAGAAUAUUUAUUCUUAAUCUUUUGAAAGGGCAAACCGUCCAAAGAGUUAUAUUUCAAGAACCAAGGCCUGGGAAAACUUCCCACAAGGUCGAUGGGGUGAUUCACGCAGUGCCUCAUAUGGUGCACUCACUGAUCAUCAGGUACUAACAUUGUUACAUGUCACAUGUUCUUGUAUGCUUCUCUGCUGAGCUAAAUGAUUUUCUUGUUGUUAGUUCUCACGUCCACGAGCACGUGACAAGAAGCUUCAACAAGAAUGGGUUGUCCCAUUAAAAAGCGUUGAAGAUAUUCAUGAGGUAAUAAUCUAGACUUUCACUUGAAGAAACGCAGACACUUGCAAUAAUCUUGUGAAACACGUUAACAGAAAUUCAAGGAGCUCUGUCUUGGAAACUUAAAGAGCAGUCCAUGGUCUGAACUAGACGGGCUCCAGCCAGAGACAAAGAUCAUAAACGAGCAGCUGGUGAAAGUAAACUCCAAAGGCUUCUUGCCCAUCAAUAGCCAACCAUCAGUCAACGCUGAGAGAUCUGAUUCUUCAACCGUUGGUAAGUUUCCUAUCAGAACAACUAGUGAUAUUGACUCAAAGCCUCUCAUCAAAAUCAUUUAUUUGCAGGAUGGGGUGGUCCUGGUGGAUAUGUAUACCAAAAAGCUUACCUAGAGUUCUUUUGCUCAAAGGACAAGUUAGAUGCACUUGUUGAGAUAUGCAAAGCUUUGCCAUCCAUAACUUACAUAGCUAUGAACAAAGGUGAAACUUGGGUGUCAAACACUUCACAGUCUGAUGUGAAUGCUGUUACUUGGGGUGUUUUCCCGGCUAAGGAGAUCAUUCAGCCAACCAUUGUUGAUCCUUCUAGCUUCAAUGUCUGGAAAGAUGAAGCGUUUGAGACUUGGUCAAGAAACUGGGCUAACUUGUACCCUGAAGCAGCUGACCCUUCUAGAAACUUGCUUGAGGAGGUCAAGAACAGCUACUAUUUGGUAAGUUUGGUAGAGAAUGACUACAUCAAUGGUAACAUAUUCAAAGUCUUUUCUGAUCUUUGAGUUUUGGUAGAGAAACAUAUUCUGUUUCUUACUACUUUCAAGUUUUGCUUUGUAAUUUCUCUACAAUAUUUGGUUUCAUUAUCAUAUUGAUUUGCUAAUAAAGUUAUUGAUAAAAAAAAGCAUCAGUUUCAUUUAAUCAUAAAGAUCCAGAAGUCAUCCUAUGUGACACUAACUUGCAUGAAAUAAAAGCUUCCAUUGUUCUAACUACUUCAUGAAGAGGCAUGUAAAACUUCAAGAACCAUCUCUCUGGGUCUAACGAGUCUGAAAGUGCACAAAUCUCCAACAGCUAAACCGUAGCCAUUUGUUAGAAACCUCCAUCCGCUGGAAAACAACUUUGAUCCAUUACUGGGAACGUAGACCACCUCCCAUGGCUUACCCUUCGGAUCAUGUAUGACAAACUUAGUCCUCACCUUUGGCAUGUGCUCCUUUGCAAAAGUUACCGGUAUGGACUGAUCAAAUAAAAUAAAAACAACCAUUCCAAGUACCAUAACAUCAUUAGUACAAAACCACAAAUGGGUACUUGUGUAUUGGUUUAUCUUACCAACACUGUGAGAUGUGAUUUCUUGAUGGUGAGACUGAAUGUUGCAGCAGAGGAAGAAGAAGAAGAAGCUCCAUAGACAUUACUAUCCACUUUCUUCUUGGAUUCAGCUAUUACAGGAUCAACACAGCUCAUCUCUUCAUUCUUAACAACUUCAUAGCCAUCAAAAUAUCACAGUGGAUUAAUAAAAAAAAAACAAAUAUCCACAAAAUUAAAAAACUACUAAAUAACUUACUGGAGGAAGAAGUGUUUAGUGGCUUGAGGAUCUCUAUGCAAUUCUUCUGGAAGAUGUCAACGGUUAUGCAAUUGUUUCCUUCGUUUGUGAAGGUGAGAAACUCGUUGUCUCCCAAGUGAUUGUCGUUUAGAAACUUCUCCCAUCCCUUUCUCUCCAUAAGGUAACAUCCCAUGAAUGGUGAGAGAUUCACUGUCCAAGAACUUCCCCAAGCCACCUUCAAGGUCACCUUAGGUGGGAGAUUCUUGCAUUCACUUCUUCUCCAGAACUCGUUUGGAAUCAACCUCUUUGGAACACACAUACACACACAAAAUGAAGAUAUAUAUAAAAAAAAAGAAACAUGGCAGUUAAAGCUAUGUAACAAAAUAUAUGUUUUAAUUAGACACAUCAAACAUGGAAGAUCAAAGAUCCAACUUUCAACAUUUCAGACCAGGAAAAAAUAAACUAUUAGGAGGAGAUGAUAAGGUUAAAGAACAUUAGUACCAUGGAUUCAGAGGAAAGAUCUUCAUCUGCAAGAAUCUUGAAGAAGCUUGUCUUGUUCAUGUCUUCUUGAAUCCUACCAAAUGCUAUGUUUCUAGCCAUCUCACGAAGACAGUUCUCUUCUCUGACUGUUUCAGUCUCACAACCUCUCUCUAGUGCUCUGUUUCUAUGGGGGUGAAAACCUUCAAGAGAGCCCUAAAUGACCUUUCUUAUUUUUUUCUGUAGGAAAGUGGAAAACAAUUAUUAAGACUCUGUAUACACGCAAAAGGAUAAAGUCAUUUUUGCUUAUUUUAGUAACUGAGUCUCGCUCUGUUACAAAAAGAUGAAAGGCUCUAUUGUUUCUUCUUUUGGUUUCACAAAUUUAAUUUCAUUUAAUUUCAAUACCUUACCUACAAUAAUUAUAAGGAGACCACCACAUUGCAUUACUAACCUUUACAACCAACACCCACAUUGAUUAGGAUCAUGUUUAAAGAAAAUAUAGAGUAUUUGAGAACAAGAAAAUAAGAAGGACAACAGCAAAAACAUUCCUCUCUUCUCUUCAGAUAUUUUUCUACACAAAUUGCUACACGUUACCAAACCAACUCAGCUGCAUAGAAUCUAUAGUUCAGACAAACUUUUUUACCGUCGAUUUUAAGAUACUGCAGAUUUCUCUUUAUAGCGGUUUUUGUACAUAAAACAAAGGUAUGUGAACUCACUCAUCAAAGCGUUCUUCCUAUUAACAGUCAGCUUUUGGAGUUUAAGAUCAUCAAAGCAGAGACACAGAAGGAUAAUAGACAAACGAAAACAAAACCUCUCAAGUUAAAUAAGGUAAGUGUAAAAUGAGAUGGCCCCACUACAAAUUAAUUAACCUCUCACGUUAUAAAAAGAGAAAAAAACAAAAAUAGCACUAAAUCAAGUUUAUGUUCCCAAACUAGCACUCAAGGUCAAAAGUCACAAAAAUAGCACUUAAUGUUUUAUCAAAAGUCACAAACUUAGGGUUUAGAGUUAAAGAGUGGGGUUUAAGAUUUAGGGUUUAGGGUUUAGGGUUUAGAGUUUAGGGUUUAGGGUUUAGAUUUUAGGGUUUAGGGUUUAGGGUUUAGAGUUUAGGGUUUAGAGUUGAGAAAUGAGGUUUUGGGGAUAAAAUUUCAAAUUUUGAAAAAUAAAAAAAUUAAAAUUUUCAAGGGAUAAACUUAGAAAUGUGCUAUUUUGGUCAUUUUAGUUUUUGAGUGUUAUUUUUGUGAUAUAAACUGCUAUUUUGGAGAUUCGCCAUUAUAAGAAACACAUAUAAUUUAACUCGACGCUCCUAAUUGGGCCCAAGGCCCGCAGAAAUUAAUCAGGAGUCAUCGAAUUAAUUUUAAAUUCCCGUUAAUUAGUUAACUAAUUAAAACCUCUAUCCUUCGGACAAGAAGAGAAGAACCGUUGUACUUUUGCAAGCAUUACUCAACGGCUAUUCCCUCCUCUAAUCAUCUCUUCUCCCACCUUUCUCCUUCUUCCUCUUUCUCAUCAAUUCGAUUGCAAUGGAGGGGAGAACCGGCCAAUCAACACCGGCGAUAACUGCGCCGGUCCCGGCUCCGGUUCCUCCGCCUUCUACACGGCGUCCUAGGGUGAGAGAAGUGAGCUCCAGAUUCAUGUCUCCCGUUGCUUCUUCAUCUUCCUCAGGAUAUCUCCAUCUACCGACUUCAAACUCUCCCAGACAUAAUCAACGAUCCAUUUCAACUCAGAAGUCUCAAGGAGAUAUAAAGAGACAGAAGAAGGUUUUAGGACAACAAGCGGACGCACAUUCUUUGAAACUGCUUCGUAACCGCUACUUGCAAUGGAGAUUCGCAAACGCAAAUGCUGACGUCAGAAAACAAGCUCAUAAAGCAGAAGCCGAGGUAUGUAUGUAUGACUCUUAACAUUAACAUUCUGAACGAACUAGCAAUAGUCUCUAACUUCAAUGGUGAACUAACUUUUUUUUUUUUUUUUUUGCAGAGAAUGUUUUAUUCACUUGGUUUGAAAAUGUCAGAGCUCUCUCAUUGUGUACGUAAGAAACGCAUAGAGCUACAAGGACUAAUGAGAGUAAAAGCUAUUAAGGAGAUUGUGGAGCCUCAAGUAAGUCAGAUUUGAAAAACAUGUAAUUAGUAGUAGCAGUUGGUGGACUAACCUCUUUAUAACUCUAAUGCAGAUGCCUUUAUUGGAGCAAUGGACAACUCUUGAAGAAGAAUACUCAACUUCACUAUCGGAAACAUCUGGAGCUUUAUUGAAUGCUUCAUUGCGGCUCCCUCUAGAUGCUGAUAUCAAGGUUUAUAUUGUUCGGAUUAACAUUGUUCCCUUUUGUGUAUCUUUUGCAUUAAUCACUUUCGAUUCUCAAUAUCAGGUUGAGACGAAAGAGUUAGAAGAAGUACUUGCGGUUGCUUCAAAGUCCAUGGAAGGCAUUGUGCAAAACAUUGGACAGUUUUUGCCUAAGGUAUGCUAUAAGUGUUGGCUUCACAAAGAACAUGGAUAAGCAUGUACUUAAAUAAACACAUGUUGAAACUGAAACAACUUCUUUGAUGCAUUUUGCAGACACAAGAGAUUGAGAGUUUGUUGUCGGAACUAGCGAGAGUAAGCAGCAGAGAAAAAGUAGCAGCAGAAGACUGUGGAGUUGCACUGCUUAAGACACAUUCAUCACAUGUAUGAACCGAACCUCUAAACAUAGAAUUUGAUAUAAUCAUUUGUUUCGUUUCAGUUGUUGAAAUCUAAAAUGUCUUAAUUUUUCUGCAGGUUGAAGAUUGCUAUCUUAGAAGUCAGCUUAUACAGCAGCACCACAAGCAGUGCGUAUAAUAAAUGAAUUUGAAGCUCCCUUGCAUAAUAAAUGUAUCACACAAAAGAGUAUAAUAAAAGGUUUUGGUAAAGUCACUGUAUUGAAGGAAGCUGAUGAAACUGACGCUGUGGAAGCUAAUAAGAACAAAGGCAAUGCUUUCCGCCGCUGAUGAUAGCAAAUGUUGUUACAACACAACAAUGUUUUGUAUUAUGAAAUGUAAAAUUAUAUGUCAAAGAAAACAGAUUUGUUACAUGUUUCUGAUCCCAGGAUACGUUUGAGAGCAUCAGAUUCAUAAGCAUGAAAAGUUAUUUGAUCUUUGGAAAUCUGAGGCCUGAUAAUCUUUAGGCCCAUAAAGUAGCCCAUUUUAAGUGGUGACUCCAGUGGACUGGUGGUGUGUAAUAAUAAUUAGUGGGGCGUUGAAAUGUGAUAUUGAGUCAAUCCCAUACCCGUGACAUGUAGUUGAGCAUAACACUCCAAAAUUCUACUUUGGCACUUUUAAAGAAACCACGAGAUGAAGCCAACUCUUUCUUUUGUCGUUUUGAAUAUUGAAUUUUUUGUUUUUUGUCAAUCCUUUCAAGUAAGAAAAAGGUUUUACUCGAGAUAUUAUAUUUAAUGUAACUAGCUAACUGAACUUGACCUAUGUUUGUAGCUGUUUUAAUUAAGGUCGUUGGUAUGUUAUAAUUUGGAAAUGACUUAGAGACAUGAUUAUAGACCCAGUUGUUAGACUUUAUGAUUGACCCAUUGUAGAAUCAUCACCGACAUCCAUCAACUCUCCUCUGCGUUUAACUCAAUCUCCUUCACGUUUCUGCCACGAACUCAGAACCAGGAAGCCGACGAGUUAGCUAAAAGAACUCUCCGUUUAUCUUUACUUUUAGUUUGUAAUGGCCUCCUAGUGGGCUAAACUGCCGUUUUAUUAAGUUUAAUGAAAUCCUUAGUUGAACAAAAAAAAUGAUUGACCCAUUGUACUUAUCUUAUGGUUAUGUCUAGCUAUAGUAAGCAAUAAAGCUAGCAGGUGUUAUGUACAAAAAAUAAAAUAAAGCAGAUGUUGUUACAAGCAUACAAUGUUUGAUUUGUGUUACAAAAAAAUGUUUAAUUUGUGUUUGUAUGUAACAAUUUUGUUUGAAUGCGAGCUAGAAUGUAUCUGAUGUCAGCAUUCCUGGAUAUCUUGAUAUUAAAUGAUGAAAGUUUGAAUAUAAACGGGGAACUAAAGACGAAGGAAAAUCAUAAAUAAAUAAAUCAUUUAAUGAAAUAGGAAAUAUAGCCUUUUUUCAAAAAAAAAAUAAAAAUAUGAAAUAUAGCAUCUAUUUACCACCUAUUUUCCCCUACAAUACCAUGAUAGAAAAUUGAAACUGGAUUUCAUUUGGAAAAUGGAGAAAAUACCUUUCUAUAGUGGAGACGGAAAUCCUUGAACAUCAUCAACUAACAUUUUUUAUUGGUUCAAUUUUUAUUGGUUCUUGCUAAUAAUAACAAACGGUUUUAAUACGGCAGAGAGAUGCAAUUUGCACAUAAUUUUCAGAAAUAUAUUGUGGCAAUGAACAUAAAAUCUUCAUAUUUCAAGAAAAAUGAAAAAAAUAAUUUGAUGAUUUUUUUAUAAAAAGAAGAAUUGUACGAAUUCAGAAUCGAAAUAGAAAAUUAUGAAGAUUUGGCCAAUAAGAAAUUAAUGGCAUAGGACAUGAGUAGGCUUUAAAGAAAGAAAUACAAAAUGGGAAAAUGGAGAUGUAACAGAAUGGAAAAGGAAAGAUGUGGAGUUGAUUGAGACUUGAGACCAAGUAUUGUCAUUUUUCCUUCUAAUUAUAUUUUGUUGAUCAAAACCUUCUAAUUAUAUUAACCGACAAUUCAUGGCUUUAUUUUUGAAUUUUACACUGUUUUCACAUUGUGGGUGCUCUCACUCCCACCCAAUCAUAAAUAAAUACUUUUUAAAUAGUGAUGAUAAGGUAGUGGAGCAAUGCUCAAAUAGUUGACUCAGUAAUUUAAAAAUUACUAUCUACACAUGUUUUUUUUAUCAAUACUGUAUCUGUAUGUUUAAGGUUUGAAUCAGUACUGCAAAGUGUGCAUUUAUGAUAACCGGAUUGUUUAUGUAACACUCGAUUGGACUGGCUCUAUCAUAAAUAAUGCAAAAUAUUUAUGUAAUGAGAAAUUAUAUAAAAAUUGUAAUUAUAAGAAAUUUAGAAUUGAUAAUUAUGCUAUUACAAGAAAUUGAUCUGUGUUAAUCUUAAUAUGCAUCAUUAGGCAAUGAAAAACUAAAAGGAAGAUGUAAACAUUUGCAUUUGAUCCUUCCAUGAUUGACAUAGUAUGUCAUUUUAGGUUUGAUUUACUAUGAGUGAGUCUAAACUAGAAGAGAUUAAUACUCAUUUCUCUCCAGAUCAAAUUUGAAAAUCCCGAUAAAACCUUAAGGCUUCAGAACAGUGGGAAUGUUCCAAUUCAGCCCUCUAGAAAGCUGACAGUAAAAAAAACAAGAUAAUAUUUUUGAAAAUAAAAUAAAAAUCUAAACCUUCGAAUUAUUCCAGAAAAAAAGAUCCUGACAAGAAAAAAUAAAAAUUUAAAACAGAUGAAAAGACAGUAACCAAUCUUACGCAAAAGAAUCCAAGUUUUUUCACUUGUGUCUGUUUUUUUUUUAAAAAAACGUACGGUCCUUUAAUGAAAGGUUUAGCCAAAAGAGUUAUUAACUUCCCAGAAGAACCUCUCAUCUUCUCUCUUCUCCAAAACACUUUCUCUUUCUGUGUUUCUUUCUUUCUUUAACCAUGGCCGUUAAUUUCAAAAGGGUCAGCUUCUUGCUUGCUCUGGUAAUGACGGUGGCGGCUAUCCUCACUCCUUCAGUCAUCUCCGGCGAAAAUGGGUUCUCGGAUCUUCAAAUCCAUAAACACUUGAAACGACUCAACAAGCCACCACUCAAAUCUAUAAAGGUAAAAGAAAAUUCACAGAGAUUAUUGGAUAAAGUUUCAAUAAAUUUCACAUUAAUUUAUGGUUUCAAACAGAGCCCAGAUGGAGAUGUGAUUGACUGUGUCCCAAUCACCGACCAACCAGCUUUAGCCCAUCCUCUGCUGAUCAACCACACUGUCCAGGUUUAGAAACUGUUCUGUUCUUCUUCUUUCAGUUCGAACAGACUCUGUUUUUGUUCUGUUCUGACACUGUUAAUGGGCUUUGUUUUGUAGAUGAGGCCAAGUUUCAACCCAGAGAGUGUCUUUAGUGAGAGUAAAGUUUCGUCCGAGUCUAAUGAUAUAACUCAGCUAUGGCAUGUGAAUGGGAAAUGCCCUGAGGACACAGUUCCCAUCAGAAGAACGAGGAAGCAAGAUCUUUACCGAGCGAGUUCCGUCGAGAAGUUCGGUAUGAAGAGCCAGAAGAGUAUUCCUAAGCCUAAAUCUUAUGAGCCAGCUAGUGUCCUCACACAAAAUGGUCAUCAGGUAAUAAUGUUUCAUUGUCAUGUUUUUGUUGUUGUGUGUUUAUUAACAAGGUUUCUUAUCUCUUUGGAUUUGAUGUAGCACGCGAUAAUGUAUGUCGAAGAUGGGGUUUUCUACGGGGCGAAAGCGAAGAUUAAUGUAUGGAAUCCGGAUGUGGAGAUGCCUAAUGAGUUUAGCUUGGCUCAGAUUUGGGUUUUGGGUGGAAACUUUAACUCUGAUCUUAAUAGUAUUGAAGCUGGCUGGCAGGUGAAUCUUAUCUUCUUGAAAAGGACUUCUUGUUAAUAGAGAAAGACUGUUUCUAACUCAGAGAAUUGUGUGUGUGUGUUUUCAGGUCAGUCCACAGUUGUAUGGUGAUACUCGCACCAGGCUCUUCACUUAUUGGACUGUAAGUUUCUACAGAUUUCGUUUUUUUUUUUAUAUAUAUAUUCUUGUGUGUGUUUUAGUUUAUCUAAGUAUCAUUAUUUUUGUUUCUCUUGUGAAAAAAACAGAGUGAUGCAUACCAAGGCACUGGCUGCUAUAACCUUCUGUGCUCAGGGUUUGUUCAAAUCAACAGGGAGAUUGCAAUGGGUGGUUCAAUCUCACCUCUAUCUGGCUAUGGGAACUCUCAGUAUGACAUUACCAUACUUAUCUGGAAGGUAAACCAACAGCAAGAAUCCAAACUUGUUUCCAACCUUUAAAUCUUUGAAAGCUUAGAUGCUUUUAGUUAGCUCCCUACAAACAAGAAUAAAAUAACUUGGUUAAAACUAAUAUAAAAGUAUACAUUGUACAACUAAAUUUAUUUCUAUAUGUAGCCUAAUGAUGUCAAUAAAAAUAUGUAGGCUAAUGAAAAAUAUGGUUUUAGUGAUGUUGUCGGUUUGUUUAGCAUAAAACUAUUUCUACCAACCGGUUUUGGUUUAGCUUCGGUUUGGUUUUUCUCAGGAUCCAAAAGAAGGACAUUGGUGGCUACAAUUUGGAGAGAAGUACAUAAUAGGAUACUGGCCAGCUUCACUCUUCUCUUACUUAUCAGAAAGUGCAUCGAUGAUCGAAUGGGGAGGUGAAGUGGUGAACUCACAGUCUGAGGAAGGAAAACACACCACCACUCAGAUGGGAAGUGGUCGGUUUGCAGAGGAAGGUUGGGGCAAAGCUAGUUACUUCAAGAACGUUCAAGUAGUCGAUGGGUCGAACGAACUGAGGAACCCUGAGAAUCUUCAAGUCUUUACUGAUCAAGAAAAUUGUUACAAUGUGAAGAGUGGUGAUGGAGGUUCUUGGGGAAGUCACUUCUACUAUGGUGGUCCUGGUAGAAACUCUAAUUGCCCUUAAAGAUCUGUCUACUUACUUGCAUAGCAGGAUCAGUCCAGAUUUAAUCAUCAAUUGUAUAAAACAUAUAUAUUAUAUACGCAUUCUUAAGUAUAUUGGUUUUAGUUUGCAAUGAGUGUGUCUUUGUUUCUAUGGAGUGAAGAGAAUAUAAAAUGUCUUUAAAGAACAUGGUCCCAUGUGUAUACUGGAAUAUAUAUAUAAUCACAUUAGUUACUCGUCUUUGUUUUCAGGUGACCUGUGUUAUAAUUGCUUUGUCUAUGUAUAACAAAACAUAGAGAUGGGACUUUUGGAUCUUCCAUUAUAAUUAUUGGUCAAACUUCAUUAGUGUAGUGUAAUAAAUAAAUGUAUUGUUUCAUAAUUGAGUUGUCACUAAUACUCAUCCAAAAACUAUAUUGGUUCAUAAUGUAGUUGUCACUAAUGUGUUGCCGUUUGUCUUGUGAGUUGUGACUGACACUAUCGCUUAAUUUCUUUUGGAGCGAAUUUAGUAUGUGGUAAUGCGGGCGAGGUUUGACUUCAUUUCCGGUCUCUCUUUUGUGCUUAUUUAGAAACAAAAUAUCUUCUAACACAGUUAUUAAUUCGAUGUCAUAUGUAAAAAUAGAAUCAUUCUAAUAAUUUAAUUUUUAUUAGAACAAAUUUUCUGUCAAAAAAAAGAAUAAAUUAAUUUAAAUUCUAAUAAUUUUAUUUGAUUGGUUGACUCAUAUUCCUUUGUGCGCGUUGAGAUGAACAAGUUUUCUGUUAAAAAGAAGAAUAAAUGAUGAUCAUCUCUUUUUUUGUUAAAACAUAAACGUUAUGAUUUUUCUAGGUGGAUUUAAGUUGGACAUCCUAUUCGAUAUGUUAUAUUUUCUAAUCUUAAUAAAUAUUUAUGUUAUUAAAUUAAUUAUGAUAACAAUUUAUUAGAUAUGUUCAUAAUUUUAGAAAGAAUCUCACCUAAUUUUGAGAAAACAAAUCAGAAAAUAUCUUAUCAUUAAAAUUGUAUUUUUUGGAAAAAUAUUAAAUGUACCAGAUUUUAUAACAAUAUUUGGAGAUGUACUUUACAUUUAAACAGAAAAUACAUUAACUUGAAAGGUAUAUUCAAUUACUUAAUCUUAAUUAUAUGUAUUCUAUAUUUUUGUAAACAGAUUUAUAUAAUUUUAGCAUCUAAAUAUAUACCGAAUACACUAUAAAAUAUAUGAACAUAAUUACACUUAACUUACGUGAUCUAAAAUCCCCCAACUCAAAAUUUUAAUUUUUUCUUAUAAUCAUCUGAUAAAAUUUAGAAAUAUUAUAUUCCGCCCAUUUGCGUGGAUUCGAAUCUAGUUAUUAAUUAAACAUGAUUUAAAAAAUAAUCAUAUGGAGACAUUCCAUGGCAUAUAUGGUAUUGUGUUUUCAACCACUAAGAAUACUACCAUAUGAUGAUAAAGGUUUCAAAUCACUACUAGUUUCAGAAAACUAUCAUAAAAUGAUAAUAUCUUUAAGCACAAUUUCAGAAAAACCUAUCACAUAAUUUGCUAGUGGUUAUGAUAGUAACACAGUGGGCCAUGACUUAAGUUUUGCAUUAUUCUCAGCGAAAAUGUAUUUAUUUCUUAAUUUGUUAAAUUACAGUACUCUUAUAAAUCACAAUCUCCUAAAGGUUUCCAAUCACUACUAAUUUCAGAAAAAAAAAUCAUAGGAUGAUAAGAUCUUUAAGCACUAUUUUCGGAAAAACCUUUGUUAGUGGUUAUGAUAGUAACACAAUGGGCCAUGACUUAAGUUUUGCAUCAUUCUUAGAGAUUUUUAUUUUAUUUCUUAAUUUGUUAAAUUACAGUACUCUUAAUUAUGAUCUUAUUAUGUUUAAGUCAUGGGUCAAUGUUUAGUGAUUUACUUACUUUUUCUUACUGUAGCCACUGACAAUUGACAAACCUAUUACAAGAUGAUAAGGUCUUUAAGCAUUAAUUCUCUUAAUUAAUAGAAAAUGUGAGCAAUCUCUACUCCUCUAUAUAAAUUCGAAAGAGUUGUUGAUUAAAAAGUGAAAAACGACUUACUAUCUAAAAGCUUUGCUAAGGAAUAUCAUUAUCCAUAUAAUAUGGGAAUGGCCGGUUUUGCGGUAGCUCUCACAGUGAUAACGACAAUAAUCUCUCCUUGUGUCUAUGGAAAGGAGUUUUCUGAUCAUCCGGAUGUCAAAGUACAAAGACGUUUAAAGCAGCUCAACAUACCUGCUCUUAAAUCAAUUAAGGUAAUUUGUACACAUAUUUUUUUUUAAUUUGUUUUGGUGUUGUCCUGAGCAAUGAUAAAUAGAUUUGAUGUUGGGGUUUCCAAACACAUGAUAAAAAUAUACUAUACACUUGUUUAAAGCUAAUCUAAUACAUGUUUACUAUUAAGUGUUAAAAAAAAAAGUUUAUGUUAAUUCUUAUUAUGUUCCAAAUAUACUAUUUUUGUGAUUUUGUUAUAUGGAAAAUGUAUGUUUAAUUACUGUGUAAGAAACUACAAAUGUGGCUUGUUCUCGAACUAUUAGUCUAUACUAAUAAAAAUAUGUAGAAGAUCAGUAAAGAUACAAAAUGAUAUGAUUACUCAACACUAUUUUUCAGUCAGUAAUAUACUAUAUGUUAUAUGGAAAAUAUUAAGAUCUUUUAAUUUGAUAUGAAAAAACUGUAUUUGAUAUAACUAAUCAAUUUUAGAUUUUAUAUAUAAAACAUGAAGCUAAUAAGUGCAUGACAUGAAAUGUAAAUUUUUACAUAAUAAUCAACGAUUAGUUUCUAAAUAUGCUAUGAUAUAUAAAGAAAUCCAUUUGCAUCAUCACUCCACCCUUUGGCUAAUUAAUAUUUUCUUACAGAGUGAAGAUGGAGAUAUAAUAGAUUGUGUUCCGAUAACUCUUCAGCCAGCUUUUGAUCAUCCUCUGCUUAAAACCCACACCAUCCAGGUUUGCCUUUAUUUUCGAUCUCUCUAUGUUUAAAGAUGCAUAUAUGAUCAUAUGCUGAACUGGAUGUUUUUGCAUGUAGAUGAGGCCGAGUUUUAUCCCGAAAGUUAAUUCUACGUACACCAAGAAAGAGCCAAAGGCUAUAACUCAGAUAUGGCUCAAGAACGGAGAGUGUCCAGAAAACACUGUUGCUAUAAGAAGAACAGAGAAAGAGGAUAUCUUACGAGGAAAAUCCAUUGAGAGUUUCGGGAAAAAGAUUCAUGAUCAAAGCAACGCUGGAGGCCAUGAGGUACAGUGUUUACGCAUUUUCCUUUUUGUUAUUUAUUCAAUUGUGGCAUGUUUUUAAGUGGAACACAAGAAUAUUUAAAUUUUAAAAGUUAUCAAAAUUUGUAUGAUAUUUGUCAUUAAACACAAAUAAAAAUAUAAUUACGUUUUUUUUUGUGAAACGUGAGUGUCUUUACUGUUUUAAAUCGUUUUUAAUAUCUUUAAUUAUGAUAUCCGAAUUAUAUGGAGAAUACUAUUGUUAUAUUAAUUUUUAUUAUAUGUCAAACAAAUAUACUAACUAGGAAAGUAUUGCAACAUGUAGCAUGAUCAAUUUCUAUUUAUGUGUAUAUUACAUAAUAUUUUAAUUGUUGAAUACUCAUUAUUAUGUGUAUGCUUAUGAUCUCAAUAAUAAUGAUUUUAAUACUCUUAUUUUUAACGUUUGUCUUGGUGAUAUAUAUUGAGAAAAAAAUAUAAAUACCAUAAUUAUAGAUUUCAAUAUAAUAAAUCUAAAUAGCAUCAAACAUAUCAGUACAAAAAUUACAAUCUACACGUUUAGAGUUACAUAAUUUUCGAAUAAUAAGCUGCACAUUUUUUUUAACGCUGAUUUAUUAUGAUCUUACAACUACGAUAUGAGAAAGAUUACAUAGACGAUUCGACAACCGACAAUACUACCUGCCUUAUGAAGACCUACGCCUAACUGCAUCACCUGAGCCGUCCUAUGAAGAUCCACGCCUGGCCAGAUUUACUUGCACCAUGUUGAAGAUACCUUGUAAGCAUUUUUUCUGUAGUCUGCAUAAUUGUUUAAUAAACUGCUUUCUCCGAAACUUGAAACCUGGAUUUCCUGUAAUCUGCAAUAAAUUGCAUAGUCUGAGAUUCGAACUUCAGACCUGGGUGUAGAAGUUUUUAAACUUUAACCAAUAAAUAAGCUGCACGUUGGAUCUUUGAUUCAUGCUUGAAUACUUAAAUAGAGGAGAAAAAUACAAAUCUUUAACAAGAUUUGUUUUUAAACGUUUAAGAGCUUUCUAGUUUUGAAUUAACACUUCUCCCUUUUUUGGACCCGGCCGGUUUAGGUCGCACUCAUGAAUUCGCUUGGAAAUUAUUACGGGACACAGUUUGUAAUGAAUAUUUGGAGACCAGAAGUUGAAGUUCCCAACGAGUGUAGCUUGGCUCAGACUUGGCUUGGGUCUGGAUAUGACUAUGAACUUAGCACAAUUGAAGUUGGUUUGCAGAGGUAUUUAUACUUCUUUGGUCGUCAAUCCGAAACUACAUCGUCUCAUAUGCAAUUUUUUUUAAUUAACACUACAUUUGUUUUCCUUGAUUUAUAGGUCUAUCCAGGAAAAUAUGGUGAUAACAAAGUUAGAUUAUUUGUUUACUGGACGGUAAGCUCCCUUUUUUUAAAAUAAAUUUAUGUGCAACCCUAAACAUAUUCACUAGUUUUGGAUUCUGAUCAUAAUAUGCAAUUUUGUUUUUAAGCAACCUGUCCAAGCAACAAUACGAAACACACAUAUUACCACUGUGAUCUGAUCAAAAGUAGGAAUAGAAUAGAUACAGAUUGUGUUGUUUGUUUUUUCUUCUUGUCCCUGCGUUAUUUUUAAGUUUUUAAUUGAAUAUUAAAGAAGCUAACAUCUUUGAAAUAAUUUUGGAAAUAGAGCGAUGGGUACGGAGCCACAGGAUGCUACAACACUGACUGCUCAGGUUUUGUUCAGAGGAGCAAACGGGUAACUGUAGGUGGAUCCUACUGUGAGGUCUCACAAUACGACGGAGCUCAACACGAGCUCCCCAUACUUGUUUGGAAGGUACUACUCACAUAGUUUUUCUUUCUUUUUUUUUUGAUCGAACAAGCACUUAUAUUAAAACGGAAUCAAGCUACUCAGUUGCAAGUACAGAGGAAUGAAGAGAAUACAAUCACAGUUUGCUAAACACGGAAUAAAACAAUACAAGAUAGAUUCGAAAGAGAGCGCCAAGAUUCUGAUAUCAUGGAGAACACCUUUCAAGACAACAUCUUCGUCUUGAGACUUAAGGAACGUGAUGAGAGCCUUAGAGUCAGAGUAAACAUGGAGACUACUGACAUGUGAAGAUAGAGCUGCAAUCAUAGCAGCCUUAACCGCCAAAGCCUCAGCCACUAGGGCUGAAGGAACAAAGCGCCGGUGAGAGGAGGAGCUUUCUGCAACAGUCUUCGUGGCGUCACGAAGUUGCCAACCCAGCCCGCAGUUGCCCGUUGAUGAAUCCCAAGCUGCAUCCGAAAAGGAGGACCACGUAAAUGAGUUAGCAACUGGUAUAUUAUGCGACGGGACCACAAUGUGUGGUAAGGAGACUUUUUCAACAAGGCACUGGGCAGUUUUCCACGCCCUAGCGUCCUGAAUUGCCUUCAAUAUAGAGGCCUCUUCCGAGAAGAGUUUGUUAUCAAACAAAAACUUGUUUCGACUUGUCCACAGGAUCCAAAGGAUCCAAGGGUACAGAGGAGUACUGCCUAGUCCCAAUGGAGGAAGGGAGACCAUCCUACGACAGGUUUGGAGAAGUUCCGAGAUCGAGUUGAUUUUUAGUCCUUUUGAAGAAAAUAUUUUAAGCGGGGACAUAUAUAUAUACAUGUCUAUAUCUUAAAAUAUAGAAAUAUAUUAUCUUAUAAUUACAUUUACUUUAUGAAUAUAUUAUAUCUCAAACAAUAUAUAUCAUUUAGUUUUUAUUAUCCUUUAUGAUGUAUUCUCGUAAAAAUAUUCAUAAAAAUGUAUAGAAGUGUGGUUUCUUAUAAAAAUUACAAAAAUAAUAUAUGAAUAUAUAAUAAUAUAAUAUUAUUUGUUUUUAAACGUAAGAAAUUUACAUAUACAAAUUAUCAAAACUUUCUCAUUUAAUAAACUUUUGAGUAAGCUUUUCAAGUUUUUUAAAAACCAAAACAAAAUUAUACUAUUAUUGAUUUUAUUGUUAUUUGUUGGAAAGCUCUAUGUGAAACUUGUAUUGAUGUUGCUCAUACACUUAAUAAAUCUAGCAUGUACAUAAUACAUGUAACCCUGAUUGACACAAAUAUCUUAUAUAUAAGAUAGUAUUAAAUUUGAGUUUAUCAUGAGCUAUACUUUUAAAUCAAUUAGCUAUAACUAGAUUGACACAAAUAUCUUAUAUAUAUAUAUAAGUUUUUCCUUUUUAAAUUUGCAAUAUGGGAUCUAAGCAUAUAUCUGCAUCUAAACUAAACCCAAAAUGGAUUGUCUAUUACUUAGGACUGUGGAAACUGGUGGCUUAGGGUCGGUGAAGAGCUUGUUGGGUACUGGCCUGGCUCGUUGUUUACUUCUCUGAAAGAUAAAGCUGAGGAAGUUUAUUGGGGCGGUGGAAUCGCAAACGAAAUGACCGGCGGGAGACACACAACCACCACUAUGGGAAGUGGGCACUUCGCAGGGGAAUGGUAUAAGAAAGCGAGCUAUUUCAGGAAAGUUAUGACAGUUGAUGGAGCCAAUACUCUGAGAGAAGCAGAAAAUCUUCAUCCUACUACUGAUAAUGAUAACUGCUACAGCGUUAAAGAAGGACAAAGUGGAAGUUCUUAUUGGGGGACUCAUUUCUUCUAUGGUGGUCCUGGUCGAAACGCUAAGUGCCCUUGAUAUCUGGAUAUGUGUGUGUGUGUGUCAAAGCUUAAGUAUGUCGGGAUGUGUAAUUUAAAAUAAGAACAUGUGAUAGUCAUGACAUGAAAAGAAAAAUUCACAGUCAUGGUAGUUAGAUCCUUGAUAUUAUGUGUAUGUAAAAGCUUUUUUAGGUCUCAAAAGUCUGUAAUUUGAAUAAUAAUAUGUAUGAAUGUCAAAAAAGAAUAUGAUAAGAAUAUGCAUGUUUGAUCUGGUCGUAAGGUUUUUGUACAUGAUCGUGUUUGGGCUAGCAACAUUUAUAUUUGUUCGGAACUUCAAUUUUAUAGAUUUCUCUUAACAUUUUUCACCAAUUUUUUUAAAAUAGAUUUCUGAAUAUCAUUUGAUGCAUUGGACCAACUGGCGGUAACAAGGUCAUGAUGCUUUCAGUUUUAUGGAGUUCGCUUUUUCGUGGAUUUGGGUUUUUGAUUUUGUAAACAAACAAAGUUUUUUUUUUGAAAAUUUUCCUUUAAUAUUCUACUAGAUGAAUCUUCCAACAAUGUUAACAUAAAAUAUCGUUACAUAAAAAAAAUGAUAUCGUUACAUAUAUUUUAUAUGAUUCAUGUACCUAUAUUUUUGUAUGAAAUUCUAUAUACAUGUAAUGACAUUUCUACUCUGAAAAUGUUCGUGGCAUCUUUUUCCAUGAUUGAAUUUGUAUGGUAUAGAGUUCUAAAGAUGUGUAGGUUAUUGAAGACCGUUUCGGAGACCGUUUCCUAACUACAAACAUCUUACAAAUGAUUUUGUAUUGGAAAUUAAGUAUAUAUAUAUAUAUUAAAAUCAUAUUAGUUUUAUAUAUUUUUAACAAGUACCACGUUUUUUUUGCUAUUGGAUAAACUGUAACAAGUCGUUGUCCCUUGUCAUCAAAAUUUCAAGUAUUCCCUUGCACGAUAUGUAAACUGCAGAAAAAAAGAAAAGAGAAGGAUAUAAUAAACAUGUAUAUUUUGAAUAAAACCUUGCACGACAGCUUCAGUUAGAUCGAUAAGCAUUGACUUCUACGUCUACGUUUGCGUUUUUUCUCAUUAACAAUGAAGAAUAUGCUUUACACUUAUUCCCUUUGGCAUUUAACUUCUCUUGCUUAUGUUAUAUAUUCUUGACGAGUCUUUAAAAACAUCAAGAUACUGAAAAUAUAUAUAACCCAUGAUUUCAAGUUUCUACUGUUAGACCAUUUCAAAUCAAUCUCCCCAUCUCAAAAUGGGAAACUGUCUUUCAAUCACGGAUCCUUCUCCCGAAGCUGUAUCAGAGAAGAUUCUCAAAGCACUUCCCGUGGAAACUCCUUUCAAGUUUCCCUCACCACUGCCUACUUUGCCUCAAGGUUUGUACUAUAUAUGGUUCUUGUUCAUCUCUUGUGAGAAUAUAAAACUUCUAGGGAGUUUCAAGGAAACAUGAAUAAUAUAAAAGACUUGGAUCAGUCAACUUAUCGCAAUUGGUUUUAAAUUAAAAAUUCGUAAAACUUAACAUUUAUUGGUUUGAUGAUUUUUAUUUGACUUGAAUCUUCAGGUAACGGGUUUGCGAAACGAACCAUUGACUUGGGAGGUCUUGAGGUUAGCCAAGUUUCGACAUUCAACAAGGUCUGGUCCACUUAUGAAGGUGGACCAGACAACCUCGGAGCAACCUUCUUUGAACCAUCAUCGGUCCCUUCCGGUUUCUCCAUCCUCGGUUACUACGCUCAACCAAACAACCAUCAACUAUUCGGAUGGGUACUCACAGCUAGGGAUCUCUCAAGCAACACCUUGAAAUCGCCUCUAGAUUACACCCUCGUAGCAAACACCGAGUCACUCAAGAUCAAACAAGACGGACCUGGAUACAUCUGGCAGCCCGUGCCGCCUGAUGGAUACCAAGCCGUUGGUUUAUUAGUCACAACCACCUCUCAAAAGCCUCCUCUAGACAAACUGCGUUGUGUUAGGUCAGACUUAACCGAACAGUGUGAAGCUGACACAUGGAUAUGGGGAACAAACGGAGGCAACGUCUCAAACCUAAGACCGAACAUUAGAGGGACACAAGCUACAGGAGUCUGUGUCGGAACAUUCACAUGGCAACCUCAAAACUCAUCUCCUCCAUCUUUAUCUUGCUUGAAGAACACGAAACUAAACUUCUCUACCAUGCCAAACGGGUCCCAAAUCGGAGUCUUGUUCAACACGUAUUCUCCAUUGAUCUAUCUCCACCCAGACGAAGAAUACCUACCUUCCUCUGUUAACUGGUACUUCAGCAACGGUGCCUUGCUUUACAAGCAAGGUCAAGAAUCAAACCCUAACCCUAUCGAAUCCAACGGAACAAACCUUCCACAAGGCGGAUCUAACGACGGUUCAUACUGGCUAGACCUGCCUAUAGACAAGAAGGCCAAAGAGAGAGUUAAGAAAGGUGACUUGCAGAACACGAAAGCGUAUCUCCACAUCAAACCAAUGCUCGGAGCAACGUUCACCGACAUAGCAAUCUGGCUAUUCUACCCUUUCAAUGGUCCCGCACGUGCGAAAGUCAAGUUCAUCAACCUACCGUUAGGGAGGAUCGGCGAACACAUCGGUGACUGGGAACACGUGACGUUACGUAUAAGCAACUUCACCGGAGAGCUAUGGAGAGUGUUCUUGUCUCAGCACAGCGGAGGAGUUUGGCUCGACGCUUGUGACCUAGAGUUCCAAGGAGGAGGAAGCAACAAGCCUGUGGCUUACGCGUCGCUUCACGGACACGCAAUGUAUGCUAAACCUGGACUAGUGUUGCAAGGAGACGACGAUGUUGGGAUAAGGAACGAUACGGCGAAGAGUAAGAAGGUGGUUGAUACGGGGUUAGGGUACGAGGUGGUUGCGGCGGAGUAUGAAGGCGGAGGAGUAGUGGAGCCGCCGUGGUUGAAUUAUUACAGGAAGUGGGGACCUAAGAUUGAUUAUAGCGUUGAUGAUGAUGUUAAGAGGGUGGCGAGGCUGUUGCCUGGGGCUUUGAAGAAGGCUUUUGUGAACUUUGCGAAGAAGAUUCCUGAUGAAGUGUAUGGUGAAGAUGGGCCUACUGGGCCUAAACUCAAGGGAAACUGGGCUGGUGAUGAGAAAUGAUUGAUUUUAUUAUUUACUUUUCAUGAAGCUGUUUGGUUUGAUUCUUUGUAAUCUUAUAUCGCAUUCUUGGUAUGUGUUCUAAUGUAAAAAAGUUAUCGCAUUUGGUUUAGAGUUGAUUACACUAAAGGACACUUUUUGACUUUCUAUUACACCUAAAAACACUUUUUACAUGUGACACACUUUAUUGUGCACCAGCGACAAAUUAUGGACAAUUUUGUCCUUAAUGGAAACGACACUUGUGGACACUCAAGUAAUAUGUGGAUGAGUGAUUUGUGGACGGGUGAUGCGUGGUUGGGUGAUUUGUGGACGGGUGAUGUGUGGAUGAAUGAUGAGUAAUAUGUGGACAUGCGAUGUUAAUGUGUUUAUAGUAGAUAACGUGGACAAACUCUCUGUUUGAUUCCAUAAAACUAUACAACAAUACGUGGACAUGAAUUCAUGUUACUAAAAUUAUACCACAAAACAUGGACAUAGACUCUGUUAUCAAAACCCUCACCAAAAGAAAUUUUUUUUGUCCAUAUCUAACUUCUUUGUUUUGAUACGACAAGUUGUGGACUGAUACAAAACCAAUACAUAUGUUUUUGAUACAAUUGGUUGUCACUGCAAAGAACUUCUAAGGGAUACCAUUGAUUUGCAUAGAAACUCCUCUAUUUUUUUUUUUAUUCUUCUCUCCCGUAUGGAUCUUCUGAGAUUCAUUACAAAAGAUAAUAUUGAAAUUUUCGUUUUACUAAAAAUCCCACUAACCAACUAUUUGAAUGGCUUUCUCCUUAGAUUUAGUACCACCACCAACGAGAGUGAAGCAGUGGGUUCGUCGUUUCCAACACGAGCACUUGGCUUAUUCAGCCCAAUUGAUAAAUUAUCUGUAAUUAAACUUCAAUCAAGAUGAGAAAGAGAUGAUAUUGUGAGUAUGAGCAGAGAGAAAAAUCGAAGAAGCGUUUACCUUCUGUCGGAGAGUAAUAGAUCUUGCAUGUAAGAGAUUUUCGAAUUAAGGGAUCUGCACUUCGUUAUGAUGUGGAUGGAUGCAAAUUUGAUUACAGUUGAAUUUAGAUCCCGAGAUGAUGAAUGAAAUCGAAAGAAUAUUGUCCAUGUCCACAACUAGUUUAUAAUUAAUUUAUAAUUCUGUUAAGGUAUACAUGUCCACAACUAAUUUAUAAUUCUGUUAUCCACGCUUUGGUGUCCACGUCCACAUUUAGUUUUGUUUACACAUUAAUAUUUUCAUAAUAUAUAUAUGAAAAUGGAUCUUAAAAGAUAGAGAAUUUUAUAUAUAGUUUAUAAUGACUGUUAUUUUUGUUUAAUAUAUUUUAAAAUUUGAGAUAAAAGUAAAUGAAAACAUAAAGUAGAAAAAAAAAUAAGAAGAUGAGAAAAAUUAUCUUUAGUUUAAGGUCAUAAGAAUUUUUUUGACAAAAGAAAGCGUGUCUCAAGUGAUAAGUGCGUUGUAGUGUAAUUGAAAUGUGAUAAAGUGUUUUAGAUGUAAAAAAUUCUUUGGUUUAUCUAUUUGUUUUAUGUUACACACUGUUUUCUCGAGCUCUGUUUCAUAAGUUGUAUAACAUACAAGGAUGCGAUAAAAUUUAGCUAUACAAACUUCUCCGAAUCAAAGAACUAAACUCAAUCCAAUAAUAUUGAAUAGUACUAUUUGAUUAUAAUGAAGCAGCAAUUACACUCUUGGAUUUGAAUCUGAGUAAUCGCUGACAUAACCCAGACGAUCUUCUCCUUAAGUCAUACGACUCAAUCCAAAUCCAUAAGUUAACUAACAAUGAAGAAAACAACAAGGAUUUAUACUUUCUAAACUAGAAAGACAUUAAAAAGACUCUAACUGAAACAGAGUGUUUAUUAUUUUAAUUAUUUCACCAAAGGGACUUUUUCCUUUCUGUUCACUCAAGUAGCAACGGUUGGCACAGAGGCUUUACUAUUGUGCCAUCAAGUUCCAUAAAAUACGUGACAACGACUCCAAUAAAAGAGCAUACAGCUGGGACAAGUCCUAAUCCAUAUCUUGUCACCGAAAAGUCAAAACUGUGUGUGCUGUUAACAACAACUUCUGGUGAAGUCCCGCCUGCACAAUACAUCCAAAUCACACGUCCAUCAACAAUUUUAUCCGAGUUGAUAUAAUAUUGGUACAUAAGAAGAAACUUACUUUUGUGUGACUGAAGAACAUAUAAAGCAAUGCCACAUGACAUUUUAUCUAAGAAACUUAAAGACCCACAAACGAAAGCACAUCCGCCAAGUACUGAACCAACCAACACACUCUGCAUACUAAUUGCCGUCACCUGUAAAAGAUUAAGAUUAAUCAAAAGAUAUUAUAUAGUUUCCUUAUAUCACAUGACGACAUCUGAGGUAGCAGAUGAAUAUGUCUUACCAGAAUCAAUGCAUUUGCUAUGCCUAUAAAGACAGAGACUGCAUACAUGAAAGAGUUUAUACUUCUUGGCAAAAAGAGGACCGAUACACCACAGAACAUCCAUAUAAUACCACCAGCACAAUAAUAAGCCUUGAGGCGUUUCCCAUUCCAAGGAAUCUCCUACAUUAAUGGGAAUAUAUAGUUACAUAACAUAAAGGUUUUAACAAUGUUUAAGAAAUCGCUAAACGGUAGUUAAACUCUUUAUAUGAGAUUAUUGAUUAUGUAGGUGUCUAAAUCGAUUUUUUGAACGCCUAAGCCUUUUUUUUUAAAUCGUUCUAGAAAAAUUGUUUUUUGUCCAAUUUUCCAGCUAGGCACCGCCUAAAUCGAUUUUUAGAACACUUGUUUUUAGAGAUGGUGAAGACGAAUAAGGUUUGAACUUCUUGUAUACCUGAAGCAUAACCGACACAACGAAGCUGCAGAUAUAGAUUAUUGCAGGAAUCUGAAAAUGAAAACAUUGGUUCAGACAAGUUCGAUGAUCAACAGAGAUUCUUCUUUCACUUACCAGAGCUUUAGCGGAUUGAGCCAUUUGCAAGUUAUCAAUAACAAAGAAUGCAAGAUAUGCCUGUGGAUAUAAAUGUAAUCCAGGAAUGUGAGUAUUAAUAUAGAUACAAGAGAAGCAAGAAAGUGAGAAACGAUACAUAAACUAACCUGUGAAACAUUCAAGACUAGUCGUGUGAGGAGAUAAACCAUAGCGACUUGAUAAUAUAGAAUCUUACGGAACCAAUAGGCCCAUGGUAUUCUUGCUCGGUUAGUUUCCCUUAGAGUUAUACGCAGCCUUUGAACAUAAAAAGAAGACAAACUCAUUUUCAAUAAUAAUAUCAUCUAACCAUGCAUGAAACUUUGGUUAAAGUUGAUUUAAGCAUUUUAGAGAAAUGUUUGCGUCACCGUGGUUCCUUUGUCCCCAUAAGAAAUACGACCACAAAGCAGCAGCCAACGGUAAUGCAUGAAUAAGCAAUCCAACGAUACUAUAGAUUUAAAGACAGACUAAUUAGAAUCAUAUCUACAGGCAUUAACUUUGACGUAUAUAGAUCCAAAGAGGGUCUAUAAAAACACAAACCUGUGAUUCAGUGUUUUCUUUUGUAUCAGCCUUGCUGACACCAAAUACAACUAAAGCAAUCGCGUAUAAGGCUAAAUUAGCAACCUGAAAACACACCGUCCAAGGAAAAGUCAAGAACUAAAAUAUAUAUAUAUAUAAGAGCCAUAAUAAGACUAUAGGGGAAAGAGCUGACCAUGCUAAACGCAUUACGGGAGCUUGUUAGUGCUACUCUGCUUGUUGAGUUCAGUGUAAUGUAAUUUACCAUAGCCCUAAAGAGUAAAGAUUAUGAAAAUGAAUACUUACUGAUGUUAACCUAAAGAGAAGAUAAAAUGAAGAAAAGAGAAGAGUGUUUUACAUGUGGGAAACCUGCGUAGCUGCCCAUCCUAUAUUGAAGAUAGCUGCAAACAUGCUGUACGAUAAUGUUUCUAGAGUUAAAGAGUUACUAUGGAGGAUAGUACAAGGCAAACACCCGCCAAAAACCGAUGAAAAUGAGAUAGCCACUAAUAGGGACCCUGCGGUAUGCCAGAUUUUGAAAUGCCCAAAUCUAUCAAUCUGCAUGUUAAGAAGACAGUGAUGUGACAAUAUUUACAUUAACUGAAACCAACAUAGCCUUAAAAUGACAUGAUACUAAGAGAACCUAAAUGUCUAAAAGGAGUUCUUGAACACAUUAUAGCAAUUACCAAUAAAGAGAUGUUUAGUGAGACCAAAGCAAACUCUCGCAACAAAGAAACUAAACCCAAAGUUUGUGUUAUUCAAAAGAUUCAAGCUUAUAAAGAAGUUACCAAUUCACCAACGAAGACAGUAGCAAAACCAUCAGCAACUUGACCAGAGAGCAUGACGAUGGCAGCAUCCCUACAGAACAAAAAAGCUUGAUUUGAUAAUCUUACAAGUAGGAAUGGAUUUUAUGUGAAGAGUUGACCUACAAACCUUGGGGAGAGACCAAUCUGAGUCAAGAACAGGAGAAGGUAAGUGAACCAACACGAAGCAGUAAUGUCAUUGAGCAUAUGCCCAACUCCAUAGUAAAACACAGACAAUCUCCCAAGUGGUUUUGUGAAUGAUACAUCUUCACUCUCUCCAACAAUAACCAACGACGCCAUCAACCAAUCGUUUAUGUUCUUCUAUUUAAUUGAAUAACGGAAGAAGAAGAAUAUAUAUAUAUAAGCAAAAAUAUACAGCCUUUAGUAAAAAUUAUAUUACUACUAUAAAAUAGAAAAUUUAAACGAUCGUGGAGAAAAAAGGGAGAUAAAAUUAAAAAAAUAGUCUGCGAAAUCAUGCUGUCAUCAUUUUGUUCUUAUUACAGGUUUUCAGACAUAAAUUAGUUAUUCACUGUUCCUCGUACUUCCUAGUUUUUUUUUUCUCGUACUUCCUAGUUAGCCUAAUGUUUAUGUUAUAUUCGGUAGCCAAAUUGUCUACAAAUUCGCUGGCAAUAUAACAAAAACUAACCACAUCUCGGUGGUCUUCCCGCUAGAGGAGGAGUUGCCAUGUUGAUCUAGGCCAGGGAUAGACUUCUUUCUAAUGCGAAAUUAUUAGUUUCACAUGUGGCCACGCGGAUAUGGGUUCAUGCUUACGGUCCUUUUGAAUACCCGGCAGAGGAUCCAUCCGUGGGUUGAACCUCCCACUCGCAGGUUAGGUCCGUGUCUUUAGUAGAUCCGGAUUUAACAUUUUUUAGUUAAAAAAAAAUAUAACAAAAACUGUACGAGACAUAUUGAAACGUAACUCGUCUCGUAUUUUGCAUCAUACAAAAGAAACUUGUCAUCAACGUUUCUCAUUAUUCAUUACUAGCUUCUGAAAAGGUUAUUUAACAAAAUUCGUGUAAUUAAAUUGUAUUUAAUAUCAGCUAUAUGAUUCGUAAAUGCAUGUCUGCUUCCUUCCUGGUACGCAGUUAAUGUUCAUGUUGACGAGAAUACGAUUGUACUGUUAUUUAGAAACGUCGUGAACGUGAAAAUUCACAAGAAAACAUUAUGCAUAUUUUUCUCUUUUUGUUUUCAAGCCCAUAUUUUCAAAACAUUACACUACACAUAGCACAUCUUCUAGUACAAGGAAGGAAUAGAAUACUUUUUUUUUUGUUAAAAGGGCAAAAUAGAAAACUUUUUGUAAGGAACAUUAUUAUUUUCUGCGAUUUUAUGAAAUUCAAACGGUCAAACCUAACAUGGGAGCCCCGAGCCUGCAUGGAUGUAUUUUUGUACUUCUUCCCAAUUUUUUUUUUUUUAUAAUAAGUACUUAUGCUAUAAUAUUUUUAGAUAUUUUUAGUUUUUUAAAAAGUAUAUAAAAUAGAUAUGAAAAAUGAUCAAAUAAAAAAUUUCUUAAAAUUUAAGCAAUAAUGAUGAUAAAAGAACACAUAAUUAGAUAUUUUGAGAAUCUCUUUAGACUAAUAAUUUUUUUCUAUGUUUAUAUGUCGUUUUCCAAAUAUUUUUAAUGAACUUUAAACAAUUAAUCUUUCAUUUUCAUGGUUUAUUUAUGAUUAUGAUUUUUUUUUUCUUUAUUGUAUUUUUUUGUGAUUUGUCAUUAUCCAAAAUUUCUUAAUAGAAAUCUAAGUAUUCAACUAAUUAGAUGAUGUCAGAUUUUAUAAAGAAAAGAAGAUUAUAUUCGCGAAAUUAUAAAAUUAAUUGUGAUAAACUCAAAUGUUAUAUUAAACCUUUUUCAUAUAAAAAAUAACAACUUCAGCAAAAAAAAACAAAACAUGUUUUGCUAUUAUAUACUAUAUCAUUUUUAUACGAAGCUAAUGAUAAUAUUACAACACUACGAAGAAAUGGGCAAUGAGUUCGAAUGUUAGCCAUCGUUUACGUAAGCUUUGAGCGUAACUGGCAAAAGAGAUUGUCCGACCAUGGUUGUUAGCCAUAGUCGGUUCUUGCGGUCGGUGACAUGCUGGAGCUCAGGGGCCGAUCUAAUGGGCAUUUACUGUUUUCCUUUGGGAUGGGCUUUUUUUUCUUCAAGAUUUUGGUGAAAAGUUAAAAAUCGUUUUUUUUGAAAAAUAUUUCGUCGCCUGAGAGUUUCGAACUCUCGCGGGGAAACCCCAUGUACUUAGCAGGCACACGCCUUAACCACUCGGCCAAAGCGACGUUUAGUUAGACACUGAAAUUAUAUUGUAAUGUUAAAACAAAUAGAUUCUUUUGCAGAUUUCAAAGUACAAAGGCUUUCAAAUGACAAUCCAUAGUCUGAGAAUAUAAUUUAUAAGAAACUAGAGAAAAUUUUGAUUUAAAAACUACUUCUCAACCACCACUUCUUCGAUGUCCUCUUCACAGUCAAUACUAGCGAUGGAGGAGACAACUACUGGAGCUACUGCAGGUUGCAGCUAGUGGAUGACAUUAUAUUCUGUGAUUUUGACCAUAUCACCUUGAUGUAAUAUACAUUUCCAAAUCUAUAUGCCACAGUUUUGAAAUGUUUUUUCAUAUAUUAAUUUCUUAAUAAUAUUUUUUUCUCUUUAUAAUGAGUUUUUCAAUUUAAAUUGCAUGAAAAUUAAAACGUUACAGGAUUGUCUUCAAUUAGCUAAAGUGGCCCAAAUACACAUAUUAGUAGAGAACCAAUAAAUAAUGUGAGAAGACAAAAUUUCUUAAUGAAUAGUUAACUUCUUAUAUAAACAAACUCGUAUUUACAAAUUACACUGGACAUGUUUAUUGAGUGAAACCUAAAUUAAUGAACUCCACUCUCUCUAGUUAUUUAAAUCGACGAAUGAUAUGGUUUCUAGUUCAUGCCCCCAUUCACAUACAUUUUGCAUUCAAAAGUUGGCAUAGAAGUAGAACAAGCACCCAGGACCUCGUAGUCCAGUGGUACUAUCUUCUUGGGAAGGAGAGGUCGGCUGUUCGACUCGCGUGGAGGGGGAUGCGUGUCCAGAGCCCGUAAAAAGGUACAGACAAAAGCUGGCGCCGGGCCUAGGUGGUGGGCCGCAAAGUCAACACCUGGUUAAACAAAAAAAAUAAAAAUAAAAAAAAUAGAAGUAGAACAAGUCCUCCAGUCCGCGUAAGAGCAUUAAAAAUAAUGACUACAAAGAUUUUGCUCCCCCUAGAUUUAUAAUAAUUGAAAAUACAGCUAUUUAGCAAAAUAUCGAAUCUCUGAGGUUUAUAUAACCAAACACGCUAAUAUCAAACACACUUUCAUAUUUAUAGAUGAAAAUAAAUAAGCUUUGACUUAUAAAUUAAUUUAUGUUUAAGUUAAAUAUUGAAAAUUAAUUAUGACCUCUUAAAAAUUACAACCAAAUUAAUGUAUUGUUUUCAAGACUUAACAAAACAUGGUCAAAAACACAGAAUAUAAUGAUAUUUCGUUUGUUUUGUUUAAAAAAAAAAGUAUUUCGCAUGAGUAAAAGCUUAAUUUUUACACUUUGGCCAAAGAUAUAACGAAAGGUUGUAAACUCAUAGACUUGAGAGAUUUUUUUAGUUUAGUUUGUAUGUGAUUUUGUAGAAAUAAUAGCGCAUUUUAUUAAAUAUGCAACACUUGCUUUAGCCUUUGUUUGUGAAUUGUGGUGACAUAACUCCAUCCCUACAAGUCAUGUAUUUGUAACGACUUGAAAAUAAAAUAUUUUCGGAAGACAUCUCGAUAUGAUCUAAAUUAGGUUUCUGAAAUAAAAAUAAAUCACAACUUACGUCAAGUCAACGGAGGUUAAAUCCACCAUGUCGCUCUUGUUUGCUCCUUUGGCAAAACAAAAGUCAACUACUAUUUUAGGUGCUUGAAACUUUUUAAAAGGUUUGUAUAUUAUUUUUCCUUUUGUAAAAAUGUCAGCUUUUUUUUUUGUAAGCUAAAAAUGUCAGCUUUUCAGUGCAAAAUUUUAAAUAACCAGUUUACUAGAAAAAAAAAAACAACGAGAAAAUAUGUUUCCUUGGGGUUUUUUUAAACACCAUGACAUAUAUAUGCGUCGACACCUCAGACAUGUGUAGAUAAAUGAGCUCACGAAUAUAUUUAUAUAUGUAUAUGUCUAAGGAGCUUAUCUUCUCUAUUAAAAGAGAAGUACCAUUUUUAUCUACCAUAAAAAAAGUCAUACUAGUCUUAUUAGGUCCAUUUCAUUAAUUACAUUUAUUUAAUUAUUUAUAUUAAUCUAUUCAAUAUAUAAAGAUAUUAAUAAUAAAUCAAUUUUAACUGUAAAUUUAAAUUUUAUUUUUAGUUAUAACAAAAUGUUGAGAAAAAAUCUAACAAAAUCUUUCUAAAAAUUUUAAAUAUUUUAUUUAAAUUAAUACCAUUGAUUAAUUUCGUAAUUAAUAAUAUAUACUAUUAUACAUUAAUUUAAAUAAAAUUAUAAAACAAAAUAAAAUAAAAGUGUAUGCUAUUUUUCAAAUUUUAUAAUUAAAUUUUAUAUCUUCUUUAUUAAUAGAAAUACCAUAAAAAUUCAUAAUAGGUCUAUUUCAUCAAUUACAUCUAUUUGACUAUUUAAGUUAAUCUAUUUAAUAUAUAACAUUUCUAAAAAAUCUUAUAAAUUAUAUAGAUAUUAAUAAAUAAAUUUUAAUUGUAAAUUUAAAUUUUAUUUUUACUUAUAACAAUAUAUGUUGAAAAAACCUAACAGAAUAUUAAUAAAAUUUUAAAAUAUUUUUAAAUUAAUGCAGCGAUUGAUUUCAUAAUUAAUAAUCUAUUAUUAUUAUAAUGUAUUUAGUUAUAAAAUCCCAUAAUAUACUAAAAUAAAUAACAUAGAAAUAUAAAUUAUGCUAAGAAAAUAGGAAAAAUUUGGAUAAGUACCUCUUAAUAAGAUUUUAUUUUGAUAAAUACACCAUUAUUUAAUGUUUUUGAAAAUUACACUUUCUACUUAGAGAAUUGACUAAAUUAUCCUUAUCAAAUAACAUCGUAAGUUUCAAAUUAAAAUAAUAAAUGAGAAGGCCAUUUAAAAUUAUACACAUGCUUAAUUUAAAGGCAUGUCGUCAUCUUCUUUCUUUAAGAUCAGAGAUUGUGUUCGGUUUUAAAAUUUUACAGGUUUCCGUAUCACAUGAAGAUGUUUCAUAAAGCAUCAAAGGACGCCAUUUUUUUGUUUGAACAGGAAAAAUGGUGAAAUCUGCUUUGGCCUGAUUAGAUAUCAUAACCAGAAUUGGCCAAACACAUCGGCACAAUUGCUCCAUCAUCUUGGUAUCUCCACUCGGAUAACAAACUCAUGUUACUAAGCUCGACAAGGGACACGAUUUAAAGCCAAACUAUCAAAAAAACCUUCCCAAAACGUUUCCAAAACCAUCCCCGAACAUCUCUAGCGAGACAGCUCCUAGAGUAGACGCACCCAUGCUUUACAGCCCACAUGUAAUCAUAUUAUUAACUAAACUAAAUCAGUCAAAUUGUUUAUGGUUAUGAUUACACCGGUUAGUUUGAAAAGAUGUAGUGAAUCGUAUGAUAUAUAAGGUUUAAAUAUUGAUUUUAGAAAAUAUUUGCAGACAUUUUAAUCCAGUUAUUCAUUUAACCAUAUUAGAUUAUCUGUUUAUUUUGAAGAUAACAGCAAUGACAAUAUUUUUUGAAUUUAAUCUUUAUUUAUUAAAAUAUAAUAUCUAAGUUAAAUUUGGAUAAAUAUGUCUUAUCACAUAUAAAAAGAGUUAGUUUUCAAAAAUAAAAAAAAUAAGGUGUAUUUAUCAAAUUUGAAAACACAAGUAGGGUAUUUUUCAAAUAAUCCCAAGAAAAUAUCAGUUUAUAGUAUAACUAAAUAAAAUUUUAAAAUGUAUUGUAUUCAGUCUGUAAAAAUUAGAAAAAAUAAAGGAGAUUCUCAAUUUUUUUAUUUCAUACUAUGAAUUUAUUUUACCAAACUCGAAAAUAUAUUAAUAUAUAAUAACAAUUAAUAAUAAAGUAAAAUAUAUAAAACAAAUCAUUAUACAUUAAUAAUAUAGAAUAAAAAACAUAACCAAUAACAUUAUAGAUUUACACAAUAUAUAACACUAAAAUGUAAAUAUCUUUUAAAGUUUUACGAUGGUAUCGUUAUAUAUUUAUAAAAUGAAAAUCUACCCGCACGGAUGUGCGGGUGAAAAAUCUAGUAUAUAUGUAAGUGUCUAAAUACAUGAUGUGAACUAAUAAGAUAUUUAUAAACUAUUUAAGUGUGGUAGAUUAGUUUGAUUGGUUAAGGUAAACUAUUUUUGGUUAAUCAAGUCGGAUUUCAACCUAAAUAAGAUGAUAUUAAGACUAGUAAUCUGAAUCUAGCAUUGGAACUUUUACUUUUAUUACCUUGUAGUAUAGUUUAAUGGUUUUAGUUAUUACAUCAUCAAUUUUACCAAAAAAAAUUAUUACUACAUCAUGAAACCGAAGCAAAUUAACUAAAAGUAGGAUUAUAACAAUGUCGGUUUUCAAGUGACAGUUUCCUGAGUCAGAUUUUGACCCCACAAAUUAUAGAAAUCAGUAUUAAAACUGCAUAAGAUUUGAAUAAUUAUAAUUUAUAACAAAAUUAAAUUCUAAAUACGAUGUCAUUAACCAACAGAAUAUAUGAAUCAUUUUUUUUUGGACAACAUAUAUGAAUCAUUUAAAGAUGCAGAAACGCCAUAUAGCAUAUCAAUUAAUUAGCAGUGAGAAUUAGACAGUAAUAACACUUGUAAAGAGAAAUAUACAUAUACUGAUAUACAUACAUAGUAUAAAAACUGAAACAGCAUCAUAAUUAAUUAGUUUUCAUAACUACAUGCCGACAAUAACACCUUUUUACGCUCCAAAAAAAAUCAAAUUAGUUUUGUUUUUUUGAAACAAAAAUCAAUUUAAAUUGUGACCAAAGAUAUGGUUCAUGCUACCUCUAUGCAUAUGUACCUAAAUGAUAUGUAUAAUAUUUUAUAAUAGUGUAGUUUAGAUUUCUCGUCAGUUGGUUGGUUGAUAACAAAUUCCUCGUAAAUAAAACUAAAAAUGUUCUCAUAUAAAUAAUAGUAUAUACACUUAAAGACUUUAUUUAAAUCAAGUUGGUGUGUGUCAUGGAGGGCAGGUCCAUAGAUGUUUCGUCCAACACAUUAUUUACCAUUUUGAUAUUCAAGUUUGUUAUUAAUAAAAUGUUUUUUGACUAACCAACAACCCUAUACUUGAAAAUUCUACAUAAAUAUAUAUAACCAACCGCCGCAGUAUUAUUCCACGACUUGCCAAUUAUUUUUGUUCAAACAGCACAUUUCACAAAGAAAAACACAUCGGAUCUUUUCUCAUUCGUUUAUAACUUUUCUCGUCUGUGUUUCUAGUUUUAUGGUGAGAGAAUCAAUGGAGGUUACUCAAUAUCAUCAAGGUAAUUUUAAUAAAGGUUCGAGUUCUAGGGUUUCCAUGAACAAGAAUUCACAAGUAAUAUCCAAGAUCAAGCCCAAGAUUCGCAUCAUCCAUAUAUUCGCACCGGAGGUCAUCAAGACCGACGUCAAGAACUUCCGUUCACUCGUACAAAGUCUAACCGGAAAACCAGCAGCCGUAGAGGUCAAAACCGGUAAAAGGAGUGCCAGACCGAGAAUUCCCACGUCUCAAGAACCGGUUUGCGGAGAUCAUCAGCCGGUUAACAGGCGUACGAGUUUCACCGGUUUAUUAGCAAACGGUGGAAACCAUGAGGUAAAAGAAGAAUGGGGAUCCGGUGAUCAGAAUACUACGAACACAAACACUUACUUUGACCUAGAAGGUUUGAUCCAAGAUGUAGGAGAAGAUUACUUCUCUUCGUUUCCCAUGAGAUCUUCUCCUUCUUCUUCACAAGUUGAAGGGUUCAUCUUCAACAACAACAACACCAGCAACAGCUUCGAUACAAAGGGUCACAAUAUUUCAUAAGUAACCAAAGGUUUUAUCUUCUAGCUAGGCGUUUCUCUGAUCCUUCAAUCGCAUUGGUUGAUGAGAUCUAAUCGUUUGGGGAAUGAAAGCAAACGAAAAUUGUCAUGUUUUUGGGAUUUUCAUUUUGAUGGGUAUGAUGAGAAAAUGAAACUUUUGGUAGACUGACUUUGCCAAGGUUGAGGGUUGUAAUGGAGAGUUUAAUUUAUGUGCAGUCCUUCUCGGAGAAGUGACUGUAUUUAAUCGUCGUGGGUAAAAAACCCAAGUUAUUUUGAUAUGUAACUUCAUUGAUGUGCUACUAUUGGACGUGUAAUAAUUCUUUGGUGUGUGAAUGUGCUUGAUUAUCUGUUGUAUUGUUUCGAGAAAAGUUUGCAUGGUACUUAGAACAGAGAUUAACUAGCUAUAGUGUUUGGUCGUUAUAUAUAAUCGAAUGUGUUACAUAUCAAUGGUUAAAUACAUUUACACAAACAUGUUUCAAAAUGUGAGGAAUUUAAUGUCUAGCUGUAAAUCGUUGCAGAUGUUCAGCAUUAUUUAAUCGUCUUUAUGAUUUUUUCAGCACAAUUUUAUUCAAACGAUUAGAUAUCUGUUUCUACCUUUUGCUCUUUACUUAUAACACCAACUGUUAUGGUUUGCUAACUUUCCUUUGAUCCUCCCUGUCAUAACUAAACCAUAGGUUAAACAGUCUUGGACUCUUGGGUACAUGAAAUUUUUGGUAACAUAUUUAAAUCGUUAACCCAAAGGCCGUGUAAUAUAAAAGUAUAGAACACACCCACAUAUAUAUUCAUCAUCUUAACUAGUUUCUUAGAAUCAUAUGGACAUUAUAAUAGUUGUGUUUUAACAAACUGUAAACGUUCAAACAAUUCGGUUAUCUUCUUUACAUCGAUCUACAUAUAUGUUACUGACGUUAGAGAAAUAGAAGAUCGUGACCACAAUACUAGUAUAUAUCUCAAGGGCCAAAUAGAAGAUGACUUUACAGUAGUAUAUGUGAUGUUAAGAGACUCGUCCAAAUCUAAAUGGCAGAACCCAAACAGUCAUGAUAUAUAACAAAUUAUACAAAGGAUGAUGGUAAAUUAUAUCUUACUCAAAUAUUUUGUGAGUUAGAACAACCUCAAAUGGUUGAGUUCUUAACUUGGGUAUCUAAAUAAAAAAUUAUUAUUAUUCUAGUAAAUAAUUAAAAUCUAAAUUAAAAUGAAAAAAUAGAACCAAUGAAAAAUAGACGCAAAAGCAAACGAGGUUCUAUAGAGGUUCUGAAAAAUUCUAUUUUUAGAUAAUUUUGAUUUCGUAUUUACUUUUUCUUUUUAAUAUUCUUUUCGUAUCACUUUAAAUGGUGUUUAUAAAUUUUUAUUUUGUUUCAUAAUAAGUCAUGUUUUCACAAUUCUAAAUAAAAUUUAAUAUCAUUUGAAAUUUGUGAUCGAUUACAAAAUAUUACUCACUUUGUUCUUAAAUAUAAGAUGUUUAUGUAGAAACACACAUAUUAAGAAAACUAUCUUUUGUCUAGAAAAUAUCAUUAAAACUAUAAAUUAAUGGUAUUAAACCAAUUACAAAAUAGACAAUUAAAAUAUGAUUAGGUACACAAUUUUUAAUAAAGUAAAAAUUACCUUAAAAAAUGAAAACAUCUUAUAUAUUGGAACAUCAAAAUUUUGUAAAACAUCCUAUUUUUAAGAACAAAAGGAGUAUAUUUUUUAUUAGUUGAAAUAGUUUUAUCUAAUGUUAUCUUAUGUAACCAAGAUAAAUUGUAUAAAAAAUUAUAUUUUUUUAAAUUUUUGUGUAAAAAUCUUAAACAUCAUUUAAAAUGAUACGGAGUAAGUAUUAAAUUUUUUAGAACUCUCGCCUCCUAGUACCUUUGUUGGAAGCGUUCUUAUGUUCCAUUUGUUCAAUGAGCCUGAAUCUGAUCAUAUUUGGAAAAUUGACGAUUUCAAACCUAGCUUUUCUAGGUCUAGAAACGUUCGUGUUACUUCAAAUAAUACGAUAGCCAAAUUAAUUCGGUUUGGUUUCCCAAAAGGUAAAAGUCAAAAGGCAAAAGGCCAAAAGUCCCAAGCUGACCUGUACCCGUUUGAUUCCGGUUUAGUACAAGAUUACUUGCCCCGGUUUAAUUUGCCUUCUCAACGUUUCCUAAGGUCAAAAUAGGAAUUUUAAAUCUAAUCCAAAUGGCAUUUUGCUGGCUUUUUUUUUUUUCGCCGUUUAUAUAUAAAAAAGAUCAUUUUGGGCAUCACACGCGGCAGCUAAAAGUGUCCUCAACAAUCGCCUUCUUCUCUCUUCUCGAUUCGCCGUCACGCUCCUCCCGAAUCUCUGGUAUGUUCUUCGCCUGAUUCCUAGCGAUUCUCAUUCCAAUUGUUAGUCUUCCGCGAUUAUAGGAGAACAAAUAGUCCUUGAUUUUUUUCUCCUGGAAUCUCAGAAUUGGCUUCGCUGAUCGAAUCUCUGAAUUUUAGAUUAAGGCGAUAAAACUUAUUCGGUUGUUUGUAGAUUCCUGAUUCGGUUAGUGUUGUUGAUUGCUUUUUUUGAAAUUAAUAUUUGGAUACUGUUACAGGUUUUUGAGUAUUGGAGAAUGGUGUUCUUCCGCAGCGUAUCGGCCUUAGCGAGGCUGAGGUCUCGCGUUGUGAGUUUCUUUACAUCGCACUGAGAUUCUGGGGUUUGUUUUUUCGUUUGGUUUGAUCAUGCUAACCAACUGGUGAUUGGAUCUAAUGUGAUUAGGGGCAACAGUCUUCGCUCAGCAACUCCGUUAGAUGGAUUCAGAUGCAGAGCUCUACCGAUAUGGUAGUUGUUUUGAUUGCAAUGUGAUCUUUCUAGUGUAUACAUUUUAUUUUUGUCUCAAACUAGAUCGAAAAUGAACCAGUGCUUCUGGCCUGGUGGUGACUAACUUGAGGGCAAAGCCCAAUACGGUGAAGCCACCAGGGUUAUCGAGCUGCGACUCAACUAGAUUUAAGGUUUUUGGUCGUUAGAACUAGGGAACUCGCUGACAACAACCUCAACUAGAUUUAAGGUUUUUGGUUCGGGUCCCGGCCACUGGAGACUUAACAUUCGACAUGUGGGCUGGAAACGUAGACUGCUAACACGUGGCUAGUCUGGACCCACUUCUGUGGGGCCAGAAUACCUGUAUAAUUAAAAAAAAUGCUUAGUAAUAAUGACUAUAUGUUUUUGUUUUAUCCUGAGAUUACUUUUCGACCUGCUGCUUGUGGAGUCUUUGCUCAUUUUGUGUAAAUGAUGUGAAUGCAGGACCUCAAGUCGCAGCUGCAAGAGUUGAUUCCGGAACAACAGGUUAGCUUUUUACUCCGUUUACAUGAAAUGAAUUUUUUUGUGAUGCUAUAAUAUGGAUUUAUGGUUGAGAUUGUUUCUAAGAAGUUAAGGCAGGCUACCUCUUUUGUUUUUCUAGCUUCCUCUUUCCUCAUAGAAAAUUUUCCAAUUUCAGGACCGUUUGAAGAAACUGAAGUCAGAACAUGGGAAGGUCCAACUGGGAAACAUCACUGUUGAUAUGGUAAAUAACAUGAUGAAUUACGUGGUUGUUUGUUUUUGUCCCCAUAAAAGUCUCCCCUUGAAUGAGUCAUUUCAAUUUCCUUCUAAAUGAAGGUAAUUGGUGGGAUGAGAGGGAUGACUGGAUUGCUCUGGGAAACCUCAUUGCUUGACCCGGAAGAGGUACUGAUAACGUUUUGUAUAUCUUUACAAUUGUUUGGUUAGAUCCUAGUAUAGAAUAUAUCAAGUGCUCCUCCUUCCCCAUUCAAAGGCUGUUGUUGCAACUAUCUUAUCAUUAUUUCAGGGAAUACGCUUUAGGGGCUUGUCAAUUCCUGAGUGCCAGAAAGUAUUGCCUGCUGCUCAGUCUGGAGGAGAGCCGUUGCCCGAGGGUCUUUUGUGGCUUCUUUUAACUGGAAAGGUGCGCCUCUUCUGUACAAUUUUAUAAGUUGGUCACGGGCAUGUCGAGACGAUUAGUUUCCACUCAAUAUAAUAUCCUUCUUUACGUAUUUUCGUACAGGUACCUAGCAAAGAGCAAGUUGAAGCACUAUCACAAGACUUGGCAAACCGUGCUGCUGUGCCAGGUUUGCAAAAAAAGCAGUCUGUUUAUUUUUUGUGUGGUUUUCGUGUUACACUUCUACUCAUUUCCUGAUCUCUAUUCAAUUUUUAUGCAGAUUAUGUGUACAAUGCCAUCGAUGCCCUGCCUUCUACGGCUCACCCAAUGACUCAAUUUGCUAGCGGUGUCAUGGCUCUCCAGGUGUGGAUCUCUAAGACUCCCAUUGUUGUUUGCUUGUUCUUGUUGUAAUGUGUUAGAGCUUACUGUUUUUUUUUUUGUUGCUAAUGAUAACUUUCCUUACCUGAUAUCCAGGUGCAAAGUGAGUUCCAAAAGGCAUAUGAGAAUGGAAUUCACAAGUCAAAGUACGUUUUUAGAGUUUCUGGUGUAGUUCUUGAUAGCAUUAAAAUUUAACAUGCAUAAUCACAAAAUCUUUCUGUCCAGGUUCUGGGAGCCAACAUACGAGGAUUGCCUCAACCUGAUUGCUCGUGUUCCUGUCGUAGCUGCAUAUGUUUAUCGGAGGUUAGUGAGGACUAGUCCUUUUUGCUCUCUUUUUUUCCAUGUAUCUUGCAGCUUCUGGAUUAUAAGAAAGAUUUGUCAUCCUCUGUUUUUUGCUUCGUAUUUACCGCUACACUAAAUCAUUGCAGGAUGUAUAAGAAUGGCGAUUCCAUUCCCUCAGAUAAAUCUUUGGAUUAUGGUGCAAAUUUUUCCCACAUGUUGGGAUUUGAUGAUGAUAAAAUGAAAGAGCUCAUGAGGCUUUACAUUACUAUCCACAGGUCUGUACUAAUUUCUUCGUCCAAUUAUGUCUUUUAACUUGAUUUUCUUAUCAUUUUUGUUGUUAUUUUCAAAGACUUACAAUUAUUAGCAUGACAAUUUUUAUUUUCUUCUUGUUUUUGGUUUUAGUGAUCAUGAAGGUGGAAACGUUAGUGCUCACACUGGUCACCUGGUGCGUAUGCUCAUAGUUUACCAAUGUCGAAUGUUCCACAUGCAAUUCAGAUACCUUUGCUUAGGAUUGACAUUUCUGAUGGUUCGUUUCUGUAUUUAGGUCGGUAGUGCACUUUCAGAUCCGUAUCUCUCAUUUGCAGCUGCAUUAAACGGUUUGGCUGGACCACUCCAUGGUUUGGCUAAUCAGGUAUCUCUUUGUCUAUAUCCUCAACAAAUAUUUGACUGUUCAAUCUAUGGUAGAGCUUCAUGAGUUGCCUGUUGUAUAUUAUAUAGGAAGUUUGUGAUAGUUUUAUGGUACGAUUAUAAGGUAGAAGAACAGAAUCUUACCUUUUUUUCCCUUUGUUGUCUUGUUGCAACAGGAAGUUUUGCUUUGGAUCAAAUCAGUUGUCGAGGAAUGUGGAGAAAACAUUUCGAAAGACCAGUUGAAAGAAUAUGUCUGGAAAACACUGAACAGUGGCAAGGUAAAAACACAAAUUCAUCUACUUUGUCGCUGCCAGAUCAACAUUGAAUUACUGUUUAUAUUUACUCCCAAAGGAUCAUGGAAAAUUGAGUGAAUGUCUUGUCUUAGUAGUUUUUGAUAAAUGAUGGCAAUUAUACUGUUAGAAAAGUGUGGGAUCCUGUUUUAGCUAAUUUUGGUUUUUCUUAUCUGAGUUAUAUGUUAAUGUUACAAAGCAUAGUUUACUGUUUACCAAGUAAUUAGUUGUCAAAGCUUGGUUGGUCUGCAGGUUGUUCCCGGAUAUGGACAUGGUGUUCUUCGCAAAACUGAUCCAAGAUAUGUAUGCCAAAGAGAAUUUGCCUUGAAGCAUUUACCUGAUGACCCUCUUUUCCAGCUGGUACUUUUAUUUUCUUCUGUUUUUCUUUUGCGCUCUUACAGAAUUAUAUAACUGUGCAGCGGCUAACAAGACCUUCAUUUCUAUAGGUCUCAAAGCUUUAUGAAGUUGUGCCUCCUGUUCUCACCGAACUCCGAAAGGUAAUAUUUCUAAUCUUUUCUCGUUACCAAGGGGACCAAUUCAUGUAAUGGAUAUAUUUCACAUAAAGUAUGAAACAUAAAUCACCAAUAAUUCAAUGGAUACGUCUCAUACUGAAUCCUGUGAUGGGUUGCUUGCUACAGGUGAAGAACCCAUGGCCAAAUGUUGAUGCUCACAGUGGAGUGUUGCUCAACCACUAUGGUCUAACAGAAGCAAGGUAAGAAACAUACUUGUCGUUUAAUAACAUAUACUUGAGCCAAUUACGCCAGUAGUCGACUAUAACACUGUGUGCGUUUUUAUAGGUACUACACUGUGCUCUUUGGUGUCUCAAGGAGUCUUGGUAUCUGCUCUCAGGUAAUAUAUGCGUAAUUGUUACUACAAGGCAAUAUAAAAUAGAACUCAGCUUAUGUUAAUUGUGGGUUGGUUACAGCUAAUAUGGGACAGAGCUCUUGGACUGGCACUAGAGAGGCCAAAGAGUGUUACAAUGGACUGGCUUGACGCCUUCUGUAAGAAAGCAAAAGCUUCAUCUGCUUAAAGCCACCACCACUCACUCUCUUGGUGUUCCUUCCACACUGAAUAGCCUUUCUAUUUACAGAAGAAAGAUACAUUGUUCAUGUAGAAAUUGUUCAUCCUGAGAUUUUAUUCUCUUACCCCUGAGAAAACACUUGCAGUGUGCAAAUUUGCAUUCCGGAAAGCUCACGAUAAUAAAAAUAAACAUUUGUUGUAUUCAAUCUGCAUAAUCCACAAUAAUCAAAUGUCAAUAUUGAAUUACAACUUUUUUUUAUUCGAUGUAUGUAUUCAAUCCGAAUAAACCUCUAUCAUCAAAUAUCUGAGAGAUGACACAUUGAACUGAAAAAAGUAAAGGCUGGAGAAGCCAAAAAAAGAGAUUACGAGCUGCUCUUCUUGUCGUUAUUGGUAGUAAUAUCGUCAAGAUCAUCGAUGGAAGCAGUGAAGUUGAGUCUCUCUUCGGAGUUGGCAGUGAUAACAGGCAUCCAAACAUCGGCAGUGCCGCUAAGAAGAGUCUGAACUUGCGGAUCAGAAGCAAGAGCCGAUGAGAUCAUCUCGUCAACAUCGUCAAUCUUGGCUGAUAACUUAUCCAAUUCAUUAGCAAUCUCCACCUCGGUGAGGGGCUGAGCGGACUUUGAUGGCACUUUGGUGACUUCUAAGCCCAGAGCUUCGAUCUUCGAACGCAAUUCUACUUCCUCUGUAUUCGUUAACGAUUCAACCUGAGAAUAAAAAAAGUUGUGUAUUCAAUCUAAAUAUCAAACCACAGGGAAUCAAAAGCUAUUCGAUUAAGACGAUUUCGAUUUUGAGAUCCUGAAAUUUGGGAGCGACGAACAUGAAUUCGAAUGAAUUGGGAUCAAAACCUGUUGGAGAAGACCCGAAAGAAGCUGGAAGAGCUGCUCGUCUGGUUUUCCAUCGGCCAUUGAUAGAUAGACCAAAACUCUCUCUCUCCCUCUCUCUCUCUCUCUCUCUCUCUCUCUCUCUCUUUAUAAUCGAAUUGCCGAGAGACUCUGAUUCAUUCGGAAGCUUUAAGCAAACGUUAAAACAGACGGACGGAUCACGGAACGGGGUUAAAACAGACGGACGGAUCACGGAACGGGGCAGGCGUGAACCCGGGCGAUUACGUUAGAUCGCUGACGUGGGGUUUUGACUCGGUGGUUUUUUCUUCUCGUAUUUAUGAUGUCAUUUAAUAAAUUGUAUAAAAAAACAAGUUAGAGGAUUUUUUAUUUGUUUGACAAUGAGACAAAACUUUUUUUUUUUUUUAUAAUUUGUUUUAGAUUAUACAGAGGGAAUGUAGUUAGUUUCGUGCAGGUCAAUGCUAGCUAAUCAACCCCUAUUUACUUACAUAUUAUAUUAAGUUUUGACUAAUUACUUUUCUUCAAACAUUUUCAUUUUAUAAAAAAUUAAGAUGGUGACCUAUAAUGAUCAGAGAAAAUAAAACCAAACGGCUUAGUUAAAGAUCUUUUUUAUUUCAGAUUAUUAAUAAUUAUUCAGAAGAAAAUAACAUGUAAUCAGUAACUGAAACAAAUCAAUGAAAAACAAGAAACAAAGACGCACACAAGAAAAAACAACAAUCAUAUAGUUUCAGAGCUCCAAGAAUCCAAGAAAGCUCGAAAGAAACAUAUUUGUUUUCAAACAUUAUCAUAUUUUUAUAUCAACUUGAGACAAGCUUUUCUCGCUUUCUUCGCAAUCUUAGCUCUUUGCAUCUCCAUGUGUAACUCAAUCUGCAUCCUCUCCAUCUCCCUUUGAGCUUCAAGCAUUGCAGCUAACUCCGAAGCAGCCGAGCCUCUUCCUCCUCCUUUAUUACCACUUGUACUCGCCUUCCCACCUCCUCUCUUUGGCUCCUCCUCUUCUUCUACUUCACAAGAAUGUAAAUGCGUGCCAUAGUCACAUUCCUUGCAAUAAUAAGACCAUAGAUGAUCCGGAACCGUCUCUUGACAGACAUCACAGUUGAAAAUCAAACCGUUCGUGUAAGGAGAACAGUAUAGCAACGUUAGAGGAUGCUCAUGUCCUUCACGCUCCACGGACUCAGGCAUUGAUAUGCACCCGACAUGUAAAUCAAACUGGCUGAUAGAGCAGUUGUAAACGAACCCUGAUCCAUACUCACUGCAAGCGCUGCACUCGUAAGUUGAGGACUCGUACGGUGGUGAAUAAAGCAGGGUCAGUGGGUGAUCAGGGUGAGACUUGUGGCGUGUCUCACGCGGAAGUUCAAAACAUGACUUGUGUAAGAAGUAAUCACAUUCCGACUUUGUGCAUUUGAAAGCUGCACCUAUUAGGUCUAGGUCGCAGCCAGAGCAGAUGAUCUCUUCUUCAGCUAGGGCUUUGUGGCCGCGCAAUGGAUGGUUGUGGCUAGGGUGCCUCACCGAUGGUUUUCUUGAAGCCAUUGUAGCUAAAAUAAUUCUAUUUGUGUUUGUUUUUGUGAUUCUUAUUAAGCUAAGGGGCUUCAACGCAUUUAUAGUGAAAAUAGUAAGAUGACUUUUGAUUGCGAGUCUUCUUCAGGAUGGGAGUAGUGAUGCGUUUUGGUUUGACUAUUAACAAAGUUGUAGCAUAUAUAUUAACUAUAUUGGGACAAUAUACGAUAUCUAUAUAUAAGCUCAGUUCUCAUCAGGGAUUCAAAGUCAAGAGGUGGAAUUAUUCCCUUUGAACCCAUCCAUCACGGGAUUAUUAGUUUUAUUGUAGUUAUAUAAUUGAUUAUAUAGCCAAUUGUAAUUAAAGAUUUUUAAAUAUUGAUUUAUCAAGCUGCAGAUGUAGACAAUACAUGAGUUGACAUAGUUAAAGAUUUUAGGUCAAUUAACUACGCUUAGGUCAAUUAGAGAUCUCAUUGAUUGUGUAUAGUCCUUCCAAGAGUUGAUUUUUUUUUUUAACUUUUUUUUUUGCUUAAAUUAACUUUGUUUCGUGACAAAUUUGACAAGGUUAGGGAAGAGAUGUUUUGAAAGAAGUGUUCAGAUUCAUAUGUCGUUGGUCGGUUAUAGUCUUUGAAUUUAUGUAGUAGAAAGAAUUUGACAACUAACUAAACAAAAAUUCAAGACAAAAAUGUAGCAUCAUAAAAUAUUUAAUAAAGCUAUCAAUGGUGCUUAAUAUAUAAUCAUACAGCUCACAGUUCUUUUAAAGAAAGUCACAAACAUACACAGAAAGAAAAAAUAAUAUUGAGACAUUUUUCUUGGGCUGAUUUCAGAACCGAAAUUCACAAAGAGAAAUUAAACACUCAUAAUCAAUUCACAAAUAAUAUUUUUUGUACAAGAAUUCACCAAUAAUAUCUCCUCCUUGGUUCCCAUGAACCGACGUAACUACCUGCUGCAUCAAUAGCAUCUAACUGGGCCUGCAUCAUCGCCAUCUCCAUUUUAGCAUCCAUUUCCGACUUCAUCUCUGAAGCCGCCGAGCUUGUUUCUCCUUUUUCUUCUCUUUUCUUUGGAGCAAUAUCUUCAUAUGUGGCGCAUGAACGUACAUGUGUGCCAUAGUCACAUUCUUUGCAAUAAUAAACCCAUAGAUUCUCUUGCAUAUCUUCUUCACAAACAUCUCAUAUGAAAGUCACACCAUCCUCACUACCUUUGCAUGGCGUGUUGUAAAGUAGCGUGAGAGGGUGUUCGUGGUCUUCACGCUUCACGGUCUCAGGGACAAACGCACAUCCCACAUGAACAUCGUACUGGCAGUUAGAGCAAUGGUAUGCGAAACCAGAUCCAUGUUCACCACACGCAUCACACGAGAAGAUGGACUGGUCGUACGGUGGAGAAUGCACCAGGGUCAAAGGGUGAUUAGGGUGAGACUUGUGAAGGGUUUCACCGGGAAGGUUGAAACAUGACUUGUGCAAGAAGUAACUACACUCUGACUUUGUACACUUGUAAGCUUGCCCGAUUAGUUCGAGCUCGCAUCCAGAGCAAAUGAUCUCAUCUCCUUCUUGGGAUUUGAAGACCCGUAAAGGAUGAUCGUGACUAGGGUGUCUCACCGUUGGACGGUUAGUCGGGUUAGCCCUAGUUUUUCCUGAACCCAUAUGUUCUUGAUAUGUGUCUAAGGUUUUUUUGGUUGUUUUGUGGCCUUGUGGGAGAAUCUCUUUGGAACUAUAUAAAUACCAAAUAUUGAAGAGGACUUUGAUUUCUAUAAUUAUGAGAUUGGUAUUCUUAUUAACCAUGCCUUAAUUUAUCAUUAUUAUACCAUCUGUAUAUGUUACAUAAGAGUAAUUCUCAUUUGGGUAUCAAAAGUCAAGAGGUGGAACUAUUCAUCUAGUACGCAUCCAUUACAGGACUAGUCAUCUUGUGCUUAUAUAAUUGAUAGCCAAUUGUAAUUAAAGAUUCUAGAUAUUGAAUUAUCAAGUUGGAAAUGUAUACAAUAUAAGAGUUGACAUAGAUAAAGAUGUGAUGUUAACUAACUAGGCUUGGUCUCUAAUGUCUAUCAUCUCCAAGUCAUCUGAAUAUAAGUGACUAUGACUUCGGAAAAACUUGAGAUGCAUGUAACCUGCAAGACCAACGCAUGUUACUCGAAUAUGCCCUAUUUAACGAUUUAUCAAUACAACUAAUGCUAUUGCUGAUGAAUUGAAACAUUCGUUAUUAUUAUUAGUGGAUAGAUAACAAAGAUAACAUAUAAUAUUUGCCUUUUAAAAGCAAACAUUUUAAAAAUUCAAAUAACUCAAGUGGAUCAGAAUUUUAUCAUGCAUUUACUUAUUACUUUUUAUUUUUAUUUUGCAUAACAAAGUUUCACUGAAAAUAACUGUUGCAGUAACUCACACGAACAAACGAAAUUCCCAAAAAAAAUAAAAAAAAUUACAAGCUUCAAUGCAUCAAAUAGAUCAUUCAUAGUUUCGAUCACCAAUAAUAUCUCCGCUUUGGUUCAUCCCAUAACUCAAGUAUAGCAUCAUUAGUAUUCUUCCUUAUACGUGCCUCUAGCUGCAACGCCGCCAUCUCAUCUUGAGCUUUCAUCAACGACUUCAUCCUUGCAGCGGCAGAGCUCGAUUCUCCUCCUCCUCUUCCUCCUUCUCCUCCUCCUUUCUUUGGCUGAUGAUCUUCAUAAACCGCGCAAGAAUGCACAUGUGUCCCAUAAUCACAUUCUUUGCAGUAAUAAACCCAAAGAUUCUCCGACAUAUCUUCUUCGCAAACAUCACAUAUGAACGUCGCACCGUCCUCGCGACCUUUGCAUGGUGUGUUGUAGACAAGAGUGAGGGGGUGGUCGUGAUCUUCGCGCUUCACGGUUUCGGGGAUAAAGGCACAUCCAACAUGUACAUCGUACUGGCACUCUGAACAGUUGUAAGUGAAUCCGGAUCCAUAUUGGCCGCAUGCGUCGCACGUGUAAGAGUGACCAUACGGUGGGGAAUGAAGCAGGGUCAAAGGGUGGUCUGAGUGAGACUUGUGUUUGGUUUCACGAGGUAGGUCGAAACAUGACUUGUGCAAGAAGUAAUCGCAGUCUUUCUUCGUACAUUUGAAGGCUUGUCCGAUUAGGUCAAGCUCGCAUCCAGAGCAGAUGAUCUCAUCUCCUUCUUGGGAUUUAAAGAUGCGUAGCUGAUGGUUGUGACUCGGGUGCCUCACCGAGGGUCGAUUAACCGGUUUCUUUGAAGCCAUUGUGUCUGGAUUUGGUAUUUUUACGUGGAAGAAACGUUUAACAACUAUAAAUAGCAAUAUUGUAUGUAGAGGACUUGCGAUUUCUAUUUUUGGCUAAAUAAUUCUGAGUUUUUUUAUUAUUCGUAUUCACCUAGUUGUAAUUUUAAUAUACAGAAGAAAGUUGACAUUAGAAUUGCAUUAUUUAGACCGCUUAACAGUUAACUAAAUACUCCCACUAUCAUAUAAAAAUUAUUAUGUAGCCCUUUUCAAUGUAAUAAUUGUUUUAUCUGAUAUAAUAAUUAGUUCUUAUAUUUUUGUUUGAUAACUAAUACAAAUUAACAUGAAUAUAAAUGAUUACUAGCUACUAACAUCAUUUAAUUUAAUUAUGAUUUGAAAUCUCCAGCUUGGGUGAUUGUUAAGAAGUUGUGACAAAGCACUAGAGUUUCUCAAUAGUUGAAGUUUCACUAUAAUCCUAGUGGGUAACGACUUGAUCAAACAAUCUAACCGUUGACUUUAAAGUCGUCGACUGAAAGCUUAGAAUCAACAUCACACGGUAGAAAAAUUGAGUAUCACAAAACAAAAUGUUCCAACAAGUCCCCAAGCCAUUGAUUUGUGUUCAUACCAAACUACAGUAACAUUUUAAAUACCCUCUCUGAGCAAGUUGUGCAGCUAAAACAAUGGGAAGGCCAAAACCAGAAGACUCAAUUCGACAUUUCAGCCAUCCACAUCCAUUGUUCAACUCAUCUCUCAAUCCUCAAGCCAACUCUUCUUCUUCUUCUUGCGUGGUUUGCAAGUUAAAGCUCCUCAAUCUUCCUUCAUACACAUGUAAGCCAUGCAACUUCCACAUCCACCUAAAAUGCUACGAGUUACCUCAAAAGAUCAGACACCCUUUCGACAAAAACCAUCUCCUGUCUCUCAUCUCCUCUCCAAAAUACCAAGAAGGGACAUUCCGCUGUGACGCAUGCGGCAAAAACGGUGACGGAUUCGCUUACCACUGUGGAGACUGCGGUAUAGAUCUUCACACGGUUUGUGCCAACAUGCCUUCUCGUGUCACGCACCAAUCUCACCCUCACCACCAACUUUCAUUAACUUUCCAUGCUGCCUCCGGGCGGGUCCGGAUCCGGAUCAAGAUCAGCUGCGGCCGCUAGCUUCCACUGCAGCGUGUGUCAAGAACGCGGGUCUAACUCGUGGCUCUAUAGCUGUAAAGAGUGUGGUGGAUUCGAUGCUCAUUUGUUGUGUGCUAGAAAGAAACUGGCUAGUCCAACAAAUAUGGUCCAACAUGGUCCAAACCGGCCGAUGCAACCGCACUCUAUCGCCACGACGCUGUUUGUUAAUGUUCCUAGUCCAGUUUUUAAUAAUCCUUAUCCGUUGGGGACUCCAACAAUGAGUCCUAUCAUUAGACCUAUGAUUAAUGAGAUGAUUAAUAAUCUUGUAACCAAUACGCCACAAAGUCCAAGCCAAGUUUCUCAGCUUCUUGAUUUGCUCGGGCCAUUUGGACUUGGAGGUGGAUCCGGUUCUUCUUCGUCUUCCGGUUAUCUAGGGUUUGACCCAUCGGUUUUCCAAUCUGUUAACCAACCAUUUGGACUGGGAGGUGGAUCCGGCUCUUCUUUAUCUUCCGGUUAUCUAGGGUUUGACCCGUCGGUUUUCUCAUCUGUUGGCCAACCAUUUGGACUGGGAGGUGGAUCCGGUUCUUCUUCAUCUUUUGGUUAUCUAGGGUUUGACCCGUCGGUUUUCUCAACUGUUAACCAACCAUUUGGACUGGGAGGUGGAUCCAGUUCUUCUUUAUCUUCCGGUUAUCUAGGGUUUGACCCGUCGAUUUUCCCAUCUGUUGACCCCUCAGUGUUUGCUGGUUUCGAUCCUUCCUUGCUUUCAACGUUGUUCUCCGGACUUGGUUUUUUCUAUCCUAAAGAGAUUAUGAGUAUACAAAUGUAUCUGUCUUUUAUUUUGUCUUUUUGCGUUUGGUACAAAUAAUUACUCAAUGUUCUGUCUGAUUACUAUGUUUUAGGGACUUAUAGUAAUGCAUUUGAACUUUUGAUGCCAAAAAAUGGUAGUGUAUUUGAACACUUCAGAAUUCAGAUAACCCAGAAAAUUGUUUAAUCUUUUCCUGCUAGCAUUAUCUAUAUACAGUCGAUUGAAGACAUGUUUCUCAAAAUAGCAGCUCCGUGUGAUAUCUAUCCCCUAGACUAUAUUUGCGAAAUGAUUUUGCCACAUGUCCUCUCUAGAAUCAAUUUCACAAAAUAAAUAUGACAUGGCUACUGAAAUUGAUGACAUGGCUUCCAGAAAAAUAUGACAUAGAUAAUUUCAUUUAAUAUUGAUUUAUAUUUUUGGCAAACUUAUUAAAAUAUGAUAAUAAUUGAUAUAUUACAUUUAAUAUUGAUAUUUUUUUUGGUAAACUUUUUUUAAAUAUGGUAAUAGCUCAUACAUCAAUAUUUUGAAAUGUUCUUAUUUUUGUAUAAUUAUACAAUUUGUAUUACUAAAGCUUUCAAAAAUUUCUACAUUUUAAAAAAAAUUUAAAUAUCUAAUCGUAAGAUCAUUACUUUCUUAAAUAUCUAUAAAUUUUAUAAAUAUUGUUUAGGCUAAAUUUUUGAUAAUUAUACAAUUUUAUAUCAUUUUUAUUAGUUUUAUACAAAUUAAUUUAAUAGAGAGAAAUUCCAUAGGAUAGACUUAAAAAUUUUUUUAUCACAAAUAUAGACUUUAAAAAUAAAAAUGACCAAAAUAUACUUAAAUGUUUUAUCAAAAGAAUUAAAUAUACACUUAUACCCCUAGAAUUAAUUAAUCUAGACAUUAGGGUUUAGAGUUAAGGGGGUGGGGUUUAGGGUUUAAAAAUAAAAAUAAAGUUAAACUUUUCAAAAUAAAAAAUGCUAUUUUGGUCAUUUUAGUUUUUGAAGUCUAUUUUUGUGACAAAAACUAAAAAGGUCUAUUUAAGAGAAUUGUCUUUUAAUGGAUGUGAUUGGUAGUUGCUGUAAGUGAUGUCCACAACCCUAUUUAUUUCUAAAGCACCAAAUUCAGAGCAAUCAAACUUUAAUUUUUUUUUUGAAACCACAGCUCUUGAAAUAACCUACAGCUGUACAAGUGCUCUGCAGAGCCAAAUAUCCAAAGCAAUUUUUUAGUGUUUUCCAUAAAAUUCUACAGCAAUAAAAUCUAAAGCCACAGCAAAAAGUCUACAGAUUUUUUUCUACAACAAAAAUUUUAAAGUUACAGCCAUUACCAAUCAGACCCAAUAUAUAUCAAACCUAUAUUAAAUAUUAGUAAGAAAAUAGUAAAAUCUAUAAUAUUUAAUAAAAUUUAUUUUUAAAUAUAAGUUAGAUUUAAAAAAAAAUUUAUUGCACAUGAUGCAGGAAAACACCUAGUUAAUAGUGAAUGAUGUACAGUUUACUAUUGGAUAAUGCAUAAAGCAAUGAAAGUAUUAGGACUAUAAUCUCUAUACAAACUCAAUGAAGAUUUUAUGUUAGUUACUAUAAUAUUUUGGAAACAUAUAAUCUUUUAUUUUGCAUCUUUACAUCAUUUUUAAAACAAAUAAAGAAUUUUUUUGGGAAAAACGAUUUGACCAAAAACUACAGAAAAUUGAUGAAAGAUGUAUACUCUUUAUGGAAAUACGGACAGCAAUGGAACUUUGAUAUAGUAUAAUUUUUCUUUGGUCAAAAGGAACUUUGAUAUGUUUAUCACUAAAAUUUAGCUUGCAAAAAAUAAAUUUUAUCAAAGAAAUGGAAUUGAUGAUAUGACUACAUUAUAACAAGUAUGGAAGUAUUCAAAGAUAUAACAACUGAUGCUAUUAUUAAGAGUCCGAUUUUUAAAAUUGCUAGUUUACUGUAUAUAAUUCUGAACAUAAUUCUAAUUUUCUCAGAAUAUUCUCGAAAUGUGUUUUCUAAAUAAUCUUGUCAGAGUGCCCUCUUUCUGAGGUUGUGAUAUCACCUUUAUCUUUAAGUUUUUAUUUGAGUACUUGUUGUUUAAACUUUCUUAUUUGCUUGUCCAGUGUAUUAGUCUAUGCUUUUGUUUGUUUGGCUCCUUAUAGCUUUAUUGGUAUCAUCUAUUGAUGAAGUUGAACUCUUAUAGCUUUAUUGGUAUCCUCUAUUGAUGAAAGUGGUUUGAUAAAAAAAAGUGUUUUCGAAAUAAUUAAUUAUUCUUGGUGAAUUUUUUUUAAAGACAUAAUAACAUAAUGUGUUUUUCUCUUGUUGUCAAAAUAGAUGGUCUACCGCCCCUAAAAUCUCAGACCCCAAAAAUAUUUACUAAAUGGCUACGCCCCCACAAAAUCUCAGGGCGGGCCAUGCUUGUUCUGUUGGAGAUGUUUCUAUCAGCUGCCUCUUGAUUACUUAAACGUUAAAGAAUGUCCAGUUUGCGAUAGAGAAGUGACUGACACCGUGGUGAUUCCGAUAUACGGUAAUGGAGAUGAUUGUAACAGUAGUAGUAAAGGUGUUCCUCUACCUCCAAGGCCUAAUGCUAAAAGAGUUGAAAGCUUUCGUUAAAAGAUUAUAAACCGGGGAAUACCUUUAAUCCCGUGGUCUGAAAAAAUGGAGCAUACUAGGAUAGGACUUCAAGCUUUAGCUCAAGGGGAUGAGUUCGGUCUUGUACUCCAUACCUCGGAGAUGCCACCCUUUGAUGAUGUUGAUAGUUUUUUUGACACAACUAGUUUGAGAAGAAACCAUCGUAGGUCUUUUCAAGUUGCUGAGGUUGGUCCUUCUCCUGGAGCACGAGCUUCUCUUCAGAGAAGCCAAACUGUUAAUCCUACUGAAGUGGUUACAUCAGCGUCAGCGACUAGGAGAAGAAGAGAAGAUGUAAAUAGUGGACCUCGGACCAUGUCUAGAAGGAGGAGGCUAAGGUAGACGAAAGACAUUGCUGGAAUCUUGAAAUACCGCUGAAUCUCCAUCAUUACAAAAGCUUAUGUGACCAUAUCUUUGUUUCCUCCGUGGAAUUGUCUGAAUAUGGCUGAGAAUGUAUGUACAUUCUUGUGUAGCCUAAAGAAUAGAGAAGGAAUCAAAACACCGUCGUUUUCAUUUACUGGUUUCUGUGUGUAAAUCUUUACCCAGCUCAUAAGACCAUGAUUAACCCGGAGUUCUUAGAGUGGAGUUCUUAGCGGAAGUUACGAAACUGUUUCUUAACUUUUAACUAAAAAAGGCUAAGAACUGGUUCUUAAAGUCCUUAUUUAAGAACCGGUUCUUAGUUUUUUAGUUAAAAGCUAAGAAACAGUUUCUUAACUUCCGCUAAGAACCACAUCCUAAAAAUCUUAGGUUAAUCAUGCUCUAGAGAAGGUUCAAUUUAUAUGCAGAAUUUUAUUAGUAAGGCGUAAUACUUUCAUCGUCUUUAUCCACAGGCCAAAAAAGAUCGAUCCAACUUGAUACAUAAAAACCUAUUUGCGAGAUAUUAAUCUUUUUUUUACUUAUAAUGUUUCGGCCUUUAACGUUUCGGCCUUUAGACUAUGAUUAACGCUGAAACCCAAAUGGGUUUCUUAAUUUUUGUUUUUUGUCUGAAUAAAAAAAAAUCAAUCGCGGGCCGGCACGUGUUAGUGGGGUCUGCGAACAGUACAAAAAACCAGCCAACAGCGAUCCUUAUUCUGGUUUUUCUGCAACCCUUUUUUUUUUGUGGGCCCUCCCCCCUUAAAAACCCACUAAAAACCCCUCCUUCUCCCCGGAUAAUCCUGCCCUUAGAUCUUAGCGAGGCCGCUUCAGUUUGUUGGCCCAGCAUGCUAUGGAUAUGUUUUUUUUGAUAAAGAUGCUAUGGCUACGUUAUUUUUUCAGAACUUGACAUAUUUAGAAACAAAUCAUCAAAAUUGAUAAAUCGAUGGAUAAUAAAACAAUAAUUUUGAAGAAUCAGUUAUCUUUCUUUACCAUAGUCUUUUCUGUUUUUGUACUACCAAUCUUUCUGUUUGUGUACUACCAAUCUUUCUGUUUUAUAUGUCUCUUAUAAGAAUUUGUAUUUUUUUCUAAUAUCAUUUUUUGUUCUAGAGAAAAAAAUAAAAAAUGUUUAGAUUCAAUCAUUUAUUUUCAUGUCAUUAAUUUAAAUAACUUCAUUAAGAAGCCGCGAAAAACUAUAAAUUACACAACUAAAAAGACCCCUAAACCAAAACAUGGACUUGUUUCAUCACAUGGAAAGCAGAGAAAGUCUUAAUUAAUUGAUCAAAUACUAUAUCGGAUUUGAUUUUAUAGUAGUCGUUUUUUGACCGACAGACUAUUCCCAACGCGUUCCAGACCACACCAACCUGGAUUAAUAAUACUCUGUAGUCUGUACAUAAAGUAUAUAUAAUGUCCUUUUUUUUUUCUUUUUUUUUUGUGAAACUAAGUAUAUAAUGUCUUUAUCUAACAAGAUUUGAAAUAAAUAGCCGUUACAAGCUUCUUGUUUUAGCACAAAAAAAAACGAAAAUAGACGUCCCAUCAGUUCUUACACGUCUUCACGUCCCUUUUAGAAAUUAGCACUUCCCGUGAUUGUCUGAAAAACGUGCAAGAUGGUGCAUUGUUUUUUAUAUACUCCAUCUGUUUGAAAUAUACAUUUUAGUGUUUUCGCGUAUAUUAGAAAAAUAUAUUAAAUCACUAUAAUAAAUGUAAUAUAUUCCACCAAAUCAAGUCAAUUAAUUUUGUCGAAGAUCACAACUUUUUUAUAGAAAAUAUAAAAAAAUCUAUUUUUACGAAGCAUUUUUUUUUUUAAAAACAUCUAACUUAAUAAAACGGAAAGAGUAUAUUUUUUAUAAAAUGACUCAGCUAUAGGUAAAAUUUUAGAUAAUCAAUGCCGAUUAAAUGAAAAAAAUGCAAAUAAAUAUUUUCUCCGUUUCAUAUUAAGUGUCAUUGUAAAAAAAAUUUUGUUAUCAAGUGUUAUUUUAGAUUUUCAAGACAAAAUUUAUUAACUUAAUCUUCGGUUUUAUCUUUCUAUUGGUUAAAAUAUGAUUAUGUGUAUAUGUAAUGAUGUUUUAUUUACAAAAUAUACAAAAAUAAAUAUUCUAUUAAUUUGUGUGUACCAAUCUAAAACCAGUAUUAAAAUGAAACAAUAUUUUUUUUCAAAAUGAAACGGAUGGAGUAAGGUUUUUUCAACUAAUGUUUUGCUAAUAUUUUAUCUCUCGCUCAAUUCGCUUCCGGAUAUAAAAAUGCCCACUCAUUCAUCUCCUCAAAGGAAAGUAACAAUCAAAAGAAAAGUAAGAAUGAGAGGAAAAUAUUUUUCUUUACUAAUAGUGUUCAUUGUCUUGGCCUUCAAUGGAGUUCUUGCCCAGAACAAUUCUUCAACGCCUAAAUUAAGAAGAAGUGAUUUUCCAGAAGAUUUCAUUUUUGGGUCUGCAACAUCUGCUUACCAAGUAUUUAUUUUUUGGUUUCUUCUAAUUACCAUGAUUUAUUUCUUGAAUUAAAGGUUUAUGGGUGUGUUUAACACUUCUCAGGUUGAAGGAGGUGCUCAUGAAGAUGGUAGAGGACCAAGUAUCUGGGAUACCUUCUCUGAAAAAUACCCAGGUUUUGUUUUGAUCUAAAUCUCACUUAGGAUCUAAAGAAUAGUUUAGAUUCUUUUCUUUUUUUUUAACAUCAAUAGUUUAGAUUCAAGAUAUAUUAAAAGAUUGAAUAUAUACUCUGGGAUGGAAUACCAAAAUGUUAAUUAUUCUUGAAAAACAAAAAAAAUUUCAACUACUCUGCUUUUGAUUCUUCAAUGGGAGUAUAGUAUAGUUGAUAAACUCAAAUAAUGUUUUUAUUUAUUCUAAUUCUCCAGAGAAGAUAAAGGAUGGUAGCAAUGGGUCUGUUGCAGAUAACUCUUACCAUCUUUACAAGGUAAUUAUCUUUCUGUAAUUAAAUAUGUAAAAUUAAAUUGUUUGUUCUGAUUUUUCAUUGGCCUCAAAACCAGCCACGAUCUUUAAUUAUAUCAUAUCCUAAAACACUGGAUUACAGGAAGAUGUGGCUUUAUUGCAUCAAAUUGGCUUCAAUGCUUACAGAUUCUCAAUCUCGUGGUCGAGAAUAUUGCCUCGUAAGUUCUUCUUCUUCUCUUUGAAGGGGUUCACGUGGGAUUUGAUUAAUUUUAAGUGUCAAUAAUGUUAACGUGUUGUUUCUUACUUAGGUGGGAAUCUAAAAGGAGGAAUAAACCAAGCUGGUAUUGACUAUUACAACAACUUGAUCAAUGAGCUUUUGUCCAAAGGUAAAAAGACAACAUACAGUUCGACAAAUAAGCUAAAGUAACGCUCUGGGUUUCAAAUUAUUUUAAGUUGAGAUUUUAUAGUAAACAAUGUUUUUCAAACUUAGACUUAUUUAUAGUAAACAAUGUUAGUAAACAAUACUGAGAAGAAAAUCCAAGUAUUAUAAUUAUUAUACAUAUAUAUACUUGGAUUUUCUUCUAAUAGCUUCGUAUGCUGAUGCAUUUUUCUCUUAAAAUUAAAUCUUCAAAGUUCAAAAAAAUCAUUUAAUGCGUGCCACCCUUUCAAUUUUGGCUGCCUUCAAAACAAUUUGUGUGGUUUUCAGAGCCGUGCGAACACUUGUGACUAACAGAAGCGUGUUUAGAACUAAAUGUCCAAAAUUUUAAAUUACAGUUACAAAAUACUACUGUUAUGUAGCCAUUUUUUUAAAACAUCAACAAUUAAAAUGUUCAUUUUAAAGUUCUAAAUAUAAAAUUUUCUUUGCUGUAAAAUUAAUUAAAAAAAUUCAAAUGUUUUUGGUUAUUUUAAUAUUUUUCUUAAUCUUAAGUUUUAUAAGAUUAACAAUUUUUUAUUUAUCUUUUUGGUUAUUUUACUUAACCAAAAUUACUUAAUCUUUUUCUUUAUCUUAAGCUUUAUAAGACUAACAAUUUUUUAUUUUGGUUAUUUUACUAUUAAAACUACCAGAAUAUCAUUAGGUAGUCAUUGGACCAUUAUAAUCAUAACAAUCAACAUCUAUGGUUCUCUUCAUUUAGUUUUGUUUUUUAGCAACUUUCAUCUAGUCUGUAUUAAGCUUACCCAAAUUACUGACAUAACUCAUAUAUAUAUAUAUAUAUUCUCUAUUAUGUAGGAUUAAAACAAUAAAAUUAAUAAAAGAUGAUUUAAUCAAAAUAAUAACUAAUGAAAGUUGCCCUGAUGAACUAAGAAAAGAUGCUUUUUUUUAAAAAACUGAUGCCCUAAGCUAAAGCUUCAUUUUUAACAAUGGAGGCACGGCUCUGGACUGGUUCUGUUUCACGUUUUCACGUGUGAAUUUGGAAACUUGCAUGUCUUUUUGGUAAAGUGUUAAAUGAAACAUUACAUGUUGCCCACUGAAUAAGUCAUAAAGUCAUAACACUUCGAGUGGAAUCUUUUGACUUUUAAAAACAAUCUUGGUGAGAUAGCGACUAAUAACACAUCUUCCACCCUUCAAAUAUAAGAUAUGCUAUUUAGUUAUAAACGCAAUACAAGCAGUAACUAAUGUAAAUAUUAUCUCACUGUCUGUAGGAAUUAAGCCUUUUGCCACCAUGUUCCAUUGGGACACACCACAAGGUCUUGAAGAUGCUUACGGUGGAUUCCGUGGCUCAGUGAUUGUGUAAGUAAUCCAAAUUUUUAUAGCAUUUGUAAUAACUUAAUAAGGAAAAGUUUCAAGUCAAACUGGCCAUUACAAUUAAACUAGAUUAAGAUCCGCGCAAGGCGCGGAAUGAACAUUAUAUAUAAAUUAUUUUUACGUAUUAUAUAUAUCUUUUUACAUAUUAUAAAAUAAUAAUUAUCUAUUAAAUUUAUAAAAAAAACAGUAACUAUUACGUAUAUUAUUAAAUUGAUGCGAACACAUAAAUAAAUUUAAGUAAUCCGAACAAAUGCUUUUUCUAUUUUACAGGGUCUAUAAAUAAAUUCAAAUUAGAUUAACAUAUAUAUGUAGUGUAUUUUUAAUAUUCAUAUUUAUUAAAUUAUUUUGUCUAAUAGUUUUACUCAUAUUGUUUUUUGAUUAUUUGUAUUUUUUUAUAACAAAAAUUUCAUUGAUGACAAAAAAUUAUUGUGUGAUGUUUAUUAGUUUUAGUAAUUUAUAAUUUUUUUAAAAAAUUCAAUGCAAAGUUUAAAAUAUUAAAUAUUAAUUUGUCAAUAUUUGUUCAAAGAUUUUAUCAAAAAAAUUGUUCAAAGCAAAUUUCAAAAUUAAAAUAUUUAUAUAUUCUUAUAUGGUAUAUAGUAUAAUUUAAUUUAUAUAUAUAUAUAUAUAUAUUUAAUCUUAAUAUUUAUUAAAUGAGAUUUCAUACUUAUAUGAUUUUGUAAUCAUUUGUAUCUUGUCAUGAUAAAAACUUUAAACCAUGAUUCACAAAAUUUUUAAUGUGAGACUUUUAACUGUUUUAGUAAUUUAUAGUUGUUUUCAAAAAUUCAAAUAUAACAUAUACAGAAAAAUCUAAACUUUUAUUAUAUGGUUAAUGUGGUUGUUUAAUUUAUUUUAAUAAGUUAACUGAAAAAAUGAGGAUACACUAAUUUUUAUGAUUUAAAAUCAUUAAUUGUCAUAUAUACUUUAGCCACAUUAGGCAAUUGCGUAAUUUUUAUUUAUGGAAAAAAUGAAGAACAUUGAUAUUUAAUUUAUAGUUAGUUUAAUAAAAACUUAUUAUAUAUUUAGAUGUACCAACCUACUUCUCUGGAGAUUCUAAGAAUCAUUGUGGCGAUGACACAUGGGUACAUCAAAUGUUGUAAUGUUUCUCUUUUAAUAUAUAUAAUAUAUAGGAGAUAUACUAACAGCAAAUGAUUUUAUUGGAUUUUUGUUUUGUUUUGGCGGAUGAAACAGAAACGAUUUCCGUGAUUAUGCGGAUAUUUGCUUUAAGAAUUUUGGAGAUAGAGUGAAGCACUGGAUGACACUGAACGAGCCAUUGACAGUGGUGCAACAAGGCUACGUCGCAGGUGUAAUGGCUCCAGGAAGAUGCUCCAAAUUCACAAACCCUAACUGCACCGCCGGAGAUGGAGCCACCGAGCCUUAUAUCGUCGGUCACAACCUUAUCCUUGCUCACGGAGCCGCCGUCGAGGUCUACCGGAAAAAAUACAAGGCGAGUAAAAAACAAGAUUCUACUCUGUUUCUUGCUAUUCAAGUUACUAAAAUUAAUCAUGUUUAUGGAAAUAUUAGGCUGAAAAUAAACCUAACUAUGAAUUAUCGCAUGCUUUUACGUUUAUUUAUCUGCGGAUCAUAACAAAUUUGCUCUUGAAUGUUGUUCAACAGGCAUCUCAAAAGGGUCAAGUUGGUAUCGCUUUGAACGCGGGGUGGAACUUGCCCUAUACAGAAUCGGCGGAAGAUAGGUUAGCUGCGGCACGGGCCAUGGCCUUCACAUUUGACUACUUCAUGGAGCCACUCGUGACCGGUAAAUACCCUAUCGACAUGGUGAACAACGUAAAAGGCGGUCGGUUGCCUACUUUCACUGCACAACAAUCUAAGAUGCUUAAGGGCUCAUAUGAUUUCAUUGGCAUCAAUUAUUACUCUUCCACUUACGCAAAGGAUGUCCCCUGCUCCACCGAACAGGUUACAAUGUUCUCUGAUCCUUGUGCCAGUGUCACAGGUUCGUUUUUGCUUCAUCCAACAUCUUUUUUACCAUUUUACAACAAAAUUAAUCGAAUAUUUAUCCGUGAAAAAAAAAUGUUAUUAGGUGAAAGAGAAGGUGUUCCCAUUGGUCCAAAGGUACUUUGUCUAAAUUAAUCUCCUAAAAUCGUGCAUUUUUAGGUUAAAACUACACUGUCUGUCGUUCAAAAAAAAAAAAACUAUACGGUGUAAGGAAUGAUUAACUCCGGUCUCUUAGCCGGAGUUCUUAACUCAUGAUUUGACAUUUUUUUUGUUUUUUUUGUUUUUACACUUUUCGGCUAAGAGACGGCUUUUAUAUCUCUUAACCAAAGCUAAGAACUCUAGUUAAGAGACCGGGGAUAAUGAUGGUAUAAGAGAAUUACCCAUUUAAUAUGUGUUUUUAUUUAUUUUUAUAGGCUGCAUCAGAUUGGCUUUUGAUAUAUCCAAAGGGUAUUCGUGAUCUUGUCCUCUAUGCAAAAUACAAGUUCAAAGACCCGGUCAUGUACAUAACCGAAAACGGUAAUUCACAAGGCCAUGAGCUUUCUUUUGAUUGAUAUAUACAUUUAUGAAUAUUCGACAAUGAGUUCUAGUUUCUGGAUGAUAUAUUUAUUGUAGGGAGAGAUGAAUUUAGUACGGACAAAAUAUUCCUCAAAGACGGCGAUAGAAUCGAUUACUACGCUCGACAUCUCGAGAUGGUUCAAGACGCAAUCUCGUAAGUAUUUUUAUGCUAUGUUAACAAACAUAUACAUUUAUGUAACGGUGUUGGCAAAUGCUAUUGUUAAAUGAUAUUAUAGGGUGGGAGCCAACGUCAAGGGAUUUUUUGCGUGGUCUUUGUUGGACAACUUCGAGUGGGCAAUGGGAUACACCGUCCGGUUCGGGUUGGUUUAUGUGGAUUUCAAAGAUGGAUGUAAGAGAUACCCCAAGAAAUCGGCUAAGUGGUUUAAAGAGUUGUUGAAUCCAAAGAAAAGCAAUUGAUGGAAACUAUAAUAUUCCGUUUUAUUAAUGUCGAUGUUACUUUGAGAGAGUUAUUACCAUUUUUCUCAGUUGGAAAUAAUGAGCAAUGUUUUUUUUUUUUGGGCGAAGCAAUGGGUUUAUAUGUUUAGUUAUUUAUACAACGGGGUGAUCGGUUGAGAUUUAUCUUUUUAUUUUAGUUUUAUUUAUUUUUAAAUUACUAAACUUUACCAACUAUGUUGUAACUUUAUUUUUAAAAGUUAAAACCUAAAUCAAGUUUUUAUAAACUUUUAUCAAUCAUGUUUUAUCUUUAUUUUUAAAGCUACAACAAAAAAAAAACUAAAGCAAAUUUUUUUUUUAUGUAUUUUAGGUAAAAAACCUAAAACUUUCUUUUAUAGGCUGUAGAAUCUGUGAAAUAAAAAAACUAUUUAUAAUAUCAAAUAAAUUAGAUAAUCAUAAUUAAAAACAUCUAUAAAUAUUUAAUUCAAUUUUGAGUGCUGUAAAAAUUAUUGAAAUAUUUUAAAUAAAAUGUAUUUUAUUUAUAUAUCACAUUUUAAAUAACAAUAAACUUUGAGAAUUUAUAAAAUAUAUUAAUAUAAAUUAUUUAAUUGAUAAAAUAAUAAUUAUUUUAUAUAUACAUCACGGAUUUCACAUAUUUUAUUUUAAAAUAUCUACAGCCUAUAAUUUACAACUACAACAAAUUUAACUACGACAAAAAUCUCUGGAAAAAAAUCAGCAGUAACAACUUUACAGGUACAACCAAUUUACAUACAGUUAAACUUUUACAGCUACAUUUUUUAGAGCCACACUCCAACCAAUCACCCCUAAUGAACCCGAUUGUCUUUUGAAUAAAAUAACUUGAUUGAUUUUACUCUACAGCAUAAUUUUUCAUGUCUUUUUUGAUAAUUUCAUGGUUCUUAGCGAUGAUAAUUUGUGGUAUUAUGAGUUGGAUUAUUUGAAAAUUUUGAUUGCACAUCCAUGUGCAAAGUUGAAAGUAAUACAAGCUGGAUUUGAGAUUUUGGAGAUUAUAAAUAUUUUUUUAGAAUUUUUUAAAAGCAAAAUCUCCAAAAACAAAUUGGGGGUCAAGCACAAUGUUUCACAUGAUUGUGGCUAGAUCUGGCGUGGUAAUACUAUACUAUCUCCAAUCCACCUCUAUUUUUAUCUCUAUAUUUUUUUUUAAAUAGAAAAACUCUAUUAUAGAAGUGAAAAUGCUCCAAUGUAUGUCUUUACAAUAGAGUUCCUCUAUUUAUAGAGGAAAAUAUAGAGAUAUGUUAUUUUCACCUCUAAAUAUAGAGACAAAAAAUAACUUUCCUCUAUAUUUUCUUCUAAAAUAGAGGCAUACAUAGCAUUUUUAUUUCUAUAAUAGAGAUAUAUAUUUUAGAGAAAAUUAUAGAAGUGUACAUUGGAAAUGCUCUUACAAUUAUUGGAUCCCGUGUGGGAUAAUUCUUUUUUUUUUGAAAUAUUGUAAAUUACAUUAAUAAGGGUUUCAUUUUGUUAGGUUCUAGAUGAGAGAUAUGUUUCUUAGGGAAUUUUCAACUCCACUACAAAUUUUAUUCUAAAAUAGAAUAGAAAAUACAAUGAUGAACAAAAAAAAUAAAAUAUUAUUCAAUUAUAGAGUAAUGCUUUUAUUUUAUUUUUCUUAAUUACUUUAUUUCUCAUUCUAUUUUGGAGUAGUAUAUAGAAUGAGAUUAAAGAUGCUUUUAGGCGAGCGUUUGCCAAGGCCUAUUACAAACUCUAGAAAUAAAUGAAAACCUACAAACAGCAAAAGAGGAAGAUAGGGACACGAUGACCGAGAGGCUGAGAGCAAUCAGUUGAGCUCCGAUGUGGGAAUAUCCUAUUAUACACAUUCAAAUAGAAUAUCCGACUACUGAAUAUAAACAAAGGUAUGGGUUCGAUCUCACUCACCAUAAACGUUUUAAAUGUCAAAAUAUUACUUUCUAGAUAUACUCGGAAAUUAGUUAGAGUCUCCAUCCAUGAUCUACCCCACUAUACAUAUUACUAUGUAACACUUAAUCUAUCCAAUGCAGAAAUAUUCUAUUAGUAGGUGAAUAAACAUUAUAUAUAAAUUAUUUUUACGUAUUAUAUAUUCUUUUACAUAUUAUGAAAUAAUAAACAUAUAUUAAAUAUUAAAAAUUCAGUAACUAUUACGUAAAUUAUCAAAUUGAUGUGAACACUUAAAUAAAUUUUAUUAAUCCAAACAAACACUUUUUAUUUUAUAUAGUCUAUAAUUAAAUUUAAAUGAUAUUAACAUAGAUAUAUAAUAUAUUUUUAAUAUUAUAUUUAUUAAAUAAUUUUUCUACUCAUAUUGUUUUUUGAUCAUUUAUAUCAUUUUAUAACAAAAACUUUAAAUCAUCGAUAACAAAAAAUUUCAUUGUGUGAUGUUUAAUAGCUGUUAUAAUUUAUAAUUUUAAAAAAAAAGAGUUCAGUGCAAUUAAAAUUAAACUAUUAAGUUGUCAAUAUUUUUUCAAAGCUAUUAUCACAAAAAAAUUCAAAAAAAAAAUUAAAAUUAAAUUAUUUAUGUAUUUUAUAUGGUAUAUAGCUAAUUUAAACGUGCCUUUUAUUAUUAGAUAUGAUUAAAAUAAUAACUAAUAAAUGUUAAAAAAAACUUAAUAUAUAUAUAUAUAUAUAUAUAUAUAUAUAGAUGAACCAAUGUAUUUCUCUAGAGAUUCUAAGAAUUAUUGUGGUGGUGACACAUGACUACCUCAAAUAUUGUAAUGUUUCUCUUUAAAUAUAUAGGGAUACACAUUCAAAAUAUUUUUGUAUGUAGCUAAUGAAUAUAAACCAAGGUAUGGAUUCGAAUCCCACCAUCAACAGUUCAACUCGUUAAUUUUAUUUAUUUUUGGUGUAAAUGUUAACUCGUUAAUUUUAUUGAUGUAAGUAGAAGUCAAUAAUCUUAAUUUUGAGCUAUUACUGAAGAAAAUGGUUUUACGUUCCCGCAUAUAUCACUAUCACUGAAAGCUGUGUUUGGACAUAUGAACAAAAAAGGUCAGAGAACGCAUGGCUUUGGUAGUUGAUCACAUGAAUAACAUGACAUAAGAUUAACUUUAUAUUAUUUGAAAUAUUAGCAAAAAUCAUGGUCAGAGUUUAUUGCUAAUGACGGUGAAACUUUCCCAAUUUUGACAAUGCUUAACUUUAUAUGAACUACAUAUGUUUUAAAAGUAGUGUACAGAUUCACUUGUGCUCGCUACUUCAAACUUAUGAAUGAAGACAUGAUUGAGACAACAUCCAUACAGCUUCUCACUAGCCCAAACUAGUGGCAUCCAAAUGCAAAUAUUAUAAAGUACGAUUAAAUACAUAUAAUUGAUAGUGCACAAAAAAAAAAAAUACAUAUAAUUGAUAUCCAUGUUAAAAGUAGAAAAAGCUUCCCAUACCUUGCAUGUAUGGAAUUUCAUGUUUUAAAAUUAAGUUAUUUCAAAAUUCAAAUUUCAAGAGCAUUCAUAAAAUACUCAAAAUAGCAUAUAAAUAAAACAUUAGAAUUUAAUAAAAGACAAACAAGAAAAAAUAGACCACUUUUAAUAAAAGUCAGUAGGAAUUAAUGAACAUUUAAUAAAAGUAAUUAACAAUAUUUUCGUCACUGUCUCUCUGGCGCUAUAUAUAUCAGAUUAUAACGUUAAAAUUUAAAUUGUUAACGGUAUCAAGGUAACUUAACCAAAUGCGAUUUUUUAAAAUUACAUUAUUGGCUUCAUCAAUAUAACUAAAUUAUGAGUUACCGCUUUUACAAAAGUAUAUAUUUUCUAAAACACCACCUAAUAUUAAGUGUGAUUCUAAUCCACCGAUAAAAUAAUGAACCAAUAUCUGGAUAUAAACCAAGUGACGGUAGUCUAGUGCCAACCUCUUGGAGUUUGGUGUGUAUCCACAUCAGUUUUGGAAUUCGAUUCUCUCUAAGAACUAAAUUAUCACCAUUUAGUCAGUUUAGGCUUGGACUUCGGUCCAAGUGGUUUACAUGGUGGGCCGUAAUAGAUGAUCGGUACAUCUCAUGUUAUUAGUCGGAAGGUAUUCCAAACUCGGAUCAAGCAGUGUGAUACGCUUUCGGGCUAGUCUACUCUGUAACAUUAAGUGCAUUCAUCUCCGGGCCGACGGGAUCAGCCGUUAGGUUGUGUAAAAAAAACUGGAUAUAUAUCCAAAUAUAAGAUGAUUCAGAUAUUUGCAUGAGAUAAUCUUCUUUUAUUGAACUGUAUUGGAUUUUCUUGAUAAGCGUUACAAAAUUUUAAUUAAAAGCUGUUUUCACAUUUCAAUCACUAAAAAUCCAAUUCCCUUGGGGUAACAAACUCGAAUGCCACAAAAAUAAAGACCAAAUCGCCAGAAAAAGGGUUUGGAUUUUAAUUAAUAUUACAUCAGCAGUCAGGCUUACAUGAAAGUCCGUAAAAGGAAACGGCAGCUUUUUGAACGUGAAUUUUUUUUUUUUUUUUGAUUAACGUGGAGGGACUUCCACCGGCCAACCCCUCGGCGCGAGACGGACUAUUUGGUACUAUGAGGAAUUAGAUACCCCAAUUGUCUGGCCAGCGGUUCGAACCCGGAUGUGUAUUGAGGCCGAAGCUCUCUCAACACCACCAGACCAACCCCGCUGGUUAAAAAAAAAAAAUUUGAACGUGAAAGUUACAAGCGUUCCAGAGAGUUUAUUUAAAUGCAAGAGUUUUCGAUAUUGUACACUGAACAUAGUCGAUAUCAAGACCACAUUCAGUUUUCACUUGUCGAAACACACGUACAAGCACAAGGUACACACAUAUCUAAACUUAAGCAGUGAUCACGACAAUAUUCACAGAUGAAAAUGAACAGAAGCCAAGAAUAGGGUCGAAUUUGGGAGUAGAAGGAAAAGGAAGCCGAAACUGAGUUCUCUUCAUAAUUUUGUACCAUGAUUUUUCUAUUGAAAGUAGUUACAUGGAUUUCAUUAUUUAAUUAAUCCUAGUUAAGUCACUUAUAUGCUACUAUAUAGAGUUCAUAAUUAUAUGGAAUUUAUAUUAAAAAUAUAUAUAUAACUAUAAGGAUAUACCUUUCCACGUAGGCCAACGUUAAGAGACUCUAUAUAUAAGAAGAGAAACGGCUAAGUUUGCAACAUCUACGAAUCUCAUCAGCUUUCAAGAAAUACAUAACUUUUUAUUAAUCCAAAAUAUAAGAACCAAAUUAAAUGAAGGUGAAAUUUUUCAUCCUCCUUUUGAUAAUCUCAUGGUUGUCUAAGAAGAUUACUUCACUUCCUCCUGAAUCUCGAGUAGUAGAUCGUCGUAGUUUCCCUGAUAACUUUGUUUUUGGAACUGCUGCGUCUGCUUUUCAGGUAAUAUUUCAGUUGGUAACACUUGAGAAACUCCAUUAAUUUUAAUUAUGAAAGUGUAAUUGGUUAUGGACUUAAUUAUGGUUUUGGAAAAUAAUGUGAAAUCGAAGAAUCGUACGUACUUGUAUGUAUUAUUCCCUUUGAUGUGGAAUUCAACAUUCAAAUCAAAUUUUAAAAGCAAUAUAAAGUCAUCAUAUUAUAUAUGUGUUGCAAUUAGGACGAUGACGUUGGUUUUAUUCUUCACCUUUGUAGUGUCACAAUGAAUUAUAAAUAAACAAUUGGUAUAGGUAUAGGCAUAUAGCUUGUAAAUAUUUUUUAUUAUUAUAUAUGCUGCUAAUGUGUCUAAGCUCGUCCAAAUGUAUAUUCUGUAGUACGAAGGUGCAACAAGUGAAGGUGGAAAAUCGCCAAGUAUAUGGGAUUACUUCAGCCACACUUUUCCAGGUCUCUAAUACUUUUUUUUUUCUUUUGUAACUGGUACUAUUAGUUGUUUAUAUUGCUUACAUAUAUCUAAAAUUAUAAAUAUGCAUAUAUAUGACAAAAUAUAUAUAUAUAUGUAUAAUGAUUUGUAAAAUUUCGAAAUGCAGAAAGAACCAAUAUGCAGAAUGGAGACGUGGCGGUCGAUUUUUACCAUCGUUAUAAGGUAUGUAUUGUCGAUGAUGUUUUUGUGUGUGUUCAAAUUGUUAUUUUGGACCCAUCAUCUUACUUUACUAAAUAUUUAAAUGAACAAAAAUAUUAUGAACCAGGAUGAUAUCAAGUUGAUGAAAGAGCUAGAUAUGGACGCUUUCAGAUUUUCGAUUUCAUGGGCUAGAUUAAUACCCAGUAAGUAAAUGUACAUUUUUUUUUAUUACAAUUAAUAUUAUGAGAAUACUUUGGUGGAUUUUCUUAAUUUUUUUGGUAUAUUACUUUAAAGGUGGGAAGGUAAAGGAUGGAGUAAACAAAGAAGGCGUAAAAUUCUACAAUGCUCUCAUCGACGAGCUUAUUGCUAAUGGUAAGCUGAUUCAAACCCGUAAUGAACAUUAAGUAUAUUAUAUACGUUAGAGUAUAUCUUAUAUUAUCUGGUCCGUUGAGAAAACAUAUAUGUGCAGGCAUUCAACCUUCUAUGUCCCUCUAUCAUUGGGAUCAUCCUCAAACUCUCGAGGAUGAGUAUGGUGGUUUUCUAAGCCCUCAAAUAAUGUAAGCGAACGUAACAAAAUACUCCUAGGCAUAUCUUAUUAUCUUUAAUGUUUAGUCUGUUAUUGAUAUUAAGUUUAAUUCUCUUAAACAGAGAAGAUUUUCGAGAUUUUUCAAGAGUAUGUUUUGAAGAAUUUGGAGACAGAGUUAAGAUGUGGACUACUAUAAAUGAGCCUUACAUCAUAACUGUUGCGGGCUACGAUACUGGAAACAAAGCAGUUGGACGUUGCUCGAAAUGGGUGAAUAGUCAGUGCCAAGCCGGUGACUCCGCUACCGAGCCUUAUAUUGCAUCACAUCACCUUCUUCUUGCUCAUGCCGCAGCUGUACAAGAGUUCCGAAAAUGUAACAAGGUGCAUAUACAGAAGCUUUUAUUUGGUAAUAUAUAUUCUCGUUUAUUUUUGUAACUUUGGUUUUCUAAAUCAAUCAAAAUGAUUGUAUAUAACAGACUUCACAAGACGGUCAGAUUGGGAUAGUGUUAUCACCGUUGUGGUUUGAGCCUUACUCUACUUCUCUUGAAGAUAACGAAGCUGUUAAAAGAGCUCUUGCCAUUGAACUAGAUUGGUAAGUUGUUAUAGAGUUUACAUCAAAUGCAAAACAGUCAAUGUUAUAACCAUAAGAUAUUUUGUUUAUUGUUUUAUUCAAAAUGUAUUCUAGGCACUUAGAUCCAGUUAUCCACGGAGAUUAUCCAGAAAUACUGAAGAAACAACUCGGAAAUAGAUUACAAUCUUUCACUGCAGAACAAUCCAAAAUGUUAAAAAACUCAUCGGAUUUUAUUGGAGUAAACUAUUAUACUGGACGCUACAUUGCUCAUCUUCCUUACGUUGACCCUGCACGACCUCGAUUCAAGACUGAUCAACAGCUAGAAUGGAGAGGUAGUAAGAAUGCUUAUUUUGAUAUCCAAUGAUGAUAUUUUUUAGAGAAAACCAAAAAUUCCUAAACUAAUAUUUACGUCUAUGUUAAUUAACAGUAACAAAUCACAGUAAUCACCAAAUAGGACCAGAGGUACGUACUUUGUCAAACUGUUAAUAAAGCGAAUUAAAAUUUACAUAUGGACUAAGAUUCUAAGAAUAUUAAUGUUCUUUCUUUUGUUACACAGGAAGAUCGAGGCAUACUCCACUCAGUACCAGAAGGUUUAAGAAAAGUUCUUAACUACAUAAAAGAUAAAUACAGUAACCCUACAGUCUACAUAAAAGAGAACGGUGAGUAUUUUUGUUUAGAUUUUUUUUUGUUCUAAUAAACAAUAAAGAAAUUUCAGGUUGUUAACUUCUGUUUGCAAUAAUUAUUAUUUUCUAGGAAUCAAUGACUACGACGACGGUACAAAGUCACGAGAGGACAUUCUCAAUGACACUUUUAGGAUAAAGUACCAUAAGGACCAUCUCCAACAACUCCACAAAGCUAUAAUGUAAAAUAUCAGUCCAUAUAGUUUUAUAAAACGUGUCCGAUUGGUUUCAAAAUAAAAUGCAAACAAAAAAUGGCCUUUUAUUACCAAGUUUAUACAUGAUCUGAAUGUCUCUUAUUACAACAGGGAGGAUGGAUGUGACGUCAGAGGAUAUUACGCAUGGUCUUUGCUAGACAAUUUUGAGUGGGAGCAUGGAUACAAUACUAGAUUCGGUCUGUACUAUGUUGAUUACGACAACAAUCUCGAACGGUAUCCCAAAGAUUCUGUUAACUGGUUCAAGCGAUUUCUCAAUAGACUUGACGUAAAGAGUGAAAUAAAGAAGGAAGACGUAUGGGAUGUGUCACGUAAUAAUAAGACUCUUGAUGAUGAUGCAAAAGGUUUCGAGGCAUCCGUUCGCACGAUUAUCUAUCAUAUGACGAAUUCAUCGAGAAGAGAAGAAGAAGAAGAGAAGGAUCGUUGCACUUUGGAGGUUCCUUAUAAUCGGUUGGAUUUGUCGAUGGGUACUUAUACUUCUUUUGGACUCUAGAAAUACUUCGUGGGUAAAAAUUCUUCAAUGGAUGCGAUAUGCAUAUGGAUUAGAUUUUUCUAGUAAUCAAUGAAAAUUGUCGGUGUAAAAAAAUGGUUAAGUUCAUAUUUUUUGUGUGUAUUUUAGUCGGCAUUUUAGAGCAUAAUCAACCGGGAGAUACUAUGACAAGAGUUUCUCAACUUAUUUAUUAUAAUCAUUAACACAACCAAAAAUUAAUUAUAAAAUGAUUUCACCAGUCAAAACAUUACAAAUAUCAUGACAGCUUCUCAAUUUUGAAUAAACUUCUUUCUUUAUAUUGAUCCGACCGAAAAAGUCUUCUCUCAGGCACGCUUCCCUAGACAGUUCCAACUGUCUGAUUUUUUUCCCUUUUGGUCAACUCCCUCCGGUUUUCGCCUACCUGGUUUCCAUCUUGUAUCUGGUUUACUACCUUUUUUGGUAAAUUUUUCAAACGAAAACCACCUUUGGCUAGCAAACACCGGGUUCAACCCCUGACAUCCUGUCGGAGGGUCAGCGACGCCGUCGCCUCAACCCUUCCCGGACCGACCAAACCUCUACAAGCUUUCCCGUCACCGAACACCAUGGCUGUCUCUCACCGGUUUUAUGCACUCGCCUUGGGAGUCUGCAUCAGCUGAAGCCCUAUUUUUUCAACAACGGUGUUCCAAAUCUUCUCUGUUCAUAGAGCUUUCUCUAGAAGUUACUACUCUACGCUUCCCUCUCACUACCGAAAUCACCUUUGCUCUGUUAUAGAGUUUCAACUUAUUUUGCUACUGUCAGGACAUCUCCCUGAAGUAUCUCUGAGCUAGCGAUGGCUCACAAGUACUCAAGAUCAGAAAAGGAAAAAUGGACUGCGAAACCCACCACCUCUAGGAAGAAAUCUCCUAUAAAGAUACCAGCCAGCAACAAUGAGGCUCUAAUUGCUAACAACCUCCUCACGCUCAUUGAACGAGUAACUAACCCCCGCUUCCAAAGGCCACGAGCAAUAGUUGACAUUAUGCCUCAAAUCUGGAAUCUUGAAGGACGAGUAGAAGGCAGAGACCUUGGGCCUGAGCUCUUAUUUUUUUUUUUUGUGCACCAACUGAUUAAAUAAAACUUAAAGGUUCAAUACAAAAGCAUUUAAAGUUUGCUUGGCUAGUAAGUCAACAGAGGAAACAGAGUCUCUGUUAACCCAGCGAAAAGAAACAGAGGUGAACGCCUCUUUCAACGUUUUGAUGUCCGAUAAGAUUCCAUGCAAAUCUGCGUAGGAUGAGUCCUCUAGUAUUGCUGUCACCAACAUCUUCGAGUCUGAUUCAAAAGAGAUUUGAUUGUAAUCUAAUACCAGUGCCUGCUCCAUUGCUGCGCGCAAGGCAAGCCCCUCCGCCACGAGGGGUGAUUUCACAUAGGUGAAAAUUUCUGAAUCCGACCUAUUGAGACCAGAAUUCAGUUGUGAGAAGUUCCAAGCUGCUCCCGCAGCCAUUCUUUCCUGAUUCCAGGCAGCGUCAGUUUUGCAGGUGAUUCCAAUUCUUAUUGUUUCUCCCGCCCGUUUCUUGGAAGGUUCAGGGUCCGUCUUCUUUUCCUGCGCUACUGCCCAUUCCUUAGCAUCCACAAUCGCCUUCGUAACCACUUCCUGAGGUGUAAAGAUUUUCUCUUGGAAGAUUCUGUAGUUUCUUGUGGUCCAUAACCUCCAUAUUACCCAGGCUGUGAUUGAACCAGCAUUUACUCCCGUAGGUGGUAGGCUCACCGCACCAACAACUGCGAUCCAAUUAUCAACAAAACGAUCCGACUCCAAGGGCAAUAUAUCAUUCUUGACUGGGACCAUUCUCCACACUUCCUGAGCAAGAGGGCAUGAGAAAAAGACGUGAUCUAUAGAUUCCACGGCUCCGCAAACGCCACACUCAGCUGUUGGGAUAAUGUUCCGAGCUGCUAGUCUCUCAUUGACUGGGAGGCCUCCAUGGAUCGCUUUCCAUAUUAGUAGUUUGAUCUUCGUUGGUGUAUGCAACUCCCACACUUUCUUAAUCCAUGGGACCUGUCUUAAUGCUGCAGCCCCUGCCUCAUCCGGCUUAUCUUCUAAAGCCGCUAGGUAUCCAGACUUCGUAUUAUACUUCCCAGAAUCAUGUUUUAACCAGAUUCUCUUGUCGGGGCCUUUCUCCUUGCUUGGUUUGAUACUUAGUAUCUUAUGGGCGAUCUCUGGGAACAAAGUUUCCACUUUACCUAUGUCCCACUCGCACGAAUUUGCUUGAAAUAGGGUCUUGACAAAGGCUUCAUUAGUCUGUUCAGUUGCUGGUCCCAUCGGUGUCUCUGCUUUGGUCGUUGAUAGCCAUGCAUCCGACCAUAUUUGGACUGUCUCUCCAUUGCCUAUUGCCCAUCCAAGGUGCUUAUUGACCAAGUCUCGCCCAAUCAGUAUACUUCUCCACCCGUGUGAACAGUUCUGUGACGCUUGGACCUCUAGCAGCGGACUGUACUUACAGUAUUUUCCCUGCAGUAUACGUGCUAGUAAACAGUCCGGGUUCUCCAAAAUCCGCCAACUUAAUUUGCCCAGUAACGCGUCAUUGAAACUUUGAAUGUCUCUAAACCCAAGGCCUCCAUCUCUUUUCGAGUUUGUCAUCUUACUCCAUGAGAUCCAUGCCAUCUUCUGUUGGUCUUGGUUUGGAUCCCACCAAAAUCUAGUUAAGGCGGACUGAAUUCGUUUGCACAAAGAAGUCGGUAACUUGAAGCAAGACAUCGAGUGGUUCGGCAUUGCCGAGAGAACCGACUUAAGCAUAACCAUUUUGCCCGCUGAAGAUAGGAAUCGCGUUGACCACCCCUUAGCUUUUUGCCGGAUUCUGUCCACUGUUGAGGUGAAAAGAUCUUUUUUCCGUCUCCCAAAAUGCUCGGGUAGUCCAAGAUACUUCCCCACUCCCCCCUCCUUUUGUAUAUCCAGCUCCUUUUUUACUCUGUCUUUCAGGCUCUGUGGCGCUUUCCGGGAGAAUGUAAUUGCUGAUUUCUGCUUGUUUAUCAUCUGUCCUGAUGCUUGCUCGUAUAGCUUCAGUAUCUCAUUCAGCUUGUUGAUGCUCUGUUGGUUUGUCCGGCAGAAAAACAUCGUGUCAUCUGCAAAAAGGAGAUGAUUGACUCGAGGGCAAUCUGUUGCAACUCGGAUUCCUUGUAACGAUCCCUCGCUUUGAGCUUGCAAGCAUAACCCGGAAAGGACUUCACUGCAAAGGAUGAACAAGUAAGGAGACAGCGGGUCUCCUUGCCGCAAACCUCGUGUUGGAAUGACUCUCCCUUUGGCCGUGUCAUUGAUCAGAAAAGAGAAAGAGACUGUAGUCACACACUGCAUAAUCAAGCCGACCCACUUCUGAUCGAAACCCAAUCUUUUAAGAACUAGCUCAAUGAAGCUCCACUCGAGUCUAUCGUAUGCCUUGCUCAUAUCCGUCUUAACAGCCAUGGAGCAAUGCUUACUAGCUGUAGACGUUUUGAGGAAAUGGAGAACUUCAUGUGUUAUGAGCACAUUGUCGGAGAUGGCUCGAUCCGGUACAAAAGCUGACUGAUUUUCUGAGAUUAAGGUCGAGAGGAUCGGUUGUAGUCUUCGGGUGAGAAGCUUAGAGAUUAUCUUAUAGUAGACGUUGCAUAGCGCAAUUGGUCUAUAAUCUGCUACAAACCGAGGUCCUUCUCCCUUGGGUAUCAGCCUGAUGUGCGUGUCAUUUAUACCGUUCGGCAUUAGGCCUGAUGCGAAAAAGGUUUGAAUCUCUCGGACUAUGUCAUCUCCGACUGUCUUCCAGUUGGCCUGGAAAAAACCCGCAGAGAAACCGUCCGGCCCAGGAGCUUUAUCCGAAUGUAUCGAAAAUACUGCCAAUUUGAUUUCCUCCGCUGAUGGUUCUCCUACAAGCUUCUCAUUGUCAGCCGCAGUGAUCAAUGGAGAUAGCGCCUGGUUAACGAUUUGUUCACGUUCUUCCUCAUGAGAGGUGAAAAGUUCUGUGAAAUAAUUCACGAUAGUUUUGGUGAUUGCUUCUUCCUUGUGAUGCACUCCACCUUCGGCAUCCUCUAGAACAGAGAUACAAUUUCUAGCUUUCCUACCCUUUGUUGUGGCAUGGAAAUAGCCUGUGUUCCGAUCACCUAGGCUGAGCCAUAGGGUCCUGCUCCUCUGUCUCCAAAACUCCUCCUCAGACUUAUAUGCCUCUUUCAGCUCUUGGUUUAGGAUUGCUAGCAGGGCUGCAUCAUCAUUAGCGCUCGUCAUUGCCUCCUCAAGAUCGUUCUUCCUUUGCUCAAUGAUCUCCCUGCUGUUUCUCUGUUGCUCUUUAUUCCAUUUUACUAUUGCUGACCGCACAAUGGCUAUUUUCCUGGAGACAGGUGCUGUUCCGGAUUGUCUCCAAUGUUUCUCAACUAAUUCUUGAACUGCAGGGUUGUCUUUAAGUCUCCUGUCAAACCGGAACAAGCCUUUACCCUUCCUUCGUGUAGUGUCAAAACAAGUAAUGAUGGGCUUGUGAUCUGAUCCUCCGAACUUAAGAUACUCGCUGUGACCUGCAUAGAAAUCCUCGUACCAGCUGCUGUUUGCAACAGCCCUAUCCAGACGGCAACGUACUACAUGGUCAUGUCUAACUCCUCGCCAAGACAAAAAGUCCCCUGAAUGUUUUAUAUCGUAUAGAUCCCCUUCAGACAUGAAGGAACGCAGAUCAACAAAAGAGCUCUCUGGUCUUUCAGCUCCCCCUGAUUUCUCUUGCCCGUUUAAGAUAUCAUUGAAAUCUCCUGAGAGAAACCAGGCUCCACCUCUCAACGCGUUGAUUUGUACGAGUUCUUUCCACAUGUUUCUUCGUUUGAUAUUAUCAGUAUCCCCAUAAACAAAAGUGGCAUAAAAACUUUUUCCUUCAUAUUGAACUCGAGAAUCAACAUAGUUUUUACACGAAGUUAAAACUUCCAACAUAACUUCUUGUUUCCAGAACAAAGCGAGGCCACCUCCCCUCUGAUCACUUGUUGAAACAAGAUGGUGAUUGCUAUAACCCAACGAAGACAGUUUUCGAAUAACAAAGUCGUCAGGAUUCUUUGUUUCCGAGAGGAACAAGAUGGAAGGACUCAUACUCUUUUGUAUGUCCUUUAGGCUCUGGACUGUCAAAGGGUUCCCCAAGCCUUGACAGUUCCAGCAUACUACUUUUAAGGAACUGGAGGAGGCGGAUUGUGAAAAUCCUUCCUCUGUUUUGAGGCCGCUGGGAUGAGUCGAAUUGGCGGUCUACUGCUUCCUGGCACUGAACCCUGCUGGCUACCAUUUCCUCUAUUGGUUGUCAAGAGCUCAGCUUUCUUGGUAGUAGGUUUUGAUUGUCUAGUACUCGUUCUCCUCUUCGGGGAAACUCUUACUUGAGAAACUUUUCGCUUUGCUACCCCCGAGGAGCCUGCAGUAGCUGUAUUAACGCCCAAGGGCUUCUUAGUAGGGGGUCUGCCUAGUCUUUUCCUGGCCGGGACUCUUCCCGUCUCAAGGGUGACUCCAACGUUUUCUUCCUCUUGGGUAGCCGGUCCCAAUCUCUGGGUUACAGGGACUCUUGUGGCAAGCGGCUCAGUGUCUACUAGCUCCAAUGCAGGCCUAGAUUCCUUCAUUAACUGUCUGGCUAUUUGUUCAGUUGAUUUCUCGACUUCUCCUUGCUCCUCUGCUCUUCUCAGUCUCUCUUUUCUGGCCGCGCUUUCUGUUGGAUCUGCGCAAGAGGUAUAUUGAAUCAUUACUUCUCUAAGCUCCUCUCUAGCUUCUACCAUAACUUCAUCAGGUAUUGGUUCUUCUCGUAUUUCUGGAAGUUCAGCUCUUCCUUCAUCCGCGUGUGGGGCUCCUGUCGAACCCUCCAAUACCCUCACCGGAGGUGAGCCCACAAAAGAUCUUUCAUCUUCUCGACUGUUUCUGAAAUGUGAGGCAGAUCUUUCCCCUUCUCUUAAAAGUUCUCUCUCACUAGCUCGAGAUGAGUGUUGGAAUCUCCGUCCAGUUGUUACCCAUCUUUCUGUACCACGACUAUCUCUAUGGUUGUAUCUCAGAUGACCAGCAGCGUCUUCCCUUCUUGAAUGGGACUUAGCUCCAUACCUUUCCUCUUCCAUUGUCUUCCAAGAUCUAUUCUCCCUAUUAUAGCUUCUCUCCACAGGAGGGCGGUAAAUCUGUCGGGAGUUCUUCGGAUUGGGUGGUUGACUUGCGUUAUACGUUUCGGAUCUCUGGAGGCCCCUUCGCUGGUCUUGGUAGCCCCUCUCUGUCCUUUCAUUCUCAUGACGACGGGUAUUGAGGGUCAGCUUUUGUUUGUCCUCAGUGUCUUUUUUCGCUUUCUCCUCUCUUUCUUGCAAAGCCUCAGGGCAGUCCUCUGCUUCGUGACUGAGCAUUAGGCAUCUGCCACAAUGUUUCUCAAGUUUUUCGUACACAAGCGCAGCAAUGAUUUCCUUCCCCUGGCCGAGUUCCAGAGUAUACUGUUUGAUCAGCGGUAGUAAUCCAUUUAUUUGUGUUCUCAGUUUGAUGGAGCCCGGGAGUAUUUCACAACUUUCGUACUUUCCCAAAUCUUCACCUAUUCCUCUUAGCACAGCCUCGUUCCAGAGAUGCAACGGAACACCUUGGACUCUUAUCCAAAACGGGAUUUGAGAUGGGAAGGUGGGGUCAAUCGAGGGCUCCCAUUGCUGAAGUAUUAUCAUCCACCUUGCGAAAUGAUAAGGUCUGUUCGCGAGGACAAGCUGCAUAUCCUCUUGAGACGCGAACUGAAAUUGGAAGAGCCCCUGUCCUAAGUCCGAGCCAACUGCUCGGGUUUUGGUUUUCCAUAGGUCUGAUAAGAAGGGAAUGAGUGACCAUAUACGUUGCAGCUUCGGAUUAGUAGUACGGCCAAUCAAGGUCAGCUCGUGCUUCUUUAUGAGUUCUGAGCUAUCGAACUCUGGGACUCUGAACCGUCCGGUUCUUGGGGCUUCUGUUUUUGAUUGUAAGCCUUUCCCUUUUUCUUCAUAUGAUAGACGUCUCGCCAUCUUGAAGAUAGGGUUUUUGUUGAGACAAGCUUCGAUUCUCAGAGCGUUUUAAAGUUCUUCACCACUAGGGUGUGAAAGAUCUGUAGCAAUCAAACUACGAAAGUGUAGAUUAGUAUCGAAAGUUCUGCUUGAGGGGAGUAAACUACCUUCACGCUUAGGAUACGACGAGAGUGCAAGCUGAAGCGGUAGCUAAAAUCCAGCGAAACUUGGGCGGUGUAGCUAAACGAGCUCCGGUGGUAGACUCCAUGGCUGACGGCGGCCCUCCGACUGGUGUCGGGGGUGAACCCGGCGUGUCUUGGCCAAGGGAUACUGCUUUGGACCGCUGGACAGUUCUAAAAGAGGGAGGCAAUUUGAAUCUAGCCGGUGAGUUGCAGAGAAAUCAGGUCCGGAACUGGCAAUGGACUGGUACGUAAGCAGGGAUACUUUUAUGAAACUAGCGGGUAAUAACUAUUCUCGAGACAGUCACCCGGGAGAGAAAUCGCAUGAGAGAGAAACUCCUAUCGAAUUCAACGGUAAGUUAGCAUAAUGGAUUGUUUUAAUGGUUAUUGAAGGUUUUUCCACAUAUUAUAGAGCAAACUUUAUUGAAGUGGCAUCUUACAAAAUAAAUUUAACCAAAGAUUUUUAAAAAAAAAUAUAUGAAAAACUUUUAUCUUGUAGACAAAAUCGUGAUUGAAGUCCGUUGUAAUGCGGAAAAGGAAUUCAGUUGUUAAAAAACGCAAAAUAAAAUCAUUCUAGUAUUAGUGUAUUUGCAAAUUCUAACUUAGUUUCUAUGUGGAAUUCAUCAUUAAUUUCUGUUAAAAUUGCAUUUAUCAAAUCAUAUUUUUGAUGGUUUAGACAUAUUUUUCAAGAAUUUAUUUUGUUUUUAUAUUCUAUCAACUUCUCUAUUAUUAUCUGAUAGAUUCUAUUAAAUAAAUAAAUAAAAAGUAUCAGACGAGAAAAAAGAUCAUUUUAGUGAUUAGUCUUAGAUCAUAGAAUAGCUUUUGCUUUUGGACCACCAAAACAUGCAUGGCAGUGACAUAACAAGCUAUUUGGGUCAAAAGAAAAAGGGACUCAGACAAACGCAUCAGUAGUAGUACCAAAGGAAAUGAUUCCAGACUUGGAGCUUUCCAUAUCCUUACAAAAGUUUUUGGUUUACAUGGAAGAAAGAUUAAAGGAGGGACCAUGUCCACUCUUGAUCCAUUGAAGCCUUGAGACGUUGUUACAUAUAUAAGAAGACUAAAUUGCUAAUUAAGUGACCAAACACAAAACAACAAAGCUUCAGAAAAACUCAAAAUCUAGAAAUUUACCACCAGCUUUUGUAUCUCCUCCUGCUCCGGAUGCUGCUGAUACUGGUGGUGGUGCUCCCAUUCUCUUGCUGUUACUACCAAACCCAACGGGAUCAAUCGGUCCAUACUUCGGAGGCGGUUCAACCUCCAUCUGCCUCGGCACUUCAGGAGGAGUACCACACCUUAUCAACGCCCAGUUCACUCCUUCAAAAAACGGAUGCUGCUUAAUCUCCGUCGCUCCUCUCUUCGUCCCCAACCUAUUCUUCGGAUCUUUCACCAGCAAAGCCUGAACCAAGUCCCUCCCCGCGUAGCUAGUCGCCGGCGACUCAGGGAACUUCAACUGCUCUCCCACCACAUUAAACAGAGUAGCUCUGUUUCCCGAUCCUUUAAACGGCGUUUUCCCAUAAAGAAGCUCAUGAACAAAGAUCCCAAAAGUCCACCAGUCAACCGCGCUCCCGUGUCCUUCUCCCUUGAUGAUCUCCGGAGCUAAGUACUCGUGCGUUCCGACAAAGGACAUGGACCUCGUGUUAGGCUCAGCCACCAGCUCAGGGAGGGAGCCUGAGUGUGGUCUGAAGACAUCCGUCUGCGUUUUACUACGCGUCUUGUUGUUCUUUUUGCUUUUGUUAGAGAAGAUGCUCCGCGGUGAGAAGCAUGAUGUGGUGGGCUCCAUCAUGCAAGAUGGUUGGACGCAGAAGGCGCUGCGUUUGGAUGGAUCAGAGUCGAAUGUUUUGAUCAGGGUUGGGGAAACUGUGCAUCUGAGGGAGAGGUCGAAGUCUGAAAGCAUUAUGUGACCGUCGUCUCGGACCAGAACGUUCUCGGGUUUCAAGUCUCUGUAGACAACACCAAGCAUGUGGAGAUACUCGAGUGCUAGCAACACCUCUGCAGCGUAAAAUCUGCCAAAGAUACAACAAUGUGAAAUAUAUAAGAAAGUGAGAUCAGUCUUCACUAGAGUUGGGCUAAAUAUCCGGAUCUGAAGAACCGAACAGUACCUAACCCAAAAACCUAGUACCGAAUCUGAAUCGAAAAUAUAAAAUACCCGAACAGAUCCGAAAUUUUAAUAUCCGAAGAACAAGAACCCGAACUGAACGCAAUCCGAACAAUAUAUCCGAAAAUAUCGAACCACAGUUAUGAAAUUAAAUAUAUUACCUAUUUUAGAUUUAAAAUCUAUAAAAUACAUUAAAACAUCUAAAAAAUGAUUCAAAUGUAGCCACAAGUAAUUAUAUGAAAAAUAGCCAAAAGUAGAAAUAUCCAAAAUACAUACCUCUUUUCAAUCCAAAUAUUAAAAUCGAACCAAGUUUCAUGUUAAUUUUAGGUAUUUAAUCUUACAUUAUUCAACUUAAUAUGUUGUAUAUUAUUUUAAUUUUUAGAUUUUGAGAAUUAAAGGUAUAUUUAAAUUUUUGAAAAUUUUACCUAAUUUAGAUGGGUAUCGAACCGAAUCGGCAAGGAUCCAAACCAAACCCAAACUUAAUUUUUUAAAUAUUCAAACGAGGUUUAAAUCUCUAUUUCCGAAAACCCGAAAUCCGAAUAAUCCCGAACAGAGCCUAAACACCCAUAAUGAAACUAAGCUUUUGAGAACACUGAAACCAACAUACCUCGCAGCAUACUCAGAGAAAUGCUUCCCGGGCUGACGCUGCCUCAAAGCAUGCAGAUCACCACCAGGACAAUACUCCAUAACCAAACACGAGAACCUAUCCGUCUCGAAAUGAGCAUACAACGUCGGCAAAAACGGAUGAUCCAACAGCUGCAGAAUCUCCCUCUCCGUCUGAGCCCUAUUCAGCUUCUUCCUAUCCUCAAGAGAAGCUUUAUCCAUCACUUUAACCGCAAAAACACACCGAGUCCCGCUCAACUCCGCUAGAUACACGCUCCCUAUGUCACCACACCCUAACCGCCUCAGCAGCUUGAAGUGACUCAUCCCUAAAACCCCGUCUCGUGCCCGUACAGCCGUUAUUGCAUUCCACCUCGGAUCAUUCCCUUUGUGCGGCUUGUUGAGACUUCCCGUGAAGCUGCUCCAGCUGCUCUCUUCACUGAGCCCGCUACUGUCGCUUGCACUCGUCUUGGCGCUUUCGAACAUGUAGCUCUUGUCCAUGCUGAACACUACAUCGCUCCUCUGAGUAGAGGAAGAGCUGUUGGCGAUGCUCAUGGCUCUGGCGCUGCUGUUGUGUGGACUAGAAUCCCAAACGCAUUCCUUGUCUGAGUGAUCUGUGUUCUGCGACGCACGAGGCAUAGAGAAUGGAGACGGUGACGUGGCAGUUGUUAUGAGAUCCAUGUCGUCUGGCUCUGGAGGGUGGCUAACGCCACGGAAGGAGCUGGAACCAGGCUCUUCGGACAUAUCAUCAGCAUCAGCAGAAGCCACGAUCUCUUCAAUCUCCAGGAGAGGAUAGUUUGUUGAUCUUACCACAGGCUCAAACUCUUGAAACUCGUUAUGGUUACCACCAAACUCUUCUCUGUGCACGUUAAGUACUAAGCCGAGUUCUCUCCCUAGUGUUGUUGUAGUUGGAUUGAUCGGUCUUCCUCCUGUGUUGUUGUACUCAAAAUGCAUAGAAGCAUCUCUACUUUCAAAGUUUGAGUGUUGUCUUCUUGAGAAAGGACCUUUACUAGGAAGUCUCUUAAGCUCAGCAACUCUUUCCAUAUCCAGCGUUCAUGCGAUUUUUAUACCUUUAAAAAAGACCAAAAAUGUUAACUAAAUUAAUCUUUGAGAUCUAUCAACAUAAACAUUAGAAAGAUACAAAAAAAAUCUCUACUAGGACUAUGUUCUGAAUAUUGUCAGAGAAAUAUAUAUAACUAAGCGCGCACACACAAGUAACACGUGAUCUGGUAAUAACCCUCAGGACUAGUUCUGUUUCAAGACAAAGAAGUAAGGACACAAAAGUGAACACGUGAUCUGGUAAUAACAAAGAAGUGAACACGAGUGUGUUUGUGUAUGUGUUUCGAUCUGUAAUUUUCAGAAACCUUGUGACGAGAAUCUAAAUUAAAAAAAGAAAGUAAGAGUGGUGAAGAGAUUUUAGAAUCGUUACCAACCGGAAACAAGACACGAAGAUCGCCGAGAAUCGUGAGAUCGAGUACAAUGCAGCCGUAGCCGGGAGAGAUUUAUCACCGGGAAAUGGAUUUGAAGCAGAGAGAGAGAGAGAAUGAAAGAAGAAGAAAGCCACCUCAAGCUCGAGAAUUGAGGGGUCGGAAGCUGUUAAAGUCUCUUGCUUUAUUAUGUGUGGGCGCUAUCUAUCUUAGCUAGCUAGCUUGCUGCUGCUACUGACGACGGUAACGGAGCAAUAUUAAUUAAAGAAAAAGAAAAGGAGAGUGGGAGCGGGGUCCAGUCAUUAAAGUGGGACCGACAUGUGUUCCUUCUUCAACCUACAAUUUGGUUUUAGACGUUUCUUUUGUUCUGGUUUUUUGAUCAGAGUGUUUUUCUAUGGUUUAAAUCACAAGUCUAUAUGUUAAUUAUUGGGAUUUUCAGCUAAUAUCACUUGUUUUUUUUUUCACUAAUCUUUUGAAUAAAACAGUUUAAAUACACUAGAGAAUCUUGAUCACUACUAGUUUACUACAAUGAAAGAUAUAUUUAGUACUUGUUCAGAGGUAUAUAGUAUACACAAAUUUUACUUUCUCAGACGUAUGAAACUAUUCCUUUUGUUGUGUAAUAAAAUAAAGAAGGAACAUUGAAUAGUGCAGAAAAAAAAGAAUCCUUGUGGACAAAUCUGCUAGGUUAUAAGUUCUCAACAAAAAAUCUGGUAGGUUCCUUUUCCUUAUUCAACCUACAAUUUGGUUGGAGACGUUUAUUUUGUUAUGGUUUGAUCAGGAGUUUUGUUUUUUUUGGUGAGAGAUUCCCUUUUUACUAUGGUUAACUCUAGAUAUAAUUAUAACUCUAGGUUUUUCCAACUAUAAUCACUUGGUUUAGUUUCACUAAUCUAUGAAGAAAACACUUUUUAUACAUACAAAAUAUUGAUCAUUACUACAAUCAAACAUAUAUAGUGGGAGUUUGUUCGAACAAAGGGUAAUAUAGCAUUUGUGAAUAGUACAAACACACAUUUUACUUUGUGAGAGGUAUGAAACUAUUCCUUAUGUUGUGUAAUAAAAAUAUAGAAAAAAAUUCAAUAGUGAAAGAAAGAGGCAAAGAAUCAAACCCUUGUGGAUUUGGUGAAAACGCUUUAUUGACCCACCAUCGCAUUAUGAUUGCUUUUUUCUUAUUUUUCUCACCAUUUCCCAACACUUUCCCCUUUUCUUUUUUCUUUUCUUUUCUGCCCUAUGUAAAAUAUUUGUCUUUAUUUGAAUCUUUUUACGAACAUUUGUUCAUAGAAUUUUGAAUGGUGACCUAGAAGAACAAUCCAAGAGAAAAAAAUGGAGUAAAUGCAACACAGAAUGUGAUCAACAAAUAUAGUUAUUAACUCUAGAGUAAUGAGACAGUUUUCUUUUUUUGAACUAAGAGUGAUGAGAUAGUUAUGAUAAGUAAACAUGGAAGCUAUAACUUUUAGAAUUAGUGAGAAUUAAAGUUGGAAAUUUCGCAUGAGAUAAAUAAUAUUGAAAUCCAAACUAAAAUUUAAUAAAAAGAUUUCAUUAAUCAUAUCUCUUCAAGUCCAUUAAAUUGUAGCUGAAUCUACUAUCUUAGUGCAGGUGGUGGCCAUAUUAGUAGUGUGUUGUUUAUAAUAAUGGAACAGUUGUUGAGUUUCAAUAGACAUAUUUGAAAGCAAUGAUUAGUGGACAUUGUUUUGUGAGUUAAACAAAAAGAAUAGUAUAGUAUUACUGUCUUAAUCUCAGCAAAUAAGAAUAGUAUAUAGUUAAUUUUUUAAACACCUCGACGCUCUAAUCAUGUCUGCAAAGUAAUAAAAGCUGCGACGAUAACUAUAUAACAAAUCGCAAAAAUAAUUAACACUGCUAAUAACGUAUUAAUUGUUUUUUAUUAUAUCAUAUAAUCUGGAAAGCUUAGAGAAAGAACAAAAGUUAUAACCAAACAGAGAUAGUUGUCGGCUAGAGACGUCAGAGACGAAACUAACCUUCAAAGUGAGACGUUGAAAGGCUAUUAGAAGUGUAAGACAAUGUUUUGUCGGAGGGUAAAAUCGAUAAUACGAAUCAGAUAGGUUGCGCGUGGAUUGAGGAGAUCUAUGUCUGGUUCAGUUCUAUCUUUACCUCUCUAACCAAACGGUCCAAAACACAUGCCGUGUCGCGUCCUUUUAUUUACUUUUUUUUUUGUAAUCGUUAGGACAAAUUUCAAUGUCCUUCGAAUAUGUAAUAGGAUCAAAUGUUGUAUUUCUGUCUGGAAAUCGUGUAUCUGAAAUUGUUCAUAUAGUAAAAGUUUCACAUGAGUUUAUUCGAAAUGUGAUUAAUUAUUUGCAUAGUUGGGACUUUAAAGAAAAAAGAUAGCUGUGUUCUAUGCCGCUUCAGUGACACGUGGGCUUUGUCAGCGGUUUAACGGGCGGUCGUCUAUACCGCUUCAGUGAUCGUUUGUAUUGGCCUCUACACUUCGGACUUUCUCUUCGUGGUUUCCUGAUUUUGUUGAGCUCCGGAGGCUUUAGUCUCUUUCGGAGUGUGCCCUCAUUCGUAUUCAUGUCUUUGCUGUGGCGAGUGAAGGCGUCUAGCAGCUCCAGUUUCAGUUUGUCGGUUCUCGGCGACUACAAGCGUAGUGGUGGCUCUCGUUCGCCGCCGCAUUAUUACGUUUGGUCUUUGCUCACUUCCCAGCAUCACUAAGAUUCACUUGAGCUUUUGGUGGUGGUGUGCGGGACAUCUGUGUGCAGGUUGGGUUCAGAUCAGGGAGUACGGAGGUUGCGGCCUGUUUUGGCUUGGAGCGGCAUCGUUCGGGUUGCCGGGUUGCCUCCAGGCCUAAUAAAUGCUCGGGUUGGUUAUCAUGGGUGUGCUUGGCCGCUACUGUGGUUGUCUAUUCGUGUGUGCAGGUACUAUGAGAUCUUCGGCGAGCUGUUUUCAGAUGGGUCAUUAUCUUUAAGAGCGGAUUCAUCGGGGAGGCCAAAAUUACCGGGUUCCGACUCUCGGUUGAACUUGGCUCAUCUUCUUGCGGCAAGCAGUAGGUUGACUUGGUCGAAGCUGCUGGAUAGCGCUUUGGUUGUUGCGUCUGCCCCUGUUAUGACUUGCUUGAGUUUGUGUUUAGAUUUUCUUUUCUUUUUCCGUUUCUUGUCAUUCUCUGUAAUUCUGUCGAAAAUUUAAAAGCUUGGUAAUAAUAUCUUUACAUUUUUACCCAAAAAAAAAAAAAAGAUAGCUGUUGUGAAAUUUCGUUCUAACACACCAGUUUAAAAAUCAUCUAUCAUUGGCAUAACUGAUAACACUAUAUUAACUCCAUUUUAUAUGAGUAAUAUUCAUUUUAUACAAAUCGACAGAUUAGUUAGCAAUGGAAGAAGCAGCAGAAUGAACUAAUACAUUCGAGUACUUAGUUAUGUUAAGUUUGAGAUAUAAAAUAUGUGUUUUCCUAAAGACUCAUCAAUCUUAUAUACUGUACAUCUUUUUAUAGGUUUCUUGAACUGAUACAAUGUGAAUAUGUUGUUGAAGGUUCUAUAAAAAACAUGUACGUUAGCUAACUUUCAAGUAAACAAAAAAAAAGUCACACUUGUAUGAAAUUUAGUGAUCGAUCUUAGAAACUUUUAGUCUUCAACCAUUCCCCAAGAGUCUUUGGUAAUGAUGUUUUCUUCUAGUUGGUUAUGUGAAAUUAAUGGGUGUGAAUGUGUGGUACUAUGUUAUCUUUAUAGGUGGGGCUUGAAUCUGAGCCUUCUCGUUUCUUGUAAAGCACUUAGAAGAAAAGAAAGAGGGUUUGAAACUUUGAACUCAAAAGAAUAGACUUAUCGAAACCAUACAAAGGGGAAAAAAGCAACACGUUUCUUAAACUGUGGACUCUUCUGAUUCCAUUAUCAUCAUGUUGUGCUUUAUUCUUUACUCACACAUCAUUAUUUCUCAUAUUCAUUUAAGUUGAACAAGCCUAAAUAACCUGAUGGGUCAUUGGUCUAAUUGGAAUAAGCUUACAAAUUGCAAACUUUACCCAUUUGUGCAAGCGCAGACAUUUUGUCCUGAACUAGUUACACGUAAAAGUAAAAUGAUUUUAACUAAUUAGAUCUAAACUACUCAAAAAAUAUUAUCAGAUCAGCUAGUUUCACUACGAUUUGAUAUGGGUUCAAGGGUCUAGACUCUGUGCAACAAAGACGGCAUCCACAGAGGUUUGAUCGAGUAUUUUCAUUUUGUGUACCGGUCUGAGCAUUUUCCCGACUAGCUAUGUCUUUCUCUAUUUCGUUGCUAUGUUAACUACGUUUUUUUGAGCUAGAAUCUCUUUUUGCAUAGACAUUGCCUACGCAUAUGUCAUAACAAUUUGCAAAUAUAUUUUAAAAGUGAAUCUAAUGCCAAAAAUAAAUACAAUGUAUUGAAUCUUAUACGAACUGAUAAUUAAAAGAAAAAUGUACGAGAUGGAAGUUGUAAUUGAGACGGCAAAACUCAAUUCCAAUCUAACAAUGUUGACAAGAAUUCGAGAUGGAGGAAGCUUAGCUUCCACAUGAAACGGCAUGUGUCUUCUACCAGCUUACAACACUAAGAGUAGAGUUUUACAUAAUUAUGUCUAUGGUUUUGAACUUUUGAAUAGAAGCUGAGAUGUUAUUGAUAAUUUAGACAUAGCUUCCAAUUUGUCCAUCAUCGUCUCUGUGUCUUGAGUUGGUAAGCCGUGUCUCAGAGAGAUUGUCACGGUAUUUAAACACAUGGCAGUGAUUAGGAUGUAUUCUACCAAUUCUUUCUCUUCUUCUUUUCCAGUGUAGUCUAUCAACUCAAACUUCUCCAGACUCGAAUACAAACAUUCGGGAUAGUAAUGAUGGCUCAUUGUGCUCCAUAAAGCAGAGGCAAUAGGGGGUUGAUGGGUUGAUCUCUGAGAAGCAACAAUACUACGCUUGUAACAAUAUAUAUAUUUAAUGUUCAAAAAAUUUUUUUUUAUAUAUUUACAUUAAAAACAUUUAUCCUCUACCAUUCAUAGCUAAGUCCGACUUCGUAUUCAAACUAUAUUUUAUCAAAUUAAGAAAAUUCUAAAUUUGCCAUUUUAAAAAAAAAAACUUAGGUUAGCUUUUUGGUUAACUAAGGUCAGGUGAAGAGGAUAUACGUACAUAAUCAACUGUGAGAAACUUGAGUUUCGGAGUAUUUUGAAGCAAAGGAACAAGUGAAUCCAUCCAGUCAGAGUCACACGGAAGUAUCUUACACUUUGUAAGCCGAGAGAAUUUGAUGGUGCUACAAUACAUGAUCUGCGAUGGUGAACAAAACAGCAUAAUUAAUAUGUAGAUGCAACAUAUAUAUAUAUAUAUAUAUGUUGAUAACCAAGGAACGAAAAAGAGAGAGACAGUUACCAUUUGAUCGGUGUUCAAACAAAGCUCAAGAGACAAGACUGAGGAAAGAGAUGUUACGAAGUUGAUAAUAUUAGGGAAAUAGUCAUCACUCAUCAACAUUGAUACGUGCAGCCUCGAGACAAGGCAUAUUCUCUAUAGACCAAGAGUCUCCUGAAUAGUCAGUGAUGUCAAAGCUUUUUAGUGCUGGAGUAUUCAGAACCGUAUAUAAGCAAGUCUUCGGGUAAAGCACUGAUCAUGUCGUCUCAAACCUUCUCUUCAACUCUCCCACUACUAAUUGUUGACAUCUUCACGAGCUGGGCAAAAAAAAAAUACCCUAAGAGAAUGACUUGGUUUAUUUAUAUUUUUCCCCUCUGUUAAUUUAUAUCAAAUUGUAUUUAUGUUUUCGGAGUAUUUCGAAAUACCAUUCUGUUGAGGAAUAUAAAAAGGGAAAAUUUGGAUAAAUGCACUUCAAUAAGAAUAUUAUUUGAAAAAUACACCUUUGUUUAAACUUUUUGAAAAAUACACUUAUCUAUAUAUAAAUUUACCAAAUUGCCCAAUUUUAAUAUUUAUCAAUUCUUAUAAAACAAUUUUUUAAACAAUUUUUUAAAAGAAAAUCGAAUGAGAAUAUGGAAUAUCUUUUAAAUAUACUGCACAAUAUCUUUCUCAUAUCUUUUUAAUAUAUUUUAAAUUUAUUUUUUUAUUUUGAAAAAAAAAUUAAAGAACGCAGGGUCGUCUUCUCGUCUUCUUCGUAUUCAUUCUACUUCUGAAUUUUUUUUUCCUUUCUCUCUAGUUGAACAGAUUCUUCCUCUUAUCUCAAGAGGUUUGUUGUUUCAUCAAUCAGAUUUCAAUUUCUAAUUCUGCUUCUCUUUUAUUCUGACAAUCUAUUUUUUUUUUCUUUUAGGAAAAUCAUGUUGCAUUUGGCUGGAGUGUUGGGAGAGUGGAAGAUGAAUAAAGGAUCAUGGAAAUUCAUGGUGAAUACAACAGCAGGAGGUAAAUUAUUUACCUUUAGGGAAGGUUUGAAGUUUGAUGAUAUGGUUCAGAUGGUACACGAAGAUUUUGGUAUAAGUAGGUUGGGUAAUGAGUUAGAGCUUAGCUAUGCACUACCGGAAUCAAUGCUUCGAGAUAUGCCUAAGGAUACGCCUCCUGUUUUUGUGAACAAUGAUAGGCAAUUGGAUUCUAUGUGUGAAAUGUCUAAAUCCAUGCCUCUGCGUCUUUGCGUCUCGGUGAAGAAUGGAAACGUAGGGAACCAUGAUCAAGGUUUCAAUCGUGAAGAUACUGCCAUUUAUGGAAAAGGUCAUGGAAAGAAGAAGAAGAAUGUUGAUAGCCAGGAUAGUAAUCAAGAACCAGAAGUGGAAGUUUCUAAUUUUCAUGAUGCAAAGGUCAUUGAAAAGGGUCAAUGGUUCAAGAAUAAAUCAGAGCUGUCUUGGAGUAUACGGAUGCUUUCAAUCGAACGCAAGUUCAGAAUUGUUGUCAGCAAGUCAGACAAGAAGUUGUUAGUUGUCAAAUGUGCAGAUACAAGCUGCAACUGGAUGGUUAGAGCUGCCAAGACUAAUCCGACUUGCGAGUUUUUCUGGGUAACAAAGUACAUCGACAAGCAUACAUGUUUUUCAAGAAACAUUGCUGGACCGAGAGCUUCUUCCAAAGUUAUAAGUAAGCUUCUUCUGGAAAACUUUGGAAACUCAGGUCUAAAUAUGAAACCAGAGUUGAUUUCAAGUACUAUGAAAAAGAGAUAUGGUCUUGAUUCAAAGUAUUGGAAGAUAUGGAAAGCUAUAGAAGAAGCUCGGAAUGAGGUAUUAGGUUCUCCAGAAGAUAGCUACACGCAGCUUCCAGUCUACAUGCAUAAGCUUGUUAUAGCUAAUCCAGGUACAAUUGCAUGCCUUGAGGUUGAUGCUCUGCAUAGGUUCAAGUACUUGUUUUUCUCGUUUGCUGCUUGCGCCAAGGGUUAUAAAUACAUGAGGAAAGUUGUUGUUGUUGAUGGCACCUUCUUGAAAGGGAAAUAUAAGGGAGUUUUGUUAGUUGCAACAGCUCAGGAUGGUGAUUCUCAUGUGUAUCCUCUUGCAUUUGGAAUAGUAGAUGCUGAGAAUGAAGCAUCUUGGGAGUGGUUUUUUAACAGAUUGACAUCUAUAGUAUCUGAUGAUCCUAGUUUAGUAGUGAUAUCUGACAGAUGCGCAUCCAUUGCAAAAGCAGUUGCAAAAGUGUAUCCAUUGGCUCAACGUGGAAUAUGCACCUAUCAUCUACGCAAGAAUGUCAUCUCUCAGCCUGGAGGAAGAAAGAUUUCUCGCCUUGUUAAGACAGCCAUCAAAGCUUACACAACUGCAGAAUUCGACCAGAUUUUCAGCGAAAUACGACGUCAGAAUCAUGAGUUGGGCGUUUAUCUAGAGGAAGCAGAUGUGAACCUGUGGUCACGUGCUUAUUUUGCUGGAGACAAAUAUGACAUCACUACAAGCAACGCAGCAGAGUCAAUAAAUGCAGUGUUUAAGAAACCACGUGAGCUACUCAUUGUGUCGUUGAUUGAAGCAAUAAGGAAUAGACUUACACGGUGGUUUUUCGACCGUCGAGAAGGUGCUGCGAUGCUCAAAUCUUCUCUCACGCCUAAGGUUGAAAAGAAGCUCAAUAAAAGGUGUGAUUUGGCGUCUACUUUUGAUGUGCAGUCUAUAAAUCAGGAUGAGUUUCAGGUAACUGAUGGGUCAAGAAAUUACUUGGUUGAUCUUCAACAAAUGACUUGCACAUGUAAUGUGUUUAACGUUGACAAGAUCCCUUGUAAGCAUGCUGCUAAGGCUGCAACAAGUCGAGGCUUGAACCCUGGGUUAUUUGUGCAUCAGUACUACUCAAAGGCAAACAUGUGUGCUGCAUAUUCAGAGAGUAUAAGACCUAUAGAUGAGCUGCAUGACGUGAAGGAAAUACCUCCUCAUAUUGUUGCUUAUAAAUGUCUUCCACCAGAUGUUAAAAGAGGUGCUGGAAGACCUGUGAAAAGAAGAUAUGAAUGUUUUGGAGAACAAGCAACAGCUCGAAAAAAAGCACGGAAACAAGCUUGCUCAAGAUGUCAUCGUACAGGACACAAUCGUGCCCGUUGCGACUUUGGAAUUUGACAUUUUAUGUUCUAAACUUAUUUCUGUUUUAAAUGCUUUUUCUGCAAAUUUUGGUUUUGUUUACUCUAGAUUUUGAUAACUAUUUUAGUUUUUAUUUUGCAAUAAGGUUGAUUAUUUUGAACUGAUGUCGUUUGUUUGCAUUGAGAAGGCACUUGAACUGCACUAUGUUUGUUUGUGAAACUAAGUAUGUGAAACCAAGAAUAAGAUUCUAUCCCUCUCUCGAAGCCAUCUCCAAUAUUAUCAAUCCUCUGUUUCUCUGUCUACAAGAGUUUUCCCCAAAACAGAUAACUUGACAAGCAAGUAACUAGGGUAGUGUCUUUGUCCCAAGCAGAAAGCUAACCAAUAUCGCUUCUCUCCUCUCGAUCCGAACACUCCGAGCACAAGCUUACACGACCAUGAACAAGCCCAUGGUGCUCUAACUAAGUGCUCUGUGUAUUGUUUCUCUUGCACGUUUAUGGCCAAAAUUUUUAUAAAGUAUUACUCAUCUUCUGUUUGUUUCUUCCUAUGGUAGAGUAAAACGUAUUGCAACAUGAAUAAAUUUUUACACCUAUGACGAAGGAAUCUCUUCCCACUAUCUUUGACUUUUGCGUUUACCUCCCACUAUGAGAAUAGACCCGUGAGUGCAUCAAUUAUCAAAUAAAGUUUUGAAACUACGUUCGGUUGUAAAAGCCAAGAAAGAAGCACGUAUUGUCAUGAGUUCAAUAAAAAACACAUAUGCUAUUAAAUAGAAAUGCAAACUGAAAACUUUAGUAAAAUCAUCUAAAAAAUGUGAAAGACAAAGUGAAAAACAGAAAAAGCACGUCCUAAACUUUUAAAACCAAACAAAGGUAAUUCUUCUAAAAAUCAUCAAAAUGAUUUCCUUCAGCAAACAUAUCAGCUGCAAGCUUUUUCCGGAUAAAUUUGAUGUUAGCAUCACACAGUCCAACUUCCAUAUCUGUGUCUAAUGCAAGACAUUCGAUAUAUUUGAUAGCAUAGACACCACAAUCACCAGAUUGUAUGUUCUGUGGAAUCUUCUUACACCUUAUAAUUGUGUACUCAGCAUCACUUAAACCCUUUUGGUCAGCUGGGGAAGCCAAUGAUCUGAUAAGAUGUGGAAUCAUCAUUGCAAAUGGUUUCACAAACUCGGUUAUCUCGUCAUCUCCAGAGAGCAUCCAACUACUGUCGUACACUUCAACGGUACGUUGAAGAAUUGAUAUAGCCAAAGCAAUCCAGUGGACAUUCUUAAUGUUUAACACCACAUACGCGUCAUCGACGUCAACACCAAGUCUCUUAUGUGUUCUUUCACAUUUAGGUAGAAUACCAUUGUAGUAACUGAUAAACUCAGAGCUCCACUCAAAGUUCUUUGGAUCUUCCAAAAACUUUUGAUAGCUCCUGGAAAUCAGCAAUGUAAAUGGUACAUCCAGAAAUGCCAAUCUAUUACUCUGAAAGGGACAUGAUUUUUCUCCUAACUUUCUUCUCAAAAGAGACAUACCAACGUCAAUAUGCUGCAUCAAACAAAUAUAAUUUAGUAGAUGUACACUGAAUGUUUUCGAUUAUAAGAACAUUUAUAAUAUACUUACUUCUUCACUUAACCAAACCUUUGGUUCAAUAAGCUCAGCAAAAAAAAAUUUGUCUGCCUUUAUGAUGCCCAAAUUAAUUGUUAUAUCUCUGCAAUUCACAAUGUAAAUGAUAAUAUAUAUAUUACUAAUAAAUCACUAAAUAUUUUUUUGAAAAUACUAACCUGUCUAUCUUCAUCCAUGAAUCUAACCAUGCAUCUUUACCAUGAUCCACCACAGCAAAUGGAUCAUAAGAUUUCACAACUUGCUUAUGUCUUUCCGUUCCUCCACUAGUAUCCAGUAACAUACCAAACUUCUUUAUUUUCUUAUCUAAUGUCUUCAUUUCAUUUGUCUUUAAUGGUGUUAUACUCAAUAUUUCGACCGAGGAAUCUGUAAACUCUGUUGCAUUCAAAGUGGUCUUCGGGUCGUUUUUCAUUGUCUGCAAAAAAAAAGAUUACAAUCACCAUAACUUCACAAUAAUAAUAUUUCAAAGAUAAUAAUUUUGCUUACCUUUUUUAAACUUUCGAAGUUUUUGUCAAGAUGAUUUAACUUAGCUUUUAGGCUAGAAAUUUCUGAACUAAGCUUGGUGAAUCCACUGUUCAGAAUUUCUUCCAACUCUUUCAUAUACACAUGAAAGUAAUCUUUCGAUAAGACUUCAAUGCAAGCAACACCAUUUGUUUUCUGUGACUUUAAACGGUUGGUAUGUGUUUGUUCUUCCUCUGCCUUUCUUUUUCCAUUACUUCCUUUUUGAAUCUUGUACUCCAUCUCUAUAUAAACAACAUAAAUUAAAAAAAUUGUAAGAUACACGAAUCAAAUCAUUGGCUCAAACAGAUUUAUUGGAUUUUCAUGACACGUGAAAAAAAGAAGAACAACGUGAAGACGUUAGUUUAUCAGUGUAAUUUUUUUUCAUAUUCAAAAGCAAAAAUAAAAAUAAACACAUAUCUGAAUACAUCAUAUUAGCUAGAACUUACUUGGCUCAGGUAGAGAAGAUGGAAAUAUUGUAGAUACAAACGUAACUUGCUUUUCUUUUUCAAAGACGUGACUUGUUUAUAUAAGUUAAAAAAAAUAAAAUAAAGUGAAAUCUGUAUAAACUUCAUGAUAAAGUCAAAACAUAAUUCACAUGUUUAUCUUUGUUAUUGUAAAAUUUAAAUGGUAAAAUAACAUAUUUAUCUCAACACACAUAUUUAUCUAAUUUUAGUGAUAUUAUUUUAUUAAUUCGAAUUUGUAUAUUAAUUUCGAAUUAUAUCUUGGGUAAAAAGGUCAAAUCAUAAUUAAGAAAGUGUAUUUUUCAAAAUUUGAAAUAGAAAAUGCAAUUAUCAAAUUUCAAAUCCUAAAUAGGGUAUUUUUCAAAUUAUCCCAUAUAAAAAUCAGAGUAUUUUCUUAAUUAUAUGGAAAUACCAUUCGUUUGAAAACACAAAGCCCAAGAGGAAUCUAUAAAAGCUACAGUAUCAUGGAUAAAGAUGGCUAUAUAAUUUGGUUUGUAAUUGUAUAGUGGAAAAUUCUCAAUUCAGUGGUUUGAUUGAGUUUUUAUUAAUAAUCCUACAUCAUGAAUUCAGGUUUUAAGUUUUGGAGAAAAGCAAUUUAUAAACAAUUAUUCAGAUUAGUGAAGAAAAAGAUAUAUAGAUAUUAACAUUAUUAAGAUUAAUAAAAAAAUAUGUACGAGUGAAUAUAUUGUAAGAUACUAAACAUGUGUGUUCAUCUUCUUGUUUCUUGCCAGUAAAGGGAAGAUGUUUUGGUUGCCGAAGUCUAAUUGGUGAUAACCCUAAAUGUAACCUAGAUGCUUCUUUAACAAGUAACCAUGAAAAUUGUGGCGUUUUUGGCUGUUACGAGAUGACCGAGAAACUGUUUUAUGGACAGUGUUGUCGGAUUUUUGAAUAUGAACGAUGUCAAACAUAAAGGCUGGUCCAAUACACAACCUCCUACGACUCCGUAAGAGUCCCACAAGAUAAUAAGAUAGAUUUAUGUAAAAAUGGAUCCAAAAAAUCAUCUUAAACCAAACAAUUUUGAUCCAAAUAUAUUAUUCUGAUCCAAAUGAAAUACUCCGACUCUACUGAGUCCAUUAGAAUUUAUACAGAGAUUCGUUUUUGCUUUUAAAUUUUGGGCCCAGUCCGCAGAGUUUAAUUUUUCUAAUCCGAACAGAAUAUAUAUAUAUAUAUAUAUAUAUAUUGGUCAUCCAUCAGAUUCAGGUCAUGACAUUCAAUAAGUUAUAAUAGCUGGCUAUUUCGUAUAUGGCAUGUAUGAAACCAGCACAAGGUAUUUGUGUUUAUAUAUAAAUCUUUGAGAAUUUGCAACCUUAAAAGAAUUUUAAAAGUGGUGGUGAAUGCUCAAAAAUAGAAGAAGCCGUGGAUGCAUGGCGCAACUAGAUUAAUAAUAAACCAUUAAUAUGUGCUAACGAGAGACUUCUGGUCGUAGCUUAUGACUUAAAAAGUAUAAACUACUAUUUAAAUAUGCAUAUUUGCACCGUUCGUCUAAUAUUAUCACAGUACUGUAUAUGCUAAAAUUCACGACAAAAAUAUUGUUUUUAAGUUAUUGAGAAUUUUGCUGUUUUAAUUAUUGGUCAUUUAAAUCAGGGUUCAAAUCAUUCCAACUUUCACAUAUUUUGAAGAUUUAGUAUAGAAUUCGCCAUGAAUUUCCAGUUAUAUAUAAAAGAAAUUGUCUUUGCGCUUAGUAGUUUUAGUCAAAAGAUAGUUUGGAACUUUGAUUUCAGUCAUUUUUGGCUAUUAUACAAUGUUUUUAGUGGUAAAAAGCAUAGAUUUCUAUGUAUUUCAGAGACUUAAGCUGGAUGUCGGCGUUAAAUUCUUUCGAUUACAAAAAAAUGGCGUUAAAUUCUUUGAUCGUACUCUUCUCUGUCCGUCAAUCGGAAAAAGUGCGAUAUCAACUUGACUUUUUUAUCAGGUAAUAGGGGUGUUCAAUCCGGAUAUCGGUUCGGUUUCGGUUCGGUUUUUUUCGGUUUUCGGUAUUUCGGUUAGUAAAAUAUAACUACCAUUCUAAAUCCAUAUUUACUUCGGUUCGGUUCGGUUUAUAUACUGUCGGUUUUCGGUUUAUUCGGUUUUAUACCAAAAACAUAAUUAUUUUUUUUGAGAUCAUAUUAUAUAAAUUUUAGAGUCAUAUUGUCAACACCGUCAUUUAUUAAAAAUAUAUUACAUGUUCAAAUAAAUGAACAAAAAAGUAAAAAUACUUCUAUCAUCAAAUAAAAUAAUCAAAUCUAUAACUAAAAUCAAAGCUUGAAAUUUUAAAAAUAAAAAUAUGAAACAAAACAGAAACAUGAAAGAAAAGUUUUUCCACUCUUCCAUAUUUAGUGUUCAUUAAAAUCAUGAUUUUUCAAUUGAAAAUUUUUCAUUAAUUAUUGUACAUCAAAUUUAUAAUUUUCAUAUUAAUUUAGUGAAGACUAAAAUAAAGCAAAAAGAUCAAAAAAGACUUAGAAAAUAAGAUGUCUGAAUUGUGAUGUAUUGUUAUUUAGUUAUAGUUCAAGUGUUUUACAAAUUAAGGUUUUUUAUUACUAUAAAAUUAUGGUAACAGUUAUUAACAUAAAUUUAACUUAUGUAACAAAUAGAUUUUCAUGUAUUGUUAUAAAAUAGAUACAUAUUUACAUGUUUCUACUUUUAAUCGGUUUUGUUCGGUUUAUUCGGUUUAAUCGGUUAUAUACCAAACCAUAUCCAAAUCCUACGAUUUUUAUAAAAUUAUAUCCAUUCGGUUUAUACAGUAUAUACCAAAACCAAACCAUAUUGUCUAUUUCAGUUCGGUUCGGUUCGGUACGGUUCGGUUUUACCAUAUUGAACAGCCCUAUCAGGUAAAGUAAAUAUUUCCAUAUAAUAUUGACAUAGACAAUGGUUUUCUCAAAACUGCCAUGAGUCUUCCUGUUUUGGAAAUAUUCCCAAACAAAGCAAAAUAAAUAGAAUCUAUAUGGUGUCAAAGACAUUAAAUACUUACUUUUUGCAUUCUUGAGUUCUGUCUACAAAACGACAAAAAAGUUGCUGUCAGUUACGUCUCCCCUCGGAACCGUCUUGAUAGGUUCUUUGUAUGCAUUGAGAAUAUAAUAUGCGACGUAAACUAAUGUCUACUCUUCUUCACGUAACUAGUUCAGCCGUAAAGUUCAAAAAAGUAAUAAUAACUAGUUGAGCCGUUUCUGUGUUAAAAGAAAACUAGUUCAGCCGUUAGGAUGAGUCUUAAUACUAAACUGAAUUCUAAAUGUUUUGGUUCAUAAACUGAUACAAACUCCAAAUAUUUAUACACAUACAGUAUUCCGAAAUAGAUAAACGAUUGAAAAAUUUCCGAUGAUAUUUUCCAAUCAAAUUCUUUAUUCGAGUUUAUAAAUUAUAAAUGAAUAAAAGCGAAAGUUGCAAAAUUUCUUGUCCAGUUUCGUGUGUAGAAACCAUGUAAUAUACCAUGCAAGUAUCCAAUUAAAUAAUUACCAAUGGUCAAGUGGCCUGUAAUAUAUAAACCAUAUGCAAAUGGAAUAAAUAUCUUUAAAUAUUUUGUUUGACCUUCAUUCUAAAAAGUAUCAGCUCUACUGGUUGGAUGACGCAUAUAAGUGCCAAGCCGCAUUCAUGAUUUAUAUUUGUAUAUAUGAUGUUAAUUAUAUAAUAUAAGCAGAUUUCGGACAACUUGUGUACUUUACACCGUUGAAACAGAUAUAGAUUCAUGCACGCCUGCUGUUUUCCUUACGCUUAUAUAUCUUGUUAAGUAAUGAUCAGGACUCUAUAUAUAUUUUUGCAUGUCGGUACGUACUUAGACAUUGCUCAUGCUCAGAUGCAUAUAUACAUUCAAGUCCGAGCUGGAGAUUUCGCAUGUUAGCUUCAACAAACUUCAUUCCUUUUUAAGUUUCUUUCUCUUUUAAUUUUAUACGAUCUUUUGUCUUACGUACGUCUAUAUGAUUUUCUGUUCUAUCCAUGAUUUUUAUGGAAUAAUUUUUUUUUAAGACGGAGUGUAAAUUAAAAUGCAAGGAUUUUAUGAUGGGUUUUAAACCUUUUUCAUAAUUUAGAACUUGAGAUUGUAAUUUUCUCUUUUCCUCAUCAUCCUGCAUGUUUUAGUUUAUCAAUCGGCUAAUAUUUUUAUAGCAUACGCCGGAAAACUGAUUGUGAGGAUGAAAUUUAACAUGCAUGCAGCUAAUUUUUUGUUUGGAAGUUUUUGUUACUACACGUUGAGUGAGUUAAUAAAAUUGCAUUUUCAUGCAAUUUACAUAUUUGAUAGACCAAGUGAUCAGAGCUUAUUGAGAAUAAGGUAAGCCAACAUUAUGUAUAAAUCUUCUAUGCUAUUUAUAUUUUGUUUAUCACAUUUUAUUUUUGAUCUUCUUUUAGUUAAAUAGAAAGAGAGAUCUAAAAUUAUGUUUGAACUUCUAUGCUAUUUAUAUUUCAUCUUCUGUUUUGCCUUGUUUUUGGCAAAACUUUAUUUUUCUCACUGAAAAAUGGUAUUGGCAUUUGCAGUUUAAGUCGUGACCUUUUUGCGAAGUUUAUUUCUUAUUUAUAUAUUAUAUGGAUUUCAUGGAAGCUAGUAUUAACUUCUUUUGAAAACAUCAAGCUUUACAUUUUUGAGGAGAAAUGUUACAUUUUGUAUAUAUUUUGCUGUAAUUAAUAGAAUUCGUUUUCAACGAAAUCUGUAAUGAAGAAUGCAAUCUAUAUAGAUUGCAUUCUUCAUUAUUCGUAGGUAGAAUUUAUAAUUUCUCAAUGAUGAAGAAAAUCAACACAUGUAUAUGCAACACAGCCAUUAAUAUAUAUUUUACCGGAAUACCCAGUUAAUACAGUAGUGUUUGUUUAAUUUAAUGAGUACAAUACUAUUCUUAUAUACUAACAUUUAUAAAUUAAAUGUAUACAAGCAUUCAGUAAAGUAUAUAUAAUUAGUUAUAUCGUUUGAUUACCUCCACGUAAAUAGACAAGUUUAAGAGAAUUAUUCAAUUGUAUAUGUAAUACAUAACUAUUUUCAUGCUUAAUUAGUAAAAACUGUUAUGUGUUCUUGAAUUUUUAAAUGAAGUUAAAAAUAUUCCAAAUAAUUUUAUAACUAUUUUCAAAUUGUAUUUUUAUGCUUAGUAAAAACUGUUAAGUGUACUUGAAUUUUAAAUGAAGUUAAAAAUAUUCAAAAUAAUUUUAUAUGUACUCGAAUUUAGGGAGAAAAUGUGAGUAUAUAUAUGAGUUUGAGAAAAAAAAUAUAAAACCAGGAGUCUUAUGUUGAUUGUAACAAAUUUCAUAUUAAUAUUAAUGUCUAUAAAAUUCAGAUUGAUAUUUGAUAUGAAAGUUAUAAAGUGUAACUCUUAAACAUUCUUCAUCAUUUCAUCUGUAAUUCAUAUUCAUAAUAGGCUUUUGUGAAUUUUUGCCAUAUUUUUACCACUUUUAAGUACCUCAGUUGUUACUUUUGACUUUUGAGAUAUAUUUAUUUAUUGAUUCUGUGUAAAAGUUUUAGAUAUUUUGAAUUAUUUGCCUAUUGGUAUUUUAUGAAACACAAAGUCGACGCGUAUCAAUACAUCACAUUUGUGAACGUCUUUGUGAACGGACAAAAGAAUAGUAAAAGAUGCAUGACAUUUGCGAUAUACAUAUCGAGGUACAUGACAAUGCUAACAUCAAAAUCUGUAUAUUAAGAAAAUUUCGCGUUGACAAAAAGAAAUCAUGUACGAAUAUCUCUUAUUGAAACUCAUGAUUUCCGUCGACGAUAUAUAUAUAAAUAUUUUCACAGUAUCCUGUCUGACAAUGACGUUGUAAAUUCUACCUUCCAUACAAUAUUGUAAAUUAAAAUUUUGGUCAAUGUAAUUUAAGUUUUUUCGACAAAAUGAAUUUACGGUUACGACUGCUAUUUCGUCUAAAAUUUACAAAUGGUUAAAAAUUAAUAUAGUAAUGGUAAAUAAAUAUAAAAAGACAAAGUGAUUAGAUAAUCAUGAAAAAUAGAAAAACAAACGGUACAAGAGAGAAAAACCACAGAAAUCGCCGUCGGAAUCGAGAGGCGGAGACCGUAGUUAGAUAGCUCAACUCGCAACGUUAACUAGUUGCUCUGCUUUGGCAUGAAUCCAUCUUUAGAUUUCAUGUAAGUAUCGAUCUCGUGCGAUCUGCUUUUCUCCUAUAUACUGAGAAUUUCGAUAUUUUUUUUUGUUGAAAAUUGCUCAUAUAACAACUUGAUUCCUGUGUUAUCCCAAAUACUUUGAAAUUUGAUAGAAAGUUGAGUUAAUUGAAUAAGUGUUUGUCAUGUUUCGUAGAAGCCUCUGCGUACAUGACAUGAAUCAAAAAGUUGAAAACCUUUGAUCCUAAUCUUGGCUCAACUUUUAUGGACUGCUUGUGCUUCUGACCGUAUAUAGCAGCAAGAAAUAGAUAUACUCUUACCACAUAUAUAUGUAUUUUCAGAUCAUUAGAAAGUAAUUGAUCAUUUAAGUUUCAGUAUUUUCCAAAACAUUAGCUUCAUUUUCUUUUAGAGGAGAAGAAAUAUUUGAUUAUGACAUUGAUUAUGAUUUCUUAUGUGAUACAAUAAACAACGGAUCAUAUGUUUACGUGCAUAAAAAUGUACUUGGUAUUGUUAAUUAUGUGAUAAUUUGGAGAUACAACAGGAAUGCACCUUAAGGACUAGAAGAUUCAUGUGAACUAAGCUUGAUUCAAAAGAUGAGCAAUGAACAUUUCCUUCUUGAAUUCUGCUGUUUGGUGCCAUCAUCUUCAGGAGUUGCUCUUCUUAAGUGUAUCAAUAAAUCUUUGCUGUACACAGUCAUUGCUUGAGAUGUAGUCAAGAAAAUCGUUGAAACUAAACUCCCCAUAGGCUGGUGCAUUGUUUCCAACGAGCUCAGGUGCUGGACUUAUCCUCUUGUGCAGAGGUAGACUAUGAAGACUUGCAAAUGAUAGCCGCUUGUAGUCUUUGUUCACUGUUACACGAUGGAUCACACUCUUGUAUAUGCCAUUGCUCAUCACUUCUACUUGAUCUCCCAGCUGAACUAUCAAAGCUCCUUCAAUAUACGGCACACUGAUCCAGUUUUUGUUGGAGUCCAUUAUCUGGAGUCCCUGGCUACUUUGAAGUAAGAUGGUCAGCGAGCCGAAGUCCGAGUGUGGUGGCAUUCCCAAGGUGAUUUCAGGUUCAGGACAUGCUGGAUAACAGUUCACUGCCAUGACUUGUGAGCCUUCUUCAGUUUGUUCUUGUAAGUAAUCUUUCUCUAGUCCUAGGCUUUCUGAGAUAGCUUCUAUUAAUUGCUUAUGUAGCACAUGCGUUGCCUCUGCAUACUUUCCUACCUUAUCCCUAGAAAAAAGUACAAUCAGUUUUCACUUAGAUUUUUUUUAUCUCAUAUCGGCUGAUCCGGUCUAUUUUUUACAAUUCUUUCCAAAACGCUAUGUUUUUCAUAUAUAUUGAGAUAAUGAUGUUGGAGUUAUAUAGAUAAGUUUCUACUUACUUGUAGCAUGGAGGAUUUGAUGGCCACAUAUCGAUCCACUUUGAUAGAGGAUAAGAGUAAUGUUUAAUGAAAUCUCUCCAGUAAUGAACUCUGUCUGUUGAAUGGUUGAGGCUUGUGCCAUAUCUUACUGGCUUAUGAACAUCUGCAGACACUAGAAGCAUCUUCUCUUCCACAGGUAAGUCAAAGAAUUGUGUUGCUGCAUCUAAGGCAUCUCUAACCACUGAUGGUGGUAUCCCAUGGUUUAUAACCUGUAGAGAAAUAAAAGUUAGGGCUUAUAUCUUUUUUGUGUAAGAAUAAGUAAGAAAAACAUGCAUGCAUGCAAUUGGUUUUCUCAUUUAAGACUUAGAUUGAAGAUUUUGUCUUUUCUUUUCUAUCUUUCAUGAUUAAGAACUUUGUUCCUUAUGACAUACAUGCAGAAGACAACAACCGUCUUUCUAAGUCAUAUAACGUGUAAGAACAUCAAACUUGCUGAAUUUGUGAUAACGCAUAUAUAACUUAUUUACAUGUAACAAUUACCUGAAAGAAACCAAAUUCCUUGCAGGCCAUGUUGAUCUCUUGGAUAACGCUGGACCUAAGCAAAGGUUCGUGUAAAAGAGAGAGAUCAAUGAUAGGAAGUGUUAUCUCUCUGGUCCCUAAGCUUGAACCAAGAGCUGGCCUUUGCGAUGGCGGAAGAACGUAACGGCCAGGCACUUGAGGGGCACCUGAAUUGGUAAGUGUCAUUGCACUUUCAAAAGAAUCAUCAAGCAAACUCUUCAUUGUUUCCUCCAUGUUCAGUUUUCUUAGAGUAAAAAAAAUGUUAUUACUCUGACUUACUAAAGAGUAUGCAACAUGCAUAGCGUAUAUUUAUACAUGUAUUUUAUACGGUUAACAUCUUCUAGAAGAUAAUUUUAUUUAAUUUUCCACUGAAAGUAACAUUUUAUUCUUUUCUUUUUCCUCAUUUGCUUACGAUUUUGGAAACCCACCUGCUGCUUCUCUCAUCAUUUUUACAUUAAAUGAAGUGAGAGAUGUCCAAUGCUGGAUGUCAAUUUUAAAGUGAAUUGCAUGUAGAGAUAUGUAUCUAUAAUAUGACGACUUAGAUUGCAUCUUUUUGCUUUUUUUUUAAAAAAAUUGUUUAAUACGUAUGAGUCAUAUGGUGGAGUAUAGGCACACAAUAACCGGUUUUUCUUUGCAUGACCAGCUUAACAAUUCGUUUUGCAUGUGGUAUGUCUUCACUGAAUUUACCGCCUUUCAUAAAUGUUUGGGAUAUUUUGGUUUCUACUAUUUUUAAGAUAUGUGUGUGUGUGUGUGUUGACGUCAUUGAUGAGGGUGAAUAUCGGUCGAGAUACAUGGACCAACACUAAAUAAGGAUGAUGUAGACUACAUCAUGUAGUAUAAUAUGAGAUUGAUAUAUAGGUAACUAAACUAAGGUUUUAGGUACAUGCAUGCCGAAAUGUAUCUGUACAAGAUCUAUGAGUUGGUUUUUCCUCAGGUCGAAGAAAGUAGCUAAAACAUACGUAAGUUGAGUUCCUGCUGUAGCGUUGGAGGAGAGAGAGAGAGAGAGAGUAGUGACAGCAUUCCUCUCAUUUGAUUCAAAACUCUAUUAAGUGCUUACGCAGUUUAUUCUUUUAAGUCGGCUAGAAAAGCCUAGUUAUGUGCCGUUGAGGGCCGCUCAUAAUCCAAGUUCUGUGCCAUUCAUAGGAGUACGUCAAUGCAUGGUUGUCUCCUAAUCAUCUUUAGAACGUAAGGUAAAUAUAGGUUUUUACUUACACAAAAAAUGAUUAAAACUUUAUGUGGAGUUCUCAUGCCAUGGCCAUGGUAGCAUUGAUUUUUUUGUGGACUCUCCUGUCACUAAAUAUGAUUGGAAAAUUAGAAAUUAUAACCUUGUACAUUAUCACAUUCAUGUCCUUAGUCAAUCACAACUUCAAUCUAAUAUAACACAUGAUAAAAAGAUGUGCAAAACACAAAACAGAAGGCAUUAGCAAUGAAAUCUGACCCUAAAUUAAGAAUGUCCUAUAGGGACCUUUUACACAUUCCUUGAAGCUUAACUUCUCAUUAGUCGUUCGCACGCCACUUUUAAUAUAAAUACUUACAUUAACAUAUCUCUCGAAGUUCAAACCAAAACAUGACAAGGAAUGGUUUGUCCAAGAUGGCUGCAGCCACUGUUCUUCUAGUGAUCAUGUCCAUCGUCCCAGCUGCGGUCGCUGUGACAUACUCGGUCGGAGACUUUAAUGGAUGGACAAGUGGUGUGGACUACACAGUUUGGCUUACCGGUGACAUUCUAGGUAUUUUUCUGAGAUAACUUACUGCACACGGAAACGCUGCUUAUUGAGGUUUGCUAAUGCUAUCUUUGAAUUGAUAACGGUUUGAAACAGAGUUCAAGUACGGUCCGGCACACUCGGUGGAUGCGAUGGAUGUGAUAGCUCCGUAUCCACCGAGAAUCACUCCGACGGAGACACCAAAAUCGAACUCAAGACUGUCGGAAGGAACUAAGUAUAUAUUUCAUCUGUCCAACACCUGGCCACUGCAUCAGUGGCAUGAAGCUAGCCGUUACGGUCAUCGCCUCCGCCUCCUCUCCAGUCACCCCUCUGCCACCGUCACCUGUUGUUCCUCCUCCGAGUCCCACCCCUACGCCGCCGUCUCCUGUUAUACCUCCUCCCACCCCUCCCCCGCCGUCUCCUGAGACCCCAGACUUGCCGCGGUCUGAUGGAACACAACGAGCCGAUUCAGGGUCAACCACGGGACUAAUGAGCUACGUGGUGGCCGGGGCUUUCAUGUAUGCAUAAUGGACUAAUGGUGCUUUUGCUUUUGCUUUUGCUUGAAACGGAGUCAGUGUGUGAGCCAACUCGUCUCUUUUUCUAAGGAUUUUGUACCACUUAUCCUCAUCAUUUAUUUAAGCAGUGGAAGUGUGGAACCAUCAUUAUCAUCAGUACAGGCCGAUCAUAAGUUGCAAGUGCACUGCAUGUUUUCAUCUCUUUACAUCUAAAUCAAUUUGCGUUAAAAAUAAAUCAAUUUGGUCGUUUAACUUCUCUGUUUCCCGGUUAUUAUAAUACAGAAUACUCGGCCGUUCGUCGUCUACGUGUUUGUUGUGUAGAUUAAUUGAAUUCAUUCAUAGAUUAGGCUAAAAAAGCUAAUGAAAAACCUGUUAAAUCGUCUCUUAAUUAAAUAGUAGUAAAAUUACCACAAGAUAGAUUAUUUUUUAGCAAACUUCGUUUUAGAUAGAUAAACACUACAUAAAACAAUCAAAGCUCAUAUCUAAGCAACUUUUGAUAAGCCAACCGGCUAACACACCAAAUAUAUGAAGAAGUUUAGCCCAACUGAUUUGAUAUCCCCCACACACAACAUUACCCAAUCAAAGAUCAAUCAACACUCAAGUUACUAAAAACCCUCAAACGUUGUUACAAACUCACUUUCCAAACCCACAACCAAAUUGAGAUUUUAUCCCACAACCUCCUUCUCUAUCUCCCUCUUUCUUGUUUUAAUAUAACAACAACAACUCAGUUUUAGAGCUGUUUUUCAUAUAGCCAACCAACAAACAGUAGAAGAAAAAGAUCAAAGAAGAGGCAGCAGCGAGCAACCUUUUGUGUUAUUAAAAGCGGGAGUGUUGAGGUUAGGAAACUCUUAAAAGGCUAUUGAGAGAGGAGGGCGUAGGAAGGCAAGUCUUCAAGAUGCAUUAUGUCUUCCAGCAUCAGCUCUCUCUCCAGCUGUCUCCUUGUUGAUUUCAUCACCGUCUGUGUCAUAUUCACAACAUUCAACAAUUACAUGACAUGACCAAACACAACGUCUCUGUUUUAUAACUUUUACACUUUCUGCUACCGAUACUAAUAUAGAAUGGGUGGUCAGAGAAGUGGCUACUUACGUUAAACUCCAUGUAUGAGGCGCGCAUUGAAAGCCAUUGCUGAUCCAUUAGCUUGAAUGCAAUGCAAUAUAGAAGGUCAAAGGCAGACUCGUUCUCUGCUCAAAGGCAAACGCAACCACCCAAAAAUCCAGUUAAAACACCAUGUGUGCAAUCAAGGCAUUUCAAUUUGAUGAAGUGGAACCGAAACUUACCAGAAAGGAACUUCAGAAAAGUUGCCCCAACAACUGUUCGAGGUUUUACUGUAUAUAUUUUCAAAGGAUAUAAUUGUUAGUGAACCUCUCUGAUUAUCUCAAAACGGUACUCAUGCAUAUAGUGUUUAUCCCAAUCACGGUAGGUAAGUGGAUUAUUGUGGCCACAUACCUGCUUCAAGGUCAAGCAUCUGAAUGAGCAUGAAUGUUAGAUUGAUACCAGCAACAGCAAAAGGGUAUUCCCAUACGGACCUAUCCCCAACCUGCUUCCUCAAAAGGUCCUGGAAGGAUUUCUGCAGCAUAUAGACACGCAGCGUUAUAAAACUAAGUGAGGAAGCUGUGAAAUUAGCCCAUCACAUGGAGAAUAUAUUAUAUGUUAUGGUACACAUUAAUACUUAUAAAUGAUAUUGUACAUGGGAAGUAGUUCUACCUGAAAGUUUCUGGCGAAGUACAGCAAGUUUUCAAGCGAUAUGAAGCCACCACCCCUGAAGGAUGCUGCACCGUAAGUCAAAGAGGAUGGAAACAAGAAAUGUAAAUGUCAACAAAAGUAGCGAGGAAAGUCAGUAUCACACCUAAAAUCAGUAGACGGAUCUUUGCCCUGCCAACCCAUCUCUUUCCACUGCUCAGAUAUCAAUCCAUGAAGCUCUUCUUCAGGAAAAGCAAGUUUCCACAGAUCCCUCAGAGCUUCCUAAGAGCAUUUGAAGAAAAUAAGUAAUUAACAGAGAUGUUACAUCUGGACUUAUGAUGCCAGUCUGCAAUAGGAAACCAAGUGAUGGCUCAAGUCCACUGUCUUUAAAUGAGAAAUUCUAACAGCUUAAUAACCCUCAGGUAAAGCUGUACCUGAUGCAGAGGUAUUGUACUGUCAUAAGCUACAUCAAUACGGUUCUGCAAACUCUGCAAGCUUUCCUCCUGCAAGUUUCCAACAACAGUGUAGAAGCUAUUAGCAACUUGGACACACAAAAACACUUAACAGCAUUUCAAUAUAAUGAGCAACAAAAAAUCCAAUUCCAAACUCAAAAGUGGAGAAAAAAUGAGUAAACCUGAGCAGGUGUUAGAUCAAAGGUGGAAUUAGUAUCGCUAUCUCUUCGCUGAGCACAAACACAUGAAAGACCUCGGCCUAACCAAGCUGCUGAUCCAGGCACACCCUCUGCUAUAAACAAAAACAAAUAAAACUUCAAUAAAUUAAAACUAUUUGCUCAUCUCUUAGCUUACUCUAAAUCUCUAAUCAACACAAAUCCUAUAAAAGUACACACCAGAAAAAAAGGUUUUACACGAAUAUAAUGCGAUACCCUCAGCUACUGCAAAACCAAUAAACUUCAACAACAGAUGAAUACUAGCUGCUGAUCUCUUAGUUGUUGUUCACAUAUUUAAUCUCUAAUAAGUGAAAGCAAGCUACUCUAAAUCUAUAAUACACAAAACUCCAACAAAAUCAUCAGAACUCUACAAAACUACACACAUAAACAAAAGGUUUUAGACGAAUAUACUACGAAACUCAGCCACAUACUAAGGUUUAAUAAGUGUAUUACUACUCUCAUCCGUAGCAGAUCAUCCAUAAACCAAGCUCAACCGCACAUAAAACGCAUCUACUAUGCGCAAACACAGAGUACAUCAGAGAUAACAUCUCUACGAAACGCUUUAGUGAUCAGAUUUUACCAGAUGAGGAAUUGUAAACGCUUCCACGUUCGAGCCCCUGAGAAAUACGCCUAACGGCAACGAACGAGCCUUCUCUAUCAUCCAUAUCCUUAACGCUCCUUUCGAUUCUACCUCGCAAUCUCCACCUCUUGUAUCAUCAUCCUGCGAACAAUCAUCAAAAUGCAGAAACGAAAUCAGCAAUCCUCUAUUUGGAAAACUCAUAACAUGAUCAAAUAUACAUAAACGCAACGCGAAUCGUUCAAUCACCGUCGAGAAGGAGGAUUCAAAUCAAUCGAAUCGAAGUUCCGAUCAACAAUCUCGACGACUAGUUAUAGAAUCCUCAAGGAAACGCGAGAGAGAGAGAGAAUCUUGAGCACGAGGAGGAAGCAAGAAAGCGAGUAUUGGUUUCAAGAUCUAUUGAGUGAUGAGUUUAUCGGCGGUUGAGAGCUAAUCGGACGGCGGAAUCAAACGGAAGAAAGAGAGAAUAAAUUUUCGGGGGAGAAAUAAAAAUAAAAAUAAAGGGAGAUAUUUAUAGUAAGCAAUGGGCUGGGCUGGGCUGGGGAACAGGUGGCAGUUAGGCUGGAGGGCCCCGCGCGUGUACUCCAGUCGCCAUCAGCUUCAAAAUCAGGCUCGUCACACGGCUGGCUCGUGGUCACGCCGCAUUGGUUAAUGCACCCACCCAAAGUCAAACGUCAACGACUUUCUUCUUUUUUAUUUAACUAAAUUUGUUUUCUUUUUAAAUAUGCAGUCAGUCUCAAGAGAAUUGUAUCCCAAGUCUACGGCUACCACUAUUACUUGGUUUAAUUUUCUUUUUUUUACUGUAAUUGUUGGCAGUUUUCUUUUACCAAUUACACAAUCUUUGUAUAAAGAACUUAACUGGAUUUUCGAACUCUGGGUAAAAGAAUUAUUACAUUACACAAGAUGAAAGGUGAUUGAUUGUACACAAAGUUGCUAGAAAAAUAUUUUCUUGUGUCGUCAACUUAAAUAAUACAUAGUUCUUGUUGAACAAAUGUGUUGAUGUUGUUGCAACAAAUUUCUAAUACUGCAAAAUUUAAUUUAAAAUCAUGUAUACAUAUUUUUAUACAAAUCAUGUAUUUCGGAAUUUAAAAUCAAAAUAGUGAAAAUGCCAUCACGGCGACAAAUGCAAGAGGCGUGCAUGGGCCAUAUGUUUUGAUGGAUGAAGUUUAACUAAAGUCGACCUUUGUGUAAUUACUCUGUUUGUUUUUUUGGUCCAUCAGAUUUAUACAUCAAUCAUGAACAUGUGACAUGUCUACAACUACAAGGAGUAUAGGAGAUCGCUUAAAUCUAAAUAACUUCGAGAAGAUGUUAUACUCAACCAAAAAAAUAUUUAGAAGUUAUUGAUGUUGCGUUCUAUAUAUUUCUAAAGCUUUGUGGUACGUGUAAUCUUAGUCAAUGUAACGCUAUCAACUUAUCAAGACUGUUCAACACCAUCAUUUACUCUUCUUCACGACAUUCUUUUCUCUAUCCACCUAAAUAAAUAUGUGUAUUCAAUUGGUGUACUUCGGUUGUAUACAUAUUUUACACUAAAUAAGUAGAUUCCACAGAUACAUAAAUAUAAUUUUUAUGAUACUUUUACAAGUGAGAUCCGGCGUCGAUCUUAGCAAUAUAAAACUAGGUGGAGCGGGACAAACUGAUCAAAUCAUGUGGACAUUUGAAUUAACAAAUGCUAUUAUGAAGUUCUAGUUGGUUAAAGAUGUGUUCAAAAAAAAAAGUUGGUUAAAGAUGUUCAUAGAUCCCAAAGAACAUAAAAAUAUUGUAAACCUACAAAAAGCGAUAUCAUAUCCUUUCAUGCUUGGAAAGGAGGAAGAACAUAAAUAAUUUCAAACCCCUUUACUUGAACUCAAAGUAAUAGCUGCAUGCUUUUCUAUGUACGGGUAUUAUCAAGGAUAUAUAGAAAAGGGUGGAAAUUAUAACUAUAUAUCAUCUACCUUAAAGAAAAUUAUGUGUAUUCUAUCAAAAUCUCAUGGAAAUAUUCGAAUAUAUAUUGGUAAUUCAACUCUCUUUAAUGAUUUUUAAACAUUUCCAGUGCUACUGAUUCUAAGUUGAGAAAUUAGUUCACAUGUCAUCUAGUAAGUAGUAACCCAUAUAUAUGUUUACAUAAUAAAAACUAAUUUCAGACUUCUAAAUUUGAGACUAAAUCUAGUGAUAUAACAUUUGACAAUUACCUAAUAAUCGACGGAGUACACAACUAAUAUAAUUUGUUCCAUACUAUUUUAUUAUUAUCAUUAUAUUAAUUGUCGAAACAAUAAAAAAUGAAACUAGUAAGCUAUGUAGAUACAACGGGUACAACCGUUGCACCAGUUGGAAUAUACAUCUUCUUAAGAUUUGGUCAAGGCUCUUAGUUUGUGGCCUUCAUGUAUGUUCCAUCCGUUGUCGUCAACUGAAUAUUUUAAGAUCAUUUAUCUCUUCCACUCCAGUUUAAUGUUCUAUUCUACUACUUUACUUUUGCUUUACGCAAAAAUAAAAGAAAGAAAGAAAGAAAACCUACUUUCCAAUGACCUUUGUCUGAUCACAUGCUUCAUCUGCCAAUGCAUCAUUCCAACUUUCCAACAUAUAUUUUUCUUCAAGAAAAAUAUUCGAAAACUAAACCAUUAAUCCGGAAAAAACGUUUUAGUGAUUAGGUUUUCAAUGUAUGAACUCCUCCAUUAUGUACGUUUAGUUUAGUUUUUUCACAACCAUUAUGCACUUAUAUGAAUUAGUCUUAAACACACAAAAAGGUAUCAACAUGAUGUAGAAAAAGUCAUUAUUAGACCUUUUGAGCUUUAAAAAAGGAGGAGAAAGAAACCUACUUGUUAAACACCUCGUGGUCCAUUAACUUUGUCGGCCUUAAAGGAGACCUCGACUACCAGUAACCUUUCUAGCCAAUCCACUUGAGUUCCAGAAAAGAAAAAAAAAGAGAGAGAGAGGAUGCUAUAUAUUGAUAGCUAUCAGUUAUCACAUCUCCUUCUAGGAUCAUACUUUGGGCUGAGAUAUUGAAUAUUAUAAGCCUAUACACUUGUAAAAUAGCCCACAAAAUUAUCAUCUAUGACCAUAUAUGUUUCAUCGUGUACGUGAUGAAAGAUGAGUCUUGUCACUUGUGCGUUGGACUUGGAUGGUAUUCAGAUGAAGGUAUCCAUCUUGUAGUCUUUACAUCAAUGUAUAACUCAUCAGCAACACACAAGUGACAUGAAGAGAAAAGUAUCAAAGGCUAUAACUUAUAUAUACUAGUUUGGACCAAGAGCUAGAUAACAAUAAUAAACAUCUCCGUUUGGAUCAAGCUUCUUAAUAACUGAAUCAUCAUCUAAAUCUCUUCUUCAACUUCUUUCUUUUGUACCUUUCUCGAUCAUCUCUUAACAAGUUUUGACUUAUGAUAAGACACACUAACAAUGUAACUCAAUAUUCUUCUCUACACAAACCAAAACGGCACAAAACGCUAGAGAAAGGCAACACACAAAACGAAAACGAUACACUUGUCUCACUUGAAAUACUUAAAGAAGCUUCACAUUCUCAACGUAGUUGAGAGUGAGACGGAUGUCGACAUCUUUACCCUGAAAGGCUUCAAUUCCUUGGACUCCAACUUUUGUGAUCGUCUUGCUCUCGACAUUGUAGUAUAUGACAUAGGAAUGCACGUCUCGGUUGCACGCGGACAGUACGAUCUCAUUUGUACCAACCAUUCCAUCAAUACACAUGGUCUCUGUAACCACAGCUUUCCACAAAAGAGGUAACACGUAAACAUGCGUGGACCAUUCAUGUUUCGCAGUGUCUCGUAGAACCCACAGCUCAAAACUUUUACUUCCUCCAUAAACACAGCAAAAAUCUUCCGACAUGAGCAAACCUAAUUUGCCAUUGUAGUUGACAAGAGUUUGUGAUGCAGGCUUUGCUUUACUGGAGAUUCCAGAGAACUUCACGCAGCUGAACUUCUCAGUCCUCAAAUCAAAACAAACGACCAUAGAAUACGAGUCAGCCGUGCCUGAUACGGUUUUGUAGUACAAAACACCACCGAUGCAUAUAGACUUGGGAUUAGGCCAAUGUGGAAUGCAACAUUGGACCUUCCUCCAUGACAAUCUUUUAGUUCCUAAUGUCAGAACGUGGCAGUCCACAGAGAUGCAAACAUUCUUUGCACACUGAUAGACCAUUGACAAUACCUUGAAUUCUUUAGCAAUGGGGUCAUAUCCAAGAAGAUAGGUUCUCCUUGUACACACUUACAAGUAGCCAACUUACAUGUAGAGCACAAGCACGUUACAGUAGUGAACAAGAAAAUUCCAAUUUCAAACUCUAAAAUAAAAUAAAAAAACAGUGGAGAAAAUUGAAUAUUAGAUCAAAGGUAGAAUGCAUGUCACUAUCUCUUUGCUGAGCACAAACACAGGAAAGACCACGGCCUAACCAAGCUGCUGAUCCAAGUCACACACUCAGCUAUAAGAAAGCAAACAAACUUCAAGAGAUGAAUACUAGCCCUGCUCAUCUCUUAGCUGUUGCUCACAGAUUCAGUGUCACUUUAAUAUGUGAAAGCAAGCUACUCUCACCAUCUCAACUCAUAUUCUACAAAACUACACACAAACACAAAAGCUGGUUCGUGAAGCUUGAGCACGACGGCGACGAAGACGAAGAGUUUUUCGAAGAUACAAGUAUUGGUUUCAAAAUCUACCGAGUGACGCCUGAAGCUAUCGGACGAACGAAAGAAGUAAAUAUUCCGAAUUAAUUUCGGGAAAAAUAAAAAAUGAGUUAUUACAGUAAGGGAUGGGCUGGGCUGGGCUGGGCUGGGAAACAGAUGGACGUGAAAUGUCUUUUUGAUCAAUGUGGGUCAUUAAGCCCAUAUGAUCAUAUUUUGGACCAUUUCAGAAACAAAAACCUUUGAUUUAUGCAUUAUGGAAACCUUAGUAUCCAUAACCUACUACUAAUCCCACGGUACUAUAAAGGUAUUAUGAUAUCCACUAAUUAUAUCCCACAGUAAGAGGAACUAUCAAAAUUAUUUAGAUUAGAUUCCGGAAUCCGCAAUUGAUUCACGUUUGAUCCCUUCUUAAUCCAAUCCCCUAACCAACCAAAAAAAAUAUUUUGAUAUUAUGUGAGUAUCUAAAAGUGGUAAUGGAAAAAAAAAAGUGGUAAUGAAUGUUUACUUUUUCGUAGUUAAUAUGACUUAGAAUCUAGAAAAAAAAUAUCGAAUAACACAUCAUAACAAUGGGGAUUGGGAUCAAACUUGUAUAGAAAGAGUGGCUGAUCGUGUGAAUGUAUACUUAUUGUUGGGUAAUAACAUAUCUAAAGGCCCAUCGGAAAGAUAUGAGUUUUCCAUCUCCAUUUGAAUUUUCAAAGAAGUAGAAAAACAAAGUCUGAAAAUGGAGGCCCGGGGUAGACAAAGUGGGCGCCUACAAGAGAGACAAAGAGGGAUGACUUGAGAAAUCUCACCAUCAUUAAAUUUGGAAAAUUCCUUACACGGAUUUGAUUGAAACGUGUAAUCAUUGUUGCAUGGAAUUCAUAUCCCCUAUCAUAUAAUAUAAGCUUUAAUAUUCCCCUCUUUGUCUCUUUACUCAACCUAUGACCUUACAAUUAAUUGAUGUCUUUCAUCUUUUAGUUUCUCCAUUUCAUUUGUAUUUUGAUCCUUCCUUAUCUAGUAUUUCUAUUUGCAUAUACAUACGCGCGAUAACUAUGUUUCCAGUUUUCAUAUGAGAUUGAGAAAGUGUUGUUAUAUAUAGAAGUUGUAAUUUCUUUUUGUGAAAAUCCCCUUAUUAUUAAAAAGGAAGCAAAAACACAGAGUAACCUUAAAAUAGUAGUAUAUUUACAGGCGUGCCAUUAUGGCGACGUGUCAGACAGAUAGAGCUUCUCAGAUCCCUUUUGAAAACAGCUACACUCACCCUAGCAAUUUACUAUUAUUGCCAUUGGACAGACAUUUGAUAUUCGCAUCGCUCGAAUUCUUAAAAUUCUCGAGGCUCUUUUAGGCAAUGCUGUAUAUACUUCAUAUAACUUUAUAUGAUAUAGUUUGAUUUAGUAAAUUGGAAUAAUCGCUGACCAAUAAUCUCCUAUCUCCUUUUUAUAUUAGUUGAACUAUGUUACACACAUCAUCUACUAUAUCAAUUGUGCUUAAUCAAACUAUGUCUGUUUCACGCUCAUCAGUUUCUAUGAUCAUUUCCACGAAUUUAAAACACAAAAAGUAAUAUACGCUUAUUAAAUUGAAUCAUAAACAAAUAUAUGAACAGUUUAAGUUGAGAUGUUUUUCUCAAUUAUGAUUAUAAAUAUUCUCUUUAAAAUUGGAGAAAGCUCUUUUUUUAAUAUUCAAAUGUUAUUAUGAUCAUUUGUAUUUACAGGUACAAACAAAAUGAUUUAAUUUCAAAAUGAUUUCCGUAGCCAUUUCAAAAAUUAGUCAGCGUGUUAUUUUUGUGGACACCCUUUAUUAUGCAACUUGAAUUUUUUUUAAAGAAAACUAAUUUUUCUUUUUGAUUUUAGACAACUAUGAAAUAAGGCCCAACAAAAUUAAAUUAUUCUAUACAUCAAAAUUCACCAAAUAUAAACAAACAAUUUUAAGAAUUAAUGUCUAUUACAUAAAGUCCACUAUAUUUCAUUUCUAUAAAAUAUAUGCUUUUAAGUUCUAUAUAGUUCACUUUAUAUUAUACCAACCAUUCAAAAUACAGUUUCAUAAUUUUAAUACAUCAUUUUUAUAGAUCAUUUUAAUAUCAACCUCACUCCGCGCAGGGCGCGGAUCCAAUCCUAGUAACUAAUUAAAGGCUAGACGAUAUGUGCAUUUUUUGCGGUUAAACUAAUAUAUGAAUUAGCUUCUUUUUUAAUAUAUGAAUUAGCUGUUGGAACGUAAAACAUAAUAAGGUUUUAAAUAAAUGUAUUCCUUAGCUUUUGAAACUUAACUUGGCCAUCUUGGUGUCGGUAAGAAUAAAACCAAUGGUAUUCUAAAUUCUAAUGGCUGUUUAAGAAAGUGUUCCUUAUUAAGUUACUAGUUAAUUACGGAGUAUAUUGAACCAGUAAAGUAAAUAUAAAAUUUUGAUUAAUCCACUUUAAUCAUGUUCUAUGAUAUUGCACUACAAAAAAAAGUGUGAAUUACAUCACAUAAAUUAUAUCACAAAAAUAAAUGAUGCUAUUUUAAAUUACUUAUUUACAAAUGAUGUGAAUAUACCUAUUUUUAAAUCAAUUAUAAUAACUGAUGUUUUAUUAAUUAAUUUAACAUCAUUUCAGAAAAAUGAUAUUUUUUUUUUGUUAAUUUGUAUCACUUAAAUGAAAUUGAUGCUAUCAUAUAAAUUUAUAUCGAUUAAAUAACUGAUGCAUUUAUUAUUUUAGUUAACAUCAGUUAUUAACAUGAUACAUAAUUUAGAUCAAUUAGAAAACUGAUGCUAACAAAAAUUUAUAAUAUCUCUCUCUCUCUCUCUCUCUCUCUCACACAUUAUUGUCAUGCCAAAUGAAAAUGUCCCAAACUUCUCCAUUAAAUUAAGAUAAAUAUUACUUCAGCUAAUUUCUUAAAAUUUUGAUUCCUUAGGUUGCUUCAGAAUCAGACCAAAGUCCAAACCUUUUUUUGGCCUCAUUAUGGGCAUUAGGUUCAGUUAAUGAUGCAAGUUACUUGCUUAAAUAAAUGAAAGUAAAGUCGUUAACUAUUUGUCAAUUUAAGUUGAAGGAUUUAAGAUAACAUUCCACACAUCAUUAUCAACUUAUUGUACAAUCGGUGCAGGAAAAAACCAAGAUAUAAAUUCAGAUAUUAAUAUAUGUUCUAGUAAAUAUAGCCGAAUAAAUUUUUGUUUUGUUCGCGAUAUGAUUAUAGAACUUAUAGACACUUCACAUGAAGUUGACUGCUAAAGACACGAACGGUUCAGUUCAAAAAGAAAAAUGACAGGAAUGCUUCAAAUGAUUCGUUUAGAGGGUUUUUGACACGUGCGGGGACGUACACACGAAACCCUACCACUCUAUAUGAAAGCAAGAGAGGAUAAACGAUCAAAGUAAUAUUUAUAUCUAAUUAUUAAUAAAAAGUAUAGACAAAAUUAGUUUGAUACACUAUUUAAAAAUUGAUACACAUUAGUCAACAAAAGGGGAGAUUGAGAUUUAAUAAAAUGGAAGGAGGAAGAAGAGUAGUGGUCAAUAACUACGAUCUACAACAAGUGACAUCGUCGGCGACGAUCCAAGAAAAUAUGAACUUCCUCGUUCCAUUUGAAGAAACCAACGUCUUAACUUUCUUCUCUUCUUCUUCUUCCUCUUCCCUCCCCUCUCCUUCUUUCCCCAUUCACAACUCUUCUUCUACUACUAAUACUACUCAUGCACCUCUAGGGUUUUCGAAUAAUCUUCAGGUGUAGCUAUAUAUGAUCUAUCUUUGUAUUAUGCAUAGCAUGUGAUUAUCUUGUUUUUAUAGUUUUUAAGUAUUGGUUGUAUCUUAAUCUGAAGGGGUUUAAUAUGGGUUUUGUAGGUUGGAGGACCCUUGGGAUCAAAGGUGGUCAAUGAUGAUCACGAGAAUAUUGGAGGUGGAAUCAACAAUGAUGUCCAUUCUAAUUCUUGGUAAUUAAACUGAUUUAAGUUGAAGAUGAAUCCACUCCUUUCUUCUUCUUUUGGCAUAAACUAAUGGCUAAUGAAGAAAGUUAUUAUUGUUACCAUAAUUUUCCCAAUAAAUUGAUUUUCUUUCUCUCGGGUGUUUUGGAUGUGGCCAAAACACUGGAAAUGAAUGAUUUGAGAUCUCAUAGAGCGAAGAUAGACUUAUGUACAAAUAAGAACCUUAUGACAUAAGAUAUAUAUUAAACCUAAGAUAUUAAAGUUUCUGAUACAUUAUAGAGUGAUUGCAUUUGCAGGUGGAGAUCCAGUGGAGAGAUGAAGAACAAAGUUAAGAUAAGGAGGAAACUAAGAGAGCCAAGAUUCUGUUUCCAGACAAAAAGCGAUGUCGAUGUUCUUGACGAUGGAUACAAAUGGCGUAAAUACGGUCAGAAAGUCGUGAAGAACAGCCUUCACCCAAGGUAAUUCAUCUAAGUACACCACCAUUUUAUGUUUGUUUAAUGGACCUUAUUAUUAGUCUAAGUUAACAUACCAAUAGUUCUGAUGCCAUAUGUUAUAUAUAAUGAUUCUCGUAUAAUCACAUUGAUUGAUGACUGUUGUUUCGUAAAAGCUUAGAAUGUAUCAUAAUAUUCUCUAUUUAGACUGUUGCCAAACGCUAGCUCAAGGACUAGACAUGACUGCUUAUACAUAAUGUAUACAUUUUCUACAAAUUAAGAUUAUUUUUUUUUACGUAUUUUGCAAUUUUAGUAUGUAUCGUACGUCCCUCGAGGGCUGUCAUCAUUAAGAAUGCAAACAAUAUCUUCUGUUUUUGUCUCUUUUAUUGUGCAAUGUCUACACAUUUUCCAACUAAAUUCCACAUGUUUGUUUCUUGAGUUCUUUUUCUUUUUUUCACAUAUGGUUUACUGGAUCCAACUAUUAUGUACUAAUAAAUGGAAAAAAAAUUAUAUAUAUACAGGAGUUAUUACAGAUGCACACACAACAACUGUAGGGUGAAGAAGAGAGUGGAGCGACUGUCGGAAGAUUGUAGAAUGGUGAUUACUACUUACGAAGGUCGUCACAACCACAUUCCCUCUGAUGACUCCACCUCUCCUGACCACGAUUGUCUCUCUUCCUUUUAAUCUCUCUCCCUGAAUAUAUAUAGACAGAAUAUAUAUAUAUAUGCACAUAUAGAUGUGUGAUAUGUUGCACGUGUUUAUUAUUUGGGUCAAAUUGCAUGUGUGUGUUUCAAGAAUAUAUCAUCAGAUGUUUUAUAUUCUUGACUUUCCGUUUAUGAUAUACAUAUAUACACUCUUAGUGGAUAUUAGUUAUGAGUUUGGUUCAUCAUGACACUACCAAUGCAUAGAUUGUAGAAGAUUUAAAUGAGCCAAAGUAUAUAAAAAGAGUGCAUCAGUUUAUUAGUUAGUAACAACACUCAAGGCAACGUAGCUACAAACUAGCUCAUGGUCAAUAUAUUACACACAUAUAAUGUUAAGUAGGGUUAUAUUUAGCUAGUUAAGAAAUCAUCUGUCUUCCUAAUGAUCAGAUGAAGAUGUUAUAAGUAUAGAUGAUAGACUCAUGCAGCGGGAGCGUAAUCAUAUACUACAUCAUCGUCAUCAUCACCUUCGUUCAUGAAAGAUAUUGCAACUGCAGUUUGGCCGUUGUAAUGGAGAACCAAUCAAAUUCUAUUAUUGCAAACAUUUCUCUUUUAUACACUACUCAUUUAAAACUUGUUGAAAAGAAGGCUAAAGAAAGAAAACUUGAUUUACUAUAAAGUAGAGAUUGUUACUUGACUAUAUUUAUAGAUGUAAGCUAAUAGCAAACGGUGAACUCAUUAAAACUGAGUCAGGGGGCAUGUGACUCGCUGCUUAUAAUGUGUGCCUGACACAAGAGGAGUGUGAAAAACUGAGUAAGCCACCUAUUUUUGUGCCCUGACACAUCCGUCACUUUUUAUAUAUUUAUUGGUCCACCUCUUAUUACACAAUUUGUUAACACUUAUUAUUUCAUUAUGACAUAAUUUUCUUUCACGGAAUAAUAAACUUUUUUGAAGUAAAGAUCGAGAAACCCCUAAAGAGUUUUACUUUAUUUUGGAUUUUAGCCAAAAUGCAUUAUAGGGUAUUGAUUCCCUCUACCAAUAGCAACAUCAUAAGCAUCAUGCAUGGAACCUUGAGGGACAAAAACAAAGAUUAUGAUCUGUCUAGAUUUGUUUUGUGUUUUGUCUUCAUCUCAAGUGUACAUGGUAAAUAUUUGUUUUUUUUUCUUGACUCAGUUUUACAAUAUUUACUUUGAAACUGGGCUUUUGAUAAGGCAGUGGGAUGCUCACAAAAGGGUCCAUGUUAGGUCCAUUAUCCCCUCAAAAGAUGACGGUGAAGCGACGAAAUAAUGAGAUGAGCUAUAGUAAAAGAUUAAGAACAUCUCGGAUGAUUUACUCUAUUUUUUACCUUAAAUUAGAGUAAGAGUUUGAGUUUGUUCUAAUGAUAAACAAAAAAAAACAAAGUUGCUCUAUAUUUGGAGUAACCUAUUUUCACUCUAUUAUAAAGUGAGAAAUAGAAUACUAUUGAAACAUUUUUACUCUAAACUUUAUUUUAGAACGAAAAAGUGAGUGGGUUUGGAUGCCAUAACAUUGUCUUAAGCUUAGAUGAGGUUUUUCUUUUUUUGAUCGUGACAUGGCACCAAACAUUGGUUAAAUAUUAGAUUCUCACAAUCUUGGGCAAGCCAACAAGAUGUUUUUAGACGUUUUGGUCUUUUAGCCUCCACCCUCUACUAACCACAACCACCGGUUAACUUUUUUUUCUGAAUGAUUUUAAUCAUCACGAUCUUUUUGAAGAUAUUUAUAGAACAAUAUCGUAUGCAACCUAAAAAAGAAAUGGAUAUAUAAUAAUCUAGGCUGACGGCAAAUAAAAUGAAUUGGUUUCACUGAGAAUAAACUUACAGUUUACACACGCAUUCAGAAAUUUGUAUAGGCUACCAACUAAUGUGGUCCACCGAUCUUCACAUAAUUCUAAACAUUAUGCAUGGACAAGACUAUACCUAUACUAUACACCAAUAUAUUAAAUGUUCUCUGAAGCGCAAUAUUAUGAACUAUAUAUUUUCUCAUACUAUUAGUAUAUGAACUAGGAAAAGGAGUUUUUGAUGGAUGGGGAGGGUCACAUGGAGGAGCACAUGGAAAGUGGCUACGAAAAAGAUACGAGAAGCGAGAGACACGUUACGCAGCUGUUGUUGAUCCCCAAAAUGCUACGGAAAACUAUAUACAAAUAUUAUUUCUAUUUCUACAAUUCAUAUUAUACAACGUAUGUAUAAAAAGAAAUCUUUAUUCUUAGUUUUUCUAACGAGACAUGCUUUACUCUUUCAUCACUCCAAUCUCAAUCAGUUAACAUCUAACCUACCUGUCAUGUUUUAAUUAAUCGUUUCUCUCGUCACUUCAGGUACUAAUCAAGUUAUACGGUCAGUACUCGCAUCAUUAUAAGAUAACCAAGUAGCAUAAAAUAAUGGUCACAUAAUAUACGUCUAAACCAUGUGUACACUAAUCAAAUCUUGUCUGCUUCAGUUUGUAGUUCAUGAAUGUAGCUAGGAACUAUACUAUAAUGCUAUUUGGAAGAUAAAUUUACUAACGAACUAAAAAAUGCAUUAGUUUGAACGUAAGCUAGCAAUUCAAAUGAUCAAAUCACUCAAUGGUCACACAUAUCGUCCUGUAAAGAUCAAAUCUUUUCGUUUAACGUUUUCUUUAACGUGAAAUUUCUUUUCAUUGUUCUUGCUCUUUAACUUUUGGGUCUGCUUUGUCUAAGAACUUUGCCUAAGUGCGUCCAAAUUAGCUGUACAUCUUGGCAUGUUAGAUUUAGAUCGAUCUAUAGUUUAUUCAUAUCUACAUUUCUCUAGCAAUCUUAAAUAUAUAUAUUGGGCUAUAAAGAAGGAUUAAAUGUUAUGUUUACCAGAUGGGAAUUGAUUCGCAUUAUUAGCAACACAUGCACUUCGUAGGAUCACUAUCGUCAUGACUUUCUAGUUUAAAUAAAUCUCCCCACAUGUAAUGUAACAUGAUGAGUAUGGGAUCCCAUCUCCCCCAUUACAAAACCGAAAUUAAAAUUCACAUAUAAUCACACAUUUUCCUUAUAAACUCACAUUUUUAACGUAUAAUUUUCCCAAAAUCACAUCAAUAUUCGUUAUUGCGUACAUAUCAAAAGACACGAUAGAUUUGAUAUAUCGUGUUUAAUGCAUUAGUUUAAUGUUUCCCUCUUGUUAAAACUUAAGUUUUCAAAUUCAAUACUAAUCAUUAAUCCAACUUAUGAAAUAAAAAAGCACCACUUUCCUUUUUAUGUUCCAUAUUCUAAUGAGUUGCUUAUUUAUAUAUUUUGAAAUAUUUAUGUUUUUUCGGUUCCACCGCCGACGGUGAUAUAACAAGAAUUAAUGAUUCAUAACAAAUUCAAAAGAGUCACAUUCCUGAAAAUUUAAAAUUGUUUAUAUAAACAAGCAAAUAGAAAAUCAAGAAAAUACUUAUUAAAUAAAUAAAAAUACAAAAAAUACAAAAUAACUACCCAAUAUAACGACCACCUUAAUCACACCGUCACACGCCAUUAACAACAGAGCAGAGCAGAGCAAAGAAAGUAACUUUCUCUUCCUCUCUCUAUCCCAAACACACACAUACAAAAAUGGCUGAGCUUGAGAGUCCUGGAGUAAUGCCAAAGCUAAUAGCCUUCUUAUCUUCACUGCUAGAACGAGUUGCCGAGUCCAACGAUCUGACCCGGCGAGUCACGACUCAGUCGCAGAGUGUUUCCGUGUUCCACGGGCUGAGCCGGCCGACCAUUACGAUCCAGAGCUACCUCGAGAGGAUUUUCAAAUACGCCAAUUGCAGUCCUUCUUGCUUCGUCGUGGCUUACGUUUAUCUCGACCGUUUCACUCAGAGACAGCCUUCUCUUCCUAUCAACUCCUUUAACGUUCAUCGUCUCCUCAUUACCAGUGUCAUGGUCUCCGCUAAAUUCCUCGAUGAUCUGUAAGUUUCUACGUUUCAUUAAUCGAAAUCGAGGCCUAUGAAUCGAGGGUCGAGCUCAGGAUUCACUAUCACAGCUUAAAAUUUCAGUUAAUGAUCAGCCAAUGCUCUGUUUCUGAAAUGCUCUGUUUUUAUCUGCUCUGUUUUUAUCUGCUCUGUUUUUCUCUGUUUGUUCCUCUGAAACAUAAAGAUCCAAUUUUUAAAUUGAUUUGGUUAGUUAUUCACUAAAACUGUAACGUUGGUACCUUAAACAGGUACUACAACAAUGCGUAUUACGCGAAAGUGGGAGGGAUAAGCACGAAAGAGAUGAAUCUUCUAGAGCUGGAUUUCUUAUUCGGGUUAGGUUUCGAUUUAAACGUGAAGCCAAACACGUUCCACGCUUACUUCUCUUAUCUUCAAAAGGAAAUGACUCUUGUUCAACCCCUCUCUCUCGUUGUUGUCCCACCAAGAUCUGUCAUUACCUUCAACGACGAAGAAGCUUCUCACCAGAAACAACAACAGCAGCAACUCGCUGUUUAAUUCACACAUGAUUCCAAAAAAAAAUUGGUUCUCUGUUCUUAAUCAGUCUGGGCCUUGUUUUUAAUGAAAUGUGUAGUUGUAGAUGAUGUAGAGAUUAGUCGGCAGGGACUCUUAUCUUGUCUUAAUCAUAUCCUGAUUAAGAAAUUUCUUGAUCAUUUCUCUCUAUAUAUUAUAUCAUUUAUGUUUAGAUGUGGACAUGUGUGAUAUAGUUCAUCUUUACAGACUGGCUUGGCAACAUAAGUUUAAAUGUCACUAGUAACUCUAAAACUCAAAUAACCAAAAAUAUCUAUGUUAUGAUUAUUUAUGUUUUGUUUUUGUCUGAUGUUUAGAUGUUACCCAUGCUAGAUCAGAGACAUGGGUUAUUAUUUUAGUAACAAUAGUAACUAGGAGGUACAAUGAUUGUGAUUUGUGAAGAAAAUUUGUUGUUUUCUUGUUCUAUAGAGGGAACAAAAGAACAUGUGCAGAGCAGAGACAGACUGUAAUGAUAAAGAAAUCCACGGUCAAUAGACAAUUUGAAAGAGGCUUAAGUGACUGUGACUUGUGUGAGGAGUUUAUACAAAUAAUGUAUAUUAACAAAAUAAACCACAAAGUUUUAAGUUUAUAGGUUUUUACUCCAAUAUUUUCAUAGUUCAUACAUACAAUUCAAGAACACAAAUCAAAGAGAGGUUAAAAACAGAGAAAAAUGGAAUUUGAGACUGAUUUUUAGAAAGUGGAUGUUGUAGUAGUACUUGUAAGAGGAGAGAUUCUUGUUUUCUUGGAAUGAAGAACACACCUAAUACUACAUCAUGAAAAAGUGCAGCCAUUGCAAAUCCAUAGGUCAAGGCAAGGUAGAAAGGGAGUCCUUUUGUGAGUAAUGAGAUUUCUGUAAUUAAACAGAAGUGAAAAAACUACCGAUUUUAAGAAGAUGAAAAUGCCAUAAGAAAUCCAACUCUUUGAUCUCAUUAUAGUUGCUCCUGCGUAAUAAACCGGCUUAGUUUUAUGAUAACCAGUAGCCAUAAGUCGUUGCGGCUAUCAGAACCACUAAGACACGACGAAUUUCCAUUAAGUGAUGAGACUCUGUCUUUCUUGUACUUUAAGUAGGGGUUAUUGGUUGCUGUAUUUUAAUGAAUUUGAAAAUCCGAACUAAAUCUAGUGUUAUUGGUUUUAUGAUUUUCAAAUCUGUAUUAAAAUCAUGUGUUAUUGGUUUAAUGAUUCAUAAAUUCUGUAUCAAAUCAAGUGUUAUUCAAUCAUACGGAUUUACUAAUAUAUUUGAUUUUAUAAUGGAUUUGAAUGGAUUUGUUUGGAUUUGUUAGUUAAAAAUACAAAGACUCAAAUCCGAGGGAAAACCUCCGGAUUUGCAUAUUUUACUUGGAUUUAUAAAUACUAUAUGGAUUUCUAAAUCAAUCAAAAUAUAUAAACCAAUAACACCUCCUGAGUAAUCCAGUAGCAGAUUCUUGUUUACACACUACUUUGAGUCUUUGACAAGUUAAAUGUGUAUAGUAAUGGGCCUGUCCCACUAAUAUUAACCCAUAUAACUAAGCCUAUUAACUUUAAGCUAAUCCAAACUUCUAACAGCGUAGCUAAGUUUCUUUUUAACAUGGUAAUAGAUUCAAUUCAUGGCAAGAACUAGGCUAAACAAUGGGAAGCCUAUGUGCGCUCAUACUCUGGGCUCUAAGUGGUCAGAAAUUAUGAUUCGGCCCAUCUUUAUCAUGUUCCAACACAACUUUUCAUUUUACAUUGACAGUCUCUGGACAUUUUACCUGGACCCAAAAGCCCGACUCAAAGCUGAUCCGAUCGAAAACCGAAAAUUUAUAAAUAACUAGUGGAUCUAAAAAUUUAUAUCCGAAAGAACUGGAACCGAAAAAAACGACUCGAAUAGACUCAGACCCGAAAAAACCCGAUCCGAAUAAACCCGACCGAUAAAAAUUGAUUAAUAUCUUACUUAAAAACACGAAUAUCCAAAACUAUGAUUUAUUUGUUCUAUUUUCUAUAUUUUAUUUAAUGAUAUAGUUGAAAUAUAUUUUUGUUAAUAAUCCUGAAAUAUAUAUUUUGUUAACAAUCUUUGUUAUUAUUUUUGUAGCAUUUUGAAGUAAUACGAAGUUUUAAAUGUAAAAUUUAAAGUUUUAAAAUGUUUAUUAAUAAUUUACUUUAAAUUAUUUUGUAAAAUUUUAGAUAUAUAUAACAUAUUUUGACUAAAUUUCACGUAGUUUGGGUAUUUUGUGGUCCUUUCAGAUCAUAAAUACUCAACCCAAACUCGAUAUAAAUAAAAAAAUUUAGAAUAUUUUAAUUAUAGAUCUGAAUCGAUCCGAACCAAAGAUCCAACCCUAAUCCGAACCAAAAAUUUAUAAAUAUCGAUUGGAUCCAAAUGUCUAGGACCCGAAAGAUCUGGAUCCAAAAGGAACCAGUCUCAACCCGAACACCCAGGCCUAGACACUACCAAAGAAAGUUCAAACUACACAUGAGUAUAGAUUACAAGUACCCGACGACCCAAUUAUUUUUGAUCAUGAACUUUCUUCGGUCUUCCAUAAAAGGUGGAAAGUGUCAAGUGGCAUGCGUACAUGGGCCCCUUUUAAAAGCCCAUUUUAGCUGUCAUGUUAAAGAACCGCCGGAGCUCUAGCUCUCAGUUAUGUCGGAAAAUGUAACACUCGAAGGAUCUGUAUUCAGAAUUUGUUUUCUCUUUGUGGAUUACUACAAACAUAUUAACCGAGUGAAAUUAUAAGACAAAGAAAUUGAAUUUAGAACCGAUCUGUUUCUUGUCGGAACUUGGAACAUCGAACAAAAUUUAAACCUCCAGAGAACAAAAAAAAACUAUCAACACAGCCCAUCUGUCUCUCUAUCUCCCCAAACUCCACAUUCAUUUACAUAAAAACCAGAUCUACACUUUCUCAGAUUCCGACAUCGGAACAAAGAUAAGAUAGAAACAGAGCAAAACAUUGCUAAUAUAGAAAAGAAAAACUAUCUGCUUUUUGAUCUUCUUAUGUAAUAAAAACACGUCUACUACGCCACCACGAGAGUUCCUGUCCGUACGGUUUUGCCGGCGGCGGAAUCUUUAGCUGCUUCGGAAGAUUUUUUACGGAGAGAUCUUGAGGAAAGUCUCCAGCUUCUCUCCUUUGCUUCAUCGGACUCGAUCUGUUCUUCUCUACACUCUUUGCUACAAAACGCCUUGUCUCCUCUUUUAAAAAAAAAAUCAAGAAAACAUCUCAAUAUAUCAAUAAAGGCAAUCACUUUUCAAAAUCCAGAUCCAGGAAAUUGAUUUUAUUAUGAUCGGAUUAAGUACCUGUACAUGAAGAUGUCGGAGUUAAGACCAAUGUGUUUGCGGCAAAGAGAGCAAGAUUCCAGAAAGUGUGGCUCUUCACUGCCGAAGAAGCUAUUGUAAUGCGACGCCAUUGCUAAUAUUAAUAUUUUAAAAGAAGAAAGCUUUACGAUUCAAGAUUCAGCUCAGAGAGGGAGGAGGAGGGGGAGGAGAAAGAUGAUUGAUUUGGUGUGAAUAUAUAAAGCGGAGCUCGGACUUUCUCUGCUUUGACUUUUAGUUAAUCACCUGUGGUGCAGACCAGUGUAGUUACUGUGGUUUACAAUAAAUCUGCACCGUUCUUUCUUUCCUUAGUCCAAUCUCGAAAGAUCUAUACGUUAAAAGUUCAGUAAUUAGUACAUUACUUUUUAUUUUAUUAUUAUCGUCUUUAUUAUUUUGUCUGCACCAGUUACAUGUCUAUUUUCUAUUUAAUUUAUACUUCCGAAUUUUCUAGUAAAAAUAUUUUUUUUUUUUAUAUUCCAUGGCGCAAAAGUCUAUACAUUAUUUUUGUGUAACGUAGAGCAAUAGAGAACAUAUAAAAUUAGUAGAAUUUUAUUUUUUUGCAUUACAAUAAUUUGGGUGGAUCUAGUUGGUCGAGAGGAAUCAAACAAGUCUUGCGUUUGUGAGAUUCGUUGGCCAUAACAAUAACAUGCGUAAAGCAUGAUUGAUGGCUUUUCCGUAAAUAUAAAAUUAACAUUAAAUGAUAGUUUUGGUCAAAAAAAAAAACAGUAAAUGAUACUACUAGUUUCCAAAAUUUAUAUUUUUAUAUUACUAAUCUUUUUACUAAAUAUUUUUGUGGUUUUAAACUGGUCCCCGUGUGUAGUCUCUGAGCUCUAGGGAUGCAUCUCCCCUGGACAAUGUUUCAUUCCAUGGGUGGAAAUUUAUAGAUCGCCUCUCAUUUGUUUAAAGCUUUGCUUGUUAUACUGUGGACACUUGGACAGUAACGUUCUUUUAUUACUAUAGUAUAAGUGAAUAAAUAUAUUCAUGUAUAUUUGAGACAACACAGCUUGGUACACGUGCUGGAGCUCCAGGUAAAAAAGUUCGGAAUCUUUUGGCUGAAACUCUGUAAAGUCUUGACACAAUCUCAGUUCAAAUAAAAAGUCAAGAAGUUCUAGAAACAUGUACGUUAAAUUUAGAUACGAAAGACAUGCAUAGACUUUAUACUUGUCUUUGUAAUAAACGAACAAUAGCGUGACCGACCUUCAUUGAAUAUAAGUACACAUUUUUUUUUGGGUAAAAAUAUAAGAAAUAAUAUAAGUAUACAUUUGAUAGCGCCACACUCACAUUCACAUUCCUGUUUAUAUUGUAGUUAAUCGCGUAACAAUACGUUUCACAUAUUUAAAUUUCAUAAAAUAUCAGUUCCGACUUGGGAGUAACUUGUUUUAUAUGUCUUUUGAUUCAUAUAACAAAAUCUUUCCAAAUCAAAUUCAAAUAACACAGCAGUAGAAUUUGACUUUUAAAUUCAAUAUAUGGUAGGUAAAGAUCACUUGCUUAGUUAUAUACUAUUUUUUAUAAAGAUCACGUCAAGCACUCAACGUUUCUGAGUAAGCAAUGACUCACGAUACGAACGGCAAACCAAUAUAAUAAACUUUAUAAACAAUUUACGAAUAUAUAAACAACCAAAGUGUAUAAAUACAAACAAAAGAGAUAAUCAGUUGUUUUGCGAUCAAUCAUAAUAAAGGUCCAAAAAAAAAAGUAGCAAAGGACCACACAACUUGUCAUGUGUCGAUACGCCUUGGAGUCGGGAGAUGGGUCCUCCCACUAGAGUUGGGAAUAUCAAACGAGGAGCUGACUAGACAAAACCCUUUUUAAAGGAACUGUUAUUAUUAUUGGGAUCCACCAUCACCUCUAUUAAGCCCAAUAAUCAAAACGUCAUUCUCUCUCGGGCCCUUGACAGCUGCCCGUGUACCCCGUUUGCCCUACCUUUUUGCUUGUACAUACCCACCUGCCCCUGUCACGUGUGGUGAAUCUCACUCGUGUGCCAGCAAAGCUGGGUAUUUGUGAUACGUGUCGGUUUAUUAGAGGUAUUAAGGUUGCAUGGGAAUUAAAUUCUCUUGUUUCGAUUCUACGGUUAGGAUUUGAUCUGCGAGAAGCGUUGGUUGUAGCCGUUGAUUUGUUAUAGUAGACGAUGCCAAUUCAGAUGGUCAACUAGCUAUAUUUGGAGAUGUAUUAAAUUUUGUAUUUAAGAUAUUAGAAUGCUCAGUGAUUGAUCUUUAAUUAGUUUGUAGAUGAAUUCUGUUAAAUUAUUAAUUUUAUAUAAUUUUAAUUUAUAUUUUAGUUAAUAAACUCUACCAAAAACUUUUAAAAUAAGUGUUUUAAAUUUAUCUUAACUAAUAAACUCUACAAAAAGACUCUAUUGUUAAAAGUCUCAUCAAAUAUUUUACCAGAAAUAUUUUUUGAUAAAUUAUAAAUUAUAAAUUGUAUUUUAAGAUUAUAUGUUAAAACAGUUAUUUAAAAUAAAUAUUAUACAUUUUAAUAAAAACAUAUUUUCGGCAAAAACAAAUUUUAGUAAUAAACAUUUGAAAUUACAAAGUCAAUAUUCAAAACUUCCAAAAAAUAAAUUAGUACAUAAGCAGGUAUAUGCACCAUAUAUUAUUAAUAAAAAUAAAUUUAUAUCCCAGAUUAAAUAUAUAUAUUUUCAGAUUCAGAUAUUGAAAAGGCGGGUAAAUAACUAUUAAUACAGCCAAAAGCAAUUGAUUUUUUAUUACUUGCUAUGACUCCAUGCCUCAUCAAAGCUUGGAAGAAUCCACAGCCCGGGCUUGUGGCUAGAUGAGCUUAUGCAUGUACAUAAGGUUUUCUGUUUGGAUGGCAUGUCCAUGAGAAAGCAUCGCUUCAUUUCACCAUCCCACUUGCAAUCGUUGCAGUGCAGAGUUUAGAAGAUACUAAACACUACUUUUUGGUGUCCAUAGGUAUGUAAUAUCUUCUCACAUUGCGCAUAUAUAGCCAAUCGGUCCAUGUGCUGAUGAUCUAUAUAAUCUCCUGCAGUUUCUUGCUAUUCCCUCUUCCCACUCUUAUAUGAGCCGCAGGAAUACCCGAUCAAGGUUUUGUUGCUGUUGUUGCAUUACAUGGGAAUGUGGCUUGGCUUUUACUGCUCAAUACGGAGAGGAGAAGGUGUUGAAGAGCAACUUUAAGAUCGGUUAUAUUGAGAAGAGCUAUCUGAUGGGUUUAGUUGUAGUAGAGAUAGUGUCUCAGUUCUUGCAUCCGUAUUUUCUAGGUGAUAGAUUUGCAUUUAUGCCCUUAACGUUGAUUUCAACAUACCAUGCCGUCGGUAAUAUUUACUCUUGGAUUUGGCAGCUUAGGAGGAUCCUUACAUGACAUGCAUUUGACUCUUUUUUUCUCAUCCUGAACUUGUGAUUUUGUUUUGUUUCAUACUUGAAGUCCUUCAAGUAGGCCUGACUACGAAGUUGGUUUGAUUCGGUAGAUCUUUUUAAAAUGUUUUGUUUUGGUUCUGUUCGGUAAUUGGUUAUUUCGAUUUUCUUAAACACAAAAUUAUAACCGAACUAUAUCAAAAACUCUAACCGAACUAACUAAAUCUCAAACCGAACUAACCAAAUUUCAAACUAAAAUAAUCAAAUAUAUCCAAAAUUUUAACAAAAGUAAACUAAAAUCUAAUCGAAAUAAAAAAAAAAUAGGUAAAAUUUACAAAAACGGAACAACCAAAUGCUUAACCAAAAUUGUUUUGGUUAAUCCGGUAAAAUUUAUGUUGAAUUGAACUAACCAAAAACCAAACUACCCGAACCGGAUAAACUUUAUUUAUCUCUGAAAGUGGAUCUUAUUAGCUAGGCCCAAAAUGAAAACUUGGAAACAACCAAUGAGCUUUUUAACAUUAGCCCAAUUCAAAAACAUAAGAACCAACGAGAAACCUCUAGCCGAGAAGUCGUGACAGAGGAAGAAGAUCUGCUUGCUUGUGCAAACAAAAAAAAAAACCUUAUCUUGCAAUGGCUUCUUCAACUUUCGUCUCUCUGCCAAAACCCUUCUUUGCUUUUCCGGUUAAAACCAGUUCCCCUCCCCUAGCUAACCAUAAGCUUCUCGGUACUGACACAAAUCUGAGAAACUUGUAAAGUUUCAAGCUUUCAGUGUUUUUUUUGUCCGUCUGAUGAUUUGUUUCUCUUACAGGAAGUCGAAGAGGCUGUCUGAGUGUCAAAGCGAUUUCCACUAAAUGGGAACCGACAAAGGUACUGUCUUUUUUCCGUUUACUUUUGUCCAAAAGUUUAUUCAUUUUGUUGAUAAUGUCAAUCGCAGGUUGUUCCUCAAGCAGACAGGGUUCUUGUUCGCCUUGAAGAGCUUGCACAGGUCUGUUAGAACUCUUUUGUGAUUCUGAUUAAUGAGAAGACAUUGUAGUUGGUUAGCUCUGUUAUCACAAUUCGAUUGCCAAUAAUCAUUGAUUAUUUUGUUGAUGCAGACAACCUCAGGUGGAGUGUUGUUGCCUAAAGCAGCUGUUAAGUUUGAGAGAUACUUAACCGGAGAGGUUGUCUCUGUUGGUUCUGAGGUUGGACAACAAGUUGGCCCUGGCAAGAAGGUUAGGUUCUUUCUUUAACUCUUUCAAGUCAUAACCAUCAUCCAUUGUUGGUUAACUAGUGUGAAAUGUUAAUUCAUUUGUUUCGCCUUUUGCGUUUUUAACAGGUUCUGUUCUCUGACGUGAGCGCUUAUGAGGUUAGUUAGUUAUGGUUUGCCUUCUUCACAGUGAAGAUUCAACCAUAGUUUUUGGAAGUAGUGUAACAUCUUUGAAUUCAUUGUUGUACAGGUUGAUUUGGGGACGGGUGCUAGGCAUUGCUUUUGUAAAGAGAGCGACUUGUUGGCCCUCGUUGAGUGAAGAGAUCUUGUCAGAGAUAAUAUUCCUUCAAGAUUUUUACUUGUUUCCUGUAAUCUCAGAUAAUAUAAUCUUGUUUUGUGACAGUUUUUUCAAUUUAAUAUCAUUUUGAAGACAAUCAUAAGCAUUCGAGGCAAAUUAUAAUGAAAUUGAAACUAUUUAGAGAGUUCAAGAAUGCUCCCAAAACAGAACUAAACAAAGAGAGAAUUGAACAACCUUGGUAGGAGUCUAGGAGAAGCUUUGAGAGAGGUUUAGCUAGACUUUGGAUGAUUGUAAACGUAUUCAACAGUCUCCAAACUAUCAAACGUAGGGGAAGGCACGUUCUUAUCACGUGGCAAGCCUAUGGGCCCCCUUACUAACGAAGCCCAUAACGUUUCGAAAUUUUUAACAAUCCGAGUCUAAUAUCUUAUAAUAUUGCAAAUUAUCCCCAAUAAGUUUCUAAUUGCACAUAAACGACCCCUUCUCUCUUCGAAUAAACAUUCUCAGCGACGGCAUCUCUCUCUCUCUCUCAAUCUCCGGCUUAUAUUGGGAAGUUAACGCCCUCCUCCGCGACGUAUCUCAGAUCCGUCUCAGGCUAGUUUCGAUCUCGAGGUUUUCAAUGGCUCCGGUCUCGGCGCUCGCCAAGUAUAAGCUGGUGUUUCUGGGAGAUCAAUCCGUCGGGAAGACGAGUAUCAUCACUCGAUUCAUGUACGACAAGUUCGACAACACUUAUCAGGUUAAUCCGAUUUUUCCUCCUCCUCCUCCUCCGAUCUAGCGUAAGGAUCUCGCCGAUGCACGACGCUAGCUUAGUUUUGAGAUCCGAUUAUGUGUGAUCUGAUUUGUAGAUCGUUUGUUAAUGUAUGAGACGUAACGAUCAGUAGUAAGGAUCAUGUGUGGGAUCUCCUUUAGCUUCUCAUUGUUUGUGAUUGCUCACUGUUGAUUGUUUGUUGUUCAUACUGGAGGAUCGUUAGAAACGCUAUGGAAUUGAACUUAGUUCGCGUUGAUCUUGUGAUCAUUGCUUAUCGAAUCGAAGUAGUUCUCAGUUGAUGAAUGAAAACAAUUCUCUGAUCUUGAUUUGUAGAUCGUUGUUAAUGUAUGGGAAGUAACAAUCAGUAGUAAGGAUCAUGUUUGCGAUUCUCCUAUAGCUUUUCAGCGUUCGUGAUUUUACCGUUGCGAUUGCUCACUGUCUGUGUUUAAAAUGGCGCAUGGCGCACCAAGGCGAGACGUGCCGAGCCUUGCGCCUCGCGCCAUGGCGCAAUAUGGCGCUCGCCUUGAAGAAAAUUUUAGUUACGUCAUUUUAGUUACGUCUUGUUUUGUUUUGUAUUGGAGAAGAAACUUAGAGAACACUUAUGCAAUGAUUGAUAUACUAAAUUUAAAUAAGAUGCAAGCUUUAUUAUACUAGAGAGUUCUAACCUUAAGCAAAAAACCUUGAGAUCUAGAUCUAUGUUUUACGUAACUUCUCUUUUAUAAAGCUAGGGUUUGGCGUUUAAGUUUCCCCGGUUAAGUUUUUUUAAAGUCUAAGGUUUAAUUUUUUUUUUUUUUGAGCAAAAAAGUCUAAGGUUUAAUUAUUAAUUAAGGCUUAUAUGGUUUAGAUACGGUUUACAUUAAUCUCGCCUUACGCUCGCCUUUGCCAUGCUCGCCUUCUCGACAAGGCACCCAUGGCGCGCGCCUUAGGGAACCCACCCUCGCCUAGGUGGUACAUGGCGACAGAGCCAUCGCCUGAGUGCGCCUUGCGCCAUGGCGCAAAAGGCGAGCGCCAUUUUAAACACAGCUCAGGUCAGAGUUUCAUAUAUCUAAAGUUUGUGAAUAAAAGAUAAGAUCUUGGUAAGACAAAAAGACAAUGAUAGAAGAAAAUGAAAACAUACAGGUUCUUUGCAAUUUUCUGAAAGUUGAUUCCGUAACAGUUGCCACGCGCAUAAUCAUUAAAUGCAAGGGAGUGUUUUACCGGCUAUCUCCGCAGUGUGUCAGACCCAAAACCUUUUCCAGCCUAAACCCUAGAUAUCAAUAUUUUAUUCUAAUAGGCGUAGUUUCGUCAUUAAUGAAAAUUGAAAAGGAUCAUCGCCAUUUCCCUAAUAAAAUAAGUUUACGUAGCCAUACAAUGCAAAAAUCCUUUUUCUUAAUACUUAAAGAAUAACGACAAAGGAUCGGUUUUCUUUUCCAACAAUUGUCCGGUUAUUAUAUAUAUCCACCAAUAUUGAUACCUUGAAGAUUCUCUUCCGUUUUAGUUCCAACUAGAAAAGAAAACUUUUUUUUUGUCAACCAAAGAAAACUAAUUAAUUUAGAAUAUAGUUGGAAAUUAUAAAUUUCUAUCUACAAAAAAAAAAAAGAAAUUCAUAAUUAAAAGAAAUAUACAAAUGCAAAAUUACAUGUUAUGGUGCCGUUUCCUAAGCAUGGUAGCUGUGUCAUCCCUUCUAUAUGUUUUUCAUUUUUUCUUGUAUAUGUAGGUUACUUUUGUGAUGUUGUAGUUAGUUGAAUGUUUUCAAAAAAAAAGAAAGAAAACUCAUGUGAUUUUUUCUAAUUUGUAACAGAAAAAUUCAUGUGAUUAUUCUUUGAUUUCUAGUACAAUACAAUUAGGACUAAGCAAAGUAUUUGUAAAUUUUGAUUUGAUUAUAUAAUGUAAUUAUUAUGAUUUUUGUAAUUUUUAUAAUAUAAAUUUAUUAAAAUAAUUAUAUAUAUAAAUUAUACGUAUUGUAAUUUAUGUAAGUUAUAAUAUUUUAUUUAUUAAAUAUAUUAUUUUAGUUAUUAAAGCUUUUAAAGUAAAUACUUGUUUUGAAAUAAAUAUUAUUAUUGUAUAUAAUUUUUGGAUUUUUAUUUAUCAUUAUUUUUAAAGUAUUGUAUUUCUACGGAUCGAAUCGGAUAUCUAGAUAAAAAUAUAAUUUUUUGAUAUUUAUUUAUUUAUAUCUAUAAUAAUAAAGUCAACUUACUUUUCGUGGCCGCGGUCAUUACACAAGUUUCAAAUCCGUAAUGCAAUGGGCGAUGGAGCACUGGGCCUUUGUUAUCUCAUUGGGCCUUUACUUUCUUACCAGUGUGGCCCACCUGGGUUUUAGGGUUAUGUUGAUGCUCAAGCUCUUCCCGUGCGUCGCUGUGGCCCUUGCGUUCACCAUGGUUCCCGAUCAAAUCUUCUUUAACGUUUUCUAUCUGAUUCAUGCUUUGGGGUUUUGUCUUUCAAAACCUUUUUUUUUUCGGUUUCACAUCUUGAGCUCCAGAGUCUGCAACCGUGACUCCUCACAUCUCACUGCCUCCGGCGGUCUUCUUUGUAACGCACCAGUAAUAGUCACCCGGAAACAUUAAUUUCUUUGUAACGCAUCGAAUUAACUCUCCAUAUCAUCCUCCAAUGUAACCGAUUGAAACUCCACCUAUAAAUGGCUUCUUGCUUGGGAUGAAGAGUCACACCGAAAGGAAAUCCCAAAGAUCUCUCUUUAUUAAGCAGCAAAUCCAUCAAUGUAGAAUUCGUUUACUCUGCUUGGUGAGGUCAGUGCUAUCAAUAGCACAAUCAAUGAUAGGACACACUGAACACAGCGUGUUAUGCUACGUCUAGAAAGGUACUCACUUUAGUUGGAACUCCAGUGUUUGGCAUCUCUUACAACUUUGUAUGUUAUCUUAUGUCAUUGAUACUUUGCAGGGAGGUGAAUGUGUGUGUCAGUCUGUUGGCGUAGCUUUUUCGCAUCACAUAACAAACUCGAAAGCUACGGCUCUGAGCCGAAAGUUUUCUUGGUCAAUAGCAUCAGUGCCUAAGUUUUUGGAGGUGAGGAAACUGAGUAUUUAUAAUCUUUCUUGCGUUUAGUCAAAACUUCAAACACAUUAUUUGUAACAGAUUGUGUUUACAAGCAACCAUAUCAUUCCAUAAACUAACUUCCUGUUAUGCAGGCCGCCUAUUUCUCGACGGAACAUCUGGAACCCACAUCUACUUUGACUCUGAGACAGCUGCCGGAAAAGAACUCUCUGAAAAGUAAGAAUCUCUAAUACUAUAAUUAGAUAGCUAACCACCCUCUCUGUACAUAAAAAAUCUUGGCAAUUGAUAUAAUCUUGCGUUUUUGUGCUGUUACAUUAAAAUCUCUUUAGGUUGUUUAGGGAUGAUACCAACCAGCCUUUUCACCCAAGCUGCUUCAUGCCCAGAAAAUAUAACCUCUCACCGUAACUGAGCUUAACCAAUAUGGUCUCACAUCUGACCCUCAGGUCCUGUGUUUAAAAUGGCGCAUGGCGCACCAAGGCGAGACGGUCCGAGCCUUGCGCCUUACGCCAUGGCGCAAUAAGGCGCUCGCCUUGAAGAAGCUAUUUAUCUGUGACAAAGUAACACAUGAAUCUAUUAGAAGAAUAAGCACAAACGAGAUUGGAAAGAGUAGAGACUAGAGAGUUCUAACCUUAAGCAAAAACACUUGAGAUCUAUGUUUAUCUUUGGUUACGUAACUUGUCUUUUAAUAAGCUAGCUUUCAUAGUUAUUUAGACGUCUAAGGUUUAAUUAUUAAUUAAAGUUUGGUUUCAUACCUGGUUUAGUCCGGUUUACAUAUAGUCUCCAUGGCACGCCUUACGCUCGCCUUCUGGCCAAGGCGCUCCAUGGCGCGCGCCUUACGGAACCCACCCUCGCCUAGGAGGUACAUGGCGAUGGAGCGUCGCCUGAGUGCGCCUCGCGCCAUGGCGCAAAAAGGCGAGCGCCAUUUUAAACACAGCUCAGGUCAGAGUUUCAUAUAUCUAAAGUUUCUCUAGCAAUAUAGAAAUCUAAUAGUUUCUGUUCUCUUACUGGUAUUCAGACAGAGAAAGGAUGGUGUUAUAUUGGAUGCUCUAAAUGUUCAAAGAACUUCCAGCAUGCAUGAGAUAUCUUCCUUUACAUGCAUUGUAUGUGAUAAGCCGAACGUCGUGGGUGUCCGAGGUAACGGUCCUUAAACUAUGCUAUCCUGGUAUUUUAGUCCCCUGACUUAGAUUUCCUGACACUACUACACUUUGUUGUGACUCUUUUUUAUCUAUAGGUAUCGUGUGGAGCUGUCUGUUACAGACCCGAUUGAUGAUACUACUGUCUUUGUGGCUUUUGAUAUGGAGAUGACAUUCAGGCAGCUGAAACUGCGCAGCUUUUGGUUAUCCCCUCUAUUCAACCAUUUGGUUUUAGCUAAGGCUCCACUUACGUACAUAGCUUUCUAAAUAAAAUGUUUUCUUCUUUGCAGGGGGCAGGUGUGAAUACUCGAGUGGACACGAGCUCCCCCAGUCAAGAGAGUGAUGUAAAAUGAAAUAUUAUUGCGUCGAAAAUAGAAAAAAGCGUUCAGAACUUACUUUAAUUUUCAUAUUUAAACUUUUAAAAUCUUUAAUUUUCAGAUUUCAACUUUUAAAAUUAAAAAAUAAUUCAAGAUAUGGGCAAAAACCAAUGUGAUCAGUGUCUUCCAGCUUAUAUGAAUCAAUGGUAUUACGCAUCUUCUGCUUAGUCCAUUUAACAAUCUAUGCAAAAGUUAGAUUACUGAAAACAUGCUGUAUCAUUUGCGAGCACUGCUAUUUGUAUAAGCAAACGAAAAAGUUCAUAUACUUCAUUUGAUACGUGCUGUUUCACUUCAAGUUCUUACAAAUAAAACAUCAUCAGCUGGCAGUUAUUUUUCAGAACUUCAUCAAUAAUAAUCUUUCGGGGGUUUAUGUUGGCCACAAUAUAAUAAAAAUAUACACUCCUCUACGCAGGACGUUUAGGUUUUGCGAAUCUCAUUUUUCUCAAAUAAUUAUAUCAGAUAAUAAAAACGUGCGCACGAAACUAAUACAAUCAAAAUUUUAACUUCAUAUAUACAUCAUGGAAAGAACUUGGACUAAUUACUUAAGGAAAACUAAAAAGGAAGGUGGGGCACGUGCCACACCUCCGUUCAACCUGCGUCUGCUCCUGACUAUGCGUCUUCUUCCCGAGUGUCGACUACGACAAUUUAGAGUCAUCCUCUUCUAACUUAAAACGACGAUGGAGUUUCGUGAGAUUGUGUGAUACGAAUAUUCGUGAGAAACUUUGGGUUGGGAUUCAUUCGCGUCGUUUCGAUUCAUAUUCUUCCCCUAUGUAACGUCAUAGGACCACUGAAAUCGCCAUUGACAACUAUAACUCAUUCGAUUUGCAACAGGCACAAUUAAUCAUUCAAUGCUUCUUAUAUCUCUUCAGACCGUGGAUUUCCACCUAUAAAAAGUUUAGCCUUCAUCCCCUGAACAUCAUUCUCACAAGUCACAACUCCUCAUAAUAACACUAGAAACUUAUUUUUUAUUAUAAUGGCUAAUCGCAUUCAUAUCGACGAUCCUUCAUGUGUUAAGCGAAUUGAGAAUUCUGAUUAACAGAAUUAGACCGUUUAUGUGGAAUCAAUAGUAGAGUGAGGAUUUUCGGGAACGAGUGCGACGGAGGUUGUUACAGACAAAGAAUUUGAAGCCUGAAACAGGACUAUAGAAUAGACUUUCACUUUCUAAGACUCGCUUGACAAUUUUACUAAUUAAAUCUCCCCUAUGUUUUUUGCAGGAAUGGUGUUUGUGCCACCACUAGAGUCUUCGCAGAACCAAAUUCAUGUUUUAUUCAUAUUGUUUCUGUUUUGUGUCUUUCAAAAUUAGGUUCACCCAUUACUAGAACACAAUGUUCGCACUUUGCAUAUUUCCUUAAGAUUUUGCCGGAGAGGUAUCUUUUCCAAGUAAAGGAAAGACGCAAUACUAUCUCCAUCUAAACGUUUGCUUUGUUUUUCAAAGGGCACUGACCAUGUUAUAGUUAUUUUGGUCCUCAUGUUUUGUGACUUACCAAUUAGGCUUACCCAUUAUGAGAGCAAAGUUUUAGCUUUUUACAUAUCUGUAAAAGAUUUUGCUGGAAAGGCAUCUUAAACGUUUGCUUUGUUCUUUAAAGGAAUCAUUGGCUUACUUUCCCCGUUCAAUUUUUCAUUUCGGAAUGAAUUAACUUCAAUGCAAAAAAUAUGUAAAUUACCUUUAUACCCUUAACCCUAAUAUCUCCAUAUCUAAUGAUACAUAGCCGUAUCAGUUUCAUUUAUGUUCUAUCUUUUUCUUUUCUUUUUCUUCCUCGCUUUCUCUCUGCAACUCCUCCUUUUUCUUCUUCUUCGUUAUCUCUCUCCAUUCUCUGCGAUUCUUCUUUCUCUUUAUCUCUCUCUAUUAUCUUCGAUUUUCUCUGUCUCUCUGGUUAAAGGUGAUAAACUCUCCCAAUGAUGGAAACCGUCAUUAGCAACUCCGUAGGUGGUGAAAACGACAUGAGCAACCGUCGAAGGUGAUGGAGUGGCAUCAAUGGCGAUUUCUUCCCUUUCGCACUUCAAAUCUAUCCGGAACGGCGACAGCUCAAACCCUAUUUGAUGAAGAGUUCUGAGUUUUUUUUCGAUCUAGGGUUUUUUAUUUGUUUUGGAUGAUUUUUGAUUUGAGAAUGUUAAACGAAUUAUGAUUUUUCUUUGAUAGAGUUUUAUUAUUUUGGAUCUUUUUCCGAUCUAGGAUUGUGUUAUUGAAGAUUCUGAGUUGAUUUGAUUUUAGGGUUUUUCUUGUUCUUCCGACCUGGAUUUAGGCUCGGUAUUACUAACUCAUUCGAACUCGGUACAACUAACUCAGUAGUAUUUAGUAGUACACAUUAUAACCAGUAGAACUCACUCGAACUUGGUAUAACUAACUCAGUAGUACUCAAUAUUACGCAGUAUAACUUAGUAGAACUCGGUAUAACUCAAUAAAACUCGAUAUAACUACACUCAGUAGUACUCUGUAAUACUAUGUACAACUCAGUACAACUCAGUACAAUCAGUACCACUCAGUAAUACUAUGUCAGUAUAACGAAAUUUGACCAGUUGUACGACGAUAAAUAAAAUUUGAAAAUAUUUGAAAAUUCAAAAUUUUAAAAAUUCAAAAUUUUAAAAAUUUGAAAAUUUGAAAAUUUUGAAAUUAUUUAAAAAAUAAUAAUUUUGAAAAAUACAAAAGGUAAAAUGGGAUAUUCAAGUUUCAUUAAAGAGGAAAGAUAUGAGAUUAUGAGGGGCAUAUGCGAUUGUUUUUUGAGAUGUGGGGGCAAGGAAGCUCAUGGUCCUCUUUAAGGUCAGCCCAUGUUAUAUUUACUUCAGUUUCGUGCUUUAAAAAUCUGCAAAGGGUUGACGAUGAUGGUUUACGUCUCUGUCAGUCCCCAGGUCAAAGCAAACCUUUACUCUCCCAUUUUUUUAUUUGAUUUGUUGUUUCAUUGUCUCUGAUUUGGGUCCAAAAACAGAACACUUAGCUUUAUAUAGCUACACGGAUGUUGGUGAUGGACUUGAGUUCCACCACUUCGACCAUUGCUCCCUCGACAUCCUUGAAGAGUAAGUUCCUUUCCUCUAUUCAAAUAUGUAUUUUGCUUUUAUCUUUGUGUUGGUGUUUGUUUUAUCUUUCGCAAGGAUUUUUUUUUUCCGUUUUGGUUUAUGUCUCCCUUGCUUUCUCAUUACAUUACACCACUUUUGCAUGUAUAGAGACUAGAGUGUAAUGUCCUCUUUCUCUUUGGAAAUGUGAUAAUUUGUAUAUGCAAUAAACAUUCCAAAAAUGUCUACUACGAAAUUGAACUUGGACCUACAAAGUGUAAGCACUAAUUAGUUUCAACAGUACAUUCACUCUCUCCGUCUCUGAUGCUACUCAUUUCAUGUGAUAUUCUCCUGUAGGUGCAGUUACUUGACUAAUACGGAGGUAAAAUUUAUAUUGGUCACAACUGAUUUGUAUGUCAAAGACACCAAAUUGAUAAAUGUAAGCAGCUUCUCAUCUGCUCAGAUACUAAUUAAUUUCACAUUAAACUAAGCUCUUGCAACACACCAUUUCAUGAUCUCUCUAUGUUGAUGCAGAAGCCUAGGUUCUUAAGGCUCUAUCUAAGAACUUGCACUGUUCUCAAGCAUAGGGUUUGGUUGCUGAGGUUAACUGCAAGACCAUCUCGGUGAGAGUGACUCAACACUAAAAUCAAAUGAGUGUGUAUGUAAUUUGACUACUUACUGCUGGAUUUUGAUUGAAUUUAGAAUCAAGCAGGAAGCAGCAUAAAUUCUGUUAAAAGCAAAGGAAGAACUGUUGAAGAAUCAAGGGAAAGAUUAAAAGCCAAAAAACUAAAGCCAUGAAGAUGAUGACGGAAAAGGAAUUUGAAUCAAAUGACAAUGAUUGUGACAUCGGAUAAGUUGUUGGUGUGAGCCAUUCCUACAAUCAAAGCGACUAAUUCCUAUAACCCCCAAAAAUAUGAAAAUUACACCGGUGAAGCAUUGAAGCUAGCUCUGCUUCAAUCAGGUGCUGCAUCGACAGAGUUUCCCUCUGUUGUUAAUCAUGGACAUACAUAGAAUAUGGUAGAAUCAGUUUAAUUUGCUGGAUUGCCGUUGAAGAGAGUAGAAGUUUGUAUGGGGGAAUGUUGAGAUCCAAAAGGUUUAGAGUCUUGAAAGGAGACUAACGAUGUGAUGGUCCAUUAUUCCAUUUCUACAACAUGAAAAAAAAAACUAUAAUUUAUAGCUACACAAUGCAUACAUUUACACUAAAUGGUGUCUAAAUUAUAAGCUUAGAAAUAUUAGUGAGGUGAAAUUAGUAACAAUUUAGAUGCAAGAAGCAUACUAGCUAUUUUAUACAACUAAAAAGCUGGCUUCAUGGAUGCUUACGUCAAAAGUAAAGUGAAUUCCAAGUGAAAAUAUGUACCUCCAAAUCGUAUAAGCAUCGUAAGCAUUAUAUUUACUAGGGGGAUUGCCUCCGCGCAAGCGCGAGGUUGUGGACAUAGUUCUUGUUUCAUCUCAGUAUUUGUUAAGAGUUAUUGUAGUUGUUCAUUUUGCGUUUUGGGUUGAUCAUUGUUUUUCAAGUUUUUUAUUGUUAUAGGUGAUGUAUAGUGUUUUUACAUGUUUUUAGCUAUUGAAUUUGGUCAUUUUAGAGUCUAAAGAUUGCAUUUAGGAGUCAUUAGGUGUUGUAUUCGUAUAUAUUGCAUAUACAGGGGCUGGAAUGCACAAUCAAAAGUUAUGGGGCUAACUGGAGGAUAAAAGUGCACAAAAUGGAAGUUAUGGGGCCAAAGUAUAAGAGGAAGAAGAAGAAACACAGUUUCACCUACAACCCUGAAGUGCUCACUUCAGAAACUUGUCUUCAGCAUUUUGUUGAUAUAGGGAAAUCUUCAAAGUUACCUAGAGCCCUAAAGUUAAUUACCACUUUAGGAAAGCUGCAUCUUGCACAUUGAUGCUCUAGGGAAUCUGUUUUGUUUGGGACUUUGUAUUUUGAAGUCCAUUAGGGUUUUGCCUAUACAUAUGUUGUUAAAGGUGAUAAAAACCUCUAAGCUACCUCAGCCACAUUUUCUCUCCUUUUUAGAUCUGAAAACUCUUAUUAGUUCUUGCUAUUAAUCUAAGUACUUAUCUUGUUUAUAUAUUCCUACUCUUCUCUAAACAUGAUUCUUCAAGGAUCGGUGACAGAUUCUUGGAUUUCUAUGGCUUAUAGUGAGUAAAUUUUUAGAGUUCUUGGGUGGGUAGAUUAUAGUGAAAGAUGGAAGAUUGAUGAUGCUUAUGAUUAGAUUAACAUUGUUCAAAGCUUGUUAGGUGUUCUUAAUGCUAGAUUGGACUUGAUCUCUCUAGUUUAGAUCUUAAGCUAUUUCACGACCGGAACGUGUAUGUUGAAAUGCUUGAACCAACCUAAUAUUGUCCUUUACGGAUUUGGCCAACGGAAGUUGAUGCCCGAGAUGUUAAGUGGUUAGUAGACUUUUGAUUCAUGCAUGUUUGAUUGCGUUAGGCCAACAGAAGUUGUUGUUUAAUUCAUGAUAAGCAUAGGAAUUUCUGUCACGAAAGUGGAUUAAUAUAUCUGAAUGAGAUCUAGACCUUUAGUGCAUAUGUUAGUCGGUGAUGUCUGGUAUCUAAAUCUGAAGUCAAUCAUCUCUGAUCGAUUACCUUACCCAAGAGCUUGUCUUUCUUAGUUUAUUUCUAGUAGUAGUUAUUUGUUGUCUUUAUAUUUCAUUAGCUUAGAAUUCACUUCACCUUCCUAUUAGCUUAGAUUAAGGAGAUUUGUGUAUUCUUAGUGUUAUAGAUCACUAGUUCUCUGUGGAUUCGAUCCUAAAGUGCUGCAUCGAUAUACCAUUCGAUUGUGGUAGCGUGCACAUUAGGUUAAUUGGCCUGUGGUAAAACGCAUAACAUCAAUAGAGUUAGAGUUGUGAUGAUGAACUAUGUAUGCACUGUUCUCCACUCAUGAAGGACUAAACUGUGUUAGUAAUGUGAUCGAUAUAGUUUGUGGUGUUGCUUGUUGUGUCACUGAGACUUAUUGUUUGUUUGUCUUUUUAAUUUGUUACUUGUACUGUUGAGAUUACAUAAAUUAUAUUAAGGUUGUUGAGAGUACAUUUUGUUUCUCGAUAUUAUUUCUCCAUUUUAGUUGUAUAAGUUGUGUGUAUUAAGUAAUAAUUUUUUUUUAUUCUUAUUAUGUUGGUUAUAUGUUUUUUUAUUUAUAAACUUGUUGCUUUUACCGGACCAUUAAAACAAAUACAUGAAGACUUGUAGAAAUAACUAUAAAAUGAGUGACAAUUAGUAUUUGGGCCUUAAUGAGUUUUAAACGAAUAUAUGUUAGCACAAUAUAGACAGUAAUAUAAAGGGAAUUAUGUGUUGAUUGUUUCUUACGGAUCAAUGAGGAGACGGAUAACGACUCGAGUUGUUUCUUUGGUGAGGUCAGAACCCUGGACAUAACGGAUUUGCCCAACCACAUCUGCGAGUUUAAAUAUCAGUUAUGAUACCGAAACAUAAUAUAAAACCAGAUGCAAUAUGAUAAUAUACCUGGGAGUUCUAGGUUUGUGUUCGUAAUCACUUGGAGAUUGUCAAACAGUCUAAUCUUGACUGGAGAUUGAUCUCAGGAGCACCCGUGAUGACUUCAUCAAUAAUGGUUAGUGAGAUGAAACGAAUGAGGAAUGGAUGAUCAGUUAUCUUGUACAUGCUUGAGCACCUAGCAACCUCAAAACGACCGACUUUCACAAUGGAACCUGCUUUCAAAGAUGGCAUGUAAUGAUUAGCACGUCCGACGGGAGUAAACUCAUGAAUCACGGAAUCUGCAAAUAAUAUUAUCCAACAAAGACUCAGGAAAUUAAUUAAAACAAUUAUGUUAAAUAAGUGUGAUACAUCGAAGAUCAACUUACCUUUUCAUCAAGGAAGAGAACCGCGAUUCCCACAAACUCUGUGUCUUUUUUGAAGUUCAGGGAAUCCCAGAAGCAAGGAAGCUAGAGGCUAUGCUCUGACUAAUACGACCAAGANNNNNNNNNNNNNNNNNNNNNNNNNNNNNNNNNNNNNNNNNNNNNNNNNNNNNNNNNNNNNNNNNNNNNNNNNNNNNNNNNNNNNNNNNNNNNNNNNNNNNNNNNNNNNNNNNNNNNNNNNNNNNNNNNNNNNNNNNNNNNNNNNNNNNNNNNNNNNNNNNNNNNNNNNNNNNNNNNNNNNNNNNNNNNNNNNNNNNNNNNNNNNNNNNNNNNNNNNNNNNNNNNNNNNNNNNNNNNNNNNNNNNNNNNNNNNNNNNNNNNNNNNNNNNNNNNNNNNNNNNNNNNNNNNNNNNNNNNNNNNNNNNNNNNNNNNNNNNNNNNNNNNNNNNNNNNNNNNNNNNNNNNNNNNNNNNNNNNNNNNNNNNNNNNNNNNNNNNNNNNNNNNNNNNNNNNNNNNNNNNNNNNNNNNNNNNNNNNNNNNNNNNNNNNNNNNNNNNNNNNNNNNNNNNNNNNNNNNNNNNNNNNNNNNNNNNNNNNNNNNNNNNNNNNNNNNNNNNNNNNNNNNNNNNNNNNNNNNNNNNNNNNNNNNNNNNNNNNNNNNNNNNNNNNNNNNNNNNNNNNNNNNNNNNNNNNNNNNNNNNNNNNNNNNNNNNNNNNNNNNNNNNNNNNNNNNNNNNNNNNNNNNNNNNNNNNNNNNNNNNNNNNNNNNNNNNNNNNNNNNNNNNNNNNNNNNNNNNNNNNNNNNNNNNNNNNNNNNNNNNNNNNNNNNNNNNNNNNNNNNNNNNNNNNNNNNNNNNNNNNNNNNNNNNNNNNNNNNNNNNNNNNNNNNNNNNNNNNNNNNNNNNNNNNNNNNNNNNNNNNNNNNNNNNNNNNNNNNNNNNNNNNNNNNNNNNNNNNNNNNNNNNNNNNNNNNNNNNNNNNNNNNNNNNNNNNNNNNNNNNNNNNNNNNNNNNNNNNNNNNNNNNNNNNNNNNNNNNNNNNNNNNNNNNNNNNNNNNNNNNNNNNNNNNNNNNNNNNNNNNNNNNNNNNNNNNNNNNNNNNNNNNNNNNNNNNNNNNNNNNNNNNNNNNNNNNNNNNNNNNNNNNNNNNNNNNNNNNNNNNNNNNNNNNNNNNNNNNNNNNNNNNNNNNNNNNNNNNNNNNNNNNNNNNNNNNNNNNNNNNNNNNNNNNNNNNNNNNNNNNNNNNNNNNNNNNNNNNNNNNNNNNNNNNNNNNNNNNNNNNNNNNNNNNNNNNNNNNNNNNNNNNNNNNNNNNNNNNNNNNNNNNNNNNNNNNNNNNNNNNNNNNNNNNNNNNNNNNNNNNNNNNNNNNNNNNNNNNNNNNNNNNNNNNNNNNNNNNNNNNNNNNNNNNNNNNNNNNNNNNNNNNNNNNNNNNNNNNNNNNNNNNNNNNNNNNNNNNNNNNNNNNNNNNNNNNNNNNNNNNNNNNNNNNNNNNNNNNNNNNNNNNNNNNNNNNNNNNNNNNNNNNNNNNNNNNNNNNNNNNNNNNNNNNNNNNNNNNNNNNNNNNNNNNNNNNNNNNNNNNNNNNNNNNNNNNNNNNNNNNNNNNNNNNNNNNNNNNNNNNNNNNNNNNNNNNNNNNNNNNNNNNNNNNNNNNNNNNNNNNNNNNNNNNNNNNNNNNNNNNNNNNNNNNNNNNNNNNNNNNNNNNNNNNNNNNNNNNNNNNNNNNNNNNNNNNNNNNNNNNNNNNNNNNNNNNNNNNNNNNNNNNNNNNNNNNNNNNNNNNNNNNNNNNNNNNNNNNNNNNNNNNNNNNNNNNNNNNNNNNNNNNNNNNNNNNNNNNNNNNNNNNNNNNNNNNNNNNNNNNNNNNNNNNNNNNNNNNNNNNNNNNNNNNNNNNNNNNNNNNNNNNNNNNNNNNNNNNNNNNNNNNNNNNNNNNNNNNNNNNNNNNNNNNNNNNNNNNNNNNNNNNNNNNNNNNNNNNNNNNNNNNNNNNNNNNNNNNNNNNNNNNNNNNNNNNNNNNNNNNNNNNNNNNNNNNNNNNNNNNNNNNNNNNNNNNNNNNNNNNNNNNNNNNNNNNNNNNNNNNNNNNNNNNNNNNNNNNNNNNNNNNNNNNNNNNNNNNNNNNNNNNNNNNNNNNNNNNNNNNNNNNNNNNNNNNNNNNNNNNNNNNNNNNNNNNNNNNNNNNNNNNNNNNNNNNNNNNNNNNNNNNNNNNNNNNNNNNNNNNNNNNNNNNNNNNNNNNNNNNNNNNNNNNNNNNNNNNNNNNNNNNNNNNNNNNNNNNNNNNNNNNNNNNNNNNNNNNNNNNNNNNNNNNNNNNNNNNNNNNNNNNNNNNNNNNNNNNNNNNNNNNNNNNNNNNNNNNNNNNNNNNNNNNNNNNNNNNNNNNNNNNNNNNNNNNNNNNNNNNNNNNNNNNNNNNNNNNNNNNNNNNNNNNNNNNNNNNNNNNNNNNNNNNNNNNNNNNNNNNNNNNNNNNNNNNNNNNNNNNNNNNNNNNNNNNNNNNNNNNNNNNNNNNNNNNNNNNNNNNNNNNNNNNNNNNNNNNNNNNNNNNNNNNNNNNNNNNNNNNNNNNNNNNNNNNNNNNNNNNNNNNNNNNNNNNNNNNNNNNNNNNNNNNNNNNNNNNNNNNNNNNNNNNNNNNNNNNNNNNNNNNNNNNNNNNNNNNNNNNNNNNNNNNNNNNNNNNNNNNNNNNNNNNNNNNNNNNNNNNNNNNNNNNNNNNNNNNNNNNNNNNNNNNNNNNNNNNNNNNNNNNNNNNNNNNNNNNNNNNNNNNNNNNNNNNNNNNNNNNNNNNNNNNNNNNNNNNNNNNNNNNNNNNNNNNNNNNNNNNNNNNNNNNNGAAGUAAGAUACCCGGACUGGCUCGCCAACCCCGUAGUAGUCAAAAAAAAAAAUGGGAAGUGGCGAGUUUGCGUAGAUUUUACCGACCUAAACAAGGCAUGUCCAAAGGAUAGCUUCCCUCUACCACAUUUCGAUCGAUUGGUAGAAGCAACAGCGGGUAACGAACUCUUAUCCUUCAUGGAUGCCUUCUCAGGUUAUAAUCAAAUUAGGAUGAAUCCCGACGAUCGUGAGAAGACUGUGUUCAUUACCGAUCGCGGAACUUAUUGCUAUAAAAAUAAUGCCCUUCGGCCUCAAAAACGCUGGAGCAACUUACCAACGACUCGUGAACCGAAUAUUCUCCAAACAACUCUGAAAAAUGAUGGAAGUUUAUAUCGACGACAUGCUCGUCAAAUCCCUCAAAGUAAGAGAUCACGUGUCACAUCUCGAAGAAUGUUUUGCACAACUAAAUUCUCAUAACAUGAAGCUCAACCCGACGAAAUGUAGAUUCGCCGUGGCAUCAGGAGAAUUCCUCGGCUACUUGGUCACCAACCGCGGCAUCGAAGCAAAUCCAAAACAGAUCAACGCACUAAUCGAGAUGGCUUCACCAAAGAACAAGCGGGAGGUCCAAAGACUGACCGGCAGAAUCGCAGCACUUAACCGAUUUAUUUCACGAUCAACAGAUAAGUGCCUGCCCUUCUACGACGUCCUGCGAGGAAAUAAAAAAUUCGAAUGGACGGAAGAGUGCGAAAACGCCUUCCAACAGCUGANNNNNNNNNNNNNNNNNNNNNNNNNNNNNNNNNNNNNNNNNNNNNNNNNNNNNNNNNNNNNNNNNNNNNNNNNNNNNNNNNNNNNNNNNNNNNNNNNNNNNNNNNNNNNNNNNNNNNNNNNNNNNNNNNNNNNNNNNNNNNNNNNNNNNNNNNNNNNNNNNNNNNNNNNNNNNNNNNNNNNNNNNNNNNNNNNNNNNNNNNNNNNNNNNNNNNNNNNNNNNNNNNNNNNNNNNNNNNNNNNNNNNNNNNNNNNNNNNNNNNNNNNNNNNNNNNNNNNNNNNNNNNNNNNNNNNNNNNNNNNNNNNNNNNNNNNNNNNNNNNNNNNNNNNNNNNNNNNNNNNNNNNNNNNNNNNNNNNNNNNNNNNNNNNNNNNNNNNNNNNNNNNNNNNNNNNNNNNNNNNNNNNNNNNNNNNNNNNNNNNNNNNNNNNNNNNNNNNNNNNNNNNNNNNNNNNNNNNNNNNNNNNNNNNNNNNNNNNNNNNNNNNNNNNNNNNNNNNNNNNNNNNNNNNNNNNNNNNNNNNNNNNNNNNNNNNNNNNNNNNNNNNNNNNNNNNNNNNNNNNNNNNNNNNNNNNNNNNNNNNNNNNNNNNNNNNNNNNNNNNNNNNNNNNNNNNNNNNNNNNNNNNNNNNNNNNNNNNNNNNNNNNNNNNNNNNNNNNNNNNNNNNNNNNNNNNNNNNNNNNNNNNNNNNNNNNNNNNNNNNNNNNNNNNNNNNNNNNNNNNNNNNNNNNNNNNNNNNNNNNNNNNNNNNNNNNNNNNNNNNNNNNNNNNNNNNNNNNNNNNNNNNNNNNNNNNNNNNNNNNNNNNNNNNNNNNNNNNNNNNNNNNNNNNNNNNNNNNNNNNNNNNNNNNNNNNNNNNNNNNNNNNNNNNNNNNNNNNNNNNNNNNNNNNNNNNNNNNNNNNNNNNACCACCAUCGGAGCAAUCUGAUUACGGCUGUGAUACCCCAUGGCUUCAGACGAUUCGAGACUACAUUGUCGACGGGCAACUGCCCGCCGAAAAAUGGGCAGCUCGCAAGGUCCGAACACAGGCCGCACGCUACGUAACAGUGGACGGCGAAAUCUACAAAUGGAGAUUCUCCGGACCGCUCCUGACGUGCCUGGAAGGAGGAAAGGCGAGGAAAAUGAUGGAGGAAAUACAUUCCGGCUCGUGCGGCAACCAUUCCGGCGGAAGAUCACUAGCCGUGAAAAUCAAACGCCACGGGUACUAUUGGCCAACAAUGAUCGGAGAUUGCGAAAAAUUCGCACGAAAAUGCGAAAAAUGCCAAAGGCAUGCGCCAACUAUCCGACAACCCGCCGAAGUUCUUUCCUCCAUCACGUCGCCUUAUCCCUUUAUGCGCUGGGCCAUGGAUAUUGUCGGACCUCUGCAUAAUUCAAAGCAAAAGCGUUUCCUUCUAGUCCUUACCGAUUUUUUCUCAAAAUGGGUAGAGGCGGACUCGUACGCAAGUAUAAAAGACGUCCAAGUCGAGAAUUUCGUAUGGAAAAACAUCAUCUGUAGGCAUGGAGUUCCUUACGAAAUCGUAACCGAUAACGGGUCUCAAUUUAUUUCCACCCGAUUCGAGGCAUUCUGCGAAAAGUGGAAGAUACGACUCAACAAGUCAACUCCCAGAUAUCCGCAGUGCAACGGACAGGCUGAAACAAUCAACAAGACCAUUCUCGACGGACUGAAGAAACGCUUGGAGGCCAAAAAAGGUAGAUGGGCCGACGAACUCGAGGGAGUCCUCUGGUCUCACCGUACCACCCCAAGGCGAGCAACGGGAGAAACUCCCUUCGCCUUGGUAUACGGCGCGGAGUGCAUGAUUCCCGCAGAAGUAGAAUUUCCCGGUGUUCGAAGAAGGUUCUUACCCGAACGAGAGGAACUCAACAAUGCUAUGCUCUUGGACGAUCUCGACCUCAUUAACGAACGCCGGGAUCGAGCGCUCAUCCGAAUUCAAAACUACCAGCACGCCGCUGCGAGAUACUAUAACUCCAACGUACGGAACCGAAGGUUCAAUCAGGGAGAUCUGGUCCUUCGCAAAGUCUUCCAAAACACCGCUGAACGAAACGCGGGAAAACUCGGAGCAAACUGGGAAGGUCCCUAUAAAAUCGAAAAAGUCGUCCGACCAGGUUCUUACGAAAUAGCCAACAUGCAGGGCAUAAAAAUCCCUAGAACCUGGAAUGCGAUGCAUCUCAAAAAAUACUAUCACUAAACGAACCAACUCGCAAUCACUGAACUACGAGACGGCUUGAUCUCCGCAAGGAGUACGUAGGCAGUUUGCCGAAAGGCAAAUUCAGCUGUCCUCCCUUAUUAAAAAGGGGGGGAGUGGGUACGUAUACUCGUAUACUCCCAAAAAAUCGAAAAACUUCUUACCGCACUUUUGGUGUUUUCGACUUAUCAAAACAUCCUCACCCGCGAAAUCGCAACGAGGUCUUCGGAAAUUGGUCGGCCGCUUGGGAGAAUCGAACCUUUAGCAUCGCGAGACGUCGCAAAAGAUGCCUCAAAAUUGGUUUCUUCCGAGCAAACGAAAUCUCCGCAAAAAGACACAUAUAUGCACACAUUAACAUUUAUUUUGCGCAAAUUAAUCAAAACAACGGCACACGCCACCAAGUCCGAUGCUGAUCACAUCGAACUCACAAACGUCCUAAACAGACAUAGCCAUCUCAUGGAGAUGACUCUCUUACAUCCGACACAAGGAUAAUAGCGCUAUAAAAGAAAUCCGAAAUUUUGGUCUAGCACUUCCGGUCUCCGGAGAGAUGCUCGAUUCGUAUCAAACAAGUCGUAUAAGCCGAGAACUUUUCGCGGACUUUACAUCGAUACGAAUCAGGAAGAAAUCGCGACAGGAAAAACGAUAGCCGGUUAGUCACCGCACAAUCCUUAAACCGAAAGUAAACCUAGGUCUUGCCCUAAACCCAGCGCACUGGUCUCUAACAUCUCAAAGGCAUGAUAUCAAAAGAUAAGAGAUUCUUAAACCACGCCUCUAUGUUUACGUUCGAUACCUUCAGCGCCCCCGCAGAGUUCACAUCUCGCGGAAGAACUCUCGAAACAGGUCUCGAAUAAAACAUUUCACAAUCGAAGAAGGAUAUGAGACGACAACUCAUCACCUUCCUCCCCACUAUUCACAAAUUCAUAAAAAACGUUAUCCGAUUAUCAUACCAUAAAGCCGCGGAGCGGCAGGGAUUCAAAGCCACACACGGCCAGUCCCGAAAUACAAACAAGGCCGUUCAAGGCCGAAGCAUAAAGACAUAAAAAAAAAAAACAAAUCUCUCGCAAGAGAUCUAACCCAAGUCACCCUCAGAACUUACGCUCCCUCUUCACCCGCCGCCUCGUCCGAGCCUGGAGCCGCGUCGCUUCCGUUCUCUCCGACCAUCGGAUCUUUCCCCUCUGGGUCUUCUGGACACGUCGGAAGGAAGCAAGCGGAUUUUAGGUCGGCCAGGAUGAGACCGAAAUCGCCAUCCUCGGCCGCCAUAUCUCCCUUGCAGCCGGACAGUCGGGCCUCUUCGGCCUCCAAGGUCGGGGGAGUCUCACUUUGGAACGACCGAACCACGGCCAUCCCGCCCUCAAUCGUCGCCAAAGCGAAAUCCCUGCUCCGGAUACACUCGAGGGAAUCCAGGGAAGCGGAAAUCUUCGCCAAGCGAGCCCGGAACUCCCCGCGAAGGGCAUCCGUAGCCUCUUGGAUCCCGCGGCGCGCUAGUCCAGCGUCACUCUCGAUCUGACGCUGGAGUCGACGCACCUCCGAGGAUUUGGCCUUCCUGGUUUUCUUUUCCUUAAGCAAGGAACUCGCCGUCUUCCCGAGGUCCCUCUCAAGCUCUCCUAUCGCAACCUCGAGCUUCGACACUUUCGCAGAGUGAGAGUCCUCGACAGCCGUCAACAUAGCCUCGGUUUCGGACCAUCUGCCCUGAAGCUCCACCAACUCCCCGGAAAGACGACUGGUCUCAGAACCACAUUCGCUGAUCAUCCCAUCGAUCAACGAUAUGAACUGCGAACGGUAAAAAUUCUUAAGACUAAGUCCAUGAAAAGAAUGCACGAAAGACGAUCGAGAAUUCAAACAAGAAACAAACCUUUCCACGAAGUCCCGAUGCUAGGCUCGACCCACCUCGCUGCGAAGUCUCCCCGUCACCGCUCUUGGCCAAUUUCCUCUUCCGACUCUUAGGCUGACUAACCUGGACAGCGCUAGGAGCACGCAAUGCCAGAACGAUUUCUUUUCUGGCCGGAGGCGGAGGCAUAGAGUCAGAGGCUUUUUCUUUGUCCUCGACAAGGAUCGGAGUCGUGGAAGAUCCCGCAGGUAGGACUUGCGGGAGAGGAGCCGCGACGUCGGUCCCAUGACACGGGGCAACGACCUGCGCGGAGGAAGACGGAAACUCGGAGCCAGUCUGAGCCAAUCCUUUCUCGGCUUGGCGACGAACUAGUUUCUCUCGGAAAGAAAGAUGACCGGCAACACAAGCCGGCAUUUCCGUCGGAGAAGCUGGAACCGGAGCCGGAGAAGUGGCCUCACCCAUCUCGACGUCGGAAUCCUUCUUAUCACCUUGGGAGGAAGACAUGUUGAAAGGAAAGUUAUGAAGCUAGAGAGGUUUUUGAAGAAAUGAAGAAGGAAAGGUGUGAAGAAAAUAAAUGAUAAGAGCUCACUACUUAUAGAAAUAUGGGUUCGGAACGUCGCCUCGACAACUUUUAUUUCGCGGAGUUUUAAAUGUAAAUUUCGUCCAAAUACACUCAACCUUGUCAAAGUCAUCUAUCCGCCCGCUAGAGUCACAACUCUAACGGGCUGGGGGGCUAACUGUUGGGGUCAAAAACGGUUACGACAAAUUUAACAUUCAAAACGUCCGAAGAAGAAAAUAAGAGUUUCUCCGAAGAGUACUUUUCGAAAUAGAUUCUUCCUUACGAAAAAGCUUGGCGGAAGAAAGAAUCGAGACGUCCGACGAAAGCUCGAAACAGGUCGUUACGCAGCGACUGAACGUCCGUCCCGCUCGGUCGCUACGUAGCGACCGAGCGAUCGUCCCGCUCGGUCGCUACGUAGCGACCGAACUCAAGCCAAGGCUCGGUCNNNNNNNNNNNNNNNNNNNNNNNNNNNNNNNNNNNNNNNNNNNNNNNNNNNNNNNNNNNNNNNNNNNNNNNNNNNNNNNNNNNNNNNNNNNNNNNNNNNNNNNNNNNNNNNNNNNNNNNNNNNNNNNNNNNNNNNNNNNNNNNNNNNNNNNNNNNNNNNNNNNNNNNNNNNNNNNNNNNNNNNNNNNNNNNNNNNNNNNNNNNNNNNNNNNNNNNNNNNNNNNNNNNNNNNNNNNNNNNNNNNNNNNNNNNNNNNNNNNNNNNNNNNNNNNNNNNNNNNNNNNNNNNNNNNNNNNNNNNNNNNAGCUCGGUCGCUACGUAGCGACCGAGCACUCGUUUCGCUCGGUCGCUACAUAGCGACCGGGCUCGAGCCAAAGAUCGGUCGCUGUAUAGCGAUUGAACCUUUCCGAACAUCGAUACGACACCAGUCCUUGCAUUCUCGUCAAACCUUCGAAUGCUAUCUCCCGAAGACCGUGGCAAGCUCAGUCUAUGUUUCCCGCUAUUCUAAUUCAUCGAUCAAACUUCGCGGAUUAGAAACCGCGGAAAACUCGUAGUAAACGUGUCGAGUCGGAAGACGGCCCAAAGGGACCUAAAACACGACUCGAGGCCCAUCCUACGAUUUUUCCUAACCAAAAGCCCGUGAACCACAGCAUGGUUCACGCUUGGCCCGCGAGGAAGGAUAAAUGUCAAGUUUCCGCGGAUAAAUACGGAAGUUUUGAAGAUAAUUGUGAAGAUCGGGAAAAAUGGAAUAUCUCCAUUUUUAUGCUAUGACGGCUUAAGGGCAGAAGAGUAAAAGCGUAAACCGACCUUGGAGCUAGUAUAUAAGGAGUCCUAGGCGAGGAGCAGAGGGAGGACUUUUUGGAGAAAAAACUUAGCACUUAGAGCGAUUUAGGCAACUUUCCGUUUUUGUUAUUUCGAGCUGCGACUCAAUUAGGUUUAGCCGUCUUAGGGUUGCUAGAACUAGGAAUCUCGCCGACAGCUCUCGAGCCCAGGCUUAUACCUUGUUGUAACGCUCAUACGCAGAUUGGGAAUAAGAUCUACUUUGCUCUCUUUUCGAUUUCUUAUUUUUAUCGUUGUUAUUCUCGUGUUCUGAUUGCUUAACGUGUGGUAAUUAACAGAUAUCCGGGUCCUCUGGGAAACUAGGGUUUUCUUAGUUUCCUUAUUUAAACGGAAAUCGACAGUGCGAAUUUCGGUUCCCACAGUUUGGCGCUAGAAGGAGGGGGACUUACGGAUCAAUCUAACCCGCAAAAACCACUCAACGAUCAGAAAAGACAUGCGAGAUUCGACGUGCGCGAAUGUCAUCUCAUUCAGGGGGGGAGAAGCGGUCGACCGAGCCAAACCUCGGAACGAUCUCCUUGUUAUCGAGUUGACAAUUCGAGAUAUCGACGUCGCUAGAAUACUAAUCGAUACCGGAAGCUCGGCCGAUAUCAUCUUCAAAGACACUCUUGAAAAGAUGGGGAUCAGUCAAUCCGAGAUCGCGAAAUGCCCAAGCCCACUGCUAGGGCUUUCGGGGGAAACGACCAUGGCCUACGGAUCGAUUAGACUCGCUGUCAAAGCCGGAACCGUGACAAACAUCACAGAGUUUCUAGUCGUCGACCGCCCCGCAUCUUACAACGUUAUCAUGGGGACGCCAUGGUUGAACACCAUGCGCGCAAUCCCAUCAACCUACCAUCUUUGCCUCAAGUUCCCGACCCCUAACGGAGUCGAGGUAAUCUGGGGAAAUCCAAGAGUUUCCCAGGUUUGUUUCGCCGCGGAACUAAAACGAAAGAGACCGAUCCUCGAAAUCACUCCUAAGAAAGCGGAGAAAGAGACCUCCAGCAAAGAUACGCGAAGUCAGGACUCAGCGGAAUUCUUCUGGCAAUCUCGUAUCUUCGCAGCUCUAGACGAAAAACGCGAGCCAACUUGUGAACCCGUGGUAACGAUCUGUCUCGACGAAGCCUUCCCAGAGCGCUGCGUCGAGAUCGGAGCCAAUCUCCACGAGCCUUUAAAGACAGAACUCAUAACCUGUCUUAAAAAGAACCUUAAUACUUUCGCGUGGGCUGCGGAAGAUAUGCCAGGAAUCGACAUUAACAUAACAUGUCACGAGCUGAACAUCGACCCAACAUUCAAACCCGUCAAACAGAAAAGACGGAAGCUGGGACCCGAACGUGCUACCGCAGUAAACGAUGAGGUCGAAAAACUGCUUAAAGUUGGGUCGAUAACGGAAGUAAGGUACCCCGACUGGCUCGCCAACCCCGUAGUAGUCAAAAAGAAAAACGGGAAGUGGCGAGUUUGCGUAGAUUUUACCGACCUAAACAAGGCAUGUCCAAAGGAUAGCUUCCCUCUACCACAUAUCGAUCGACUGGUAGAAGCGACGGCGGGCAACGAACUCCUAUCCUUCAUGGACGCUUUCUCAGGCUAUAAUCAAAUUAGGAUGAAUCCCGACGAUCGUGAGAAGACUGCGUUCAUUACCGAUCGCGGAACCUAUUGCUAUGAGGUAAUGCCCUUCGGCCUCAAAAACGCUGGAGCAACUUACCAACGACUCGUGAACCGAAUGUUCUCCAAACAACUCGGAAAAACGAUGGAAGUUUAUAUCGACGACAUGCUUGUCAAAUCCCUCAAAGCAAGGGAUCACGUGUCACAUCUCGAAGAAUGUUUCGCACAACUAAAUUCCCAUAACAUGAAGCUCAACCCGAUGAAAUGCAGAUUCGCCGUGGCAUCAGGAGAAUUCCUCGGCUACUUGGUCACCAACCGCGGUAUCGAAGCAAAUCCAAAACAGAUCAACGCUCUAAUCGAGAUGGCUUCGCCAAAGAAUAAACGGGAAGUCCAAAGACUGACCGGCAGAAUCGCAGCACUUAACCGAUUUAUCUCACGAUCAACGGAUAAGUGCCUGCCCUUCUACGACGUCCUGCGAGGAAAUAAAAAGUUCGAAUGGACGGAAGAAUGCGAAAACGCCUUCCAACAGCUGAAGCAUUAUUUAGCUACUCCUCCAGUCCUCGCAAAACCCGUGGAAGGAGAGCCUUUGUUCUUGUACAUCGCGGUAUCGGCAACAGCCGUAAGCGGAGUCCUGAUCAGGGAAGAACGCGGGGAGCAGAAACCUAUUUUUUACAUAAGCAAAACCUUGCUGGAUGCCGAAUCUAGGUAUCCGUUGAUGGAAAAAUUGGCAUGCGCGGUCAUAACAUCAGCCCGAAAACUACGACCAUAUUUCCAAUCCCACACGAUCGUUAUCCUCACGACUUUUCCCUUACGGACAAUUUUGCAUAGCCCAAGUCAAUCAGGCCGAUUGGCGAAGUGGGCAGUCGAGUUGAGCGAGUAUGACAUCGAAUACCGACCAAGGACGAGCGCAAAAUCACAGGUGCUCGCGGACUUUUUGGUCGAACUUCCAACGGGAGCAAUAACCAACGAGGAACCAAAUUCCACCUGGCUCCUCCACGUCGACGGAUCUUCAUCCAAGCAAGGAUCGGGUGUCGGGAUCCGCCUCACAUCUCCAACAAGCGAGAUCCUGGAACAAUCGUUCAGAUUGGAAUUCCAUGCCUCAAACAACGAGGCCGAAUACGAAGCACUGAUCGCAGGUCUACGUUUGGCUCACGGCUUAAAAAUACGCAAUCUCCACGCUUACUGCGACUCCCAGUUAGUGGCCAGUCAAUUCAGCGGAGAAUAUGAAGCCAGAGACGAACGGAUGGACGCGUACCUCAAACUGGUCCAAGGUCUAGCUCAAGACUUCGACUGUUUCGCCCUUACCCGGAUCCCCCGUUCCGAGAAUGUCCAGGCGGACGCCCUCGCGGCCUUAGCAUCAAGUUCCGAUCCAGGACUCAAAAGGGUAAUUCCGGUCGAAUUCAUCGAACAUCCGAGUAUCGGACCCCCAGUCGUUGUCAAUCUCAUAGAGGGUCGAGACGACGAGGAAGAAGAGACUACGAUACCACCACCAUCGGAGCAAUCCGAUUACGGUUGUGAUACCCCAUGGCUUCAGACGAUUCGAGACUACAUUAUCGACGGGCAACUGCCCGCCGAAAAAUGGUCAGCUCGCAAGAUCCGAACACAGGCCGCACGCUACGUAACAGUGGACGGCGAAAUCUACAAGUGGAGAUUCUCCGGACCGCUCCUGACGUGCCUGGAAGGGGAAAAGGCGAGGAAAGUAAUGGAGGAAAUACAUUCCGGCUCAUGCGGCAACCAUUCCGGCGGAAGAUCACUAGCCGUGAAAAUUAAACGCCAUGGGUACUAUUGGCCAACAAUGAUCGGAGAUUGCGAAAAAUUCGCACGAAAAUGCGAAAAAUGCCAAAGGCAUGCGCCAACUAUCCGACAACCCGCCGAAGUUCUUUCCUCCAUCACGUCGCCUUAUCCCUUUAUGCGCUGGGCCAUGGAUAUUGUCGGACCUCUGCAUAAUUCAAAGCAAAAGCGUUUCCUUCUAGUCCUUACCGAUUUCUUCUCAAAACGGGUAGAGGCGGACUCGUACGCAAGUAUAAAAGACGUCCAAGUCGAGAAUUUCGUAUGGAAAAACAUCAUCUGUAGGCAUGGAGUUCCUUACGAAAUCGUAACCGAUAACGGGUCUCAAUUUAUUUCCACCCGAUUUGAGGCAUUCUGCGAAAAGUGGAAGAUACGACUCAACAAGUCAACUCCCAGAUAUCCGCAGUGCAACGGACAGGCUGAAACAAUCAACAAGACCAUUCUCGACGGACUGAAGAAACGCUUGGAGGCUAAAAAAGGUAGAUCGGCCGACGAACUCGAGGGAGUCCUCUGGUCUCACCGUACCACCCCAAGGCGAGCAACGGGAGAAACUCCCUUCGCCUUGGUAUACGGCGCGGAGUGCAUGAUUCCCGCGGAAGUAGAAUUUCCCGGUGUUCGAAGAAGGUUCUUACCCGAACGAGAGGAACUCAACAAUGCUAUGCUCUUGGACGAUCUCGACCUCAUUAACGAACGCCGGGAUCGAGCGCUCAUCCGAAUUCAAAACUACCAGCACGCCGCUGCAAGAUACUAUAACUCCAACGUACGGAACCGAAGGUUCAAUCAGGGAGAUCUGGUCCUUCGCAAAGUCUUCCAAAACACCGCUGAACGAAACGCGGGAAAACUCGGAACAAACUGGGAAGGUCCCUAUAAAAUCGAAAAAGUCGUCCGACCAGGUUCUUACGAAAUAGCCAACAUGCAGGGCAUAAAAAUCCCUAGAACCUGGAAUGCGAUGCAUCUCAAAAAAUACUAUCACUAAACAAACCAACUCGCAAUCACUGAACUACGAGACGGCUUGAUCUCCGCAAGGAGUACGUAGGCAGUUUGCCGAAAGGCAAAUUCAGCUGUCCUCCCUUAUAAAAAAGGGGGGAGUGGGUACGUAUACUCGUAUACUCCCGAAAAAAUCGAAAAACUUCUUACCGCACUUUUGGUCUUUUCGACUUAUCAAAACAUCCUCACCCGCGAAAUCGCAACGAGGUCUUCGGAAAUUGGUCGGCCGCUUGGGAGAAUCGAACCUUUAGCAUCGCGAGACGUCGCAAAAGAUGCCUCAAAAUUGGUUUCUUCCGAGCAAACGAAAUCUCCGCCAAAAGACACAUAUAUGCACACAUUAACAUUUAUUUUGCGCAAAUUAGUCAAAACAACGGCACACGCCACUAAGUCCGAUGCUGAUCACAUCGAACUCACAAACGUCCUAAACAGACAUAGCCAUCUCAUGGAGAUGACUCUCUUACAUCCGACACAAGGAUAAUAGCGCUAUAAAAGAAAUCCGAAAUUUUGGUCUAGCACUUCCGGUCUCCGGAGAGAUGCUCGAUUCGUAUCAAACAAGUCGUAUAAGCCGAGAACUUUUCGCGGACUUUACAUCGAUACGAAUCAGGAAGAAAUCGCGACAGGAAAAACGAUAGCCGGUUAGUCACCGCACAAUCCUUAAACCGAAAGUAAACCUAGGUCUUGCCCUAAACCCAGCGCACUGGUCUUUAACAUCUCAAAGGCAUGAUAUCAAAAGAUAAGAGAUUCUUAAACCACGCCUCUAUGUUUACGUUCGAUACCUUCAGCGCCCCCGCAGAGUUCACAUCUCGCGGAAGAACUCUCGAAACAGGUCUCGAAUAAAACAUUUCACAAUCGAAGAAGGAUAUGAGACGACAACUCAUCACCUUCCUCCCCACUAUUCACAAAUUCAUAAAAAACGUUAUCCGAUUAUCAUACCAUAAAACCGCGGAGCGGUAGGGAUUCAAAGCCACACACGGCCAGUCCCGAAAUACAAACAAGGCCGUUCAAGGCCGAAGCUUAAAGACAUAAAAAAAAAAAAAAAUCUCUCGCAAGAGAUCUAACCCAAGUCACCCUCGGAACUUACGCUCCCUCUUCACCCGCCGCCUCGUCCGAGCCUGGAGCCGCAUCGCUUCCGUUCUCUCCGACCAUCGGAUUUUUCCCCUCUGGGUCUUCUGGACACGUCGGAAGGAAGCAAGCGGAUUUUAGGUCGGCCAGGAUGAGAUCGAAAUCGCCAUCCUCGGCCGCCAUAUCUCCCUUGCAGCCGGACAGUCGGGCCUCUUCGGCCUCCAAGGUCGGGGGAGUCUCACUUUGGAACGACCGAACCACGGCCAUCCCGCCCUCAAUCGUCGCCAAAGCGAAAUCCCUGCUCCGGAUACGCUCGAGGGAACCCAGGGAAGCAGAAAUCUUCGCCAAGCAAGCCUGAAACUCCGCACGAAGGGCAUCCGUAGCCUCUUGGAUCCCGCGGCGCGCUAGUCCAGCGUCACUCUCGAUCUGACGCUGGAGUCGACGCACCUCCGAGGAUUUGGCCUUCCUGUUCUUCUUUUCCUUAAGCAAGGAACUCGCCGUCUUCCCGAGGUCCCUCUCAAGUUCUCCUAUCGCAACCUCGAGCUUCGACACUUUCACAGAGUGAGAGUCCUCGACAGCCGUCAACAUAGCCUCGGUUUCGGACCAUCUGCCCUGAAGCUCCACCAACUCCCCGGAAAGACGACUGGUCUCAGAACCACAUUCGCUGAUCAUCCCAUCGAUCAACGAUAUGAACUGCGAACAAAAAAAAAUUCUUAAGACUAAGUCCAUGAAAAGAAUGCACGACAGACGAUCGGGAAUUCAAACGAGAAACAAACCUUUCCGCGAAGUCCCGAUGCUAGGAUCAACCCACCUCGCUGCGAAGUCUCCCCGUCACCGCUCUUGGCCAGUUUCCUCUUCCGACUCUUGGGCUGAGUAGCCUGGGCAGCGCUAGGAGCACGCAAUGCCAGAACGAUUUCUUUUCUGGCUGGAGGCGGAGGCAUAGAGUCAGCGGCCUUCUCUUUGUCCUCGACGAGGAUCGGAGUCGUGGAAGAUCCCGCAGGUAGGACUUGCGGGGGAAGAGCCGCGACGCCGGUCCCGUGACACGGGGCAACGACCGGCGCGGAGGAAGACGGAAACUCGGAGCCAGUCUGAGCCAAUUCCUUCUCGGCUUGGCGACGAACUAGUUUCUCUCGGAAAGAAAGAUGACCGGUAACACAAGCCGGCACUUCCGCCGGAGAAGUUGGAACCGUAGCCAGAGAGGUGGCCUCACCCAUCUCGACGUCGGAAUCCUUCUUAUCACCUUGGGAGGAAGACAUGUUGAAAGGAAAGUUAUGAAACUAGAGAGNNNNNNNNNNNNNNNNNNNNNNNNNNNNNNNNNNNNNNNNNNNNNNNNNNNNNNNNNNNNNNNNNNNNNNNNNNNNNNNNNNNNNNNNNNNNNNNNNNNNNNNNNNNNNNNNNNNNNNNNNNNNNNNNNNNNNNNNNNNNNNNNNNNNNNNNNNNNNNNNNNNNNNNNNNNNNNNNNNNNNNNNNNNNNNNNNNNNNNNNNNNNNNNNNNNNNNNNNNNNNNNNNNNNNNNNNNNNNNNNNNNNNNNNNNNNNNNNNNNNNNNNNNNNNNNNNNNNNNNNNNNNNNNNNNNNNNNNNNNNNNNNNNNNNNNNNNNNNNNNNNNNNNNNNNNNNNNNNNNNNNNNNNNNNNNNNNNNNNNNNNNNNNNNNNNNNNNNNNNNNNNNNNNNNNNNNNNNNNNNNNNNNNNNNNNNNNNNNNNNNNNNNNNNNNNNNNNNNNNNNNNNNNNNNNNNNNNNNNNNNNNNNNNNNNNNNNNNNNNNNNNNNNNNNNNNNNNNNNNNNNNNNNNNNNNNNNNNNNNNNNNNNNNNNNNNNNNNNNNNNNNNNNNNNNNNNNNNNNNNNNNNNNNNNNNNNNNNNNNNNNNNNNNNNNNNNNNNNNNNNNNNNNNNNNNNNNNNNNNNNNNNNNNNNNNNNNNNNNNNNNNNNNNNNNNNNNNNNNNNNNNNNNNNNNNNNNNNNNNNNNNNNNNNNNNNNNNNNNNNNNNNNNNNNNNNNNNNNNNNNNNNNNNNNNNNNNNNNNNNNNNNNNNNNNNNNNNNNNNNNNNNNNNNNNNNNNNNNNNNNNNNNNNNNNNNNNNNNNNNNNNNNNNNNNNNNNNNNNNNNNNNNNNNNNNNNNNNNNNNNNNNNNNNNNNNNNNNNNNNNNNNNNNNNNNNNNNNNNNNNNNNNNNNNNNNNNNNNNNNNNNNNNNNNNNNNNNNNNNNNNNNNNNNNNNNNNNNNNNNNNNNNNNNNNNNNNNNNNNNNNNNNNNNNNNNNNNNNNNNNNNNNNNNNNNNNNNNNNNNNNNNNNNNNNNNNNNNNNNNNNNNNNNNNNNNNNNNNNNNNNNNNNNNNNNNNNNNNNNNNNNNNNNNNNNNNNNNNNNNNNNNNNNNNNNNNNNNNNNNNNNNNNNNNNNNNNNNNNNNNNNNNNNNNNNNNNNNNNNNNNNNNNNNNNNNNNNNNNNNNNNNNNNNNNNNNNNNNNNNNNNNNNNNNNNNNNNNNNNNNNNNNNNNNNNNNNNNNNNNNNNNNNNNNNNNNNNNNNNNNNNNNNNNNNNNNNNNNNNNNNNNNNNNNNNNNNNNNNNNNNNNNNNNNNNNNNNNNNNNNNNNNNNNNNNNNNNNNNNNNNNNNNNNNNNNNNNNNNNNNNNNNNNNNNNNNNNNNNNNNNNNNNNNNNNNNNNNNNNNNNNNNNNNNNNNNNNNNNNNNNNNNNNNNNNNNNNNNNNNNNNNNNNNNNNNNNNNNNNNNNNNNNNNNNNNNNNNNNNNNNNNNNNNNNNNNNNNNNNNNNNNNNNNNNNNNNNNNNNNNNNNNNNNNNNNNNNNNNNNNNNNNNNNNNNNNNNNNNNNNNNNNNNNNNNNNNNNNNNNNNNNNNNNNNNNNNNNNNNNNNNNNNNNNNNNNNNNNNNNNNNNNNNNNNNNNNNNNNNNNNNNNNNNNNNNNNNNNNNNNNNNNNNNNNNNNNNNNNNNNNNNNNNNNNNNNNNNNNNNNNNNNNNNNNNNNNNNNNNNNNNNNNNNNNNNNNNNNNNNNAUUUAGGCAACUUUCCGUUUUUGUUAUUUCGAGCUGCGACUCAAUUAGGUUUAGCCGUCUUAGGGUUGCUAGAACUAGGAAUCUCGCCGACAGCUCUCGAGCCCAGGCUUAUACCUUGUUGUAACGCUCAUACGCAGAUUCGGAAUAAGAUCUAUUUUGCUCUCUUUUCGAUUUCUUAUUUUUAUCGUUGUUAUUCUCGUGUUCUGAUUGCUUGACGUGUGGUAAUUAACAGAUAUCCGGGUCCUCUGGGAAACUAGGGUUUUCUUAGUUUCCUUAUUUAAACGGAAAUCGACAGUGCGAAUUUCGGUUCCCACACUGUGGAUUUCACAUACCCUCGGCUUCCAGCUCGAUGUGAAACAUGUAGCAGAUGGGGGCACUAUGCAACCUUCUGUAAGAAUGGGGAGGUGGAUAAGGUAGAGGAACAGAGGAGUCCAAAGAGUAAGGAGAGGGAUGUUCCAAAAAGCAGUGAGUUAAAGAAGGUGGAUCAGGGAAGUGAAGGAGACAAUAAGGAUGUGAUCAUUGCAAAGGAACGAGUAUUGGGGGCAGAAUCAAGUGGAGGCAAGAGUAGUAAUAGGAGUGCAGAUAUUGAGGCAGUUACAAUAGAGGAAGGGGAAAUAAACGAAUGGAAAACAAUCUCUGGGGAAAAACUUGGGAAGAGUCCGAAAUCACAAAGCCUGAAAUAUGGUCAAGUGACUAUAGCUACUCCAUCCAGAUUUGAUGCUCUGAGAAAUAUGGAUGAGAAAGGAGAAGAGAUGGAUGUAGAGCGUAUGGAGGAAGUUGAGGAAAUGAGAAAUGAAGAAGUGGAAGAUAUAGUUCAGAGUAUGGCAGAGGAUAGUGUUGAUGCAAAUAAAAAAGGGAGAGCAAGACAGACGCUGCCGAGGCUCUCAAAGACGAAUCAUAGAGUGGUGAAUCCUGAACCUUCAGAUCAUGUUAAGGAUAUGAGAAGGGGUUCUAGGAAAAAUCACUAAUGGCGGGUUUCUUUUGGAAUAUACGAGGUUUCAAUAAGUCAACUAAACAGGAGGUGGUGAGGAAAUGGUUACAAGAUCAAUCAAUUCUUUUUGGUUGCCUUAUUGAAACAAGAGUUAAGGAGAGCAGAGCAGAGAAGAUUGUGGGGGAAGUUUUUAAAGAUUGGAGUUUUAUGGCUAACUAUGAGUACAACAGAUUAGGAAGGAUUUGGGUUCUAUGGAGAUCAGAAGUGAGGGUAACACCUAUCUACAAAAGUGCGCAACUUAUUACUUGCUCAAUUUUGUUGCCGGGAGAGGAAGAGGAGUUCUUUUGUUCCUUUAUCUACGCUCUUAACACAGUGGAAGAAAGGAAGGAGCUAUGGGAAGACUUAAAGAAUCAUUACGAUGUGCCGAUGCUGAAGAACAAGAGAUGGAUGUUGAUGGGAGAUUACAAUGAGAUUUUGGAGGGUGAGGAGCAUUCGGGGUUUGAGGAUUCACCAAGAAUCCCGUUGGGGAUGAGGGAUUUUCAGACGAUAGUAGGGUACUACAGAUUGACGGAUAUGAGCUAUCAUGGACCACGAUACACAUGGUGUAACAAAAGAGAAGAGGGGCUAAUCUGUAAGAAGUUGGAUAGAGUGCUUAUAAAUGAAGAGUUGAUGAAUGAUUCGCGAGUCUAUUGUGUGUUUGAGUCGGGAGGAUGCUCUGACCACUUAAGAUGUAGAAUCCAUUUGAAAAGAGAGGAAAGCAGGAAGCGGAAGCCUUUCAAAUUCACAAAUGCCAUAGCGAAGAUGUCUGAGUUUAAUGCUAUUAUGGAGAAUCAAUGGAAAGACUAUGAAGCGCUAUACAUCUCGACCUCAGCUAUGUUCAUGCUUACAAAACGUUUAAAGGCUCUGAAGCAACCGCUGAGAGAGCUCUGUAAGAGUAAGCUGGGAGAUUUAUCUAAGAGAACCAGAGAAGCAUACCAAGUGCUUUGCUUCAGACAGAAGGAAACUAUGGAAAAUCCAAGUGUGGAGAAUAUUCGAGCAGAAGGAGUAGCGAUGAACAGAUGGCAAAGACUAGCAGAUUUGGAGGAGGAAUUUCUAAAACAGAGAUCAAAAGUUCACUGGCUUGAUGUGGGUGAUGGGAAUAACCACUUCUUUCACAGCUCAGCUAAGAUAAGAGAGAUUAGAAAUGCUAUCCAUGAAAUUACUAGAGCUGAUGGAACAAUAGCAAAGACAGAUGAGGAGAUAAAAGGGGAAGCUGAGAAUUAUUUUGCUGAGUUCAUGAGUUUGGAGCCAGUAGACUAUGAAGGAGUUUCGGUAGAUACUUUGAAGGAGCUAUUGGGGUUUCAAUGCGGUGAGAUUGACUGUAUUAAGCUGGAAAGAGAAGUUACUAGAGAAGAGAUUAAGGAGGUCUUGUUUCGAAUGCCAGGAAACAAAUCACCAGGGCCUGAUGGGUUUACAACAGAGUUCUUUAAAGAGGCUUGGGAGAUAAUUGGUGACGAUAUUACCAUGGCGGUUCAGUCGUUCUUUGUCAAGGGAUUCUUACCUAAGGGUUUGAAUUCGACAAUACUGACCCUUGUUCCAAAGAAGGUGGAAGCAAAAAUGAUGAAGGAUUAUCGCCCUAUAUCAUGUUGCAAUGUGCUGUAUAAGGUCAUAUCAAAGAGAGUGGCAAACAGGCUGAAGAUUGUAUUGCCUAAAUUCAUCUCCCUGAACCAAUCUGCAUUUAUCAAGGAGCGCUUGUUGAUGGAGAACGUUCUACUUGCCACAGAAUUGGUAAAGGAUUACCACAAAGAUGAUAUUUCCCCAAGAUGCACAAUGCAAGUCGAUAUCUCCAAGGCAUUUGAUUCGGUUCAGUGGUCAUUUCUGAUUAACACACUGAAAGCGUUGGGAUUACCGGCUAAGUUCAUACACUGGAUUUCAUUGUGUAUCACUUCAUCUUCCUUUUCCGUUCAAGUUAAUGGCGAGCUCGCAGGCUAUUUUCAGAGUAGAAGAGGGUUAAGACAAGGAUGCUCUCUCUCCCCUUACUUAUUUGUGAUUUGCAUGAACGUUUUAUCUAAAAUGCUGGAUGAAGCAACAAGAAAAGGGAAGAUAGGGUACCACCCAAGGUGCAAAAACAUAGAGAUUACACAUUUGUGUUUUGCGGAUGAUUUGAUGAUAUUUACGGAUGGGUCAAGAAAGUCGAUUGAAGGGAUUCUUAAGGUCUUUGAAGAGUAUGAUAAGAUGAGUGGCCUCAAGAUCAGUAGAGAGAAAUCGGUGCUGUUUGUUGCUGGGGCAGAUCAGAGAGGAGAAGAGAUUCUAAGACAAUUCAACUUUGCUACUGGUAAGCUACCGGUGCGUUAUCUUGGCUUGCCAUUGUUAACAAAGAAUAUGACUGUCACAGACUUUCUGCCGUUAGUAGAGAAGAUAAGGAAGAGGAUAAGUUCUUGGAGAGGGAGAUUCCUAUCUUAUGCUGGAAGAUUGCAACUUAUAAACUCAGUUAUAAGAAGUCUCACCAACUUCUGGAUGGCAGCGUUCCGGCUUCCCAGUGGAUGCGUUAAAGAAAUUGAGAGAAUCUGUGCUGCUUUUUUGUGGUCUGGACCUGAGUUAAAUGGAAGGAAGGCGAAGGUUUCGUGGGAAGAUAUCUGUCGAACGAAACGAGAGGGAGGCUUGGGUUUAAGACCUUUGAAAGAGGUGAAUCAGGUCUGUUGUCUUAAGCUGGUUUGGAGAAUUCUUUCUGCUGAUUCUCUUUGGGUUAACUGGAUAAAAAUUUACCUCAUUCGAAAAGGAUCUUUCUGGACGAUAAAGGAAACUACUCAGUGUGGGUCUUGGAUGUGGAAGAAAAUACUUAAGUGCAGGGAAAAGGCAAAGGAUUUCUAUAGAGUUGAGGUUCGGGACGGAAGGAACCACUACAACAAAAAUGGGUUUUAAUAGCAUACCAGAAUAGCGUUUUUUCCGGUUAUGCUAUGUUUGUGAUACCCGUGUUUUAAAGAUAGCGUUUCCAUUUAAUGAGACGCUAUGUUAGAAUGCUGAUAAAAAAAAUAUAAAAUAAGAGUACGGUUUUGAAGGAGGCGCUUAUGUAAUAUAGCAAUGAAACAUUAAUAGUGUUAUGUUAAAGUUGCGCGGUAAUGCCCGGGAUACUUAGAAUUAUUUUGCCUCCUAAAAUCAUUUGUGCUGCCAAAUAAAAAAAUAGAAACUCCCAAAACAUUAGGGUUCUUCCAUCUCUCGUAUUUGUUUCCCCCAUUUCCUCCGUGCGAUUGAUAGACCCAAACCAAAACCUCUCCUUUCUGAUUCCCAAUCUCAUCAAAUUUCAGUCUCCGUUCGAUCGAUAUACUUAUCUAAUCCAGAAUCGGAAAAAACAAGAUUGAAAUCCAUUUCGAAUCAGUCCAAGGUGAACUCGGGUUUUUUUCAUUUUGUCUCCUCUUCCGAUUGUAAACCGUUUGUCUCUUGCCUAUUAGUUAUUAAGGUUUAUUGCAUGUUUAAUUGAGUCGUUUCUGUGCUCAAUGUUGCAGGGAGAUUUCGUUCCAAAUAUUUCGAUUAAGGUACUUCUAAAUCUUAUUCGUUUUUGUGCUCUCUUGGUAUGUCGUAUGACUGUUGUAAUUUUCUGGGUUUAUUAACAUUGUUUUCUUCUUUUGUAGCUAAAUCAAACCAAAGUUCAAGAGAUCUAUCAGGUAAAAUAAGUUACACUCAAUUAACUGGUUUACAUAUCUCGUACUGUUUUGUUCUUCUGGGUUGAUAAACUGCGUCUCUUGUAUGUAAAAUUGGUUGGAGCUGAAACAUGGAUAAAUCUUGGGUAUGGUUACCAAGGUAUUAACUUCACUUCACAGUCAUUUUAAUUUUUCGUAUUGUAUAUGUCACACUGCUAAUCUGUUUAUUUAUCACUUGUUCUAACUCUCCAGGAAUAGCCUUGAGUAUGAGAAAGGAGCAAGUGAGUUUGUGUCUUCUUCAUCAAGCCGUUUAGGUGUCCCAACAGAAAUGUUCUGUCCGUGUGUUGAUUGCCGCAAUGUAUGCCAUCAGUCUACUGAGAAAGUUUUCGAGCAUCUAGUGAUUAGAGGGAUGGAUCCGAAGUACAAGAGUUGUAAAUUCUGGUCCAAACACGGAGAUAACAAGCCUGAUAAGCCAUCUGAUAUCAACUCCUCUGCAAGUGAGCCGUACGAGUUGUUAAGAACAGCUUUCAUGCCAACUGAAGACCAUCACUCAGCUCAGGAGGAGAGUGCAGAAGCGUCUGCGGGAACUGACAGACCAGAAGAAGCUGAGUUCAGAAAAAAACUGGAGGAUGCAGAAACCCCGUUGUACUCUCAGUGUUCAAAAUACACGAAGGUUGCUGCGAUCAUGGGACUGUACAGGAUAAAGGUCAAAAGUGGGAUGUCUGAAAGCUAUUUUGAUCAGCUAUUGGCGUUAAUUCAUGAUAUGCUUCCUGGAGACAAUGUGCUACCUAAGUCUACAGAUGAGAUGAAGAAGUUUCUGAAACAGUUUGGGUUUGGUUAUGAUGUCAUCCACGCCUGCAAGAACGACUGUAUCUUGUUUAGGAACCAGUAUGAGGAUGCGGUCAGCUGUCCAAGAUGCAGUGAAUCAAGAUGGGAGAAGGAUAAGCAUACUGGUGAAGAGAAGAAAGGGAUUCCGGUUAAAGUGCUUAGGUAUUUUCCGAUAAAAGAUAGGUUCAGAAGAAUGUUUAGAUCAAAGCGUCUGGCGGAGGAGUUGUGUUGGCAUUCGACAAAUGCAUCUGACGAUGGAACUAUGCGACAUCCAGUUGAUUCAGUGACUUGGGGACAGAUAAACAACAAAUGGCCAGGGUUCGCUGCUGAAGAAAGAAACCUAAGACUAGGUAUUUCUACUGAUGGCAUGAAUCCAUUCUCCAUGCAGAACACCAAUUAUACCACAUGGCCUGUCCUCUUAGUCAACUACAACAUGGCUCCAACGCAGUGCAUGAAAUCAGAGAACAUCAUGUUGACAAUGUUGAUACCUGGUCCAACCGCACCUAGCAACAACAUAGACGUCUAUCUACAACCACUCAUAGAGGACUUGAAGAGUUUGUGGGCAGAAGGUAUGGAAGUGUAUGAUUCGUUCAAGAAGGAGAGUUUCACUCUUAGAGCUAUGUUGUUGUGGAGUAUCACCGACUAUCCUGGGUUAGGCACAUUAGCUGGCUGUAAAGUUAAGGGGAAGCAAGCCUGUAAUGUCUGUGGAAAGGAUACACCGCAUAGGUGGCUAAAGUUUAGUCGCAAACACGUUUACAUGGGGAACAGGAAGCGGCUCAUGCCUAAUCAUCCAUAUAGAAGACGGAAAGGAUGGUUUGACAACACGGUGGAGACUGGUACUGCAAAUAGGAUUCAGAGUGGUGUAGAAAUCUCUGACAUUCUGAGGGAUUUUAAAAACGACUUUGGGAAAAAGUUAAGUAAGAAGAGUAAGCGAAAAAGGACAACAGGAGAUGAGAAUGAUGUUGCUUCAUUGGAGGAGUACGAAGAAGAUGAUGAUCUGUGGCGGUGGAAGAAAAAGUCAAUUUUCUUUGAGUUACCUUAUUGGAAGGUAUGUUUCCUUUUCAGAUAUAUAAUUUAACUUAUUCUCGAUGUUUAUAUUUCUAUACUGAUUAAGACAUGUAUAAAAUAUAUGGCAGGAUAUGCCAGUAAGGCAUAACAUAAAUGUUAUGCACGUGGAGAAGAAUGUGUCUGAUGCACUGCUGUCUAUUCUGAUGCAUAGUGGAAAAUCAAAGGAUGGCCUGAAAGCAAGAAAAGAUUUAGAAGACAUGGGUAUUAGAAGCAACUUGCAUACAGAAGUGAGGGGAAAGAAAACUUACUUGCCUCCUGCUGCUUACUGGCUAUCUAAGGAAGAAAAAAAGAAAUUCUGCAGACGGUUAUCAAACUUCAAAGGGCCUGAUGGUUAUAGUGCCAAUAUCUCCAACUGUGUCUCACUGGAUCCUCCUGGUAUUGGCGGCAUGAAGUCACAUGACCAUCAUGUACUAAUGCAGAAUAUGUUACCGGUAGCAUUGAGAGGUCUACUGCCAAGAGGGCCACGGAUUGCAGUGACUCGGAUAUGCAAUUACUUCAACAGACUCUGUCAACGCAUUAUUGAGCCAGAGAAGUUACUUAAGUUAGAAGCAGAGAUUGUGGAGACAAUGUGUCAGCUAGAGAGAUUCUUUCCUCCAUCUCUGUUUGAUAUAAUGUUUCAUCUUCCACUGCAUCUAGCAAGAGAAGCACGCUUGGGUGGCCCUGUACACUUCAGGUGGAUGUAUCCCUUCGAGAGGUAGUUUUCUAGAUUUAUUUAUAAGCUUGAUUAACACUAUACUGCUACUAUAACAAUAAGUUAUAUUUUUUUUGUAAGGUAUAUGAAGACUCUAAAAGCUUAUGUGAAGAAUUUUGCAGGACCCGAAGCUUGUAUGGCCGAGGGUUAUUUAGCAGGUGAAUGCCUUGCAUUUUGUAUGGAGUUCCUGCAGAGAUCAGUUCCAGUAGAAGAAGCAGUUAAUAGAAACGAAGAUCAUGAGACUUCUCAGAAUUUACUUGAAGGCCGGACGCUGAAUAAAGCGACAGAAGUGACACUUACUGACAAAGAGAGAGAUGUAGCUCACCGGUAUAUCCUCAUGAAUACUGCAGUGAUUGAGCCUUAUGUUCAGUAAGUGAAAAUUCCAAUAGCUUUUAAAGUAUGUUAUUUUUUCUUUCACACUAACUUAAUGAAUAUACAGGAUGCAUUUAGAAGAGCUACAAAGGACGGACGAAAGAUGUGCGAAAAACGAAACCAUCUUAUGGAAGAACCAUACUGAAAGGUUUGCACAGUGGAUCAAAGAAAAGGUAUGAUUCACUUAUUGUUUCUUUCAAUACUUUCCUUCCUGAUUACUUUGUAUAUAUAUGAUCUGAUUUUGUUUGUAAUAUUUUUUCCAUUUUAGAUACCAACUAACUCGAAGGAACAUUCACAGCAGCUGAGAUGGCUUGCUUUUGGACCAAGGAAUAUUGCUCACACGUACAAGGGGUUUGUAGUUAAUGGAAAUCGAUUCCAUACAGACGAUGUGCAGAGGAAGACACAGAACAGUGGAGUAGCAUAUGAUGCGUUUUCAAUGUGCAGAGCUAGUGCCAAAGAUGCGAGGCAAAUGGCUGAUAUAGUUACAUACUAUGGAGUGAUUAAGGAGAUCAUAUUGAUCGACUACCAUAUGUUUGAGGUGGCUCUGUUUAAGUGCAGUUGGGCUCAUAAAGGAAGAGGACUAAAAGAGGAAGACGGUUUCACACUUGUGAAUCUCCACAUGAGUCAGUCUACAUUUGUUAAUGAUCCUUACAUUAUGCCAUCGCAAGCUAAACAAGUGUUCUACUCUAGAGAGGAAGAUAGCUCCCCUUGGUAUGUUGUGAUGAGAGCACCACCGUGAGGCUUUCAUGAGUUAGAGACAGAAGAGGAGUUCUGUUCUGGUGCAGUAACAGUCCAGACUGAAGAAGAUAUGGGAGAUCAAGCAUCUGAUGACGAGAGUUUUUGUGUUAGGAAUGAUUGUGAAGGUGUUCUAAUUCAUGAUUUAUGAUGAGUUUUUUUUUUCAGGUUAUCUACUGCCAUGAAUUCCAAAGCUGUUACAGAUAAAUGUCGUCGCAGCAAACGCCAAGCAGGUCUUGAUGUUAGUCCUGAAGUUUCCUUAGCUCAGAAAAAACCCAAGAAAAAUGCUCCGAUGAUGACCACAGAGGAAGAGUACCAUUCAGAAGAAGUCGAGAAAGCAACAGAGCAUGCGGAUUUGGAAGGAACAGAAUCUGAAAAAGUCGACGAAACCGGACCUGAAGAUGUGGAACCUGAAGAUAGUAUCCCUGCAACAGAAAAUGAAGGUGUGGAAUCUGAAGAUGGAGAUGGAGAUGAAGAGGAAGACGAUGACACCACACAACCACCAUCUCAAGAAGAACAAGUCAUUCCUCCUUCGGAGCCACAGACUCAGACACAAACAGAGCAGUCGGAUAACGUAGUCAAGAAGACUAGGGGUCCAACGAAAAUGCGAAAAGUAGCAAAACAUAUAGAGGACAAGGUGGAUGUUGAGUUCAAUGCUCUAGGUGAGCAUGUCGGUCGUGGAUCAGUUACCCUAUCUUCUUUCCUAGGUCCUCUCGUGAGAGAGCAUGUCCCAGUACUUCUAGAUGACUGGAGACAUCUCGAUGAGAAAACAAAAGAUGCUUUAUGGGAGGAAAUUCAGGUUCGUAUUACAACUUUUUGAUAAUGUCUGAAAAGUAGUAAGCUGAUAACUUCAAUAUGUAUAACAGGGAAGAUUCAACUUGACAGAAGAAUGGCAAAAAGAUGUUGUUUUUAAGCAGAUGGGUUGUUUGUGGAGGGCCUCUAAAUCCAGAUUGUCUUCGCAAGUUAGAGCUACAAAAAACAAGGCUCAACUUCAGAAAAUUAAGCCUAGCAACAUACAAUCUGCAACUGCGUGGAACAAUUGGGUUAAAGGAAGAUGUACAACAGCUUUUAAGGUAAUUUAAAUUAAGGAUUUAUUAGUAACGAGUCUGCUUAUAUUUAUGAUAAUUAUUUUAACUCAAAAUCUGAAUGUGUAGGAACAAAGUGAUAAGUACAGGGAACUUAGGAAGGGCCAAAUUCCUCACACCACUAGCCGUAAAGGCAUGAUUCGACUUGCAGAUGAAAUGGUAUGUUUGUAAUUUAAUAAGUUGCGAUUCCAAAGAACUUCUAUGACAACAUUUUCAUUAAACUUGUAGAGGAAAAACAGUAGUGAUCCUAGAAAGGUAACUAGAACAAAGGUUUGGGUCGUUGGGCAUACGCAUUCUGAUGGAAGACCUGUGAGUCAAGAAUUUGCAGAAACAAUAGUAAGUUCAUGUUAAUUCUUAGAUUUCCAUUAACUUCGAAGUUUGUUUGUAUAAAACACUUAACAAUUUUAUGAUAUUUUUUAAUGCAGGAGAAGAUUAAGAGAAUUGACAGUGAAAUGGGUUCAAGUUCCGCAGAUAAUAUCGGUGAAGAUGCUGUGACUCAGGUUCUAGGAAAGGAUAAACCAGGAAGAAUUAGGGGGAUGGGGCGAGGGGUUACUGCAACCAAAUUGGCAUUCUUACAUGCUAGAGACUCCCAUGUCCAGAAGCUUCAAGAUACUCAAGUAGAGCUUAUCAACAAGAUUGAAGAUUUGAGAAAUGUGGUAAAAGACUUAGCCGGCCAAAAGGUAAGUCCUUGAACUAGAGUUGUAAUUAUUAUAGUUUUAAGUGAUCUAUAAGGUUUUAAAAAUCUUGUAUAUUUCUGUUUCUGUGUUAGAAUAAAACCGAUUAUCGUUCUACUUCUGAGGUUAGCGAUAUUAGCAAGGGAGGAAUAAGGUGCCAGCUACUUGAUUGGGUUUCCAAUGAUGAUGUGGUUGUUGCUGAAGGAGAGUAUCACUCUAGUGAACCCUACUACAAGAUUGGUCGAAUUCCAUUGGGUCCAAACGCGGCUGCUGUAGUAGUAAAGUCUGUAUCAGUAGAAACUGCAUCUAUAUGGAGACCUACAGCAACUUGUUCUAGGCUUGCUCAGGCAGUUGGAGUGAAAAUUGCAUGGCCAGCGGAUAAGCUAAUACUGGACGAUGAUAUUGACUUAUCAAACAAUGGUAACACCAUUGGAUCAGAGGUAAUUAUAUGUUGUCAGUUUUCUUCCGUAAUGAGUGAAUACAUAUCUAAUGAAAAUUCUGUGUUUUUUUUUUGCUUCAGCCUACUGAUGCUUCUUUAGGAAAAGUUCAAAUCUUUGAUUACUGGAAAUCAGAAGAUGAAUUGAUUGCUAAGGGUGUAUUGUUGUCGACUGAUCCUGCGGAACUAGUCAACCAAAUACCGCUAGGACCGAAUGCUGCAAUUCUUAGAGUGGAAGUGGUUGUAAAAUCUGAUGCAUAUAUUUGGAGACCAACUACUGAAAUGACGAAGAUGGGUGAUGCGCUACAUGGGACUAUUGCCUGGCCUAUCGAUAAGAUAGUACUACCUGAACAAGAUUCACCAAAAGAAUCAAACAAGAAUUCGAAUCAGGUAUGUUUAUGAAACAUCUUAUUUAUUGCUUAAGUAAGUAUUGUGAUAGUUGUUGGUGUUAAUAUGAUUCUUGGAUUCAAUGAUGAUAUUGUCUUGAUUCUGUUUGUUACUUUAUUUUGUUUAGAGUGGUAGUAACAGCAGUGGUUGUAGCAGCAAAGGUGGUAAACAGAAGUGCGCCCUCUUGGACUGUAAUAACUCUGGACUGAGAGUUGCUUUGGGUCGUGUGUUCUCAACUGAUCCAACAGAGAAGGUGCAUUUCGUCCCUUUAGGUCCCAAUGCUACUAAGGUCUGGAUAGAGGUUUCCGAGUUCGAUGGGGCACGAGUGUGGAGGCCAAACAGUGAAAUUGAAUUCAUUGGUGAUGCAGUUGGAAGCAUUGUGGCUUGGCCAAAUGAUAAGGUUGUUUUAAUGUAAGGCAGGUCUGUUGCUUUUGAACUUGUUAUGCUAGUACCUUGAACUAUCUUUGUUAUUUGCUCUACUUAUGUAAUAUAUGACAAGAAUGGUUUUUAUGUUCAAUAAUAGCAGUUUAUGUUUUAUAAUUUAAUGUCUCAAAACUAAAUAAUUGAUUGUAUAUCACAAAAUAAAAAUAUAUAAAAUAUUAAAAUUAAAUAUAUAUAUUUAAUUAUUAUUUUAAAUAUACUAUAUAAUAGCAGCAAGAAUAAGCUGCUAUAAUUUCAAUAUAAUAUAUAUAACAGAAGUAUUAAUUGCUAUAGUUGUCUUAACAAUAACAUCUCGAAAACGCUGUUACUAAUAACAAUAAUAACAUUAAUUAAGCGCUAUUAAAUAUUAAUCUAUUGCAAAAGAAAAAGCGCUAUCGAUUCCAAGGAAACGAUAGCACCUCGAAAAAGUGUUAUCUAAUGUGCCUUACCUACUAUGACGGGCGAUGAUACAGCGUUCCUAAAUCCGCUGUCGUAUCGUUAAAUAGCGUUUUUCGUCCGCUAGUAAAACCCAUUUUUCUUGUAGUGAACACUUCCUUUUGGCAUGAAAAGUGGAGCUCCUUGGGGUGUUUAAUGGAUGUAUUCAGAGAUGGAGGGUGCAUUGAUAUGGGCAUAGCAACGAAUGGGAUAGUAGCUGAUUGUUUGCGGCAUCGACGGAGAUAUCAUCGUGUGCAAACAUUCAACAGGAUUGAAGUGGAGAUUGAGAAGUUUAAGAGAAACUGGGUUCAAGAGAAUGAUAUCCCAUUAUGGAGGAAUGAGAAAGGCAAAUACAAGAAAGUUUUCUCUACUAAGGAAACUUGGCUUUGUAUUCGAGAGAAGCAUCUCCCUUGCCAUUGGUAUCAAGCUGUCUGGUUUAAACAUGCGACACCGAAGUUCUCGUUUAUUACCUGGAUUGCUAUGCGUGGGAGGUUAUCAACAGGAGAGAGGAUGGUAAAAUGGAAUGGUAAUGUUGAUGCUUCUUGUGUUCUAUGUCAAGAACCGCUGGAGACUCAAAGCCACUUAUUUUUCGAGUGUCCUUACUCAACACAAAUUUGGGAGACACUCAUGAAGGGUGUACUAAGAGAUCAGUACUCUGCGAAUUGGGACAUCUUGGUUAGUCUCCUUACUGGUGAUUCGAGAUGGAGCAAAACUAAACUCUUUACAGCAAGAUACAUGUUCCAAUCAGCUAUUCAUACAAUAUGGAGAGAGCGGAAUAGAAGAAGGCAUGGAGAGGGUUCUGUUCCUGCUGUGCUUUUGAUUCAGCGUUUGGAUAAGAACAUGAGGAAUCAGUUCACUGUCAUUAGAAGAAGGGGGGGAAAGGAGUAUGAAGAUGGAAUGGCUACUUGGUUUGAUACUAGAUAGUUUUUUCACUAUGAUUGAAUUCUUUCUUUUUUGAUCAGAACUAAAAGAUAGGAAUUACAAAAUUGUAAAGGUCUUUUUUUCUUGAAUUAAAUUUAACAUUCAAUUCAAAAAAAAAAAAUUAACUAUAAUAAACUAUAUAUUGAAAAUAUUGUAUUUUCUUUAUCAAAUUCUCAUAAAUAUAUAAAAUAAAUCUAACUCAUAGCAUAUAAAAGAAAAGACCAAUGUGAUCAAAUAUUUACAGUUUUUUAGAAGUAUAAUCUUUAUAGUUUUAUUUAAAAUAUAGCAAAAAUGAUCACAAACCUAAUUACUUAAAACAGAAGUCCAAUUUAAAUUCAAAUAAAAAUAAAAAUUUAACUAAGAGAAUAUGUUAACUACUAUGUAAAAGUAUUUUUUUUUGUAAUUUGGGGUCCUAAAAUUUUUACAAAAUUUGGGGGCCCUAGGCAAAUGCCUUUUUCAAAAACUUCUAAGCACGGCUCUGGCCAUGACUACUUCUCCAAGCUCUGUAAUCAAAUUGGACAACUGUGAUAUAACUGCUCCACAAGAUCACGCAUCAGCUUUUGUUCCGUUGUAUCAUCGCGGUGAUAUAACCUCCGGAGUUGUGUAACCCACAGUUCAAAGAAGAUCAAAUGUUUAAGAUUUUUAUAGGGGUGGACAAAAAAACCGAACCGAACCGAGUUAAACUAAACCAACCGAAUCGAAACCGAUUCAAACCGAACCAAAGUUUAUUUCAAACCAUUUGGCUGAAGAAUUCCCCAAUCCGAACGGUUCGUUUAAACCGAACCGAACCGAGAACCGAUGUAUUUUGUAAUUAUUUAAAUUAAAAUUUUUAGUAAUACUAAAAUUCUAAUACUAUGCAACAUAUUUUCCAUUUUUCAUUCACUAACAUAUAUUCUUCUAACCUAAUAUGUAAUCAUCAAAGUAUUUGAUUUCAAAAAAAUAGAAAAGUUUGUAUGUUUAUAUUUUUAUAUAUGUAAACGUGGAUGUUAAAUCUAAAUCUAAAAUCUAAAGCACAUUUUAUUAAAAACAAAAGUUCAAAUUCUUCUCCACAACGUCACAUAGAAGAUGAUUUAUUACAUGCUUUUUAAUAAUGAUAUAAGAGACAUUACUAAUGAUGUUGGUUUUUUAUUUUAGUUAACUUUCAUUUCUUUUAAUUCUUAUAUAUUUUGUGACUUUUUUUAAAAUUCCGUUUCAGUUUUAUAUUGAAUUUAGUUCACAUAAUCUAUAUUAUUAAAACAGAAGUACAAAUAUAAAUUAAUCCUUAAUUUUUCAAAUUAUUUACAAUCAUAUGCCACUGAAAUAAUAAGUUUAACUACUUUUUAGUAUUCUUGUCUUUUAUAGUUUAAUUAAUGCAUUUUCUUAAAAUAAAGUAUAAAAAAUUAUGUUUACUUAUUUAAAAACUAUAUCCUAUAAUCUAGCUAAACAAUAAAUUAUACUUAAUCAAUGUCAAAAAUGUAACAAGAUUUUAUUAUUACGGGUGGUUAUUUUUUAUUUUGGUAUAUUAACUAUGCCUAAAAACAUAAAAGUGUUAUAAAAAUACAUAAUAUAAACCACAAAAUUGUAAAUAAUAUAUUUAAUUAUUUAAUUGUAUAAAUCAAAUAUGAAAAAUAACUAUUUUAUUUUACAUAAAAAUUUUGAUCCAUAAAAAAUAUAUUUGCAUGAACACACAGGUUAUAUUUUAAAAAUAUGGUUGUAACAGUUGACGGAUCAAAAUAUAAAAUAAAAUUAUUCAUUAUAAAAUGAUUGUGUUUAUUUAAUAUAUAUAUAUAUAUAUAUAAAUUUUAAAAAUAUAUAUUACCAUUUAUAUAAGAUAAAUAUUUUUUUUUUGCAAACAAAAAAUGAAUACCCAUGCGGAUGCGCGGAUCAAGUUCUAGUUCUAAUUUGUUUCGUAAGAAUAUAUAUAACGUAGCGUGUUGCACGUGCCACACCUACUCCCUACAUGGGUCCGCUUCUGCAGUAGAAAGCCUGAAAUCUCUGUCUCUCAUUGUGCUAUCCAAAAUUAAAGAGAAGAAAAUAACAUUUGUAGGAUUAGCAAGAACAUGAUCUGGUUAAUAAUAUAAUUACAUAUCUUAAAAUUGUAUUUAUUAGCUAAUAAUACUACUCUGUUCAUUAUGUUGGCGGCAACUUUUAUUAUUUAAACGGUCCCUUAUUUAAACUAAGUCCACUGCUAUUAAUUAAGUAACCUCAUGUCAAUUUUUUUUUAUAAUUUAAAUAAGAUCGAUUACACUCUGUAGUUGACUUGAUUGGUUAAGAUAAAGAAACAAGUUAAGGAACGUAUGAUUGAUUAUGAUUAUAUAAUAAAUAAAAUAUUAUAGAUUUUUUUAUUUUUAAUUUUAUAUAACUGAAUAUAUUAAUGUAUAAUAAUAUUUUAAACUAAUUUCGAAAUUAGCAAAGAUAUUUAAAUAUAAUUUCAAAAAUGAAGAUCUUGUAAAAAUCUUUUUAAACAGAUUUGUUAGAAUUUAAAAAUAAAUAUAUUUAUAUUUAAAAUGAAAAGAUAUCAAAAGAUAUUAUGAUUAAAAUAUUUUAAAAUUUAUAUUUAUUAUUAAUCUGAACUAAAAUGUAAUAUGAAUUUCUAUGAAUAGGUCCAUUAGGUCCAUUUUUAAAAAAAAUCACACAUGAAUCAAGGUUGUGACUUCUGUUUUAAUAUAUAAGAUUUCACUUAAAAAAAUUAAACUAAGAAUAACCUAAUUAAACUGAUCAAAAAACAAACCGAACCGAAUAUAACCGAACUGAACCCAAACUAACUAUGGUUUAUUUCAACUGGAAAAAUACUAGAACCAAACUAACCAAACAGAACCGACUCCGAACUGAACCGAGAAAAUAACCGAAGUGCCCACCCCUUCAGGUGAAGAAGAAAAGAACAUUGAGUCGCAGUGUUGGGUCUAGUUUAAUUAAUUAUUUUUUGGGCAAAGUUUUUUGGUUUAAUUAAAAUUGAUUUUUUAUUUGGUUUAACAAUUAAUAUUUUUUGGUAAAUAAUAAACCGCUUAAAACUAUGACUUUAUGUAUAAUUAAGUUUUAAAUUUUGGUUUGUGGAGAAAUAAGAUUCUAAGUUUUAAUUCAAAAAAAAAUACAUUUAUAACAAUAUUUAGUGCAGGCAGAUAUAUUACAAAGUUAUAAUUCAGUGAAAAUUUGAUGCUAUGUAAUAAUUUUUGUGGGAAAUUAGCAUGCUAACUCACAAAAUAAACAUGAUCUGGCUGCCAAAAUGUAUUGUUGCAUGAACAACAACGAUAUAACCCAAAAUUAAAGUUUUAAGGUGAUUUUAAGAGCUUCGUCUUCAGACAUAUUACAUCCGUUUAAAUAUUUGUUUUAGAUUUUAAAAUUUGAUUUGUUAUAAAUAGUUGAUUAUAUUUUAAAACGAAACAAAUAAUAAAUUAACUAAAGAUAAAUGUGUUAAAUAUUUAAAUGACAUUUAUAGUAAAGCUAAGAUGAUAUUUUAGAGUAAAAUUUACUACACUAGAUAGUACGACAUUUUUAGUAUUUGUUGACAAAAAUUAGCAAGAUUUAUAUUUCUUUUGUGAAGACUGAAGCAUCUUCAAAUUCAUUAUGUAUGUAUUAACAUAAAUAAUACAUUUAACAUUUAACUACACAUUGAUAAGAAAAUCUAAAAAUAAAACUCAACACUUGGAAGUUGGAACCACGAGAGCCAAUGAUCAAUGUAAUAAAACUCCGUUCAGAGAAAGAAAGUGAGAAACAGAGAUCCACGAAAAAACAAAUUCUUACCAAUGACAAAAUACUGAUAUCUUCUUGUUCUUGUUCUUGUCACUUCCACUACCGACAAUGAUCGAUCCCAACCCAAACAAACUCCCUCCCGGAAACACAUCCAGAAACGAAUUUACCUUAAUCCCUCCUCCAUUGCCGCCGUUACUGUAAUCUCCAUGGCUCGUCUUACUCAAUAGCGGUUUCUGAGAACUACAGUUUGAAGAAGAAGAAGGAGACGAAACCUCGAGCUUCAUAGUUUCUGUCUGUUUAUAAUUCGAACCGGUCGGGUUAUCCGAUAGCAAUGGCAACCCAAUUUCGGAAUCGAGACGUUCGCUUCUUUUCUUAAUCCCCCAACACGGAUUCACAGUGGGUCUCUCUUCAUCUUCUUCGACUUCUUCUAUUUCAUGAGCAUUUCUGAUUGGAUUCGUUUCCGGUCCGGGACGACACGGUUCAGAAGGAACGUGAAACGGCACCGUAUUGCGUAUGGCUCCCGUCGCCGUUAAUCCGAUUUCCAGAACCGGUUUAGUAUCUCCGAUUGGAUUCGUAUACAAACCGGUUCCAUCUUUCUCGGGUAUCUUUUUGAUUUCUGUGGGGAGUAUUUUUCCGUCGGAGAAAAACUCUUCGGCGGACCACGAGCUUUCACCGGAGAUUACGCCGCCGGGAAUGGAGAAAUCGAAGUUGAUGGUUGAAGGUUCCGAAUGAGUUCGUAAUGGACUUUGCUCGAUCGGUAUGGAAUCAUAGUGGCAAAAAUCUUGAGAAAAGGAGAGUCUUGGGCCGUGCUUGGCAUUUUCCGGCAUUGUUAUUAAUUUUCUUUUGAAAAUAUUGGAAACGAUUUGAUAGAGAAUGGGAUCAACAACAACUCCAUGUUAUAUUUGAGGAUUAUGUCGAGGUGAAUUAAAUGGAAUGUGGCUAUUUUCAAUGUUCGACAAAAGUUUUGUUAAUGUUUGAUUUCCUGUACAUAUCUUCGCAUUAUUUGAAAAAUGAUUUAGUUUGCUUGUCAUAUUUUUCCAUGAGUUUAUGAUAUUAUGCUUAUCGAUCAUUUUUAUUAAGUUUUAACUAAAUUAUUUAUUUAUAAAUAGUUUUAGUUGAAUUAUUAAUUUAUUAAUUUAAAUAAUAUAACUAUAUCAAUUUUUUUUAAUUAGAUAAUGAUUCUUCUUAUUUGUUAUGUUUGCUAUAAUUUUAGUUAAUUUCGUUUAUUUAUCACAUUUUUAAGUUUUAACUAAGUCAUUGAUUAUUAUUAAUUUUUAAUUGAAUCAAUAAUUUGUUAAUUUAAAUAAUAUAACUAUUUCAGACUUUAUAAUUAGACAUAUACAAUAUAAUCUAUUUAAAUUAAUAUUCUAUAAAUUAAUAUACACUAAAAAUCUCUAUAAAAUAAUAUAAUUUUAUAGUCUCAAAUUGAGUUUUUGGUUCAAUUAGUAUAUCGAUAAAUUAAUAAAAAAAAUUAUAGUUUUAGUGUAGUCUCAAUAUUAUUAAUUUAUAGAGGUUUCAGUGUACUUAUUUUGCAACUUUGAUGAGUUAGGACAAAUUCUUAUUAUUCUGUUUUAAAAUCAUAUUUGUUAGAUAAUCAACCAUUGUUCUAACUAAAAAUCUGGUUUUCCAUUGAAGGAAUAAGCAUAUACUUUCAAGAUAUCGUUUUAUUCGUGAAUGUAUGGAUAAUGGACAAAUCAAAGUGGAGAAUGUGUCGGGUGUUAAGCACAAGGCCGACAUCCUUACCAAACCAUCGAGGAUUAAGUUCAAGUAAAUGAGAAGAAUAAUUGGAGUUUGAUAAAUUGAUCUCCUUAAUUCAAGUCAGAAUUAAAAGUGUGAAUGUUGGAUAAUUGCAAUACUUGUGUAGCAAGUUAAACACAAAAAAUAAAAUGUGAAGUUUACUAUUUAUAUUAAGUUUGUGUUUCUAUAUUCCACAUGUAAAAGGGAAUAUGGAAACAUUGAGAUUAGGUUUGUUUUUUACUUUAAACUAGGUGAUUUUCCCGGGUAUAAAUAUUUCUAAAGUAAAUAUAUUAUAAUAAUUUAUUGCUACUAACUUUUAAUUUUAAACUAACUUAUAAUUUAUAUGCAUCAUUUAUAUUAAUAAUAUUAUAUUUCUUUAAUUAUACAUAUGAUUUUAUGUAGGUUAUAUCUAAUCGGUUUUGUUGUUUUUCAGUCGAUUUAGUUAUCAUUUGGAUGAAUUAGAUUGCAUAUAUGAAUUCAACUGUAAUAUUUUUUAUUCUAUAUAUUAAAAUUUUGAUUAAUUUUUUAUUUGCAUUUAGGUGGUUGUUAUCUUAGAUAUGUAAAUAUAUUUUAUUGUGUAGAUUAUAUUUUAAAAGAAAUAAUAUUUUUGUUUCUAAUAUCAAGAUUAUCUGUGUAAAUUGUAUUUAAUGAAAUCACAUUAUGUAGAGAUUUAUAAUUUUCAUCUAAGAAAAUAUAGAUAUAAAGAAAUUAUUUUAUUAGUUGAAAAUUAUAUUUUAUGUUAUUUAAAAAUAUUUUUUAAAUGUAAUAUAACUAUUUUGUGAACUUUUCUUUUUUUAAUAAAUCAGAUUCUAUAUACAUAUAUUUCCGUUUUUCAAUUCUUUUUUUUUAAAUUUAUAAAAAAAUUUCUUUUUUAUUAUAUGUGUAUAUUUUUCGGAAUUUUUUUAAAAGAAAACUAAAUAAAAUAAUAAAUAAUAGUAUUUUAAAUGUACGUUAAUUCAUUAAGGGUAUUAGUGUAAUCAGCCACCGUGAGAGUUAACGUGGGAGUAACACAUAGGAAAUUAACUUCUCAAAUAAUAUUAUAGAGAUAUAGGUUUCAUAGAAAAUUGUUACAUAAGAUAUAAAACAAAAUAAACAUUGAGGGCUUUAUUUUUGAUACAUUUCUAAAUUAUAAAAAAAAUUGUUCUUAUAAUUCUUUUUGUUUAUAGAGAUUUGAUAUUAAAGCAGAAAAGCUUCCCGGUUUAUUAUUCAACUUUUUUUUCAAAUUAUAAUAACUAUAUUAUUCGAUUACUCGAUUCUACUUUAUCCUUAAGUAAAAAUUAAAUAUAUGUGUUAUUUUAUCUUUGAAAUUAUUUUAUUUUCAUUCUAUUAUAAAAUGUAAAUAGAAUAAAACUAGAAAAAUUAUUUCAAAUUCGAAUAAAAAAUUAAUGGAUUUGGAAUUUGGAAAAGCUAUUUAGCCUACAGGCAGCUAAUCCACAAGAACCUCAGCACCUUUCUCCCAUGAACAAUCUAUGAGUCACCUUCGAUACAAACCGGUUUGACAAUCCCGGUUUCCUUCAAUCCUUCACCGUCUUCCAAACCAUAUAAUACGCUCCGGUUUGAUACAAUCUUAUUUGGUUUCAAUUUAUAUAAAGGGCAAUUAUCAAUAAUAGCACAUUUUGAAGUUUAUGUCUUAAAAAUAGGACUAGAAGGAGAAAGUCACAAAAAUGACAUUCAUUAAAGAGUAAAAUAUUCCUAAUACCAUUGGUUUAAAAUUAAAUAAACAAACAAAAAUAAAUAAAAAUAAAAAAAAUAAAAAUAAAAAAAAUGAAAAAAAAUUAUUUUUUUCAUAGUUUCAGAUUACGUGUUUUCAGAUUCGAAAUUUUUAUAAUUUUUUUUUGAAUUUUUUUUUUCGAAUUUUCUUUUAUUUUUUUUUUCAAUUUUUUUUUAUAAUUUAAAAAUAUUUUUUAAAACUGUUUUUAAAAUUUUUAUUUUUUAUUUUAGUAUUUAUUUUUUAUAAAAUUUUAAACCCUAAUUCCAAAACUCCACCCCUUAACUCUAAACCCUAAGGUUUGGAUUAAUUAACCCAAGGGGUAUAAAUGUAUAUUUACCUCUUUAAUGAAACCUAUUUUUGUGAUUUUGAAUCUUGAGUGCUACUUUGGGAACAAAAACUUGGUUUAGUGCUAUCCUAGUCUUUUUCUCUUAUAUAAAACCGAAAACCAGCAAAAAAAAAAACAAAUUGAAAUCUAGUUGUUUCGGCCACUUUUAAAAAGGCUUUAUGAAGGCCCAAUAGCAAAUUAUAUCCUCUCUCUCUCUCUCUCUCUCUCUAGAUCAUUGCUCGACGGAGAAGACGGGGCUUCUUCUUCGAUCACAAGUUACAGCGUCUCUUUAGAUUCUGAGAUCGAGCUCUUAGUAGACGGGUUGUGGAUUUAACAGCAUACUAACUCGUAAGUACCGCGUGAUGAUGUCGCCGAAGCAAAUCUCCGACGAUCGAGGAUCUUCACAUUUCCGGUAUCUUCGAUUUCAUUCUCUCUGUUUGAUCCUGUAGAAGACGAACUUAACGGAAUUAAAUUCACAUUGCGAUGAGAUGUGAACUGUAGCUAAGGUUGAAUCAGUGAUUAAGAUCGAAUCUUGUGAAUAUAUAGAGAAGCUCCCUUUGAAAAGAAGUUCAAGAUUGAAUAUUCUUGAUUAUAAUUUUUUUGUUUCUUUCUUUGUAAUUCAUACUCAUAGUCAUGUGUUUUCUCUCUUUAUGUGCAGGCAUACCCCAUUCCAGAUAAUCCAUGUCACUGGGAACUUCUUUAGGAUAUGGUCAGUCUAUUCUAUGUACCGCUACUUGAAUCAGACUGGAGCGCCUGUUGUUCUCUUUCUCUUCUGCUGCCUGCUGCCCUCAUCCUUCAUCUUCUUGAUCCUUCAGAAACCGUGGAAAGGAAGGGCCCUCUCCAAUCAGCAGGUUUAGAUUAACUUGUGAAAUGGGAGAGUUUAGACUAUAUUAUUCUGUUUCUCUGAGGCGUAUUUUAUUUCUUUCAGAUUGUACCUUCUCUUAUCAAUGGAGUCAUCACAGCUCUCUACUUCAUCUUGUGGGGAAAGGGUCUUAAGUCGUGUGGACCUCUUAGGUAUUCUAGAGUUAUUAAGCAUCCACGCUACUUUCAAUUCUCUACUUUUGUUAUAGGUUAUCUUAGGAUCCAUCAUAGAUUUUGGCUGCUGAAAUGUAGGAAAGUUGAGAUGUCCCUCUGAGAAAGAUUGUCAUACUUAAACAGUUGGAUUGUAUCCUUUCUUUCAGAAAUCUGCCAAUAUAAGCUUCAUCAUCUGUCAUUUGAUAAAAAAAAAAAUUUAUCUUCAUUGAAAAUGUGGUUCUCCUUGCUAAUUCACUUUGUAUAUUAUUGGCAGAGCGAUCUUGUCAGAGUACUCUGGUGCUGUUCUUGGAGUGCUUUCUGGAGUACUAUAUGGGCGGAGAGGCCACGUGUGGAAAAAGGUAUUCAGAAUUUAACAGCUGCCACAAAUAUAGCCCCUCUAGUCAGUGGAACCAGUUAACUAGCAUGGUUGACAUAGAAUUUAUCCGUAGUGUUAUGUUUUUUAUGCUUCAGUUCAAUUGUGUCGCUGAAUAACUAUAUAGCUUUGACAUGUGCAAUAGCUUUUACCAAUUUAUGAUGUUUCUUCUGGUUUUUCCAUGUACGUAUAUUGCUUGCAUUAUACACUUAACGAUAUGUAGUUGAUUGCAAAAUAGCAAUUUAGUGUUUAUAUAUCAACAAUUGAUGUUUAUAUGUCAGACGACUAGGACCAAAUUUGUCUCAUAUUUCGAAAUCAUGUCAGGUAGGUGGCCUUGUUGCAAUGCUGGUUGCUCUUUUUUUCUUGUCUCAAGGAUGGGCGACAUCAUCUCUCUCCCCAUUUUAUAUCCUUUUACGCAAGUUCCUUCUCUUUUAUGUACAUACUCUCCAUCUUGUUGCAUUUUUUACUUCCUGUUGGUUUGUUUAGCUUAACAAAAAAUUACCAUCGAAAGAUAGUAGUGACACCAAAGAGGAAGAAUUAGUAACAGAACAAGCACUAGGACUGAUGGGAAUGAUGAUACCCGUUGUUGCUGGAAUCUUAUCAGCAUUAAGGCGAGUCAUUGCAAGGCGUGUUUCUCUUAAGGUGCUUUUAUCUCAAAUUCUCUUCAUUCCUUCCACCCAGUGCCUUUGCGCAUAACCAAUUGUAUUCUUUUACAGAACCAGCAAAAGAAACGACUACAUGCGAUAACCAUUACUUCUGCAACCUGUUUUCUGUUUCCUUUGGCCAUGUGGGACCUUGUCACAGUAAGUGGUACUACUUGUUUUGCAGUGGAGUUUUCUUGUAUGGUUUACUAACAUCUUUACUUCAGGGAUCGUCUUCUGGCAAAGCUGUGGAGUUGCCAUUUUCUGCGUGGGCUUUCCUUGCCACCAUUGUUUUCGGGAUCAUUUUAAUAUUCUAUGUUGACAAUAUCGCAGAAGAGAGGUUUCCUUAAAAGCUUUGCCUCUUCUACUAGCCUUUUUACUCACGCAAACAGAAGUCUUUAUAUGUUUGUUUGUUUUGUAGAUUGCAUAUGGUGUUUUCUUCCCCGAGGCAUUUAAUGGUAGCAGGAGCAUGCAUAAUCGUCAUGGAGAUUGCUUACGAGAUGGAUUUUUCCCUUCCUGGUUUCAUUGUCUGUUGCUUAGUGUUAGGGUUUGGAAUAUACGAAGCAACAUCUCUAGAACGCAGCAAAAAGGACUCUUCGAUUAAAUCAGAAGAUGGACCUAAUGGAAUCCUUGGUAACGACUUUGAUACUUCUCCAGUUCUUCCCAUAUAGGCUAGUGCCGAUGUUAAUCUUUACCUGUUUUCCGGUUCUCACCAUACUAACGAGGUUACUUUUGAAAUGUUCUUGUCCUUGACGAUGUAAAUCUUUGUCUGUUUUUUUACUCUCAAUUCUUGUAUCUUUUUCAUUUUAUCUUUGUUUAGCGUAUACAAUUUUGUUUGGUUUUGAGUAGACAGAGAUACACCUUGGAUAAUUAACAUUCUGCUUCAUUUUGACGAAAAAAUUGGUAAAUAGUAAAAAAACAUUUAUACUAAUAUUUGUAAAAUUAAAAUUUCAUAUACUGGUUUCACGUUAAAUUAAAUUCAGUUGCAAAUAUAUUUUAAAAUUAGACUUGGUUAUGGUUUUUUUUUGUUAAAAUCAGCUUUGUCCUAAAAUUUUCUUGUACACAAUUCACUUGCUAAAAAUAAUGACCAGCAUAGUUAUGAAGCAAAGCAUUGAUGAACAAAGAACACUUCACCUUUCAGUGAGUCUCUUUCCUCUCUCAAUGCCCUUUUAGCUCACAUUUUCGUUGUUGUGGUCCUACUUGUUAUUACUACAGCUGUUAUGUACGUGUUGUGUUAUUGUUAUGUUGGUGCCUUAAUUUCAACUUUCUUUUUUAGUUUCACAUGUCGACAUUUUUCCUGUAAGAUAAGUCUAUUAUUUUCUGCAGACUUUUUGUUGACACUCUUCUUUGGCUUGACCCCUCCGUUCUACUUUCUCUGUGUUGUCCCUCUCUUGAACACGCUCUGUUUUUGUUCUCACUCACUAUGUUAUUGCCUUCACUCUCACGUUAUUUUCGCACUUGUGUAUAACCGAACACAAGCGCUCACACAGACUCUAGUUGCACAACCCACUCAUCUUUGACUUCUUAUUGUUGUUGCAUUGCUCCUUCUUGUGAUACGGUUUACAUAUCGGAAUUAGUAACCCAGUGAUGACCAAGAGAAAUACUGAUAAUAUUGAUAAGAAACUUGAGAGAAUUGCUAGAGAGUACUCUCACCUCUCCAUGAUCAUGAGUGAUCUAAUUUCUAGAUAACCCUGUCACUCAUUCUUACACUUUACACUUCUAUAUACAGUACUAGUUACUAUUAGAUUAGGGUAAAGACUUAUGACCUAACCCAUUAAUCUAAUUGCCACUAAAUGGGCCAGGUAACAUCUUGUUCCUCCGUUUCUUGCGCUUCAAGCUUCUUCUUCUUCUCACAGAUUCUUCUUUAUUCUUUGUAGGUUCUUCUCUACUACUUUUCUUUGUUUUCUUCUUUUGUAGAUUUUAAUCAAAGAUUCAAUUCCAACAGUUUUUCGGUCUUGUUUUGCUUGUACCUAAGCGACUCAAAACUUUUCUCCUCUUUUACUGCUCCCUAUCGUUUGAUUCACAUGGCAAAUGUUUCAUCUUUUCAACACUUCAAGUUCGUCUUGUUUGCUCAUCAUUACUUGAUAUUAUUAGAUAUUUUCUGUACAAUUGUAUAUACAAACAAACGCGUUUGUCUGAUCCCAAAUAUGGGUUUAGUUUUCUUCCCUUUUUCACGGUUCAUAACACCUGUAAAGUUUUGAAACUUCUCGUGUUGUUAAAGAGAAAAAGCAAGAUGAACACGACAAAUCGGAUGCUUAAAGAAGAAGAGAUAGAGUUAGGUUUAAUCCACAAUUCUCAAAAGGUGCGUUUAUUUAAUUAUUUUAAUUUAAAUUCAUCUUAAAAUGACCUGUUUUUAUUAGCUGUUCUGAGUCAUUCACACGCUGACUAUGGUGACUCUGAUUGGGUUACGGUCUAAAUGGGGAUUCACAAAGACUUUGAAAGAUGGGCAAGCAGAUUCAAAUUAUUUGUUGGUGAAGGUUUGAUAAAGAGAGUCUUAUUAAUACAUGAAUGGAAUUUACAUAGUUUCGCUGUGUGGGCAUGAAUUCACCGUUAUCCCUCCAGAAAUAUGCAAUGCUUGAACCGAAAUGUUUAUAAACUAAAUUUAAACUACUUUUCUUUUGGUUUUUAAAUUAAAAAUAUUUGAAAUGAUGCAAACAUGGAAGGAUAGAAAAAAUAUAGAGGAUGGUUUUUUUUCUUUUUAUAUGAAAUGCAAAUAAAGAAAACAAUUAAAAACACUUAUUUUUAAUGGUAUUUCUGUGUAUGGAAUGCAUAAGAAUUAGGGCAUCUCCAACCCUACUCCAUUUUUGACUCCAAACUCAAUUAUGGAGUAAAAUUUUCUCCAACCCCACUCCAUAUUCAACUCCAAAAUGGAGUAAUAGCUAGGGUUACUCCAUUUAUGGAGUAAUCUUACUCAUUACUCCAUUUUGGAGUUGAACUUUUUAUAUUUAUGAAAUGGUCCUUUUGAUUUUUAAUGUUUUUAUUUCAUACUUAAAAUAACAUAAUAACAUAAAAAAAUAUAAUACUCCACAAAAGAUUACUACUUUAUAGUUUACAGAAAAUAUGCAUAAACUCAUAAAAGUCAAAACUAAAAAUAAAAAAAUAUAAAAUAAAUAUAAUGUAAUAUAAAUAAGUAAUUAAAUAAUUAAUUCGUUAAAUUGUUUUCGAAACUACCAAAAGCGGUGAAGUAUUAUUCAAACAGAAUAGAUGAGUUUUUUAAUUUUGUGGGUCAAAAUUUUGAUUGAUAACAUUUGUACUUGUUGAACUUGAUAUAUGCACAAACAAACAAUAGGACCCAAUACAUAAUUCAAAUUACAAAACAAAACUUUAUUUUUUCUUUAUGUUCUUUUAAUGCAUAAAAAUAUUUUUGAAUUAGAAAAAUUGCAUAUGAUAAAAUCUGCACGAAUUGAAAUUGGAAGAUAAUCUCUAGUUGUAUUUUUAAUGAUAAAUAUUUAAUUUAAAUAAAAUAUAUUAUUAUAGAAAUUUUGUAAACAUAAAAUAGUUGGGUUAAUUGUUAAUUUUUUUUUAAGUUGAAGGUACUAAUAACAAUUAUCAACUAAAUGAAAAAAGAAUCAUUUUGUUUGGAGUAAAAAAUGGAGUAAUACAUUGGAGUAAAAUCCAACUCCAUUUUAGAGUUACACCAUUUUGGAGUAAAAUUUGGAGUAAUACAUUGGAGAUGCUCUUAGAAACAAAAGUUGGACAACUUAAUGCAAACAAGCUAUUGAUCUCUUAUUUAAUUUUCUAUGACCUAACACAAAAAUGACUUGCCUUACCUUCCCUUUUUCUCUAGUUUUCAAUUUAAGAUAAACAAGAACAAAAGCAGCUAGGUUUUUAUAGGUUUUUAAAAUGAAAGCAAAUGCAAAAGAAGGAAGCAAUGAUAGAGUUAACCAGAUUCCAGAGUCUUUGGCCUUUUGAUAGCAGUGGAGGAUAGCCUUUUUUGUCUUUAUGCUAUGGUUGACAUAUCAUUUAGUUUUAGAUAGCGUUUGUAUAUUUGGAAACGCUAUGAUAGAGUACUGUAUAUAAAAACGCUAUGAUAUCGUAUUUUAAUAGCACAUAAUUAAAAACACUAUAUUUGCAUUUUUGAAUCUCUAAACCCUAAACGAGGUUUCAACCCUAAAUUCUAAACACGAACUUUAAACUCUAAUAUUCUAACGUCAAAUCUUAAAUUUAACCUAAAAUAUUAAAUAUUAACUCAAAGUUAUAUAUUUUCAUAAAUAAAUCUCAAAUCUCUAAACCCUAAAGGCCUAAACCCUAAACCAUAUACUCAACCUCUAUUUUAAACUCAUAACUUAAAAUCUAACCCUAAAUAAAAAAAUUUCAAACUUAAAUCUGAAUCCUUUAGUUUUCUUAUCUUUCUUCUCAUUGGUCACUUUUUCAAUGACAAGGAUUACAAUUUUUAACCAUUGAUUAUUUUUGAUCUAAAGGCCUAAAAUCUCUCUCGUAGAUCUCAUCUCUUUCAUUCUUCUUCCUUUACAGGUUCACCAUCAGACUUAACAAUAUUCUCAAACAAAUCCGAUAACCCAACUCCACCCUCAGACCCAGCCAAACCUCUCCCUUUCCAACCAUUAGCGUCAGGAUCGAGACCCAGUCACCAGAUCUACCCCUCCUGUGUUACGAUUGGUGGGAGAUGUAGCUGUCGUCGUCGGCGUUGUUCUUACACAGAGCUUCGAUGUCGACCGUACAAGCAUCUUUGUCACAAAUCUGGAUUGGAGACAAGCUCAAAUAGUGACGAACCGGAAUGGAAGUGCGCCAGAGGUGAAGGAUGAGACAGCGGAUGCUGAGGCGGAAGCACGACUAACAGAGGCCGAGGCAGAGGCGGAAGCGCGAGUAACGGAGGCAGAGGCGGAGGUCAUGGAAGAACACGACAAAGAAGGUGGUGGUGCGGCGGGAUAGGUUUAGAUUAAUUUUGUUAUUAGGUUUAGUUUAUUAAUUUUGGUUUUGUUAUUAGGUUUAGUUUAUUAAAAUUGUAAAUCAUAUUUUUGUAACCCAGUUUAAUUAUAAAUAAAUUUAAAUAAUAAACAAAAUUUUUAUAUAGAAAUCAGUUUAAAGUUUUAAUUAUGUUCUUUUUAAAAAUAAUAGCUAAAAAUAAAUAAAUUUUAAAAUAAAUAAUUUUGGUGUAAAUAAUAGCAAAAAUAAAAUGCUAUUAAAAAAUAUUUAAUUGCAUACAAUAAAACGCUAUAAUAUAUAAUAAUAAGAUAGCAGUGUGAAAAACUGCUAUCUAUUGUGUCUGGCCUAUUAUGACGGGCGAUGAUACAACGCUUUAUAAACCGCUAUCGUAUCGUUAGAUAGCGUUUUUCAUCCGCUAAGAAAAGUUUUUUUUCUUAUAGUGAUACCAUAUGACACAAAAGCGGGAUGUGAUAUUGGUGGCCAAUGGUCGACUUGGUUAAUGCCGGUGGCAGAUGGUCGACUUGGUCGAUGGCCGGUGGUCGAUGGUGCGUGAGUGGUGUCUUGGAUGAAUCAAAGUAAACCUGAAAAGAAAAGAAAAGAAUAACAAAUGAAAUGAUGAAAAAUACUAAUAAACAGAGAAAAUAAAGAGAUAAGGAUGGAGAUGGUCGAAUGGAAGUAGAAGGAUGGUUGAAUGGUCGAUGGGAAACAAUCCAACUGAUUGUACACAGUGGCGGACGGAGAGAAGGAGCUACGGGGGGACACGUGCCCCAUCCACUUUUUAUAUUUCCUGAACAAUCAGCUUGAUAUUUGUACAAGUGGCCCCAACUCAAGAAAUGUGUAUAAGGAAAAAUUGUGUGUGCCCCCAAUUAUAUUUGAUCCUAGAUACACCCUUAAUUGUACAACUCAUUUUUAGACUGAAUCAGUGAAAGAGAUAGAAUCAGUGGAUACGGAAUGACUUGCUCAAUCAUUGGCACAAAAAGAAGACGUUGAAUCACACAACAUGUUGAGUUAGUGGGCUUCAAUAACAUCAAGCGAAUCACACACCUAAUACUAUUGAGAAGAAGAAUCAUCCACAGCCACCUAUCCAAGCUUAUUCAUUCACAGCGAGCUAUCUCCACGGUCACCCAUCCACGAUAAAUGGAGACAAGUGAACCUAUCACACAUCAACUUAUCCAUUCAACCGUUGAAAACAAUGACUUUGGAAGUUGUUCCUUCUCUCUUUACUCAAAAAACAUGCAUGUUGUCUUUAUUCAUUAUUACCUUUUGUCCAAAUCUAGAUUAGUUUAAAUAUGUGUUGUCACCAGAAAUUACAAGUUAAGGGAAUAAUAUUCUCCUUCUUUACUCUCUCUCUUACGAACAAUUUUCUACACUCAAAUCUAUCUCUCUCUUGUUCUUGGACUGUUCAUCCUAGUUACUUAUUUUCUUACAAAUACUACGGAAUAGCACAACACGAAGAAUUCACAACUUUGUGAAGAAAUUAAGAUGAUUUCUUAUUACUUUAAAAAUGAUCAAGGGUGAAUAAUAGAAUGAGAGUAGGCUGAGCUUAUAUAGGUCGUGGCUCAUUUCUCAAAAAAAUAAGGAAAAUAAGGAAACAAAUCAAUAAAUCUAAAAGCUACCGUUACGUGUGGUUUAAGGGAUAGUGCUGAAUGGGAUUCUGUAACUUCUUUAUAUUCUGGAAAGCUUUGGCAUAAACUGAUGAUGUUUGAGAACGUUCAGAUUCGUUGCAUGUUCCUUCAAGACUCCACUGAAGAAAAGGAAAGAGCCGUUGGAGCUUUUGGACCAAUAAUGUGCAUGAAUCCAAAUAUGCAAGGUCGGUCCAUGUGAAGUUCAAAGUAAUCACGUGUGUUUUGGAUGAUCUUCUAAUGUCUUUAGCAUUACUUGGUUCAUGUUGAAAGUCUCAUUGUCGCCAAAUCUUGGUUUGGAAUUGAUUGAACCAAUGUGUUGACCAUUUUUCUUAAAUAGCUCCGGGUUGUUUAAUUGGUGUUCAUUAAGGAUCAUCCUGAUCUAGUGUGUGAUGGUGCUGCUUAGGAUUUUGUAGAAUGCUUCUAAAAGCUGAAAAGGUCGCAUUGUUGCCAAAAUUGAUUUUGGUUUGAUGUCAAAUCCGAAUCUUCCACACAAGGCAAGUGUGGAAAUUUUUUGAACCAUCUGAAUAAAUGGAGAAUAUUUUGAGAUUUUUGUGAGUGUUUCUCUUGAUAUUGGACUUGUUGGAUUGCAAGAGAACCAUAUUGUAGACCGUGAUUGGAUUUUGUGCUGUAUGAUUCAUGGUUGGGUCUGUUACUUCUUCAAUAGGCUAAUACUGGCAGAUGGACAUGUUAAGAAUUAUAAAUACCAUAUCUUUCUGGAUCAUGCAGCUUUUAAGAUAAUUUCACUUGGCUUUGAAACAUUAUUGAGUACAGAAUUCAGGACAAUUGACUUAUGCAUGUAUGUCUUGGUCAGUCCGUUGGUUGUUUGAGUGGAUGUCUGAUCGACCUCUGAUUGAGCUAAUGUUCUGAAUAUGUCCUUACUUAGACUAACUGUUAGAAAUCUUCCAUCAUUUAUAUGGUAUUUGCAUUCAUUGUAAAAAACAAAAAGAAUUACGGUCAGUUCCAUUUGCAUGGGCCAACUUGUUUUAUCUCCAAUACUUUAUAUAUUUUUAUUCUAACUUUAACUGGAUUAUUUAAAAUUCAUUUGAUAUAUUUGAACUAUUUCUAUCGAAAAACAAUAUAUUUUAUGUCACAAAACAAUCUUAAAUAGUCUUACAACAAUAUAUUAUAAAUUUGAACGACUAUGCCUAUUCAAUUAGAUUUAAGAGUGCAGAACCAAAGGCAAACCAAAAAUUAUGUAUAUUUGAAUGCCUAAACGAAAUUUUUGUUUUGGUUUACUUUGAAUUUUUAGCUUGUUUUCCUACAAAAAAUUUCUGGUUCAAAUUUGCAACCCAGAAAUUUUUUAUUUAAGUAUCAUUUAAAAAAAAUACAUUUGUUCAAAAAUUAAGAAAACUGUAGAAGGAUAUUUUACUCUUAUCCACAUGCCUAUCUUAUAUAUGAGUGCGUCCACAAAUUUGCUAUCACAAUUCACACAUUUCAAGUGGGCUAAUCCUUACCCUCCACUGAUUAACUAUGUGUGGGAGUGAGAUGUACAUGCAUACGUUUUUUUAGGAAAUCGCUUUGAUAUAUUAUAUAUAAAGUAGAACAUUUAGUUUUUUUUUUGAGACACCAAGUUUUUUUUUUUGGAAACACUAGUAGAAUAUUUAGUUAACUCUUGAAAACAAUUAUAACAAAAAUAUAAGAAUAGAGUUCCAUAUCUAUGUAAUAUGUCUUAUUUCCAAUGAUAAUAUACAAAUAAUAUGUAUAUAGGUCUCAUAAACUCCACGUUAGAAGUGUGAAACAUCAAAUGAUGAGAUUGAAAUCUUGUUGAAGCCUUACAAAUUUAUGGUAAAUAUGUAUGCGAGUGUGACGACCAUAUGAUACAAUGAUUCUUAUGUGAAUCUUUAGUGAACUAAUUAACUGCAUGUAACAAUGUUUUCUUCGUUCUAGAAAAGAUUACCAUGCAUAGCGUUACUUAUUCCGUUUUGUAAAGUUAGUUUGACUGUUUCUUACUCUUAUACCAGUAAAAAUUGAUAAUAACCAUCGGUAACCAAGAAGAAAAUAUGCAAUAUAGAGAUUACAUGUUCAUAAAUCAGACACUUGACAAUCCGAUAUAACAUGCCUCAGAAACAAAAAGCCAAAGAAAACAGACAAAUGGAAAUGAAAUGAGUAGAUAUUAUUUAUGAAAUGUCUUACAACGCGAAUUAAGCACCGGUGAAGCUUGGUGGUUUGUAGGCGAUGAAACUGAUGCACUGGACUUGACGGUUGUUGUCGAAUCCAAUGAUCCUGAUGAAGGCGUUAGGGUACUCCGUUUUGCACUCUUGGACUUCCUUCAACACUUGAGCAGAGUCGGUGCAUCCGAACAAGGGAAGCUUCCACAUUGUCCAGUAACGGCCAUCGUAGUAUCCGGGGGUGCUUCCGUGCUCACGGUACACAAAUCCAUGCUACACACACAUGAGAAUUCCAAUCAAAAUCAGGAUUGAGAUUAUGUGAUAAAAGAUGUUUAGAUCCAAAAAAAACUUCUAUUUUUAUUACCUCCAACUCGAAUUCAACACAAGGAAUCCACUUGUUGCGGAGAAGGUAGUCGACUUCCUUACCCAAUUCAACUUCGGUAAGGUCAGGAAGGUAAGAGAGGGUCUCAAACUUCUUCUUUCCAACUGGUGGCCACACCUACGAAACGUAUUUCCAAUUAAUGAAUAUUAGUUCACUUUUGUAUAUACUGUUUAACGAUUCUAGGUAUCUAAAUGUACUUUUGAAUAGGAUUCUGUUCGAAUCUACCAGUUGCGUGUAAUAAAAGACAAGCCUAGCUCUAGACUCUCUAGUGACAUUUACCUUCAUGCAGCUAACUCUUCCUCCGUUGCUAACGAUGGAGGUAAUGUCAUUGUUGGCCUUGCGGGUGACUGGGAAUGCAGAGGAAGACUUCAAGCCGGUGAAUGGAGCGACCAUGGUGGCUUGAGCCGGUGAGGUAACCACAGCUGCGGAGGAGAGCAUAGAGGAAGCCAUUACUACUUCUUCUUCUUCUUCUUUUUUCUUAACUUACUUGUCUGUCUAUUGCUUCGGUUAUCUAUAUAUAGUGAGAAGCGCAAGAGGUAUAAAGCCCUAAUGAUCGAAGGAUCAAAAUUUCAUGAUAUCGUCGUUAACUGCCACAGGAUUAAAGAAAGGUGUAGAAAUAACAUUAUCUUAUCUUAUCUUGUAAGAAAACGUAUGAAUGUGUAUGGUUACUCGUCUCAACUUGAGCCAAUGCUUUUGGCUCCUUCCUAUUAAGAGAGGACAAUUCUGACGCAUGAUCUACAUUUCAAUGUUCGCGGACCUUCUAUUUAUAUGAAUUAGUUUCGCUUAAUUUGAUUAGGUUCAUUAUUAAAUUCACAAUUGAAAUUACUAUACGAAAUGUACUUGAAUUAUACAUGUAUGUCGUACUAAUUAACUUAUGAGUAAUGAGACUACUGUAAUGGUCAUGUCCAUAUUCAAACGAACAAAAACAAAAGAAUAGUGGGUCCGAUUGGUAAGUUAAAAGUAAAACCGUAUAAAAACUGUUACUUUUUUUUUUUGACACGAAAAACAAACUGUUACUUAAUAGUUAAAAACUAUAAACUAAAUCAAUAAAAGUGGUACCAAAACACUAAAUGUAACGUUUUUAGGUAAUGCUUUGUGCAUCUCUCUGUGAUGGGUAACUUCCUGCGGAUUCAGGUAGUUCGGUUCGACUAAAAUCUUGUUGAACAUAAAAAAAAUUCAGUUCAGUUUGGUAUUUGGGUAGUUUGGUUUUUAAAAUUUUACCGAAACUAACUAAAGUUUUUGGUUCUGAUUAUAUUUCGGUUAAAAAUUUGGGUAAAAUUGGUUAAUUCGGUUAAUUCUGUUAGUUUGGUUAAUUCGGUCCAAUGUUUUGGUUUGGUUAAUUCUGUUAGUUCGGUUCAAAAUUUUGAGUAAUUUUAGGUAGCUUGGUUACUUCGAUUCAAAAUUUUGGUUAGCUAGGUUAGUUCGGAUUGAAAUUUGGGAACAAAAUUUUUUUUGAAACCGAUUACCGAACAGAACGAGCCAAAAACCAUUUUCUUAUAAACAGGCUGAACCAAACAUGCUGAACAGAACCGAACUUCUCAAUUAAAUGAAAUUUCGGAUGCCUUAAUCGGAAUGAUACAAGAUUACCAAUUAUAUUUAGCUCUGGUCAGAUAGUGUUGUAUUUUUUAUGAUUUUUUUAAUGAAUGUAAAAGUUAUUAAUCCAAAAAAUCAUCCUUACAUUGAAAGCAAUGUUUUAUAAGAUUAAGUUUCGGUUAAAUGUAAGAUUAGUUUUUAGAUUUUUGAGUUACUUUUUGAUGUAUAAUGUAUUACAUUUGAGUUACAAUUUUGAGGGAUUCCUUUGGUAAAAUUGACAAAUCAAGUGGUAAUUCAACAUCAAGAAAAAUACGAUGUGUUAAGAUUUGAGUUAGUAUGUUUUUUUGUUUUUCAACUAAAACCCUACGUUCAUUUUUGGCUAUAUUAAACAUUUUGUUUUCUAAAUUAAUUUAAUAGUUAUAUAUGUUUACACUCGCCGGAUGAGAGAGAGAGAGAGAGAGAGAGAGAGAGAGAGAGAGAGAGAAGGAAGUAGUUGAUAUAUAUAUAUGUAUCUUAUUUUCAAUGUCUACCAGUAGUGUGUACAAAAGAUCUCAUAAAGUCCACGUAAGAAGUGUAAACUAUCAAAUGAUGACCAUUUUAUGAAUGAAUUUAAUCUAUAUUAAAUAUACAUAAACCCGUAUAUGAUACUAUUGUGAAUGUGAUGAUAAAAAGAUAAAAUGAUCGUUAUUUGAAUCUUUGAUGACCUAACUAACUUCAUCUGGAGAGAGAGAGAGAGAGAGAGAGAGAUGAGGGAGAGAAGAAGGCAAAUAUGUUUUUAUAUAAAACUUUUAUGACGGAAAAGGGUCGUUAGAAUUCCGUCGAAAUAUUUUGGUAUUUGGCAGUUCACAAAAAUUUUGGUUGUUCCUUUUCCCAAGUACAUUAAAAUUCCGAUGAAAUUACGAUGACCUUAUAUUUUUCGUCGAACUUUGUGUUAAUUGGUCAACUGACCAAGUCGGAAACAAGAAUAUGCUAUAUUCGUCAGAAGUUUUUCAGAAAAAUACUUUCAAAAUUCUGACGAAUAUAGAAUAUUCUCUGCAUGCUUUUCAAUUGGUUGAAAAAUAGAUCCAUCAGAAUUUUGUCGGUAUAUUCCAAUUAAAAAGAGGGUUGGGGUUUCAAAACAAUUGAAAUUUGACCCACAAUAAACUUUAUAACUUUUUGAUAACUUAGAAGGAGUUAUCUGCAUGUUUAAGUAUAUAAGUGUUUAUACGAGAUCAUAUUACAAAUAAUUGAUAUUGUAAGUUGGAUUCUCGAAAUAUGUUUUUUAAGUAUAUAAAUGCUUAUGAGAGAUAAUACAUAUCCGCGGAUAUAUUUGUAGAGGAUUUUAUAACUUGUAAAAAUGGAAUGCUUUUUAACUCACAUCCUAUUAUACACUUAAUAUGUGUUUUUUUGACCUCAUAGGUAUCCGGUUUUACAUUAAUAUUAACUAAAUCAUAUCGGAAACAUUUAUUCGCUGGAAUUCCAUCGGAAUAUUCCGACAAAAUUCCGACGACAUUGGUAUAUUCCGUUGGUAUAAUUCCGAUGGAAAUGAAACCCCAUACCGAAACACCAAAAUAAGUGUUUUCGUUGGAAUUUCGUUUGAAUAUACCGACAGAAUACCGACGAAAUAAAGAAAUUUUUGAAUAUUAAAUAAUUUUGGAAUACAUUGUAAAUUUCUUAAGGCCAACAACCAAAAAAAUACAAAUAUUUUAUUCAACUCCAACAACCAAUACAUAAAAAAACUACACAAUUGAAAGUUAAAUAUAUGAUUACAGAUUUUCUAAAUAUGUUAAUCUACCCAUAAUCCGAAGAAUAAUCAGACGGACAUGAAUCCGAAUCUUCGUCAAACUCUCCAACCUCAGCAUCUGACUUGAAGUGUACAACAGCAUCAUUUCCAAACUCGGUAAAAUCGCAACAAGUUAAAAAUUUCUAAUCUUCAACUAGACUUACGCUGAUUCUAGAGUUUGGUUGCAAUGUGUCAUGAUCAGAACUUCCAAAUAUAAUCUUGAUUAUUGAAGUUUUGAACACUUAUGGUAUUCUUUGUUUUAUCCUAGAGUUUGAAACUGAAUACAACAUAGAGUAAGGAGUGAACUCUGGACGAGUGGCUGACUCAUUUGGUGCUAAAAAGACAAUAUUUCAAGUACUUUGAUAGUUUGUGUUCUUCUUGUUUAAGUCUUCAAGUAUUUUCUGUUUCUGGUGUGAUUUGAAAACUUUGUUUCAUGGAGCUAUGUUUGUUUCAUUUUCUGUGUUGGAAAAUUAUGUUUUAUUUCCUGGCUUGUUUUGCUUUGACAUUUUGAUUAAUGAGUCUGGUUUCAUUUAACAUUUCAUUUUCUAGAGUUUUUUUAUUUUAUUUUGGUUAAUCAGAUGUCGUUUGGGUAACAAGUCUAGUUUCAGUUUUUAGUUAAAUAGGGUAAUAUUUAACCGAACCAAAUUUUACCCAUUUUUGGGUUAUAUAUGGUUAGUUUCAUCAAAAAAUUUAACCGAUCCGAAACUGAACAAUACAUCGACCAAACACUAUUUGGAUACAUUUUUCAAAUAACCAAACUACUCAGAACCAACCUGAUUACCCAAAAUGUCAGGCCUAUCAGAAACAUGUUUUGAUACCAAUUGAAAGUGUGAAUGAGGCUAGAGUAAAGUGCCGAAAACAUUAUUUUCCAGUUUACUAGAAUAAAAACAAAUACAACUAAUUUGUAAACCCGUAAAUCAAGUACAAUCCUCCUAAAAUGCCGUUGUUUUCUAUUGCAAGAACUCAUUAGGGUAACCUAAUUGUAAUCUAAAAAUCCCCAAGAGCCUAGAAUUCAAUUCUAGAAUUCUCUCAAAGUUUGUUAACACCUAGCGGACAGCAAUGACACCAAACGCUUGAUCACACAAGCACACAAAUCUCUAUCGGUUUUCUUAUUCUCCAAAGUCCAUUAUUCUUUAUAAGGCUCAUGCUCCUUGUAUAGAAUACCUAAACCUGCAUCACAAGUUCUUCCCAGAAAAUUUUCCUUAUUUUUAAAUUAUAUUUCUUUUUUCCUUUUUUUUCCUGCAAACAAACUUCUAUUUUACUUAAAGUAAAUAUUCAGUUGUUAAAAGGUCUUGUUUAUGUAGAUGUUCUAGUUCACAUUUGCAACGCAGCAAUGUUUUACUUAACUACAAUUAAGAAUUAAGAAAUAUAUAUAUAUGUGUGUAUCUCUUAUAUAUUAAAAGAAAAACAUUACAACAUUUGAGGUAUACACAUAUCAUCACCAUAAUAAGUUUCAGAAUCCUAAAAAAACAGAUUGGUUCAUCUAAAUAUAUAAUAAGUUUUUUAUUAAAUUAAUCAUAAUUCAUCAUUAAUAUUCAUCAUUCUUUCCUUAAAUAAAAAUUACAAAAUUUUCUAAUGUGGCUAAAGUAUAUAUGAAAAUUAAUAAUACAGAUUUAAUAAAAAUCAUUGUAUCAUCUAUCAUAUUUGUUUAAUUUCAAAUUAUUAAAAUAAAUUAAACGACCACAUUAACCAUAUAAUAAAAAUUUAGAUUUUUCUGUAUAUGUUAUAUAUUUUUUUUAAAACGACCAUCAAUUAUUAAAACUGUCAAAACUCUCACAUUCAAAUUAUUGUGAUCCAUUGUUUAAGAUUUUUCCUAUGAUAAGAUACAAAUGCUUACAAAAUAAUUUAAUUAAAAAAUCUGAUUUAAUAAAUAUUAAGAUUAAAAAAUAUAUAUAUUAAUAUCUUUUAAAUUAAACUAUAUAACAUAUAGAAUACAUAAAUAUUUUAAUUUUGAAAUUUGUUUUGAAUUUUUUUUUCUUGAUAAAUAUUUGAACAACUAUUGACAAAUUAAUAUUUAAACUUAAAAUAUUUCAUUGAUUUUUUUAAAAAAUAUAUAAAUUAAUAAAAUUAUUAAUUUCAGAGUGAAAAUUUUGUUAUCAACGAUUUAAAGUUUUUGGUUAUAAAAAUAUACAAAUGAUCAAAAAACCUUAUGAGUAAAAACAUCAUUUAAUAGAUAUCAAUAUUAAAAAUAAAUUAUAUAUAUAUAUAUAUAUAUGUUAUUAUCAUUUUUUUUGGACAUUGAUACUGGUGAAAAAAAGGGCAGAGCGAGUGAAAAAAAAAAGCAGAGUCGUCGUCUUUUCACCUUCUCCGGCCGCGGCCUCUCGCCGUUGGUUCCGUGAGAAGGUGGUUGCAUGUUUCUUCUAGUUUUAUUCUCUUUUUAGUUUUCGAUGGUCUCAAAUCUGAAUAGAAGCUUCAUGUCUUCGGAUUGAAGUGAAGAGAUUCAGAUCUGGACGCAACAGACAUCGAUCUUGUCAGAUCUAUGGCCUGUGGUGGUUGGCUAGUGGUUACCGGCUGUAUGGAGAAGAAUCGUGUUAAGUAAGGCUUGGGUGGCCUUGCUGUGGUGUGGAGGCGCGUAGAAGGCGCGUGCUGAGCCCUUUCAAAGUCCAGUGGCGAGUUUAAGUUGGAAUUGGAGGAGGUCAGUGGAGUACAGGCGUAGAGGAGGAGGAGGAGGCGCAGUCUACAGCAACGGUUAUCUAUUAGCUAACAGUCCGGUUUGUUUCUUGUAUGAAUGGGUUUGAGUCUCGUCUAGAUGUUUGUAGUCAUCUGCCUUUAUGGUCUGUGUCUUCUAGUUUAUGUGUUGUUUUCUAUAUUUUAAUCUUUGGCUCCAGAUAGUAUUGUUUACUAUGCUGGCUACUGGCUCCGGAAGAAUCUUUGUCUUGCCGGCUUAAUGUAACCUUUGUUCAAGUUUCAAUAUUAAUCCAACAGAUGACAAAAAAAAAUGUUAUUAUCAUUUAAAAAUUGAAUUAUAUAUCAUAUAAAAUAGAAAGUGAUUGUUUUGGUUAAUAUAAUUUAUUAUACCAGUUUAAUUAUAUACAUAAUAGUUAAUGAAUUUUUAUUUAUUCUUUAUUAUUUCUUAAAAGGUAAAAGAACAUAUAAUACAUAAUAUAUAUAUUAUAAUGUUCAUCUUCCGCAAGGCGCAGAUUUUCACUUAGUAUUUGUUAAAUAUUAUGAUAAAUUCUUAUCCACAUGCCCUAUCUUAUGUAUGCACACCGUCCACAAAUGUGUCCAUCAAAGAUUUCAAGUGGACCAUCCUUUCCCCCAGUGGUUAACAAUGUGUGUGGGUAUUAUAGAAAAGUAGAAAAUUUAUUAUCUUUUUCCUUCAAAAGAAUUAACAAAAAUAAGAACAAAGAUAUCUAGGAAGUAGUUUAUAUAUAUAUAUAAUACAUGUAUCUUAUUUUCAAUGUACCAGUAGUGUGUACAAAAGAUCUCAUAAAGUCCACGUAAUAAGUGUUAAAUAUCAAAUGAUGACUAUUUUAUGAAUGAAUUGUAAUCUAUAUUAAAUAUACAUAAACCCGUAUAUGAUACUAUUGUGAAUGUGACGAUAAAAAGAUAAAAUGAUUGUUAUUUGAAUCUUUGAUGACCUAACUAACUUCAUCUGAAAUUAUAUUCCUAGGUACUGCUGUUUUCCUAUUCUACAAAAUAUACCACUAACAUUAUCUAACCUGUUUUGUUAAGUUAUUUUGACUGUUUUCCUAUCCCAAUAAGAGUUGAAAACCUAAUAGCCAUCGGAAAGUAACCAAGACGAAGAAGCAAUAUAGAGAUUACAUGUUCACAAUCACACAUUUGACAAUCCGAUAUAGAAUGUCUGAGAAACAGAAAACCAAAGGGAAAAGAAACAGACAAUUCGAAAUGAAAUGAGCAGAGAUUAUUAUGUGAAUGUCAUAGCAAAUUAAGCACCGGUGAAGCUUGGUGGUUUGUAGGCGAUGAAACUGAUGCACUGAACUUGACGGUUGUUGUCAAAUCCGAUGAUCCUGAUGAAAGCGUUAGGGUACUCCGUUUUGCAUUCUUGGACUUCCUUCAACACUUGAGCAGAGUCAGUGCAUCCGAACAAGGGAAGCUUCCACAUUGUCCAGUAACGUCCAUCAUAGUAUCCGGGUGUGCUUCCGUGCUCACGGUACACAAAUCCAUGCUAUACAAACAUGAGAGUACCAUUCAUAAUAAGAAUUCACAUGGUCUAAUAAAGGAUGUUUAGAUCCAAAAAUUAUUUUUUCUUUAUUACCUCCAACUCGAAUUCAACACAAGGAAUCCACUUGUUGCGGAGAAGGUAGUCGACUUCCUUACCCAAUUCAACUUCGGUAAGGUCAGGAAGGUAAGAGAGGGUCUCAAACUUCUUCUUUCCAACUGGUGGCCACACCUACAAAUUAAAUCACAUUUCCAGUUGGUGAAUACUAAGUCACGUUUGUAUAUAUUGUUUUGGACAUUAAUUGAUCCUAGGUACGUUAUAUACAGUUUUCAAUGGGAUUCAUGUUCGAAUGCACCAGUUACGUGUAAUAAAGGACAGGCCUGCAAUUAUUCUAGAUGGCCACACCUACAAAUUAAAUCACAUUUCCAGUUGGUGAAUACUAAGUCAAGUUUGUAUAUAUUGUUUUGGACAUUUAUUGAUCCAAGGUACGUUAUAUACAUUUUUCAAUGGGAUUCAUGUUCGAAUGCACCAGUUGCGUGUAAUAAAGGACAUGCCUGCAAUUAUUCUAGUGAUAUUUACCUUCAUGCAGCUAACUCUUCCUCCGUUGCUUGCAAUGGAAGUAAUGUCGUUGUUUGCUUUGCGGGUGACUGGGAAUGCAGCGGAUGACUUCAAGCCGGUGAAUGGAGCGACCAUGGUGGCUUGAGCCGGUGAGGUAACCACAGCAGCGGAGGAAAGCAUAGAGGAAGCCAUUACUACUUCUUCUUCUUCUUCUUUUCUCUUAACUUACUUGUUUGUCUAUCGCUUUGGUUAUCUAUAUAUAACGAGAACCGCAAGAGGAAAAGGCCCUAAUAACCAGAGGGUCCAGAUUUCAUGAUAACGUCGUUAACUGCCACAUGAUUAAAGAAAGGUGUUGAGACCCUUAUCGAUACUGACCACUAUGUUAAGGCCACGUGGCAGAAAUGCUAUUAUCUUAUCUUGCAUUAAAAUGUAUGAAUGUGUAUAUAUGGUUACUGAUUUACUGCUGGCCUCCACUUGUUUAUGAGUAUAAAUUACUAAAACUGUUAAAAGUUUCACAUUCAAAUUUUGUGAUCUAUGAUUUAAAACUUUUGUUAUGACAAUGAUACAAAUAAUUAAAAAUAAUAUAAGUUGAAAGUCUCAUUUAAUAAGUAUCAAAAAUAAAAGAUAUAUAAAUAUAUGUAUCAUUUUAAAUUAAACUAUAUGCCACAUAUAAAAAUACAUAAAUAUUUUAAUUUUGAAAUUUACUUUGAACAUUUUUUUGAUAAAAAAUUGAAAAACUAUUGACAACUUAAUUUUUUAAAAUAUUAUAAAUUACUUAAACCAUUAAUCCCACAGUGAAAAUUUUGUUAUCACUAAUUUAGACUUUUUUCUAUAACAUAUACAAAUGAUAGAAAAAAAUUGAGCAAAAAGCAUCAUUAAUAAAUAUUAAUAUUAAAAUAUACCAUAUAUAUGUUACUAUCAUUUAAAUUUAAAUAUAUCAUAUCAAAUAGAAAAAAUAUUUUUUCGAUUUAUAAAAUUUAUUUAUAUGUUCACACCAAUUUAAUUAUAUAAGUAGUAGAUAAUUAAUUUUUAAUUAUUCAAUAUAUAUUUAUUAUUUCAUAAUAUGUUAUAAACAUAUAAUAUAUAAAAUCAUUUAUAUAUAUAAUGUUCAUCCCGCGCAAGACGCGGGUCUUAACCUAGUUUAGUAUUAUAACUAUUACAAGUUAUGAGCUACUUAGUUGUGAGCAAGGAGUACACUGUUAAUGCUAACGUCGAUAAACGAAGAAGGGAAACAAUACUAUAUAGUGGGUCCCAUUGGUAACUGAACACGGUAGUUAAACUGUAAGUCUGUCUGGGUUUAAAAAAGCGUGCUAAGGCGUCGCUAAGGCGUCAGGCGACCUUGGUUGGGAGGGUCACCGCCUCGAGGAGGUGAAGCAAGGCGAAUUCGAGUAAGCGUUGCUUCAACCUCGCUUCAAGCCACAUUUCACGCCUCACGCCUUAUCACACUUCAUCGCUUAUGCAACUAAAGGUAAGAUUCCUAUCACAAGUUAUUAACAUAUAAUAUUCACUUUCUUUUAAUGGUUUCCAAAACUUCAAUUCACUUCAAACUAUUUAGUGUCUUUACAUUUUUGAAUAGAUAUUUUCAUGCGUGAAUCUUAUCCAAGUCUAUAUUCUUUUUUUCUGGUUCUAUAAAUCUUUUGUUUCUAAAGCUUUGAAGACUUAGGUUUAUGUUUAGUUUCUUUUAAUUAUUUGUUGGUUUGAUUCUCUUUUUUUGAAGACUUUAUUGGAUCAAUUCUCUGUUUUAUUCUCUGUUUAUGAAUACUUAUUAACUCAAGUCUGUAACCAUGAAUUUAACACGGCCAUAUGAAAUAUGAUAAUCAAUGUUUUAGAUCCAGAGUAAAAGAUGAAUUCAUAAACCAUGCUAUUUAUUGUCUACCCACUUUUUAAACUUAGGUAUUAGCAGCAAUACCUUCUUACCCAAUGGUAUUCCCUAUUUUAUGUGUAUAUAUCCAGAAAUAGAUAGAACACUUACUUAUAGAUAAUUUUGUAUAUCUGAAAAGCGUAAAAUGAUAAAUUGUUCAGAGGAAUUAACGGGCAUUUCGUAGACACUAUUAGGCAUGCGGAAAUAGAAGACCAAGCUUGCUUUGAGGCUAAUAUCAAAAAAAGGUGAAGGAACCUGAGGAACGACAUAGUCCAUCAUCUAUCCGAGCCAUAAGCUUACAAGAAAUUUGUAUGCUUGAUAAAUCAUGGACUCAUGAAUAACUCUUUAUUGGUUUUGGAUGGGCUUAGACAAAUUCGUCAUGACAAAUUCAACUUUUAGGAGCUAAAAAUCAGACGAGAAGUGUGUUACCGAUAUAUUUAGAGCUUAUGGCCAUUUCUUGGGCUACCGAAUGCAUGUUACAAAUGUCGAUGUGCCAACACUUUAGUACAUAUUGCAAGGACCUCGUCUCGAUGAUACAAAAUCUAACUUUUCAAUGGAGAUAAAAGAACUUUCAAGAUUGAUGAGUAGAUUUUUGUAGAUUUAUCAAUUGUUUAUCACCCUUGUUCUAAAAAAAAAUAAGCAGACUCAUUAGCUAAGAUAGCAAAAACAUAUCACAGAGAUUUGUAUUUUAUUGGUUCUUAUAUUUUGCUAUAGUUACCUAGACCACCUUAAAUUUAAGUACUAGAUCAGCCGUUUGAAAUUAAAAAUGGUUGUUAAACUGUUAAAAUGAAAAAAGUGAAUUGGUACAAAAAAAAAACUAAUAGAGUAGAAACUCUAUAAAUUAAUACUCAAUAAAUUAAUAGACACGGGUAAAUUAAUAUUUUUUCAAUCCCGAAUUGAACUGAUUCAAAAUACGAUACAAAUCAAUAGAGUAAUAAGAUAAUAUUUUUAAAAAAAAAAUCUUAUGUAAAAAUAUGGUCCUAUUAAAAGCAUAAAUUUAUAUAUAUAUAUAUAUAUAUAUAUAUAUAUAUAUAUUCAUAUAAAUAAAAACAAAAGAUAAUAUUGUUUAAUUUAUAUUAACAAUAGAAUUCAUCUCUAUUUUUUCUUAACCUUCAAUAUAUUUUUGAUAAUAUUUAGUAAAAUAUAUCUAAAAACAUUUAGACAAUAGAAAAACAAUAGAACAAUAGAAAAAUCAAUUUUCUAAAAUUUAAUUAAUAUAUAAACAGUAAGAUCUAGAAAGGAAAGUUUUAUAAAUCAAUAACUCUACAUAUUAAUAACUCUAUAAAAUAAUAAAAUAUCCUAAUAUUAACAUUAUUAAUUUAUGGAGUUUUUCUUGUAUCAUGAGAUACACGACAUACUAAAUAUAUUAUGGUCUUAUAUAAUAUUUAUCAUUUAAAUAUAUACAGUAUAUGUUUUUACUAAAUAUAUAAUAAUAAAAUAGUUAUAGUAUAUUUUAUAAUAAUUUUAGAUCUUUAAUAUAUAAAUAUAAUUACUUUUCACAUUUUUCAUACUAACCACAAACAUUAAUACUCUCACCAAUAUGAAUAACCUGACACACUAAAAUAACCAUUUAUUUGGUAAAUUCUCAACAACAAAAAACUAUUAUAGCUUACUCCAUCACGUCUAAGGUUUGUCUGGUUCAAACGCAGCGGUUGCGGAAGUUUGCAAAUGCGGGUGGUUACGGUUUUUAGCGGUUUUAAGAGAUUUGUACGAUUGGUUCUGCGGUUAGAAAUUUGUGCGUUUGCGGGAUAGUUAUGAUUGGUUAAUUACCAAAUGCAGCAGCGGUUAAAUAAUAAAUUAACAAUAUUUACAUUUUAUAUAAUUAUAAAAAUAUCAAAAAUCAUAACAUUAUAUUAAAUAUAAAAAUUAUAUUUAGAAAGUUAUAGUUUUAAAUUUUAAAUAAAAUAUAAUAGAUAUAUUUUAGUAUUUUUAUAAUUCCAAUUUAAAAUAUUUAUUGAAUAUUUUUAUUUUGUAUUUAUAUUGUUUUAAAAAAAAACAUUUCCUCCCGUAACUGCCUGCAACCGCAGCUGGAACCAGCUUUUAAACUUAUGAGGUUUAAAAUGGUUUGAAGCGGUUUAUAGCGGUUUGAGUAAGCUUCAUAAAUUAAUAUAUAUAUAUAUAUAUAUAUAUAUUCAUAUAAAUAAAAACAAAAGAUAAUAUUGUUUAAUUUAUAUUAACAAUAGAAUUCAUCUCUAUUUUUUCUUAACCUUCAAUAUAUUUUUGAUAAUAUUUAGUAAAAUAUAUCUAAAAACAUUUAGACAAUAGAAAAACAAUAGAACAAUAGAAAAAUCAAUUUUCUAAAAUUUAAUUAAUAUAUAAACAGUAAGAUCUAGAAAGGAAAGUUUUAUAAAUCAAUAACUCUACAUAUUAAUAACUCUAUAAAAUAAUAAAAUAUCCUAAUAUUAACAUUAUUAAUUUAUGGAGUUUUUCUUGUAUCAUGAGAUACACGACAUACUAAAUAUAUUAUGGUCUUAUAUAAUAUUUAUCAUUUAAAUAUAUACAGUAUAUGUUUUUACUAAAUAUAUAAUAAUAAAAUAGUUAUAGUAUAUUUUAUAAUAAUUUUAGAUCUUUAAUAUAUAAAUAUAAUUACUUUUCACAUUUUUCAUACUAACCACAAACAUUAAUACUCUCACCAAUAUGAAUAACCUGACACACUAAAAUAACCAUUUAUUUGGUAAAUUCUCAACAACAAAAAACUAUUAUAGCUUACUCCAUCACGUCUAAGGUUUGUCUGGUUCAAACGCAGCGGUUGCGGAAGUUUGCAAAUGCGGGUGGUUACGGUUUUUAGCGGUUUUAAGAGAUUUGUACGAUUGGUUCUGCGGUUAGAAAUUUGUGCGUUUGCGGGAUAGUUAUGAUUGGUUAAUUACCAAAUGCAGCAGCGGUUAAAUAAUAAAUUAACAAUAUUUACAUUUUAUAUAAUUAUAAAAAUAUCAAAAAUCAUAACAUUAUAUUAAAUAUAAAAAUUAUAUUUAGAAAGUUAUAGUUUUAAAUUUUAAAUAAAAUAUAAUAGAUAUAUUUUAGUAUUUUUAUAAUUCCAAUUUAAAAUAUUUAUUGAAUAUUUUUAUUUUGUAUUUAUAUUGUUUUAAAAAAAAACAUUUCCUCCCGUAACUGCCUGCAACCGCAGCUGGAACCAGCUUUUAAACUUAUGAGGUUUAAAAUGGUUUGAAGCGGUUUAUAGCGGUUUGAGUAAUUAUUUCAAAACGCCAACAACCGCUACCAACCGCAAAAAUUUGCAUUUACGGGUGGUACUGGGGAAACCGGUCAUACUCUGGCCCAGUUUACAAGACCUGGGGAAACUACUUAUCAUGUUAUCUUAGAACUUCUCCCAACACUACAAAUGUGGUUCUUUCGAUCGAACCAUAUUUUUAACGCUGAUUUAUUAUGAUAUUACAAUUAUAAAAAAAAGUUACAUAAAUGAUUUUACAGCCGACAAUACUAUAUGUUUUAUGAGAAUCUAUGUCUAAGUGUUUUACCUGAGUCGUUUUAUAAAAAUUCACACAUGGUCGAGUUUACUGCAAAAUUGUGAAGAUCUCUUUUAAACCUUUUUUUCUUAGUUGUUUAAUAUAUUAUUCUUUCGGGAAUUGAAUUUAGAUCUACUGGUGUAAAAGCGUUAAUGAAUCAUUAGUCAAACUAGUGGACUAAGAGGCUUCCACCGGUAAAACCAUCUUGUCCUACUUUUUAUAAAUUUGUAGAGUUAAUACCAAUAUGAAUUACCUUUUUAAAGAGAAAAUUAAUAUUAAUUAGCUGUGUGAUGAGAGAUACUUUUAUUUAUAUAUAAUUUAAUUUAUUUCAAAUGCAUGCAAUAAUAAACUAUUCAAAAGUAUGUGUAGUUUGGCUUUUUUAGCUUAGGUUUUCAUUUUUUUCUUAACAAAUAUAUUAUAUUUAUGAAAAAUAGUGUUUACGGUGGAGAUUUGUUUUUCCUAUUUUCUGAGAGUCAAAAACAUGGAACCGCUAUAUUUGGAAAAAUAUAUUAUAUACUAUUUCUAUUGGUUUUCCUAGGAUUUUGAUGUAGCCGCUCUAUACCUUUUUGAAGAAAAUGUUUUUUGAAAUUUCUUCAGAACAAGUAUAAAUACUGAUAAGGUGAUUGACGCAAUGUCAUUGCAGGAGAAGGGAAUUCCUUUUAACCUACCAGACAAUGCCCUAAUGCAGAGCAAAAGGUACAAGAUCUGUAUCAUGGGUAAAACCUUAAAUCCAGAGAGCCAGAAGAUUAGUCAUCUGAUUAUGGACAAGCCAAGGAAGUGACGAGUUUAUGACAGAGUAAGAGAGAUUGGAAGUUCACUAGGAGGAAUUGAGCUUCAUACUGUUUUUUUUUUCCUCAGGGUUGAGAAUGCUUAAUGUAGGUGGCCUAUAUGAUCUUCUACUUCCAGAAAGUUGACGAGCAUAUCGUUCAUGUAAACUUCUAUGGUCUGUCUGGUCUGUUGUGCAAACAACAUGUUUAUCUGUUUACAAUAAGUGGAGCAGGCAUUCUUUAAGCGAAAAGUCAUGACCUUGCAGUAAUAGAUUGCCUUCUGACAUCAUGAAGAAAGUUUUCUCAUGAUCGUCUGGAUACUUGAGUAUUUAGUUUUAUCGGGAAAAAGCGUCUAUGAAGAUAUCAGCUAGUAUUAUAUUGUUACGUCAUACUGUUGCGUCGACUAUGUGAGACAAAUAUUGCUUGUAAUACUUUUUCAUAUAUGUUUUAUUAUAUAUAGUUUUGUAAUUCUUAUUAACUUCAAACAAUCUUAAGGACUAUAAUUGCAAAUAAUUUCUUUUUUAAGAAAAUAUUUUUUUUAUCAUUGGUGAAAGUCACCCUUAAACCUCAAAUUUAAAGUUAACUAAACUUUAAAAGUAACAUUGCUCUUAGAAAUGCUCUAAAAGUAACAUUGCUCUUAGAAAUGCUCUUAGUCAAAUAGAGUAAGUUUUGGGUUUGAAAGUUUGGAAAAACUUAGGGUAUCCUAUUGGUAAUUACUCAUUUAUUAACUUCUGUAACAGUAACCAAUUGAGGCAAGGACAGAAAAACCAGAAGAAAUGAGCAUUGCGUUGUCAUCGAUCUCAUGCUUCGUCUUCUAAAGAAUAAUAUUUUAUGUUAACUUGACGAUUGUUUCUUUUCCUCUAUAUCUAAUUAUCUACUGUAGUUAAACAAUACGGCCAAUCUCUUUAAUUGACUUGAUCUAAUAAAUGAUUCUAGCCUUUAACUUGAGGCAAUCUAAAUAGAAUAAGAAAAACCAGAAGAAAUGAGCAUUGCGUCUUCAUUCUUCUCAUUCUUUGCCUUGCAGACAAAACACGACCUCUAUAUGAACGGAAUAUGCCUGGCUUAAUUGCUUCAUUCAACCUUCAAAGAUUAUCUAUAAAUGUGCAAGUAUUUAUGUCUGGUGUAUAACAGUUACUUCUUCGAAUCAUGUCAUUGAGUGUGCCAAUAAGACGGACCGAUGGUGCACCCAAUGGCGCAUUCAGGACUUUUGGCCUCUACUGGUGCUACCACUGUCAUCGUACGGUCAGGAUUGCAUCAUCAAACCCAUCAGAGAUCGCGUGCCCUCGAUGCUUAAGGCAAUUCGUUGUGGAGAUCGAGAUGAGACGGCCUCGGGUGACUUUCACUCAUGCCGCUCCACCUUUAGAUGCUUCUCCUGAGACACGCCUUCUCGAAGCUCUGUCCCUCAUGUUUGAUCCUCCAAUCAUAGGUAGAUUCGGUGAAGACCCAUUUCUCAGGGCAAGGUCCAGAAACGUGGAACACGAACCAACAACACCCCUACCGCACCAUCGUCGACGCCACAGCCUUGACAAUAAUAACGAUGGCAGUUUACCUCCACCAAGAAGAACAUAUGUAAUACUACGGCCCACUGAUCCAACCAGUCCACUUGGAAACAGGAUUGAGCCAGCACCACGCAGGCGUAUGAACCCACAUGAUUUCUUUACUGGAGGAUCAGGUUUAGAACAGCUGAUCGAACAGCUAACGCAAGACGAUAGGCCUGGACCACCACCUGCACCAGAACCCACCAUCGACGCCCUACCGACGGUAACGAUCACAUCAAAACAUCUAACCAACGACACGUCCCAAUGCACGGUGUGCAUGGAGGACUUCGUUCCUGGCGGGGAAGCUACCGAACUACCAUGUAAACAUAUAUACCAUAAAAACUGUAUAACUCCAUGGCUAAGGCUUCACAAUUCAUGCCCAAUCUGCCGCCGUGAUCUGCCUCCUCCGGUCAACAACACCGUUACAGAUUCUCAGGAAAGGAGCGAUUCUACUAGAGAAGAGAUACCUGAAAGAAGGCGCCCUAGAUGGAUGCAGUUCUGGAACAUUGGGCCUUUUAGAGCAAGGUAUCAGAGGGUUAGUCCAGAAGAAACAGCGCACAGGAAUACUCGAGGUAACAGGAGCUAAAAAAAAAAAAACUGAAUAUUUCAGGGGAAACAAAAAAAAAGUGUAUCAUUUGCUAAGAACAUAUGUAUAGAAGCUGUCCGAAAAAUAAUAAUAAUAAUAAUAAACUCUGGCUAACGUUUCACCUUUCAUGCUAGGGGUAACAGAACUAUUUAAAUGAGAAAGACAACUAAACUUAUAUCUCUGAUUCUUCCUGCAGCUCAGUUGCAGUGGCGUCACUGUAAUAUCCUAUAGCUUCUUGGACUCGUCCAUUACCCAGAGGAAAGAAAAUGCAGUGAGCAAUUGAGGAAAUGUAGAACAUAACACUAAAACAUAUAUUAAUGACUGGUUUUUAAAUGCACAGAAGCUUGCUAGAGAUUUCACACAUGGCAUGUCCCAUCUGUUAUCUGCAAAUUCAAAGGAAUAAUACCAAAUAACAACCACUACUUUGGAUUCCAAAGUAACAAGUUCCAAUCAGAAUAUAAAAUUCAACAAACAUAAUACGCAAAUUUCGCAUCGCUGCAAAAACUAGCUUAUAGGAGAGUAGGAAACCCAAAUAAAAGUUGAGUAGAUUCAACAAAAAGAGAUGACUCUAUUUGCAGUAGCGGUCGGCCUUCUUCUUGACCCGAUCGUCGAGAGCCUCCGCCACCGAAUCGAAGUUCGAUUUAGGAACGUAACCGAACUUCUUCGCCUCCACGGGGAAAAGCUCAUCGUACUUCCUCUUCUUCGCGGCGUCGAUUGAAUAGAUAUCGUUGUCUUUACCAUCUGCUGCGGCGGAGGAAGUGGCCGGACCGUCGUCGGGAGUCAUCUUUUCAACAUUGGGGGCGGCGCCGUCGUCGAGCUUAUCCUUGUUCUUCUUCUUCUUCUUUGGCUUCUUCUUUUUGAUGGUGGCUAGAUCGCCUCCUUUAAACGCUAACCUUCCACCCUUCGCCCUCUCGUAAGGAUCCGACAUCGCUUAGAUUCGGCACCGCUAUUCUCUCUCUCUCUCUCUCUACGGAGUUUUUUCUUUGUUAACUAAAAGCAGAAGGCCGCCCUUGUUUUAUAUUUUGUUCAGAGCCGCGGCUCUUAUUAAUUAUUAUCACUAGGGAUAUAUAGGAUAUCCGAAUCCAGAUCCAGCAAACAUUAACCCAGAGGCCCGAACCCAUGUUUGGAUACUUGCUAGACAUUCCUCCUUUGUUUGGGCUGGGUUUAGCCCUAAUAAAAGAAAAACGCAGAUUAUAUAAACUAACCGACGAUUUCUUUAGUACAUUUUUAAAACUCUAUAAAUUAAUAUUCCCUCCAUCUCAAAAAGAUAAAUAUUUUUUAAAAAAAUAUUUCAGUUAGUACAUUUUUUUAUAUUUUCAAUGCGUAAAUUAAUUGUAAAUUGUAAAUUGUAAAUUGUAAACUUCAAAAAACAAAAUUGUGUUUACUAAAGUUUUAUUGGUUACAAGUUGUGGGGAAUAAUUAAUUACAGAAAUUAAUAUAUUGGUAAUUUAAAUCUGAUAUGUUUUCUUAACAAGUGUGAAAAUAUUAAAAUAUACAUCUUUCUGAAACAUAAUACUAGAUAAGUUAAUAAAUUUUACCAGUUUUGAGUUACAUCAAUGUAAAAUAUAACACAAUUCAGUAAGAUAAUAAGAAAAUAUUUUUUAAGAAACUUUAUAUAAAUAUAUGGUCCUAAGAAAAACAAAAAUGAUAUUGUAUAGUUUUUUAUUCCCAAAGAAGUUUAUAUGUAAUUUUUCUUAUUUUUUCUAAAUAUAUUGAUGUUAUUUUAUCAUUUUGCACGUAAAAUCUAUUCAUAUUUAUUAUAUCUAUUUUAAUACACUAAAUAAUCGAAUAAGAACAACUCAAAAAUGGUAUAUAUAAAAUUUAGUCAAUAUAUUUAAAUUCUAGUGUUGACAAGUCAUACUAGAAUCAUUUAAUUAAUUAUUUACAUUAAUCAAUCAAAUAUUAAUAUAUUUUUGUUAGAGAAAUAAAUAAUAUUCAUAGAAAGUAUUAAUUAUAAAUAAGAAUAUAAAUAAUAAAUUAAUUUUAACUAUAAAUUUGAAUUUUGUUUUUAGUUAUGACAAAAUAUGUUGAGAAAAAAUCUAAUAAAAUCCUACUGAAAUUUCAAAAAUAUUUUUUAGAAAAUAGUGCAUUAAUUAAUUCUGUAAUUAGUAAUAUAAUAUUAUUAUAAAUUAAUAUUAAUUAAUUUUUAAUAUAAAAAUCUAUGCUAUUUGAUAAAUUAUAAUUGUAGAUUAUAUUAUCUUAAAAUAGAAUUACUAUAUAAAUUAAAUAUGACAAAAUUCUGUUAAAAUUGGUAAAUCAACAGAAUUCACCAAUUUAACAGAAUUGUUUUAACUCCACUGCCUGCCAUAACUGUCUUAUUUCGAAAAUGAUUUGAAUUUUUUAGAGAAUAUAUAAGGAAAUCUCCAAUCUUAUCAUCAUGCUUAUCUUAGGUAUGGUGCGUCCACAAACGCGUCUAUCAUAGAAUUCAAGUGUGUCAACUGUCAUCCUCUCUUCAGGGAUUAACUAUCCGUGUGAGUGAGAGAUUUACAUGCAUACGUUUUUUCUAGAAAAUCACUUUGAUAAGUGGAAAGUUUCGUUAACUUUUCAAAACAAUUAUAACAUCCAUAUGCCUCCGAAAAAGAAGAAAAAAACUCGUAAUCUCCUCCGGGGCUCUUCGAAGAUGGCCCGUCUCCAAGGAGCGUUGAAACCCUCCACUUCGGUCCGGUCGUUACAACAGUCGUCUCUCGCCGGCGCUUCAAGCGCUGAUGCUGUAAUUGCUGCUUCGGUGGCACCCACGACUGAGGUUUCGCCGUCGACCCCUGAGGUCUCUGUAGAUCUGAGUUUGGGUCACCUACCACUACCGCUAGCUCCUGUUCUUGAGUUUGGCAAUUCAUCACCUCUCACGCCAUGUGAGCUUGACGUUACCCCUACAGUAUCGGAGGAGGUAACUCCUGACGCUACAAUAGAGGUUUCCCUUCCAAUCCAGGAAGUGGUUAGUAGAGACAUCCCUCAUGGAGCCCUGCAGAAGGCUGCUACCCUAGGGGAGUACUCUGGAACUAAGAGCUACGCCAGUUUAGUCAAGGACUNNNNNNNNNNNNNNNNNNNNNNNNNNNNNNNNNNNNNNNNNNNNNNNNNNNNNNNNNNNNNNNNNNNNNNNNNNNNNNNNNNNNNNNNNNNNNNNNNNNNUCCCCGCUCCCUCUCUCCCCGCUCUCUCUCUCUCCCCGCUCUCUCUCUCCCCGCUCUCUCUCCUCUCUCUCUCUCCCCUCUCUCUCUCUCCUCUCUGCUCUCUCUCUAUCUCUCUCUAUCUAUAUAUAUAUAUAUAUAAUAUGAUAAAAAUAUAUAUACAAAAUUACUCUAAAAAAAUCUAUAAAAAAAAAGGAAAAAACGAAGAGAUUUGGUAAAACUUUCAUAGUUCCUAAUCGGCAAAAGAAGAAGAUGCCUGGGAAUGAUCGUCGACCUCUUGUUGUCUCUGGCAACAAGCUCUUAACACCUGAAUCACAGAUCUUAGAAAUCAGACAAUGAUUUUCGCUAAACAAAAAUCAGAUCUGAAUAUAGAGACUUUUACUUCUUCAGCAGCGUGGAGGACGGCGGCCAUGUAAACCGGGAGCUCCACCACCAAGUCUUUGAGCCUUUCUUCAGGAAACGAGUGAUUGGGCUCUGAUCGAUUUCGAAACCGGUUUGGUCUCUGUGCCACCGGCUGGUUCUUCCUCUGAAACCAUUCUUCACUAUUUCCGGCGGUGAAGAGAUUACAACAGAGAGAGAGAGAGAGAGAGAGAGAGUGGAAGGAGGUUUGUAUUUUGACAUUAGCGGUCUUCUUCGGACAUGGAUGUAAUCGGAGAAGAAAGAAGGUUUGUUGUCUGAUUAUAGAUAGUGUUUUUGAGUUUGGUUUGGUUUGUUGUCUGAUUUAAAGUGUUUUUGAGUUGGUGUGUUGUAAUAUUUAUAGAGAAGCUAGCGACUUUCGUAACGGCUAUAUUUCUCUUAAAGGUUUGAGUCGGGUCUCGAUCGCCACAAAACGCGUGCGUUUUCUCCUAACGGUAAUAAUGUUGGAAUCGAACCGGUCUUGCAACCACCACCUAAACCGGUCUUCUUUAACGACUCUCCAGGCCCAAAUUCAAAGCCUUUGGCCCAACAAGUUAGAUACAGCCAUUGGGAGGCGGUGGAGGCUACAGACUAUACCAACAAUGAACUUGGGGGAGGAGUAAAGAUUCGAACUUUUUUCCUCUUUCUCCACAUCUUUGGAAAGAAACAGAGAAUGGAUCCAAUAGAGGAGGAGGAGAAGAAGGUGAGAGAGAGAAUCAGAAACAAAGUCAACCAAGUCAGUUCUGUCUCGCAGUCUCUUCUCUCUCCAUUACAAGACCACAUCAACUUCACCCUUCAGGUUACUUUUUAACUCUUUCUUUGUCGGAACAAAGUUAGUUUUCACAUACCCUUUUACUCUGUUUUUCUCCCCUGUAGUUGCUAAACGGUUAAAGUUAGAUUCUUUGUGUAUAUUUUGUUAGUUCUGAGAUUAUGUAAAAAGUGUGUUUUUUUGGGAUUGGUGCAGAAAGCUUACUUCAAAUGUGCGUACGAGUGCUUUGAUAGGACAAGAACACACGCUGAGAUUAGCCAAUGCGCAGAGACUUGCAGUGCUCCCAUCACAAACGCUCAGAAUCAUUUUGAUAAUGAGAUGUCUGUGUUCCAAGUAAAUCUCUUAUAUUCAUUCUAAUAAUUGCAUAAGGAUUAGUGAUUGAAAGUCUGAAACUUUCAAUGAAGAUAGUGUUGGUUGUUGUCUCUUGUUGAUAAUCACUUAACUGAUGAAUGUAGGAGAUGUUGAAUAGAUCACUUGUGGCUUGUCAAGAUAAGUUUGAGGCUGCGAAGCUCCAGAGGACGAGGAAUGAAGCUGUAGUUGGUUUGGAGCAGUGCGUGAACCAAACCGUUGACGACGCUGUGAAGACGCUGCCUAGUCUCGUGUCAAAGAUGAAGAAGGCUUUGUCUGUAUCAGACUGAGAAGCUCUGCAGAUUCUAUUAUUUUUAUCGUGACCAAGAAAGACUUUCCGAUUCUAUUAUUUUUAUCUGUUAUUGAUAUUUUUGAACUCAACUCGGCCAAAAUGCAAUACCAACUUCUUCAGAUUCUUUUUAUAUCUAGCAAAGAAAUGAGAUUAUUGUUGAGACAAAUGAGUCCAGGUUAAACUAUUCUCGACGAAUCCAAACUGUAUGGCUGUUGCUGAAUAAUUGUCAAGUGAGACAAUGAUGAGCGAGAUUGCGGUGCGGCCUGUCUCAUCCCAUUCAUCUUCUCUCAAAUAACUCGGGUCGCCAAGCGGUCCCAUUCUCAUCCUCCCCAUGUAUCUGAACUAAGGCCUUUAAGAAAAAAAGAUGUUAGAGAGGAGAUAUAUAAAUAGGGUAAACUUUGUGGAGAUUAAACAAGGUUCCGAUGAGUUUUUUUUGUGUGGGAAGCAAGCAAAUAAAAGUCAAACUGGAUUUAAAUAAGCCUGGAGAAUUGUGCUUAAAAUGACUCUUCCUUUGGAACUAGAACACUGUUACAGUUUCCUAUGUAGGUCUGGUAUGUAAUAAACACAACUUUUAGUGUCUUUCUUGGUCUGUAUAAACGAGCCAAGUUCUUGGGAAUUGAGAUUAAGAAAAAAUAAUAAACAAAGGGUUCCCAUUGUGCCCGUGAGGCUCAAGUCUUGAGUAUGUAACUUUGUAUCAAUUUCAAUCAGCUUUUGGUCUUCAGUUUGUCCUAUUACACCAUGCCAAGAUAACUUGCAGUGCAAGGUGCUGUGUUGGUGACAACAUAUGUAUGUAUUGAUUUGAAUAAUAUGUUCUCCUACUAAAAGAUUUAGUUCACAACUGAUGUAUGUAUUCUAAGAUUGAUUUCUCUUUAUAGAUGUCAUUCUAACUUCAUAAUUGAUAAGAAUAAAACUAGUAUUCUCAACUAUAUAUUGUGCCUUGCCACAAUAUGAAGCUUCUGAUUCUAUCACAAAUGCACAGAACUAUUUCAAUAACGAGGUGUUUGUGUUUCAAAUCAGUCUAUAUGCUACGUUUAGAGUUAAUAAAAAAGUAAAUUUGAAAACUUAAAUGAAUACUGAAAUAUUAGUGAUUGAUGUUUGAAACUUUGGUUUUAAACGAGUUUAUGAAGUUACCAUGUGUUGUCUCUUGGAUAAUUGAUAUAAGAAUAAUUGCUUAGUUUAAUUACUACAUAUCGGUAGACCAUAUUCAAGUUUUUGAAUUUUUUUACUUAAAACAUGUAGGAGAGGUUGAAUAAAUCUGUACAUUAGCGGUCUUCUUCGGACAUGGAUGUAAUCGGAGAAGAAAGAAGGUUUGUUGUCUGAUUAUAGAUAGUGUUUUUGAGUUUGGUUUGGUUUGUUGUCUGAUUUAAAGUGUUUUUGAGUUGGUGUGUUGUAAUAUUUAUAGAGAAGCUAGCGACUUUCGUAACGGCUAUAUUUCUCUUAAAGGUUUGAGUCGGGUCUCGAUCGCCACAAAACGCGUGCGUUUUCUCCUAACGGUAAUAAUGUUGGAAUCGAACCGGUCUUGCAACCACCACCUAAACCGGUCUUCUUUAACGACUCUCCAGGCCCAAAUUCAAAGCCUUUGGCCCAACAAGUUAGAUACAGCCAUUGGGAGGCGGUGGAGGCUACAGACUAUACCAACAAUGAACUUGGGGGAGGAGUAAAGAUUCGAACUUUUUUCCUCUUUCUCCACAUCUUUGGAAAGAAACAGAGAAUGGAUCCAAUAGAGGAGGAGGAGAAGAAGGUGAGAGAGAGAAUCAGAAACAAAGUCAACCAAGUCAGUUCUGUCUCGCAGUCUCUUCUCUCUCCAUUACAAGACCACAUCAACUUCACCCUUCAGGUUACUUUUUAACUCUUUCUUUGUCGGAACAAAGUUAGUUUUCACAUACCCUUUUACUCUGUUUUUCUCCCCUGUAGUUGCUAAACGGUUAAAGUUAGAUUCUUUGUGUAUAUUUUGUUAGUUCUGAGAUUAUGUAAAAAGUGUGUUUUUUUGGGAUUGGUGCAGAAAGCUUACUUCAAAUGUGCGUACGAGUGCUUUGAUAGGACAAGAACACACGCUGAGAUUAGCCAAUGCGCAGAGACUUGCAGUGCUCCCAUCACAAACGCUCAGAAUCAUUUUGAUAAUGAGAUGUCUGUGUUCCAAGUAAAUCUCUUAUAUUCAUUCUAAUAAUUGCAUAAGGAUUAGUGAUUGAAAGUCUGAAACUUUCAAUGAAGAUAGUGUUGGUUGUUGUCUCUUGUUGAUAAUCACUUAACUGAUGAAUGUAGGAGAUGUUGAAUAGAUCACUUGUGGCUUGUCAAGAUAAGUUUGAGGCUGCGAAGCUCCAGAGGACGAGGAAUGAAGCUGUAGUUGGUUUGGAGCAGUGUGUGAACCAAACCGUUGACGACGCUGUGAAGACGCUGCCUAGUCUCGUGUCAAAGAUGAAGAAGGCUUUGUCUGUAUCAGACUGAGAAGCUCUGCAGAUUCUACUAUUAUUUUUAUCGUGACCAAGAAAGACUUUCUGAUUCUAUUAUUGAUAUUUUUGAACUCAACUCGGCCACAAUGCAAUAUCAACUUCUUCAGAUUAUUUUUAUUUCAGCUCUUAUUAAACUCUUGAAACACAAUACAUCAUAAAAUUCAUAUCUAGCAAAGAAAUGAGAUUAUUGUUGAGACAAAUGAGUCCAGGUUAAACUAGAGUACUAAAAAAAUCUCACUACUCCUCAUAUUUAUCCUAUUCACACCACGUAAGAUGUAUCUCGCAUAGAAAUUAAUUGAGACCAAACGAUAAGCAUCAUAAUAUCCAAAGAAGCCAUCAAAUUCAUUGCGAUCAAGUACGUAGCUUGUAGUUCAAAGCACAGGAACAAAAACUUACGUGGUGUCUCAUGAGAAUCAAGCAUAGCAAAAGUCUGAAAUUACAUUGAAGAAACCUCAAGUCAUGCAUGAGCUAAGGAUGGGUCACUUACUCUUUGCUUUUGCGAGAAUAUCAUUUUACAAUUCCAUGCAUAAGUCUAAGAGGUUUUAAAGAAGCAAGUCAAGGUGCAUGGUUAUAAGCAUAUGCCGUAGUGAACAAUCAUUCAACCAAAACAAUUAGGUUAAACUGAAAACUGAUUUUUAUUAAAAAAAUGAAAAAGAUGAAAAACUCAUCCAUUAAAGUACGUAGCUUGUAGUUCAAAGCACAGGAACAAAAACUCAACAGUACCAAACGUCUUAGCAUGAAAGCAAACUAAAAAUAUUAAUCAAAGGUUAAUAAGGAACUGAAUAGCUUUAUUAAUCUUGGAGAGUAUACGGUCUUUGAGUUUGGACUUACAACGUCGGCUAGGCUUGACAGGAAAACCGUCGACAAUCUUCGGGGUUUGGUAAUGAAGUCUCGUGGUUGUAUGAUCCAGUGGUUCCAAAGGAAUGAGCUGGUGAUCAUAGGUAGCUCCAAACCUGGUUCUAGGGACUGCGUCAAUGCUGCUUCUAUUGUGAGAGACAUACAUGCCGAUUGAUCUAAGAUAGCAAUAUUUUUUCUCGGCGAAAGACCCAAAUAAACCACCAAACUCACUACGAUCACGUACCCCCACAUCAAUUUCUCUCUUGCAGUCUUUAAGAUGCUCAAAUUUCUUACAAAACGGUCCAUGCUUCCUCUUGUUGGUGUGAAAUGUCAAAGACGUGAUUCUAUGUUGAUAAUGGACUCCACUCAACGCUGUCACAUAUUCAUCGUGUUCCAGUCUCACCUGUAUAUAAGUUGCUUUAACUUCGUCAGAAUACAAAAAAAAAUCUGCGUAUUGUUAACAAGAUCCUACUAAAACUUACUCUUUUGAUGUGUUGACCACCGGAGUAACCGUGCUUUUGAGACUCGACAUGAGCUCCUUCAUGAAAAUAUAUAAACUGGAGAGAUUGUAUGCCAUAGUCGUCGAAAGUAACAUAUAUAUUAGAGAUCAUGUUUUUUCCCAUCUCGUCCCAACUCCUAUCGGUACUAAGACGAGUUGACCCCAUUGGUUCCAGUUUGAACAUCUCUGAAUACCUUUUUGUUUGAUAGUGGUAAAAUAAAUUGUUCUUGUGGGGGGGGGAUACAUAUUUAUAUACUUAUAGGUAAAAAGGCUUACAUAAUUUCUAUAAGAAAACUUCCCAAAUAAAAAAAAAAUGUAUAAAAAACUUCAGAAGAGUAAGUUUACUAAAUUUAAGAUCUAAACCAAAAAUGUAAUCUAAGUCAUUUCCUAAUCUCUUCUUGUUCAACUUUUUAAUUUAUUGUAAUGUAUUUUUUUUCGCUUUUUAUUCGUACCUUCCUCUUUACUUUUGAUUACAUAUAUUCGAAAGUAUUUUUAAUUUUCCUUUUUUCUGCGAGGUUCUUUGCAAACAAGCCAAUACGCCGAUUCUUUAGAAGAUUUGUGGGGAGCAAGCAAAGAAAAAGGUCUAAGUAAAUUCAAGAAUUAACCCUCGAGAGACUCUUCUGUUUAUGUAAAAAAAAAAAAAAAUCCAUAAAGAGAGUUUGUGAAACAAGAAAACUCUAUUAAGGGAAUCAUAUAAAAGAGUCAAGUAGAAAUCUAACUAAUAGCCAUGUCAUGAUCUGGAUUAUUGGGGUUUUACGAGUGAAUCUGCUUGCUAGCUCAGUAACCAUGCAGUACACCUUGUUCUAAAAAUUGGUCUAGUGAGCGUUUAUGCGUCUGCUAGGCCUAGGCAAAUCAUUCAUAACCAAAACGAUUUUUGAAAAAUGCUUUUAACAUCUUGAGUAAUAUACUAAUAUGUCAUAUCAUAUGCAUAUGGGUCAAAAACAACACAAAAGAUAAAAAAAUAAAACCCUUUUAAUUAGCUGAGAGUUAAGAAUUAAAAAGACAACAUUAAGACGACUUCCCUCCAGUAAAACUAAGAGUAAACUAAACAACAAAAUCGAAAAGGCUAACUAUUGAGCGUUGCUUGGUUUAUUGUUUUCACGUUUAACCACCGUGCCGGUCAUUGGAGUGGGACUAACGUAGAUACCAAUCGCUGACAAGUAGUGACUAUUGUAAGUCCCAAAGAAACCACUAAACUCACUUCUAUCACUUAUUGCCGGAUCAAUCUCUAUUGUGGAACAGCUUCUACCACAACCAUCGCUUGAACGUCCAAUAGGCCCGUGCUUCCCACGGUUAGUGUGGAACGUCAAAUUUAUUAUUCCUCCCAUCUUUUCCACUACGCCACUCAAUCCAGUUAUAUAUUCAUCUUGAUUCAGUUUCACCUGCAUGUGUUCAAAAAGAAAAUAAAAAAAAACUUCAUUAGAGGCCAAAGGAAAAGUAAAAGAAGGAUUUUUUUUUUAACGGAUACAAAAACUUACAGUUCGAAAGCUUCCUUCAGAGAAACCAAACGUUUCAGACAAGACUAGGGCUCCAUCCUUCAAGUAGCCAAACUGAACACAUGUAAUGAAUUCGCUGAAAGAAACGAAUAUAUGAGAGAUCAUGGUGUGUCCCUUCUCGUCCCAUCGAGAGUCGGAAGAUGGAACUUUCUUUCCCACUAGUCCUGCCCUAAUCAUCUCUCUGGCUAAUUAUUAUAUUGUCUUUGUUUAUCGGAUGAUGAACUAUUCGUAUGAACAUGUCUAUAUUUUUUUUUUGACAUCGAGCAUGUCUAUUUAUAAUUACACCUUGAGAUUUCGUGUUCCUAAUCUUAUCUACAUUAUGAUUAUUUUUUCUCCUAUUCCUUAUGUGUUUUGGCUCUAAACAUGUAAGUAUUCGUAGAAAAGGAAAGUCAUUAUUAUAACUAGUCAUUUUAUUUUAAAUUGAUAAUUCUAUGACUCAAGGAAUAAUUACGCCUUAUUGCAUUUAUUUUAUUAAAUAAACACCAAAUUGCGUUGCACAUUGUAAAAUGCAAAUAUACAGUUUGACAUAGUGAGAGGGAGAAAACAAGAAAGAAAUACAAAGAAGACGUUCCUUGUAGGUCAAGAAACUACGAGAGGAAAUUCAAAUCUCAGGCUGCAUUUUCUCGCACUCUUCUCGGAUCGACUGGAAAAGCAUUGUCGAGAGGUAACGUUCCCCAAAGCUCGGAAACACAACCUGGCAACAAAGAUUCAUCAACUCACAUAUCAAAGUUCAAUCAAAAUCUGUUCCUCACUCUUUUCACUCAAGAACAGCUAAAAAUUUCACUUGGUUCCCCACUUUGGGAUAAUACUAUAGACAUCUACGCUCCAUGAUCUCUCUUUUUUCCUUUCUGGUCAAAUGGCUAGGGUUCAGUGAGGCCCUUUCUGAUCAAAGGGUUAGUGAGGCAAAGAGAUGAAGCCAACACAAAGAGUAGGUAUCUAAAGGCCUUAAGUGACUAGACGUGUAAAGUACAUCAACUACUUGAGAAAGAAAACAAAGCUCAAGUGCAGUAAGACUAGGCUAAGGUUCCUUCAUGAUUUCUAUCUGCUGCUGUGUUGUAAAUAGAUAAUAACUCAAUAAAUCUAUUUAACUAGUGGUCGGUCACAGAUACAGGACAAGGGUUAGGUGAGGGAGAUGCGAUAUGCCAAACAGGGAAUCGAAUCCUUCUGAUGAAAAGACUUAACAAAUCAAUUCUUAUCACCUACUUCCAUCAAGAAAAGAAGAUAAAGAGCAAAGAUGGAAGCAUUGAGGACUUACAGCUAUGAGUUUCCCGGCAUUUUCAGGUCUCUUUGCGACCUGGAUUGCAGCUGCAGCAGCUGCUCCUGAUGAUAUACCAACCUGAAAAUAGUUCACUAGUCAUUAGAGGGUUUCUCGUAUGCAUUCAAAAGCUGUUAUCCCUCAGAGAUAUUAUGAACAGAAAAAAGACUAACCAACAAGCCUUCUUGUAGAGCUAGUUGCUUUGCAGUUUCAAUAGCUUCAUCACUAGAAAUCUGAUAAGAAAGCAAGGAAAACAUGUAAAUCUUUGUAUCUCAAGACCACAGCUCAGUAAAAGAUAAAAAACUAACAAGAAAAAUAGCACAUGUCUUGUUUUAGAGAACCAACAUAAACAAACAGAUCAUUACCGAUAUGUAUUCAUCUACAACAGUCUGAUCCAGAUUCUUAGGAAUAAAUCCAGCUCCAAUCCCUUGAAUCUUGUGAGGUCCUGCACUCCAAAACACAAGACAAAUCAAUCACAGGCUCAGAGAAUAAUAUCUCAGAGAUGCAAGUAAGCAAAAAAAUCAAAUGCCUCUCUUAACCUGGUUUUCCUCCAGCAAGUAUAGCACUUUCUGUGGGUUCAACACCAAUAACCUAAUACACAUAAACAUCAACUAAAUUAAACAUAAGUUUUCAUACUAUAUAGUUUUUAACAUCCACAUCCUUUGCUAGGUACCUUCAGUUCAGGCUUUCUUUCUUUAAUGAACCGACCAACACCAGUAAUGGUUCCACCAGUUCCAAUUCCAGCAACCAAUAUAUCCACCUUGCCUCUUGUAUCUUCCCAAAUCUCAGGACCAGUAGUCUCGUAAUGAAUCUGCAUAUUCUCCACAUUCAAAAACACUAACAAAUACUUGCAACUUAAAGAACAGGAACCACAGACCUUGGGAUUGGCUGGGUUAUCAAACUGUUGGAGCAUGUAGGAGUUGGGAGUGUUCUUCAAAAUCUCUUCAGCCUUCUGAAUAGCACCAGUCAUGCCUUUGGCAGGCUCAGUCAACACAAGCUCAGCUCCAAACGCCCUCAGAAGAACCCUUCUCUCCAAACUCAUGGACGCAGGCAUUGUCAAGAUAAGUUUAUAUCCCUUUGAAGCAGCGAUAAACGCAAGACCUAUCCCUGUGUUUCCACUUGUAGAUUCCACAAGAACACUCUAGCAAAAAAAAAAAUAUUAAAUCAAAUAAGAGGACUUAUAACACCAAAGAAUGAUGAGCUUUUUUUCACAAUACCUUUCCAGGUGUAAUAAGUCCUUUUUCCUCAGCAUCAGUGAUCAUACUAUACCCAAUCCUGAAACCACCAUAACAACAUAAGCUCAGAAUAAAUUUAUGUGAAGAUGUUAACCCAUAAAUCAAAAUUGGUUACCUAUCCUUGACACUGCAACAAGGCUCCAUGAUCUCAAGCUUAGCAGCAACACUUGCAACACAGCCCUUGACUAUAUUGUUCAAGUACACCAUUGGAGUUUUCCCAAUAAGCUGAAUCAAUACAAAGAUUAGACAAAAAAAGUCAAAGUCAGAGACUUUAUACUCAAUUUAGUUACUGUCUUCCCACAAAGUAAUAAACUUUAUCAACCUGAGCGGCAUUCUCGGCGAUGUUCAGACUUUCAACUCCAGCUUCUACCUUUGCAGACACAGCCUUGCACACAACAUCCUCACACCUCUGGCUCUUGCUCUUGAGAGCAGCCGGUAAAGGACAAAAAGUAGCCGCCUUUGUAGAGGAUAAGGAGAGAGAAGCUAGCUGUGGAGAGUAGUUGAAAGGACGGUGGCGAGAAGUCAACGGGUUAAGGAGGAAAGCAGAGGAAGAUGUAGCAGCAGCCAUGGUUUGAUGAUCUUUCGUCUCUCACUCACUUUCCCAAAAUUGUAUCCACAAAGAGAGAUGCUUCUCUCUCUCCUUUGAAGAGACGAUUCACUGUAGCUUCCAAAACGGCGUCGCUUUGGUAAAAAAACACAGAGGAAAUUAAAAAAAAGAGACUGAGUGACUGACAAUAAACGUUUGUGUUUUGUCUUAAUCUGAUUCUCUCUCACCAACCUAUUAGUCCAAAAAGAGAGGUGAUUGUGGAGCACAUGCUCUUCUUCUUCAUCAUCAUCUGUCCCUACCAAACCCCGAAAGGUCAAGUUCUAAUCUUUGGUUCUUUGCGAUGUUUUGUUGUCUGUGUAGCUGUUAAAGAGAGAAAAGUAUCAAAACUUUCAUUGUAUUAAGAUAUCUCUGUGUGUUCUGUGUUGUUCUGUUCCAUUAGAUCUUUGACUAAUUGUCUGAUUACUAGUUUUCUAUUGAUAAGUAAUGGUGUUUGUUGAUUGACUCUACAGUUUAGAGUUCGCUUGUACUCUCUCAUAAGAACUAAAAGAUGUCUUCAGAGGAGAAUAACCUUAUAGAAAUCUUGGAGGAAGGUCACAAAGUGGACAUAGCCAAGUACAUUGACUACGUCACCACCCCACAAGCCGGCGCCAUAGCAACAUUCUCAGGCACUACAAGAGACACAUUCGAGGGGAAAACAGUUAUGGAGCUGAGGUACGAAGCAUACGUACCAAUGGCAACAAGAUACCUCAGCUCCAUCUGCGCAUCCGCUAGAUCAAACUGGGACAUCCAUAAGAUCGCUGUCGCCCACCGUCUGGGGGCAGUUCCUGUUGGAGAAACCAGCGUGUUCGUGGCGGUCUCGUCUGUUCACCGUGGGGACGGUUUAGAUGCUUGCAAGUUCUUGAUUGAUGAGCUGAAGGCUUCGGUUCCGAUAUGGAAGAAAGAGGUGUAUGCUAAUGGAGAGGUUUGGAAGGAGAAUGCUGAGUUUCUGGAGAAGAGGUUGGAGCUUGCAGAGACAAGAGGCAGUUUAGUGAAGAAACAUGUGGCUGGAGAACAUAAGAGAAGUUGCUGUGGAAGUAAAGUUAGAGUACAAGAAGAUGAAGAUCAUACAGACAUAGCAGGAGAUAACAAAGAGUGAUGUUUGUUUUGCUUUCUCUAGUGUUUUUAAAACCGGACCGACCGGUGGUUACACCAGAUUCUUGAAAAUACAGUAAAACCUCUAUAAAUUAAUAAUGUCGGGACUUUGAAAAUUUAUUAAAUUAUAGAGAUAUUAAUUUAUAAAAAAAUUCUUAUUUAGAUUUUUUUAUUUUAAGAUAUAUGUAUUCUAAAAUAAGAAAAUUAUUUGAUUUUACUGUAUAGAAUUAAUUGUUAUUUUUUGAAAUUUGACAUUUGUAUUAAUUUUAUUAUAUUAUUUGGUGUAUAUACAUAAUAUAUAUUGCAUAAAGUUUAAAAUAUUAAGUGUGAAUAUAAUAUAAAGAUAAUUCCAUUGUGAAUAUAAAACAAACAAUAUAAUAAUAGGUUCUUAUUUAUAUAAAAUAUGUAUACAUAUAAAUUGUUAAUUUAUAAUUUUAAUGGGACUAUAUAAUUAUAUAAAAUAUGAUUAUCUUAUUAUUUUAUAAAUUUAUGUCUAAUUUUGAAUCGGUCUAAGUUGAGACUGGUGAAAUUUAUUCAUUUAUAGAAAUUAUUAAUUUAUCGAUUAUUAAUUUAUUGAGGUUCUACUUAAGCACCAACCUAGAAAUCAAAGGAAAAAAACAACUAGCAAACAAUACGACGUCGUUCACUGAUUCAGCUUCAUAAACUCAUCUUCAGUCAAUGGGCAGUCGGGACAACAUCUAUUCGGUGAUCCUUCCAUAUAUCAUAUCAAAAGCAUGUCUCUCUUCAGACAAGGAGUGAACGGGACAACGACAUCAUUAGCUAAUCCAUUUGCAUUAUUGCAAGAAGCCUGAGCCGAUCCAUUAAUCCUUUGCAAGACGAGAUUCACAUUGCGCAUUACAAUAUCGGUACAUGGUUUCUCCCUACUGCAAUCCAACAUAACCGCCACUUCCGUAUUCGAUGUCCCUUGUAUAUCUUCAUAUCUCACAUUUGAUAUUUCAACUCCAGAUUCCUGUAAUAAAAUUUACAAAUUAAUUGACUCAAUAUAUAUAAAUAAUUAGGGGUAAUAAGAUACGGUUAUUUAAUUUAAUUUUUACCUUUUUAGGGCAAGGUUUGUCAAGACAAUAGUGUUGGUUAAUGAUGAUAGGGUUCUUGACCAUCUUCAUUUUAAUAUGUUGGAAAACAAUGUUUCUAACAAAACUCUUGCUAUAUUUUCCCCAUGUCUUGAUCCUUACUCCGUUAUCCGUUGACGUGAAAUCCACGUUACUCACCAGCACGUUCUCCACUCCUUGCUCGUCCUCUGAUCUUCCAAGACUUCCAAUACUAUGUUGGAGGAUCCACAAACCAAAUUAAGUCGAGAUAUUAAGUAACUUGUGUCACACAAGUUGUGUGGCAAGAAAUGAAUUUUUUUGUUACCUGAUGCCAUGGCCUGGACCGCAUUGAAUGCCUUGUAUAGAAACAUGAGUGGAUCCUGGACCGAUGGAGAUGCAAUCGUCCCCGGUUCCAAUUCUUGAGUUAGUGAUAUUCACUGAGUGAGACUUCCCGAUGUGAAUCCCAUCGGUGUUAGGGCUAUCCGCAUCAGCAAAUCCCUACUGCAAUCCAACAUAACCGCCACUUCCGUAUUCGAUGUCCCUUGUAUAUCUUCAUAUCUCACAUUUGAUAUUUCAACUCCAGAUUCCUGUAAUAAAAUUUACAAAUUAAUUGACUCAAUAUAUAUAAAUAAUUAGGGGUAAUAAGAUACGGUUAUUUAAUUUAAUUUUUACCUUUUUAGGGCAAGGUUUGUCAAGACAAUAGUGUUGGUUAAUGAUGAUAGGGUUCUUGACCAUCUUCAUUUUAAUAUGUUGGAAAACAAUGUUUCUAACAAAACUCUUGCUAUAUUUUCCCCAUGUCUUGAUCCUUACUCCGUUAUCCGUUGACGUGAAAUCCACGUUACUCACCAGCACGUUCUCCACUCCUUGCUCGUCCUCUGAUCUUCCAAGACUUCCAAUACUAUGUUGGAGGAUCCACAAACCAAAUUAAGUCGAGAUAUUAAGUAACUUGUGUCACACAAGUUGUGUGGCAAGAAAUGAAUUUUUGUGUUACCUGAUGCCAUGGCCUGGACCGCAUUGAAUGCCUUGUAUAGAAACAUGAGUGGAUCCUGGACCGAUGGAGAUGCAAUCGUCCCCGGUUCCAAUUCUUGAGUUAGUGAUAUUCACUGAGUGAGAGUUCCCGAUGUGAAUCCCAUCGGUGUUAGGGCUAUCCGCAUCAGCAAAAACUUUAACGCCGUCAAUCUUAACGUUAUUGCUCUGGUCGAUAACUAUAUGGAACUUCUGGCUAUUGAUCGACGUUAAACCGUAGAUACUGAUGUUAUUCGAAUCAGUAAAUAACAAAGUCUGCAAAAACAGUUCACAAACAAGUAAAGUUAAUAUAUAAACUGCAUGUAUGUAUAUCAGGGAAGUUUAUAGUUACUUGUGGGUCAAGCGAACCUUAGCACCAGUAGGGCAUUUUUUGCCACCACUGUUCUUGCAUUUCCACAAACUAGAGCCUUGUGCGUCAAGUACACCACCGUAGAUUGAAACGUUAGUGACUCCAUUGAACAUGAUCCAUUGUAGUGAGCUUGCGAUAACUCUAAAAUCCUCCGGUGCAAUAAUUGAACCGGCUAUACGAAAAGAUAUUGGAGCAUUCGUACAUUUGUUGCCUUGGAAUACAAGGUUUCUGACCAAGAACCGUCCUUUUGGUACAAUAAUAGUUGUGGGAUUAGGAGAGGCACAUGCGACUUGCCAUGCGGCUAAGAAGGCUUUGGUUGAGUCUUUUAAGCCAUCUGGUUUAGCUCCGUAGGUUAAGACAUUGAGGGAUGUGAUUGGGGUCGGUUUGGCUAAUGAUGAGAUUAGGAUGAAAUCAAGAAAGAUGAGAGUCAGAGGAAGAAGAAGAAGACAUGAUGUUUUGUGAAUCAUUUUUGUGUUUUUUUUUUCAGAGAAGGUUAGUCUAUUGAGGAUGGAUGAUAUUGAGAAGAAGGUAUGUGAGAGGGGAAUUUAUAUGUUAGUUUAGUAACGUAAUGGUUUAAUUUGAGGCAAAAUAGAUUAUGAUUGUAUAUGGAAGUUUAUAUUUUAUUUUAUUAAUAUAUAAUUUCGUCAACUUGUACCCAGAUUCUGCAAUAUGGAUAUUAUUGAUUUAGUUCAAGAAAAUACUAUUCACGAGAUAAAUUUCCAUGUAAAACAGCAUUACCGGUAACCGUAACUGUGCACGAAAUUAUACUAGUCCAAUUAGACAAAGAUUUAUGAAUGAUUUGGGGUUUAUUGAAUAGUUAGUAUAAUUAAUUGGUGAAUAUUUGGUUGAAACUGAUUAGGUUCUAUAGAUUUAGUAGUCUUUCUCUUUUUAGAUUGAUUAAAGAUUGAGUAAAUGAAAAAUAUUUGGUAGAUCUUAUGAAUUAUGAUUGUACGUUUUCCCUUGUAUGUAUUUUUGUUAUUAUUUAUUUUUAAAUAUGAACUAAUGACUAUUAGUGAAUAGUGAUUUAAUAAAAGUUUCAUCAUGUAUACAUAUCUCACAUGCUUGUUCAAAUUCUUUGAUAAAGUAAACCCUAAACUCCCUGCUGAAUAACAGAAAAUCACAAGUCAUUUGAAUUGACAAAGAUAAAUAACAUACAAGUAAGCGGAAUUAAUUGAUGAUUAGUAGAAAACAUGUUAUAAAUUACAAGAUCAGUGGAUUAAUGAUCAGUCAACGUUUUGAAUAGAUUUCGAAACAGGUUGAUUGUUAAUUAGACCAAAGAGGAUUCUCCCAUCGGUAGAGAAUAUAGAAAUGUAGCAAUGCACAUUCACAACAUUUUACAGAAGCCAGAAGGUAAUGAAUAAAUAUAGAGUUGUGAAGUACAGGAAACAUGCAUGAAACCAAGGAUGUCCGUAGCUUUGCUUGCGUUAAAGUCGCAAUUCACUACGUAAGAUUUUGUUUCUUGAUUUCUUUAUGUAUUCAUAUGUGAAAUUUUAUAUAAAAAGUUAGUUCAUCUAUUACAUUUUUGGGUCGAUGACUAGUAUCUAAUCGUCUAUUACAUAACCCCAAAGAAAAAUCAUAGCUAAAACUCAUAAAGAAAACUACUAUCAUUUGAAACCUUUUAUAAUUUUAGAAAGUGCAGUUAACAUUUUGCUUAUGUUAGCAAAGUUUAUCCUUACGUUACUGAAAUAUAAUGAUCUGAGCCAAAACUUUAAUCAUUACUUUAAAAGUUCAUACCAUAAGUUCGAGUACAAAAAUUUUUAAAGAUCAAAAUAAGUAGCAACAUAGAAACCAAAGGAAAAAAAACAACUAGCAAACAAUAAAGCGUCGUUCACUGAUUUAGCUUCAUAAACUAAUCUUUAGUCAAGGAGCAAUCGGGACGACAUCGAUUCGGUGAUCCUUCAAUAUAUCAUGUCAAAAGCAAGUCUCUCUUUAGACAAGGAGUGAACGGGACAACGACAUCAUUAGCUAAUCCAUUUGCAUUGUUGCAAGAAGCCUGAGCCGACCCAUUAACCAUUUGCAAGACGAGAUUCACAUUACCCAUUACAAUAUCGGUACAUGGUUUAUCCUUACUACAAUCCAACAUAACCGCCACUUCCGUAUUCGAUGUCCCUUGUAUAUCUUCAUAUCUCACAUUUGAUAUUUCAACUCCAGAUUCCUGAAAUAAAGUAUACAAAUGAAAUGACUCAAUAUAUAUAAAUAAUUAAAGGUAAUAUAAGAUACGGUUAAUUAUUUUCUAUACCUUUUUAGGGCAAGGUUUGUCAAGACAAUAGUGUUGGUUUAUGAUAAUCGGGUUCUUGACCAUCUUCAUUUUAAUAUGUUGGAAAACAAUGUUUCGUACGAAACUUUUGCUAUCUUUUCCCCAUGUCUUGAUCCUAACUCCGUUAUCCGUUGACAUGAAAUCCACGUUACUCACGAUCACGUUCUCAACUCCUUGCUCGUCCUCUGAUCUCCCAAGACUCCCGAUACUGUUUUGAAGGAUCCACAAACAGGUUAAGAUAUUAAGUAACUUGUAUGGCAAGAAACGAAUAUUUUUGUUACCUGAUGCCAUGGCCUGGACCGCAUUGAAUGCCUUUGUAACAUCCCGAGUUGUGAUAUGUGAAAAAAGGCUUAAGAGAAUUGAUUUGGCUACCUAUGUCACCAAAGUUGACUUACCUUUUCCGGAACACAUCCUGAAAGAACUCCAGAGUUAAGCGUGCUUGAGCUGGAGUAGUGGAAGGAUGGGUGACCUAUCGGGAAGUGAUUCGCGAUAGCGUGCGAGUGAGGCCAAAGCAUGGGAAAAGGUCGGGUGGUGAUUGCAGGGUCAGUAAACAAUGAUUUCGAGCCUUGGAAAAUUAACGGACCGACCGUCAGACGGGAUGGGGCCCACGGGCCGAGAGAGCGUGUGGGUGGCCCAUUAGCCGUGGGCGGGUCGGGGCGUUAUAGCCUUGUAUAGAAACAUGAGUGGAUCCUGGACCGAUGGAGAUGCAAUCGUCCCCGGUUCCAAUUCUUGAGUUAGUGAUAUUCACUGAGUGAGAGUUCUCGAUGUGAAUCCCAUCGGUGUUAGGGCUAUCCGCAUCAGCAGAAACUUUAACGCCGUCAAUCUUAACGUUAUUGCUCUGGGACUUCCCGAUGUGAAUCCCAUCGGUGUUAGGGCUAUCCGCAUCAGCAGAAACUUUAACGCCGUCAAUCUUAACGUUAUUGCUCUGGUCGAUAACUAUAUGGAACUUCUGGCUAUUGAUCGACGUUAAACCGUAGAUACUGAUGUUAUUCGAAUCAGUAAAUAACAAAGUCUGCAAAAACAGUUCACAAACAAGUAAAGUUAAUAUAUAAACUGCAUGUAUAUCAGGGAAGUUUAUAGUUACUUGUGGGUCAAGCGAACCUUAGCACCAGUAGGGCAUUUUUUGCCACCACUGUUCUUGCAUUUCCACAAACUAGAGCCUUGUGCGUCAAGUACACCACCGUAGAUUGAAACGUUAGUGACUCCAUUGAACAUGAUCCAUUGUAGUGAGCUUGCGAUAACUCUAAAAUCCUCCGGUGCAAUAAUUGAACCGGCUAUACGAAAAGAUAUUGGAGCAUUCGUACAUUUGUUGCCUUGGAAUACAAGGUUUCUGACCAAGAACCGUCCUUUUGGUACAAUAAUAGUUGUGGGAUUAGGAGAGGCACAUGCGACUUGCCAUGCGGCUAAGAAGGCUUUGGUUGAGUCUUUUAAGCCAUCUGGUUUAGCUCCGUAGGUUAAGACAUUGAGGGAUGUGAUUGGGGUCGGUUUGGCUAAUGAUGAGAUUAGGAUGAAAUCAAGAAAGAUGAGAGUCAGAGGAAGAAGAAGAAGACAUGAUGUUUUGUGAAUCAUUUUUGUGUUUUUUUUUUCAGAGAAGGUUAGUCUAUUGAGGAUGGAUGAUAUUGAGAAGAAGGUAUGUGAGAGGGGAAUUUAUAUGUUAGUUUAGUAACGUAAUGGUUUAAUUUGAGGCAAAAUAGAUUAUGAUUGUAUAUGGAAGUUUAUAUUUUAUUUUAUUAAUAUAUAAUUUCGUCAACUUGUACCCAGAUUCUGCAAUAUGGAUAUUAUUGAUUUAGUUCAAGAAAAUACUAUUCACGAGAUAAAUUUCCAUGUAAAACAGCAUUACCGGUAACCGUAACUGUGCACGAAAUUAUACUAGUCCAAUUAGACAAAGAUUUAUGAAUGAUUUGGGGUUUAUUGAAUAGUUAGUAUACUUAAUUGGUGAAUAUUUGGUUGAAACUGAUUAGGUUCUAUAGAUUUAGUAGUCUUUCUCUUUUUAGAUUGAUUAAAGAUUGAGUAAAUGAAAAAUAUUUGGUAGAUCUUAUGAAUUAUGAUUGUACGUUUUCCCUUGUAUGUAUUUUUGUUAUUAUUUAUUUUUAAAUAUGAACUAAUGACUAUUAGUGAAUAGUGAUUUAAUAAAAGUUUCAUCAUGUAUACAUAUCUCACAUGCUUGUUCAAAUUCUUUGAUAAAGUAAACCCUAAACUCCCUGCUGAAUAACAGAAAAUCACAAGUCAUUUGAAUUGACAAAGAUAAAUAACAUACAAGUAAGCGGAAUUAAUUGAUGAUUAGUAGAAAACAUGUUAUAAAUUACAAGAUCAGUGGAUUAAUGAUCAGUCAACGUUUUGAAUAGAUUUCGAAACAGGUUGAUUGUUAAUUAGACCAAAGAGGAUUCUCCCAUCGGUAGAGAAUAUAGAAAUGUAGCAAUGCACAUUCACAACAUUUUACAGAAGCCAGAAGGUAAUGAAUAAAUAUAGAGUUGUGAAGUACAGGAAACAUGCAUGAAACCAAGGAUGUCCGUAGCUUUGCUUGCGUUAAAGUCGCAAUUCACUACGUAAGAUUUUGUUUCUUGAUUUCUUUAUGUAUUCAUAUGUGAAAUUUUAUAUAAAAAGUUAGUUCAUCUAUUACAUUUUUGGGUCGAUGACUAGUAUCUAAUCGUCUAUUACAUAACCCCAAAGAAAAAUCAUAGCUAAAACUCAUAAAGAAAACUACUAUCAUUUGAAACCUUUUAUAAUUUUAGAAAGUGCAGUUAACAUUUUGCUUAUGUUAGCAAAGUUUAUCCUUACGUUACUGAAAUAUAAUGAUCUGAGCCAAAACUUUAAUCAUUACUUUAAAAGUUCAUACCAUAAGUUCGAGUACAAAAAUUUUUAAAGAUCAAAAUAAGUAGCAACAUAGAAACCAAAGGAAAAAAAACAACUAGCAAACAAUAAAGCGUCGUUCACUGAUUUAGCUUCAUAAACUAAUCUUUAGUCAAGGAGCAAUCGGGACGACAUCGAUUCGGUGAUCCUUCAAUAUAUCAUGUCAAAAGCAAGUCUCUCUUUAGACAAGGAGUGAACGGGACAACGACAUCAUUAGCUAAUCCAUUUGCAUUGUUGCAAGAAGCCUGAGCCGACCCAUUAACCAUUUGCAAGACGAGAUUCACAUUACCCAUUACAAUAUCGGUACAUGGUUUAUCCUUACUACAAUCCAACAUAACCGCCACUUCCGUAUUCGAUGUCCCUUGUAUAUCUUCAUAUCUCACAUUUGAUAUUUCAACUCCAGAUUCCUGAAAUAAAGUAUACAAAUGAAAUGACUCAAUAUAUAUAAAUAAUUAAAGGUAAUAUAAGAUACGGUUAAUUAUUUUCUAUACCUUUUUAGGGCAAGGUUUGUCAAGACAAUAGUGUUGGUUUAUGAUAAUCGGGUUCUUGACCAUCUUCAUUUUAAUAUGUUGGAAAACAAUGUUUCGUACGAAACUUUUGCUAUCUUUUCCCCAUGUCUUGAUCCUAACUCCGUUAUCCGUUGACAUGAAAUCCACGUUACUCACGAUCACGUUCUCAACUCCUUGCUCGUCCUCUGAUCUCCCAAGACUCCCGAUACUGUUUUGAAGGAUCCACAAACAGGUUAAGAUAUUAAGUAACUUGUAUGGCAAGAAACGAAUAUUUUUGUUACCUGAUGCCAUGGCCUGGACCGCAUUGAAUGCCUUGUAUAGAAACAUGAGUGGAUCCUGGACCGAUGGAGAUGCAAUCGUCCCCGGUUCCAAUUCUUGAGUUAGUGAUAUUCACUGAGUGAGAGUUCUCGAUGUGAAUCCCAUCGGUGUUAGGGCUAUCCGCAUCAGCAGAAACUUUAACGCCGUCAAUCUUAACGUUAUUGCUCUGGUCGAUAACUAUAUGGAACUUCUGGCUAUUGAUCGACGUUAAACCGUAGAUACUGAUGUUAUUCGAAUCAGUAAAUAACAAAGUCUGCAAAAACAGUUCACAAACAAGUAAAGUUAAUAUAUAAACUGCAUGUAUAUCAGGGAAGUUUAUAGUUACUUGUGGGUCAAGCGAACCUUAGCACCAGUAGGGCAUUUUUUGCCACCACUGUUCUUGCAUUUCCACAAACUAGAGCCUUGUGCGUCAAGUACACCACCGUAGAUUGAAACGUUAGUGACUCCAUCGAACAUGAUCCAUUGUAGUGAGCUUGCGAUAACUCUAAAAUCUUCCGGUGCAAUAAUUGAGCCGGCUAUACGAAAAGAUAUUGGAGCAUUCGUACAUUUGUUGCCUUGGAAUACAAGGUUUCCGACCAAGAACCGUCCUUUUGGUACAAUAAUAGUUGUGGGAUUCGGAGAGGCACAUGCGGCUUCCCACGCGGCUAAGAAGGCUUUGGUUGAGUCUUUUGAGCCAUCUGGUUUAGCUCCGUAGGUUAAGACAUUGAGGGAUGUGAUUGGGGUCGGUUUGGCUAAUGAUGAGAUUAGGAUGAAAUCAAGAAAGAUGAGAGUCAGAGGAAGAAGAAGAAGACCUGAUGUUUUGUGAAUCAUUUUUUGUGUUUUUUUCAGAGAAUGUUAGUCUAUUGAGGAUGAAUUGAUAUUGGAGAAGAAGGUGUGUGAGAGGGGAAUUUAUAGGAAUGUUAUGUUAGUAAGGUAAAGGUUUAAUUUGAGGCAAAAUAAAUUAUGAUUGUAUAUGGAAGUUUAUAUUUUAUUUUAUUAAUAUUUAAUUUCGUCAACUUGUACCCAGAUUCUGUAAUAUGAAUAUGAUUGAUUUAGUUUAAGAAAAUACUAAUGAUCACGAUAUAAAUUUCCAUGUAAAACAGCAUUACCGGUAACCGUAACUGUGCACGAAACUAUACUAGUCAAAUUUGACAAAGAUUUAUGGGCAUUAAUGAUUUGGGGUUUAUUGAAUAUAGUUAGUAUAAUUAAGGGUACUAUAGAUUUGGUAUCUCUUUCUCUUUUUAGAUUGAUUAAAGGUUGAAUAAAUGAAGAAUAUUUGGUGUAUCUUAUAUUUUUUUUUAGCAAUGGUGUAUCUUAUAUAUGAUUGUACUUUAUACCUUGUAUGUAUUUUUGUUAUUAUUUAUUAUAUAAAGUUGACUAUUAGUGAAUGGUGAGUUAAUAAAGUUUCAUUAUGUAUACAUAUCUCACAUGCAUGUUCAAAUUCUUUGAUUUUCGGAUCACUAAAUUAAAUCCUGGACUCCCUGGUGAGUGGUGAAUAACAGAAAAUCAUUAGUCAUUUGAAUUCAAUUCGAAAUAUAACUAACUUAAAAUAUUAGUAAGCAGAACUAAAGAUAAUUAGUAGAAACCAUGUUAUAAAUUGCAAGAUCAGUAGAUUAAUGAUCAGUCAACGUUUUGGAUAGAUUUCAAAACGGGUUGUUUGUUAAUUAGACCAAAGAGGAUUCACCAAUCGAUAAAGAAUAUAAAAAUGUGACAAUGCACCUUCAAAACAUUUUACAAUAGGUAAUGAAUAAAUAUAGAGUCGUGAAAUACAGGAAACAUGCAUUAAACCAGGGAUGUCCUUAGCAUUGCUUGCGUUAAAUUCACCCUUCAUAACGUAAGAUUUAGUUUCUUGAUUUCUUUAUACAAGUUGUAUCGAUCGUUUUUCUUUAAAAAAUAACAAAGGCCUAAUUAUUUUUUUGUAUUUUUGGUCAGUCAGCAAGAUCAAAAUGUUUUUAAUUUAUUUGAGACCUAAAAUAAAUUUUGUGAACAAAAUAAUCUAUAAAUUUUUAUUUUGUAAAGAGUGGAAUGAUAGUGACUUAAAAACUGUUAAACAUCUUCUUUACAUUGAAGAAUAAAAUGAGGUACCAAAAUAAUGCAAGUGACAACCGAAACAAUUAGCAGACCUUUGUUAUACAAACAGAAGAAAAUUGCACGAAAUUGAUGAGAUCAUGAGACUUGUCUUUUUUUGAAACACUUUUUUUUUAAACACUGAUGAGACUUGUCUUUUAAUAUAUUUUCUCCAAGAACAAAUCACAACUGUAAAAGCCAUAUAAUCAAGAAAGUUAAAAAAAAAUCCCAAAUAGGUAAGUAAAAAUAAUAUUAAAUCUAACAAAUAACAUAACUUACGCAACACAUAUGAAAUCAUCAAUGCUUGCUAUGAACCAUAUCCCUACAAAGCAAGGCCAGGCUCUCGGCCUAGUGGACCGUCAACAGCCACAGGCUCAUGCAUCUCAAUUUACAAUACUUUUUAAUUUUAUGUAAGAAUAAUUAAAAAAGAGAGACAUAUAUUCAUUUCUGUCAUAGGCAGUUUGGCUGAAACAAUCCAGCUUCUAUCCCUCCGGCAUGAACACAAGCCGACGCAGCCGGUUUAUUACGGUACUUUAAUUUCACAUCCUUAAGUCGAAUUCCGGUACACGGUUUCUUAGGACUACAAUUAAGUCUCACUCCAACUUCAGUUGCCGAUGUUCCAUGUAUAUCAACGAACAACACAUCGCUGAUUUUGAUACCCGAAACCUGAUGUUUUUUUUUAAAAUAAAAUUAUUAUAUGAAUAAACUUCACUAGUAAGUACCAUUAUGUAUCUGUAUUACUUAAUCAAAUUAGGUAUAGUACCUGGCGAGGGCAAUUUUCGCUACGAGGACAGUAGUUUUGGUCAAUAAUUAUGGGGUUGUCUACGUUGUUCAUUACACAAUGUUGGAAGCGGAUGUUCCUAGCGAAUCCACUACUGGGCCUGGCCCAUGAUUUGAUCCUCGCUCCGUUUUGCGUCCCCGUAAACGUCACCGUUUUGACAGUCACGUUCUGUACACCUGACUCCACUGCAUCCUUUCCCAGGCUCCCAAUGCUAUGCAAUAUCCCAUCCAAAAUAUUGUCAAAAUUUUAAUUUUUCUUUUAUCAGAUCUACUGAUAUAUAAAAGCAUAUCAAUAGAAAUAUAAUUAUUAAUAGUAUUUUAUAUUCAUUUAUUCGAAAUAUUAUGUUUAUACGUGAUACUGACAUGAGUUAUAAAUUUUCACCAUAUGCCAGUUUUGUAAUUCAUUGAGAAGAAUCCAUAAUAAAUGUACAUAUACCUUAUGCCGUGACCGGGACCACAUGCUACAUUUUCGAUCCAUAGACCGUUGGUUCCGGGACCGAUGGAGACACAAUCGUCGCCGGUGGAAAUUUUGGUACUGAAGAUAGAGACGGUGGAGGAAGACUGAACGUGGAUACCGUCUGUGUUGGGGCUGUUUCCUGCGGCUAAUACUUUGACUCCUUGAAGCUUUACGUUGUGACAACCGUUGAUGACGACGUGGAACAUCUGGCUGUUGAGUGACGUCAGCCCGUAGACCACAAUGUUUCUUGAGCUCUGAAACCCUAUGGUCUGAUUCUCAUGAUAAACACCGUCUCAUUUAUUAAAUUACAUUAAAGAUGAUAUUGAUCUAUCUAUGCAUGGUGUUAUGGUUCCUCACUUGGUCCAUGUGAAUUAGGAAUGGUUGAAAUGUUUUUAAUAAAUCGUCAAAACUUCAUAAUUCAGAAAAGUGUGUCAUUAGUUAUAUAAUUCUUAUUUUGAAAUGAAUUUAUCGAAUGUUUAAUUAACUGAAUUGAAGGUUAAUUGGUCAAAUCUCUAGCACGUUACGUACCGUGGCUCCUCUAGGACAAUUCUUGCCGGAUGUUUUACAACCCCAUAGAGUAUGAAUAUUGUUGUUGUAUUGAUUAUUGAGUUUGGUUACACUUUGAAUAUAUACAGCAGAGACUCAUAGAACGUGCCUAACGUGCACCUAACGCGUUCCUAUAUCUCAGGGAUUACACAAGACUCAGUCUAGAUAUCUUAACAACCUAACAUGCCCCCUCAAGAUGGACGGAGGGUUGCGAGGCCAAUCUUGUCUGAAAUUGAACGAAACUUGGCGCGGGAUAGAGGUUUUGUUAGAGCAUCAGCAAGCUGAUCUGCGGAAGCAACAUGUGAAACGCGAAGAUAACCUGAUUGUACUAGAGCCCGGAUGAAGUGAAAGUCAACGGCAACAUGCUUCAUUCUGGAGUGAAAGACAGGGUUUGCACAGAGGAACGUUGCUCCUACAUUGUCACAAUAUAUAACAGGAGCUGUUGAUGGAGGAAGUCCGAUUUCACCAAGGAGAGUGACGAUCCAUUGGACUUCAGAUGCUGUAUCAGAAACUGAUUUGUAUUCAGCUUCAGUAGAAGAACGAGCCACUGUCUUUUGCUUCUUAGAGGACCAAGCAACUAGAUGUUUGCCAACGUAUACAAGAUAAGCUCCUGUAGAAGUGUAGUCAUCUUUGUCACCGGCCCAAUCUGCGUCGGAGAAGGCAUGAACUGUUGGUGGAGUGAUUGCAGAGAAGUGAAGACCAAGAUAUUUUGUGCCACUUAGAUAUCGGAGAACUCGUUUGGCAGCCGUCCAGUGAUCUGUACGAGGCUGAUGCAUAUACUGCGAGAGUUUGUUUACAGCAAAAGCGAUGUCAGGCCUUGUGAAUUGGAGAUAUUGUAAGCUCCCAAUAACAGAGCGGUAUUCACUCGGAUCAGGGAGAAGAUCGCCAGAGAGAACUGUUAGGGAGGGCUGCUCAGCCAUGGGUGUGGCAACAGGCUUCGUCGUGAUCAUGUUCGUACGAUAGAGAAGAUCAUUGAUGUACUUUGUCUGUGUAAGCGUAAGACCGGCCUGAGUUCUGGUUACUUCAAUGCCCAAGAAAUAGCCCAACUCUCCCAUGUCUUUGAUAGAAAAUCGACGAGCUAAGAGAUCAAUAAAUGCCUGAAUGUGAGCAGGAGAGUUACCCGUAACGACUAUAUCAUCUACAUAAAUUAGAACAAACACUGCAAUCCCAGACUUGUGAAGCACAAACAGAGAGGUGUCUGAAACAGAGUUGUAGAAUCCCAGCUCAAGAAGAAAGUCACGAAGAGCAUUAUACCAUGCGCGCGGAGCCUGCUUGAGUCCAUAAAUAGCUUUGUUAAGUUUGCAUACAUAAUCAGGUUUGUCAGUAUCCACAAAGCCUGGUGGCUGCUCCAUGUACACAUCUUCCUGCAAGUCACCCUGAAGAAAAGCAUUAUUAACGUCAAGUUGACGUAAGACCCAACCUCGUGCCACUGCUUGACCAAGAAUCAGACGUAUUGUUGGCUGCUUAACCACUGGACUAAAUGUCUCAAAAUAGUCUAUCCCUGGUCGUUGGUGAAACCCUUUGGCAACUAAUCUGGACUUUUUGCGCUCAGGUUUGCCGUAUUGAUUUCGUUUGAUGCGAUAUACCCAUCUACAACCAACUACAUUGUAGCUAGGAUCACGAGGUACCAGAUUCCAGCUGUUAUUUUCAGCUUGAGAGUUCAUCUCUCCACACAUUGAGCCGCGCCAUUGAGCAUCUUUAAGUGCCUGAAUAUGUGUGCGCGGUUCAAUCUCAUCAUCUAAAGCUGCAACAGUAUGGAGAGCAAAGCGUGGAUUUGGUUUGAUGAUAUGAUUCUUCGAUCGUGUUACCAUUUGGUGUGUGUUGGCGGGUGGAGCAUCAGGGACCGAUGUAUUUGGUGGUGGUGCAGUGAUGAGAGGUUGCUGUGAUUGUGCAGGCGAUGUUGUGUCCUGAGCCAAAGCAGAUGAGGUGUCAGGCGCAGGAGGCUGGACAGUAGCCAUAGGAGUGAGUGAUUGGGGAAGUGGAGAAACCAGAGGACUGAGGUCUGGUUCGUUUGUUGAAGUAGGAAGUGGAGUAGCUUUGUGUUGGAAUGGAAAUGAAGAUUCAAAGAAUUCAACAUGACGGGAAGCAUAUAACCGAGAGGAUGAUUUAUCAAAACAGAGAUAAGCACUUUGAGAUAGAGAGUAACCGACAAAGACGCAAGGAGUAGAGCGAGUGUCUAGUUUGUGGGAAGAAUAUGGCCUUAGCCAAGGAUAGCAUAGGCAGCCAAAAACCCGAAGUUUUGAGUAGUUGGCUUUUUCUGCGAAAAGCUUUUCAUAUGGAAUGGAGAAGUUGAGUGAUGAGCUUGGAAGGCGAUUUAUAAGAUAGACAGCAGCAGCGAAAGCAAACGACCAGUACUCUGAAGGCAUAUGAGCAUGAGAUAAGAGCGCUAAGCCCGUUUCGACAAUAUGUCUAUGUUUUCGCUCAGAGAUACCAUUGUGUUCAGGAGUAUGUGGAGGUGAAGUUCUGUGUGAAAUGCCAUGUUGUGAAAGAAAGGAUCUCAUAGCGAGGAACUCACCGCCAUUGUCUGAAUAGAAGGUGACAAUGCGUGUUUGAAACUUGUUUUCAACAAGCUCUUUAAAGCGAAUAAACACAUCAAGAACCUGAGAUUUUCGUUUGAGAGGAAAGAGCCAAGUGUAUCGUGUAAAAUGAUCAACAAUAACAAGAUAGUACUUGUAGCCAUCGAAGGAAAACAGUGGGGAUGUCCAAACAUCUGAAUAUAGAAUUUCAAGAGGACGAGAUGAAGAGAUAGUGUUUGUACCAAAAGAGUGUUUGUGACUUUUAUUCAUAGAACACGAGUUGCACAACAGAGGAGGCAUAAUUUUAUGUGAAAAAGGCAAGGAACAUUGAGACAAAACACGUUUCAAAAGAUCAAGAGCAGGAUGGCCAAGGCGUGAAUGCCAAGCAGUCAUUGAGGUUUUUAUUGCAGAAAGAGCUUGAAUUUGGAUCGAAGAUGGAGCAGAAUCCAACCACUCAUACAUCCCGUUGCUAGUUUGUCCUGUUUUGAGCAGCGCCCCCGUGACUAGAUCCCUCACCUGAUAAGACCAAGGAUCAAAAGUAAUGGAAACAUUAUUAUCAGCACAAGUUUGUCUCACUGACAUGAGAUUCUUCUCAAUAUUUGGAGCAUAAAGGACAUUAUUCAAGUGAAUAGAUCGAGAUGGCAAGGAGAGAAUGGUAGAACCAGUGUGAGUAAUCGCGUGGCCUGAUCCAUCGCCGAGUGUCACAGCUUCAUUGCCUUGGUAAGGAGAGUGAAGUGCUAAGUUGUUGAGAUCGGAGGUGAGAUGGUGAGAAGCUCCACUGUCAAGAAGCCAUGAAGGUGUAUCUGAUGAAGGAUACAUAGAAGCAACAUGAGCUCUGGGUUGCCACAGUUGAGCUGCGUGUUGUUGAGAACCAUCAGCUGAAAUGAGACGAAACUGAGAACAUCGCUGGGCGCUAUGCCCCUGAACACCACAAGCUUGACACUUUCCCAAGUAUGGUUUGGGUCCACGUGGUGCGUAUGUGCCAAAGGUUUGUUGUUGGGGACGGUUAUUAUAUGAGUGAUGUUGCUGGCGAUUGUCAAAGUGAGGUGAUGACGAAGGACGAAAUGACGUCUUUGGUUUGUGUGUAACUGCGUUUGCAGAGACGGGGAAGAUAGGAGCAGGUUGUACACAAAGAAGAGCUGCUUCCCUGUUGACCAGUUUGUCACGUAUCUCUUCAAAGGUUGGAGGAACAUCUCGGCCAUUGAUCUGUUCAGCUACACCACGGUAAUCAUCAUCUAGUCCAUCGAGAAUGUACUCGAUGAUAUCCUCAUGAUCAAGUGGCUUGCCUAAUAAGGCUAGUUGAUCAGCCUUUGUUUUGAUUGACUGCAGGAACUCAUCAAUAGAGCGGUUUCCUUUGGUGCCCUUCUUCAGCUGAUCUCUGAUUUGUUUCAUGUGACCUCUGGAAGGACGACCAAACGUUGAUUGCAGAGUUGUCCACGCCUCAAGUGUUGUUGUUGCCGUGGAAACAAGAGGUUGCAGGGCCACAGAGAUUGACCCAAGUAUUGCCGCAAAGAGCAAUUUGUCUUGUCUUUGCCAAGCUGAAUACGCCGGAUUUGGCAUAGUCAGAUCAUUGUUUUGGACCGUCGGUGAUGGAGGAGCAGUAUCGUUGGUGAUGAAUUGUUUGAGGUUGAAGCCAUCGAGAAAUAGAGAAACUUGUAAGCUCCACGUUAUGUAGUUUGAGGCUGUGAGUCUAGUCACAUUACUCAUGUUCACCGAGAGUAUAGGAUUUUGAGGAUCAUUAGGGUUAAUGAUAGUUGCAGAGCCAGGUGUGGCUGUUGAUACAGGAGAUUGAGACGCCAUUGUUGCGUAAAAGAAAAAGAAAAAUAGAGUUUUAGGUUUGAUCAGAUCGUUGCUCUGAUACCAUAUGAAUAUUGUUGUUGUAUUGAUUAUUGAGUUUGGUUACACUUUGAAUAUAUACAGCAGAGACUCAUAGAACGUGCCUAACGUGCACCUAACGUGUUCCUAUAUCUCAGGGAUUACACAAGACUCAGUCUAGAUAUCUUAACAACCUAACAUAGAGAAGUUCCUUGAGCGUCAAGAACUCCGCCGUAGCCGUAGACGGUGACUCCGUCAAGAUGCUGGAAAAGAAUCCAGUAAUCUUCAUUACCGAUAACUCUAUAAUCAGCCGGAGCCACCAAUGUACCGUCGAUACGGAACGUGAUGGGCUUGGGCUUGCACUUGGAACCGUCGAAAUUAAGGCUCCUUAACAAGAACCGGCCUUUAGGAACCACAAUGGUCACGGGACGAGACGAGGCACAAGCCGUUUCCCAAACCGCCAUAAACUCUUUGGUUGCGUCUGUUUUUCCGUCCGGUUUUGCUCCAAAGGACAAGACGUUGUAGGAAUGAGCAAUGCAAGAGGAGAUGGAGAAGAAGAAGACGAAGAGGAAAAGAAGUGAAGCCAUUGUAUGUCGCUAACUUACACUUGUUCAGAGAUAAUUAAAGAGGGAGAGAGAGUGGAGUAGUGCUGUAGUGGUGGUGGUGGUGGUGUUGGAAGCUUUAACGGUUAUGGAAUGUAUUUAUAGUGCUUGUCUUGUAUAUGAAGAGUGUUUUGUUUUUUUCUAUAUUGGUUUUGGCAUGUAUAAAAAAUUAGGUGGAAUUUGUUUUGCAUGAUUGUUAUCAAUACUAUUAAAUUAGAAACAUGACCAAUUGAUAAUAGUUGAGUCCAACUAUUUAUUUAAACAGUCACUUAUUAUUUUCUUUAUGUAACUGUAUUUAAUUAUAUUUAAACACUAACCACAUAUGAUAAUAUCGUAACCUCUCCUUAAUUCCUAUAUUUUCGGAUCCAUAGUUCUCAGUUAUACUAACUAAAAUCCACGGUUAUGAAAAUAAAUGACAGUAUAUGUCCGACUAAAUAUAAACGUGAUCUCUCAUUUGUAUUGUUUUGUGAUCAAUGUUUACAAUAAGAAACACAUUGAUCUUUGCGUGAAGUUAGCUCUUGGUAUGGUCAGAGAAAGGUGAAGAUAGACGGAUGGAUUCAUGUCGUAUUAUGGGUUUAUGGUUCUCGCUGGUGGUGUAAUGGGUAAAUCAAACGGAAAAAAAUCAGAAGCGACUGAAUUAUUGGAGAAGACAACCUCAAGCUUCAAGAGUUUUGUUUAUGUGGAGAAUAAAAUAGUAUACUAUAUAUAUAAAAUAUUUUUCACUUUUAUUCUCACCCUUAAUAUUACUAAAUAAAAUAAAUACUAUUUUCACCAACAAUUACAGUAUAAGUUUAGAUUAUAAUUAACUUUGAUAUAUUUCAAAAAAAUCAUUAUCACACUACAACAACAUAACUUACAUAUCAGCUCAAGAAGUUAGAAUUUAUUGGACUAGACGUUAAUUUGUUCUAAUUCUGAAAGUUUUACACAUACACUAAAUCUAUCAAUUAACAAAACACAUAAUGUUAAAAUGGAGUUUAACGGGUUUAAGUGGAUUUUUAAUAGAACCUAUAUUUUGACGGGUAUUUUUUGUUUUAUUUUUUUUGUGAAAUUUAGUUUUAUAUUUGUAUUUUUUGUUAUUAUUUUGUGUUUGAUAUUAAUUUAAUUGAUAGAAUAGAUACAUAGAUUUGCUAAAAUAAAUUAAAUUUUAUAUUUGUGUAUAAAUUCAAAAUUGAAUUAUUUUUACCAAAUUUAUGUAUAUAUUCUAUCAAAUUAAAUUAAUAUUAGCACAAAUUUUAUUACAAAAAAAUUAUAAAAACUAAAAUUUUUUAAACAAAAAAUAUACCCGCCCUUUCAAAGGGCGGGUCAAAAUCUAGUUAUUCAUUUAAAACGCAUCACAUGUAAGUUGAAUACUAAGCUCAUAAAAUAUUUUUAAGAAAGUUUUGCUAUAGGUGUGAGAAAAAUUAGAGCAAUGCUGAGCUAAAACUGACAAAAAAACAAAUAUCAUAAUUGAAUAGCACUUUGGCAAAACAUUUAAUUUUAGCUUCGGAUUUUACAGAUUUCAAGGAAUGAUUCGAGUUUAGUCCUGAAUUUAUAAAAAUAAAAAUUGUUGUUAACAUGAUAAACUUUUAUAUAAAUCUUCUUAGUUCAUUUGUUUGCAAUUGUAAGAGAUUAGAUUAAAAAAACUCAUCUUUUUAUUUAUUCUGAAAAAAACUAUGUAUGCCGCUUUUGUCAAAGAACUACGUAAAGGACAAAACGUAUUCCUCAAUUUUCUUUACACCAAAAUAGGAUGUGAAUGCAAAAGCAGGAGAAGUAGAAUAAAAUGUUGAAAAGUGAAACUGCAAUGGUCAAUAUAUUUUCAUUGGAGAGAUACAUGAAACAAUGUACGUGGAAUUGCGGGGAGUUAGUUAAUUUAUGAAAAGAACACGCAAAGUCUAUGCACUUUUGGCUACACCUCCAACGUGAUCAAUGCCGCAAAAUUAAUCUACUUUUGUUUACUUUAUCAAAUCUAACUUUCAAAAAGUUGUAUUAGCGCAGAUCACGUAGUGUGGAUAGAAUCAAUAUAUCACAAAUUCAUUUUAGACCUUUGGGAAAAUGGUAUUUUUCGUGAAAUGGUUUAUGCUUAGUGUUUGUCUAAUUACGCCCAAUUAUCUAAAGUUCCCGUACUUAAUAUUGUCUGCACAAUGUGAUUAUUCUAUUAAGACUUUAAAAGUAUAUCGUUGUAAGUAUUUUUGUGAUUAUUCUAUUAAGACUUUAAGAGUAUAUCGUUGUAAGUAUUUUUUUGUCAAAAAUUCGUUUGUAAAACUUUAGUAAAAAAAGUAUUUUGUGUAAUCUGACCCGUCAUAGUCCGUGGAGGAAAGGAAGAGUUGAAUUCCAUGUGAUAGAAGAAUUCGUUUAUUAUAUGUUUGUCUAUCUAACCAAACAAGAAGUUUUUGGAUUCAGUACUGCUGACUAGCCUGACUCCGAAGUCCGAAGUCCAAAGUCCAAACAAUGAGUUUAUUAUAUUUUUCAUAUUAAUUGUCGUUUUAGUUUUUAAAUUUUAUUUUAUUAUAAGUGUUCUUUUACAUUUUUAUGGUAAAUAUUAAAUAUAUAUUUUUUCAGUUUUUACUUUUACUCUUAGCUCAAUAAUCAAUAAAAUUAAACACAAUCAUGUAUUAAAUAGAGGUAAGAGAACACAUUUAAUUACUUUUUUUAAUUCAUGUACAAAAAUCUUAAAUGAUAUUUAUAAUAAAACGGAUGGAGUAUAUGUUUUGUUAAUAAGGGAAGACUAGGUGACACAUUGAAAAAAGAGAAACCAUUUUCCAUGUAUUUGAUUUUCUCUUUGUUGUAGGGAUCUGAGAUCAUAAUUUAUGUUUUUUUUUCCUUUCCUAUUUAAAGAAAAGGAUUAAUAAAUGAAUACUAUUUUUUUUGAACAACUAAUAACUGAAUAAUUAAUCCAUCAAAAACAACGGCUAUGGUUCUCUUGUUUAUACUUUUACUGUUACGUCAAGGUAGCAGCCAAGUGAGUUAAGCCUCUUGCGCAUUGAUCUUUGACAAUAUUGUGGAUUCAAAUUUGUGACUUAUUAAGACAAAAGUUUAAUGGUUGAAAAAACGAGGAAACUAACAUUAAGUGGACAUGAUUCACGUUGGCUAUGCUGCCUGGUGCCUAUCAGCCUAUGCAAUAUACACAAGAUCAACGCAUGUGGCUAUGUAUUUUAGUAAGCGAUUGGCUUUAAGGGGCAUCUCCAUCUCUACUCCAUUUAUUCCUAUAAAAUAGAGUAAAAGUGAAUAUGGAGUAAAAAAUUUUACAACCCAACUUCAUAUCUAUUCUAUAAUGAAAUUUACUACAUAAAUAGAAUAAUCUAUUUUUUAUUUGUUCAUCAGAGUAGUGUUAAAACAAUUUUAUUCAAUUUUUAUUUUUAUUCUAUUUUAAAAGAAAAAAAAUAGAGUUUUACAUUGGAAAUACUCUAGUGACAAAUUUUUUUUUGUCAAAAAUAAACUGGGUAAAUUACUAGUCAAAGUUCAUUAAUGAAAAUAUGCUGCUUACCGUGUACCUAUGUCACAUAUAUAUUGCAAAUGAACAAAAAAAAGUUUGUGCUAAGGUAAAAAAAUAUCAUACUAUUCUGCAUUAUGUGUGAUCUUGUGUUCACACUCUCCACAAAGCAUCCACAUGUUACAUUCAUCGUCAAACUCCGAGUAACUGUAUAAGAUCUAAAAUUAAAUUAAACUGAAAAAUGUGUUGAAAGGUUAAAAAAGACAGACAAUAAAUUAUAAACAUCAGGGAACCCAUAUGGGAAAAUAUUUGGAUGAUUGGAUAUUGUAGUCCGUAGAAAUAUAAUGUAGAUGGGUGGAGUAGAUCAACAUGUUUACGGAACGUGACAAGUGGAAAAUAAUACGGAGGAGAUAUUGGGCCAAUGAUCACACCGAAAUGUUUUUCAAAUUUCCCCUAUAUUAAAUAAUUGUUUCCUUAUACUUGAAUGUUCUCUUAACUCAGACAUUUGAUUACUCAUAUUUUUCAAGUUCAUGCACUUUCAAUUGGCGUGCCAAUGGAGAGAAACAGUAAUAUAAGAUGAGAUGAGACGAGACGAGAUUUAAUUAACUAAAUUGUAGAGUAUAUACUUAUCAGUAGUUACUUAAUUAACAAUGUCAAUGGAAGGAUCAUGUUGCGCCGUAUCAAUACUAACUGGCAUGUUCAUGUUCAAGGAUCCAAUUUUGAAUGUGAGUCCAUCUUUCCUUACACCAAGAAGAAUGAUGCUCCUAAAAUUUAUGUAAUAUCGGAUUACAUAAUCCAGAUUUUGAAAGUCAUUCAAAUUUCCGCUGGAAGAGUUUUGUUCUAAAGGAAGUUAAAUUAUAUGGUUUGUAUCUAGAACAAAAAAAAGUUUGUAUCUCGUUUAAGAAAAAUGUACCGGCAUAGAGAUUCAAAAUCUCUUAGGCAUUCAAACAAUAUAAAUUUCAAAUAUUAUUUGUGUAUGCUAUAAUAAUGGUGUCUAGUGCUGAUCACAUGCAUUGCAAGAUCUCAAAAAUAUGCUAUGCUUAAGUUCACGUAACACAUUUAUUACGUCUGCAUAUAUGCUUUGCUGCAUUUAUUGGUAAGGACAUCAUGCUGUGUUCAUGCUUCUCUUUGAUUGUCACGCAUUUGUACACAGUAGCACCAUUGUGGAUAUACAUACUUAUAAAAGUUAGCAUAGACCCAAAAAUUAGUAAUUGACCAAACAUCUACGUGUUGUUGGAGACUGAUUUUGAUAAACAAUUUACGCCUAGUCAGUAUCAUUAACCUUUCGUUCUAGGCUUCUAGCUCGCCAUUAGUCUAGAUAUGGAUUUUACCGGUUUAGAAGGAAUUGCUAUAUUAAUUCACAUAGGGGAUUCAGCACAUGUCCAACAUUUUCAAUUUAGUCUUAAUCCCCUAUGCGCAUUUCAAAUUUUAUGUCCUUAUUACUCGUGUAAAAAAAAUUUAGUGUUCUCUUUGCAGCUAAAAUUAUUACUUAAAAUCAUGAUAUCCUAAGUGGUCGGUUCUUUUGCCUAGACUCCGGACCGGGCCUGAGGGGAUUAUACGUCUGACAAAAACAUAAGACUAUAUAAUAUCCUUAGGAAAGAAAUCAACACACACGCAUCUAACCAUAUUAUAUCAUUUUACAAGUAGUAUGUUUCUGGACUCCGAAACAAGUUGGGCUUGGGAAAGUAAACAAGACCUUCGUUCUAGAUCUAGUACAGUGAACAUCAUCACUUAAGCAAAUGUUGUUAUCCGGGCGAAUAAACAAGUAAUCUGAAGCAAUGCAUAAAAAAUGAGAAGUUCAUUGUGUCCAGAUCUAGAACGUGACACCACAAAAGUAUAGGCAUUUUGUUGUGCUAACUCUCAAGGCUCAUGAAUAUCUCAUUCAAGACUAACCAACAAUAAAAAAAAUUAUCAUUAAAUAACAGAUUCAGCUACUGAGGGAUUAAUAUUGUUUCCCAUGGACUAUAUUACCGAUUCAAACUAAACAAAUUUUGCAUGAGCCAUGAAUUGCAUAUAUUCCCGCCCAAUUAUCCUGCAGAAUUUUCUCCAUGUGACACUACAAUAAAUUCCAACUGUCACAGAUAGCUUUUGAUUAUAGGUUUCUUCUCAACUUGAUUAAUGUUCUUGUUUAUUACCGAAUAAAAACAACACUUCUACAUUAACGUAUCGUGAAGCCUUCGUAUGUAUUUCCAAACUAUUUCAAAACUAAACAGUAUAACUUUAAAUAUCAGACUUUAAAUGUUAAGAAUUUUUUUUUUUGAAAAAAAUGAGUUAAUUUGAAAAAGAAACUCACUAAACAUGCAUUAGCAUUCAUAUACAUAUGCAUAUUGAUAACUUAAAGUGACAAUAUUAUCUUGCAGACUAUUAUUCGUACAAUAACAAUGUGUACAUAAAGAAUCCAUAAGUACAUAAUGAUUAAAUAACUUGGAAUCAAGUAAAACUUAGGUCACGUUUAUUUUAAUGCACCGCGUUUGACGUGAUUAGUCAUUAAUACACCAAUCCUCCGAUCUAUAACAAAAAAAUAUGUUCUCCCUGUAUAGUGUAUAUAUAUAACUCUCCAUUAUUUCUUCAAAAUCAUUACAAUCAUACAAAGCCAUCAAAAACUAGGAAAAGAAAAAUCUAAGAUGGCCAAAAAUAUCUCUUUUCCUUUAGUCAUCAUACUAUUUUCCAUUGUUUUCUUUCUUAUUAACUCGUCCAACGCAAUGCCUUCGUUUAACGUACAAAGAUACGGAGCUAGAGGUGAUGGACGAACUGAUUCAACCAAGCCAUUUUUGACGGCUUGGUCAUUAGCCUGCCGCUCUAGGGCUCGAGCUAUGGUCUACAUUCCACGUGGAACAUACUUGGUUAGAAACCUAGUCUUUUGGGGUCCUUGCAAAAGCCAUAUUACUUUCAAAAUCGAUGGAACGCUCGUGGCUCCGUCGAAUUACUGGAGUAUAGGCAAUUCUGGUUACUGGAUCCUAUUCGCUAAGGUAAACCGGAUCUCGGUUUCUGGUGGAACCAUUGAUGCUAGAGGGGCUGGUUAUUGGUCUUGUAGAAAGAAUGGUGGUCAUUGUCCUCAAGGUGCAAGGGUAUGUUUAUAUCAAAACCUGAUUGAUUCUUUACUUACUAGCUAUUUUGGUAUAUAUAAUGAUCGAUAUGGUUUCUUCCGCAGUCUAUGUCGUUUAGCUGGUGCAACAAUGUACGACUAAGUGGCCUAACGUCAUUGAAUAGCCAGAAUAUGCACGUCACGGUUCAUCAUUCUUCUAAUGUUCGUAUUCAAAACAUAAGGAUUAGGGCUCCAAGUGGAAGCCCUAACACCGAUGGUAUCCACGUCCAGUCUUCUUCUGGAGUCACCAUUAGUGGUGGAACCAUUGCGACCGGUGAUGAUUGCAUUGCUCUUAGCCAAGGAUCUAGGAACAUAUGGAUCGAACGCGUGAACUGUGGACCUGGACAUGGAAUCAGGUAACUAAAAUAAACAAUAAUCGACUUAAAUACUAUUAAUGAACUAAUUAACUUGUUUGUAAAACAAAAAAAGAAAAUUAACUUAAGGGUUGCUUGUAAAUCUGAUUCAGCAUUGGGAGUCUUGGGGAUUACGUUAAUGAGGAAGGCGUGCAGAAUGUAACCGUCACGAGCUCUGUUUUCACCAAGACACAAAAUGGAGUAAGGAUAAAAACGUGGGCUAGGCCGAGCAGAGGGUUUGUGAGGAAUGUGGUAUUUCGUAAUUUGAUUAUGAGGAAUGUCGAUAAUCCAGUGAUAAUAGAUCAAAACUAUUGUCCUAAUGGAAGAGGCUGCCCCCGUCAGGGGAAUAACCUAAUUUAUUUGGUGUAACUCAGAUCUCUUACAUAGUUUUGAAUUAUUUCUAAUGGACAUUUUUAUGAUUUAACCAAAUAGAGCUCUGGUGUGAAGAUAAGUGGAGUGACGUUUGCAAACAUAAAAGGAACAUCAACAACACCAAUAGCUAUGAAGCUGGAUUGUAGUAGAAGCAAUCAUUGCACAGGAAUAAGGCUACAAGACAUUAGACUUACUUACAUGAGAAGAUCAUCAGCUUCUUAUUGCAGGAAUGUCCAUGGACGAAGAUCUGGAGUAGUGAUUCCAAGGAACUGUCUCUGAGUCAGGAUUCCAAGAUUUGACAAUUGGGAUUCUAUAUAUAAACCCCAAGAUUAAUUGAUGGGUGUAGAUAUCUUAUAAGGUGAUGUUUGUUUGAUUUGUCUGAUGUUUCUUAACCUCAGAUUCAUCUGAAUUAAAAUGUGUUGAAUUCUUUGGUGUGAAUUGAAAUGAAGAAUAGCAGUGAUCUAUUCGGUUGUUCUCUUUAUCAAUGUGGUUGUACCAAUUCUGUUUUUGCAUGAAAUUUCAUAUAUGAAGCUGGUUGUACAAAUGGCCAUUUAUUUAUAAUAUAUAUAUAUAAUAAACAAUUUUCAAACAUAAAUCAAAUUUAUUAUUUGGCGUCCAACCAGACAGAUCAAAAUGAUUUAAAAAUAUAUUUAUAUGAUUAAAAUACUGGCAUUACAAGAACAUUUAUGAAGGCAGAUCUAGAUUUCAAUAACUCUCUUGGAGAAAACAGUACAUAUAAUUAACCGAUGUUCAGCCUGUAAGAGCAUAUAGAACCAUGGCAUAAAAGAAAAGAAGAAGGUAACAUAUUUGUGUUAAAAAAAAAGAAAAGAAAAAGAAGGUAACAUAUUUGAUAUACUCUCUUCCAUAUCAUGUGGAGUUGUUAUAAAUCAUUGGCUGACGAUUUAUUUGAGGUUCUUACGUUGACUUUAGUAACGCAAAAUUCGUGUAGACGACUAAGAUUGGAUCUCCUCCAUGCGAUGACCACAUGUCACAUGACAUAACAUAAUAAAUUCUUUAUGCUUCAUUUUCUCCGCACGGAAACUUCAGCGUGCGCUUUGUAUUCACUUACACUCUCACUUGGUGAUAUAGCCGCAUGUAAGAGCAUUCCCAUUGGUUCCAAUCCUUUGAACUUAUUACUAAAUGAUGUCCUCUUUUCAUUAAAAAACUCCUCCAAAGUUCUGAUGAGAUUUUUUUUAUAUGUUCUGAUGAGAUAUUGUGUUCAACACUUGACAAAAAUUUGAUGGGUUUAUGUUUCUCAAAAAAAAAAAAAAAAAUUGAGAAACAAUUCUUUUUGAAUGAUUAUCAUCUUUCAUUCACUUCAAAAAUCAUUUAUAUCAUAUGCAUAUAGUAUAUAUGUUAUAGUAUUUAUUGCGACAUGAUGAUGUUUUUAGUAUCUAAUGAAACUGGAUUGUAGUGGAAGCCAUCACUACACAUGGACUGAGUUAAAAGACUGGAUUGUAGUGAAAACAUGUUUUAUAACUUUCAAAUUUCAUUUAUUUGGUGUGAACGGAGAUAUACGUAAAGCAAUCAGUUUGAUUGCCCAAUACCGAAACUACUUAUAUAUCUAUAUGAAUCCGCCCCCUUGUUUUCUGUAAGACUUUUUAACAUUACGGAUACGUACCUUCGGUCUCAAGCCAACGUGUUCGUAUAUCCAAAUAAAAACAAAAUAGACUAUAUUAUACGGUCAGUUGCAGAAGAAAGCCUUUCAAAGACUUGAGACGAUAACCGAUAUUGAUAAACGGUACGGUCCACCAUCCAUUCAUACCUUCACGUAAGCCCAUGUGAUAAUAAUUCUAAUUCUAUGUUAAUUUCCCAAAUGACCGUAUAUUUAUAUUAUUACAUUACAUAUCCCAUGUUACCUGUUUCUUGUGACGUGGUAAGUUAACAUUGGUUGACUUUUAGUAACCCUUUUUUUUCUUGACUAAUGCGGCGAGUCAUGACCGUACGAUACGGAGGCCUUUCUUCUUCUACGGCUGUGAUUGAAUAUAUAAACAUCUCCACAGUCCACAUGUCACAUGCCAUAACUUAUGCUAUACAUGAAACCUGAUCCAGUGGUUCUCAUAUUCGUUUUUAAUUGUAGAUAAAUCUUAUACUGUAUUAAAUACCCUUAGCCGAAGAACACUAGAAAAGUCUACGAACACUUGCAUGAUUUGUAUUUGUUUCUUUUGCCAUGAUCAAUGACUUAACACUACAUCACAUUUUCCAAUUAAAUUAUUUAUAUAAAUUAUGCAAGUGAACAUGGAUCACAUGCUUUCUUGUUUAAAGAUCAACGUUACUUGCUUAAGGAACUCACAACUGCUUAUCAUAACAUGCGAUUAUGCGAACCGUACAUUUCAUUCAUUUGGAUUUCAUAUAUGCAUAUGAUCAAGCAAUCAUUAGCAUUAUUAUAUAAUUAAAAUAAAGUCAAUGUAUCCAAAUACAAAUAUUUAACUAUACAACUGUAUGUACAAUUACAUAUAAAUAACCUUCGUAGCCGUAUAAUUUUCCUUCAUCCUCACACUUAACUUAAACAAACAAACAAAAAACACAGAAAUACUUUCAAAUCUAAAUAUCUACAAAGAUUUAUUUUUCUCUCUUUGUAAGAAACAAUCAAUGGAUCAUACUAAUAACAAGCUUGUGGCUGCUUUGCUGAUGUUCUUCUCAAGCUUCUUGCUGAUGGGUACGUCAAUGGCUGCUUCCAACUACAAUGUCGUCAACUUCGGUGCUAAACCGGACGGUCGAACCGAUUCAACAAAAGCCUUUCUCAGCGCGUGGAAAGCUGCUUGCCGCUCAGCUGCAAGUGUCACAGUAACGGUCCCUAGAGGGAGCUUCUUGUUAAAACCGGUGGAGUUUCGUGGUCCAUGUCGCAGUAGAAUCACGUUUCAGAUCGAUGGAACGAUUGUAGCUCCUUCAGACUACCGUGGUUUGGGUAAUUCCGGUUAUUGGAUCUUAUUCGUUGAAGUUAACCGGAUCUCGAUCAAUGGAGGAACUUUAGAUGCUAGAGGUGCAUCUUUUUGGGCUUGUCGAAAAUCCGGAAAGAGUUGUCCUGGUGGAGCCAGAGUAAGAUAACUGUUUUAACUAACUUUUUUUUCCUUUUUAAAUAGUAAAAAAAAACUUUUUAAAUGUUUUAUGCUAUCUCUACGAAAAAUUAUAAAAUAUGGUGGCGAUGAUGUUGCUGCAGUCGAUGACGUUUAACUGGGCAAACGACGUCGUAGUGAGCGGCCUAACGUCAAUAAACAGCCAAGUAACACAUUUAGUGAUAAACAGCUGCAACAAUGUAGUUGUCCGGAAAGUGAAGCUAGUGGCUCCAGACCAAAGUCCCAACACAGAUGGCCUCCACGUCCAAGCGUCUACUGGUGUGACCGUAACCGAUAGCACGUUUCAAACAGGAGAUGACUGUAUCUCUAUCGGUCCGGGAACUCGUAACCUCUACAUGUCUAAACUCAACUGCGGUCCAGGCCAUGGAAUCAGGUAUGACAAUUGAAGAUAGCUUGGAGAGCAAGAUUCAAAUAUUUUGAAGUUAUAUACUGAUUUUUAUGAUAUUACUUUGUCGCAGUAUUGGGAGUCUAGGGAGAGAUGCUAAUGAAGCUGGGGUACAGAACAUAACGUUGAUAAACUCUGUUUUUUCGGGUUCGGAUAAUGGUGUUCGGAUCAAGACAUGGGCUAGACAAAGCACAGGUUUUGUGAGAAACAUUUUGUUUCAGAAUCUGGUCAUGAAAAACGUUCAGAAUCCAAUCAUUGUUGAUCAGAAUUAUUGUCCGAAUCAUCAAGGCUGUCCUAAACAGGUAAAGCUAUUAACCGCUAAGGAUACAAUGGAAUAUUUAUAUCAAAUUAACCUGAUUGGUUUUGUUUGAUUAUAUUUUCUUAGGGUUCUGGUGUGAAGAUUAGUCAGGUCGUGUAUAGAAACAUUCAAGGGACAUCUCGAACACAACAAGCUUUAACGUUUGAUUGCAGUCGCAGUAACCCGUGCCAAGCAAUUAGAUUGCAUGACAUUAAACUAACGUUCAACGGACGGUCGGCUACUUCGACGUGUAAGAAUAUUAAAGGAGUCAAGGCUGGUGUGGUAAUGCCACAAGGUUGUCUUUGAUUUUAUGAAUUCAAAGGGCCACAACAACAACCGUCGUAGGCGCAAGAGUAUUAUGUUGCGUCCGUGAUCUGAGUUGUUCUGUAUUACGUCUAAGUAUGUAUGUAUAUUGUGAAAGUGUAAUUUGUACUUUUUUGGUACAAAUUAAAGUACUAAUAUGAAAUGUUAAAAAUGAAUGAAAAUUAUAGAUCAAAGUUAGUAUUUGAACCCACAUGAGCGUGGUCGGAGCUCUGUUCCUCAUAGUGGUUGGUGUUGGCUUCCAUGGAGGAAAGAUUGAGAAAAUAGAGGAAGGGGAGAAGGAGAUCAAGAAAAUGUAAGAGGAGUAGAGAUAGAGCAGAGUGUUCGGCAAGUAAUCAGAGAUUUCUUUGUAAUACGCGCCAUUUUCUCUAUUCUCAGUUUUUUUCAAAUUUAAAUUUUGUAAUUAACUAAAAUUAGUCUCUCUUAAUUGAAUUAUAUUAUCACAAACAUCAAGUUUAUUAUUAAUAAUCGGCAAAUUUGUAGAAUAUUCAUUUCAUACUUAAUACAUUGGUAAAAUGUGCAUAUAAGACUCUUAGUAAAGAGUAAGAGAGAUCUUUCUUGGAUCAGUUGAUCUUCGUCCACCUAGCAAGCUUCUCUUUACCCUGUUCAUUUUUUCAAAAUACAUAUACCAAUCCAAUGAAGUAAUGAACAAUCAGUUACAUGUAUUUAAAUUGCAACUACAAUUCUGAUUAUGUAAUUAACCAGAUAAAAAAUCGAACAAUUAAUCUAUAAUUUGUAAAAAAUGUUAAAAUGAUUUUACGAAUAUAAAUAGUAAAAUCUGACUAAUUUCGCUUUCUUGAAAACACCAUUUCUAAUAUAAUACAAGAAGAGUAUUAGUUAUGUUAGUUUGGUUACAAAAGGGUAAGAAAAUAUAAUGUUAACAAAUUAUUAAAAUUUGGUGAUAACUAGUUAUAUUGUUAGAAGGUACAUCUAAUAUUAAAACUUACAAUAGUAACUCCUAAGUUAUUCAAAAUUUGAUAUAUGUUUGGAAUUGUAAGUAGAUCUAUAAAUGACAUUGUUCUGUUCAAUAUGGCCUAUACUGUAGUCCAUGUACUAAUUUCUUAUAUAUAUAGUAUAAUGGUAUUGGGAUAUGUAUUUACACAAAGUCAUAUAGUUCCAACUUAGACUCUAGUAUAUAUAAGUAUAUACAUUUAUGUGUAUGAACCGGGGCGCAUGAAGCAUACGAAGAAUGAUUAGUGUAACAAUGUGAUGCGGUUUUGAUAAGUUCAAUCUGUUCCAUUCCAUACGGCUUAACUAAUGCGAGCUUAAACUAUAUGUGCCGCAAAAUGUGGUCAGUGUAUAUACCUUACGAGUGGCAAUGGAGUAUGGAUUCUCUUCAAUGGACACUGCCUUGAAUCCUACCGGAACCAAAACAUCUUCGUAGCUAAACCACAAGAAACACAAGCAAAAUUAACAGUUUAAUAUUUAUUCUAAUUGUUACUGUAACUACAGAUUUUCAUGUCAUAAAUAUUAGAAUAGCUAUGUACAUAACGAAAAUUAAGAGGCUAUUUACGUACGUAGAGAAAGCUACUUUGUAUGGCGGUCCACCAUCAUGAUCGGUAAUCUAAUAAACAAAAAGUGCAAGAUUUUUUUUAAUAUAUGAUUGAUUAAAAAUGGAAUAAUUACACAAAAUAUCAAAUAAUUACCGGAUACAUGAGAGUAAUGAGUUCGCCAUCGGGUUUUAAGAGUUCAUACAUGGCUUUGGCCCAUGCAGGUCUCGUCUCCGGCUCAAUGGCACAGAAGACCCUGUUACUUGGAAUAUUGGUUUCUUUUUUUCUUUCUGAUUUCAAAGAUUAUGUUAAAAUAGUUAACUAACUCACACAUAAUCGAAAAUGAGAUCGAAUAAUUCGUUAGGACGCCAUGUGAAGAAGUCUUCCUUCACGAACGUAAAGUACUUGGCCUUCGGUGAGGAGCCGUAAGUCUAUAUGUAAUCCAAAGGUAAUUAAUAAAAAAUUCAGUAAUUGACGAUGAAAGUAACAUAGUGAGAAUAUGAUUAACCUCAGCAGCUUUCUCGAGGGCACUUUCAGAAAUAUCCAAACCAACAACGUAACGUUCGGGGCUUGCCAUCGCAACCACAUCGUGACCCUGCUCCAUUCAUGAUUUUUAACAAAAAUAAUAGAUAAUUACCUUAUGCACAAUUCAAACUAGCUUGGAUCUUAGUUUGGUCAGUAUAUUUGUUCUCUAAACCGAGCCGGAAAAAAUAUAUGAAGAGUAAGAAGAAGACUAACUCCGCCACAGCCGGGGACAAGAGCACGACCAAGAGGAAGAGAAGAAGAUUCAACAAGAUGGACAACAAGAGGUGUGGCUCUUCCUUGGUCCCAUGGUGUUACCCCAUCUUCCCAACAUUUUUCCCAUCCACCUUUUUAUUUUAUUUAAUAGUAUUCACAUUAGUAUUACUAUUUUUUUUCUCUACCUAACGAAAUCCAAAAUAGUUCCAUCCAUUUUGUGGCUAUGGAUAAGGAAACCAUAUAGCGCGAAAAAAAAAGAAACCAUAUAGAUCCAAUCAAAAAGCAUAUGAUAUUGAUUAGUGUGACUCAUUUGUCACAAAUCCGUAAUGAUUUUUCUCAUAUUACUAGAGAACAAAGACCUAAAACUCUGUUACAAUUGUAUAAGUAAUAUUGAUCAAAAAAAAUUUUAUAAGUAAUAUUGAGGGAGGAACGAAUCACCUUCUUCAACAGUUUUGGGCAGGAACUUAGCAACAUCUUCUGGAGGGAUGAUGUUUUCACCAUUGAUGUGAGCUGAGUUUUGUUGUUCCUCAGCCAUUUUAAGGUUUCUCGCAAGCUCUAGCAAUUCUUUUUUUUUUGUGUGGAUAUUGAAGGUGUGGAACUUCAAGCAGAUGUGAUGUAAUUUAUAUACCCUACAGUGGCCAUGAUAUUAUAUUAAUAAAUGUAAAAAUAAGAAACCAAUAAUUGAAAAUUUAACUUUUGUAUAUAGCCAUUAAUUAUUGUCCUUUCACCCUCAAUGAUUUUGCCCAUUUUAUGUGUGUUCUCAAUGGAGCACGUAGAUAUUUUAGUUUUUUAUAACCAUAUAUUUUAGAUUUUUUCUCGGCCAAAACUCAUCAUCAUUAAUUAAAGGUAAGAAAAUAGCUUAAUUAUAAUCUUCUUCAUUUAACUAUAAAUCUGUUGUUUCUAUUUUUUUUACUUACUUUUAUAAAUAUUUAAGUUAAUGUAUCUGGGGUUUAUAAAUGAUUGCAGAUUUGUUUCCAGCAUUUACUCACCGAGUUUUAAACAUUAUUAGCAAUUUCGAAUAUGGUGUAAUACUGGUGUAAUUGUUUACGAUUGGUGUUUUGAUUAGGAAAAAUGAAAAAAAAAACAAUUUAUCCAAAAAAAAAUGAAAAAACAAUUAUUAGCAUUUCUGCAUAUCUCGAGUUUUAAUAUGAGAAAUUGAUAUACUUAAAUACAUUUUUAAUUGUAAGAAUUUGACUAAAUAUCCUAACAAUCUCGUUAUCCAUUUCAUAAAAAGACCAAAUUAUUUGGUUAAAAUAUCCUAGAUACAUAACGAAAUACACAUUCAUGAAUAUCAUGCAUAAAACGUUAUGAUCAAUUUCGAAGGACCUUGUGGUGAACGACACAUUCUUAUCCACUAUCCAGCCGUGCGAGCAAGUGGAAUCAGUGGCCCUAGUUCCACUCUAUUAUUCACAAGUGAACAUUCGUGGCUCCAGAAUCAUCGCUGGACACUUUUUCCAAAGUCACAAAGAUAAGCGGACCACAAAAUCCAAUAUGAGCAAUAAGAUAAAGACAAUGUACAACCUAAUUUCCACCCACAGUGAAUUAUCAAGCAUUUUAGUACACACACACUUAGUCGAAGUGAACACGACAUCGAUUGUUUAAAACACAACCGACAAAAAGUUUGAAGUGUGAAUGUGUUACACGUCUCAUUGUCUUUUAGGUGUGCCAGUCUCAUCAACGUGAAACAUGAUGCAUGGGACACUGCCUUCUCGUUCCAUCUACCAGCUUUUUCAGUUCCCUGAAAUUUAAUAUCAAACGUUAAAAUCUUUUUUAAUCUUUCUUGUUUCACAAUGAGUUUAAUUAAGUGAUGAAGUUGGAUUGUUUUUUCUACCUUGCGUUGUAUCUGCAAGCAAGUUCGUUACCAAGAAUAGAGACUGCUUCAAAAUUCAAAUCCUAAGGGAAUGAAAAGCUCCUCACAGCUACAAAAAACAUAUAAAUAAGUUUGAUUAUCUUUUAACCAAAGAGAGACAUAAAGGGAGUUUCAGAAUCAUGAAAAAUUAAGGAGAAGAUAAAGAUUAAUUAUGUUUAGACUAGUACUUGGCAAGGAGGUCCUUCAACAUGAUCAUCUAACUGUAUAACAUAAUUCGAUAAAAUAGCAUAUCAUAUGAACAAAGUAACCAAAACAUAUCUAUACAAAACAUCAGGUAACAAAGUAUCUAUAAACAAUGCACCGAAGCAGCCAUGAAGCAUGGACAAACUCAACAAAACCUUUUCAACCUGCUGGAUACAUAUGACAAGCACAACCCAAACUGAAUUUUCAUACUUAUUACUAAACCAAGAAGGGGAAAAAUGUUUUGAAUAUUACAAUACAUUAUAUAUUCAAAUAUUGUGUGUACAAAUACACGUUUAGUUUACCAGUGAAAAAAAAUCACAAACCAUCCAGAUUAAAAGCUUAUAAUUAAAGCUUCAAAUCAUCACAUUCACAAGGUGGAGCGUAACGUUGGAGAUCUCUUCUUCCAUCUUCCAAUCUUCUCUACUCCCUGAACAAGGAUUCCAAAGGUCAACAUUAUCUAAUCAUCUUAACGCUUAUUAAAAAGUUUCAUGUUGAUAUUUUUACCUUGCGUGGUCUUAUAGCAAGUUCGUUAUCCACAAUGGAGAUAGCCUCAAACCCCAGUGGAAUCAGAACCUUCUCGUAACUGCAACAUUUUAAAGAUCACAGAAUGAAGAUUUCGCCACAACGUGUCAGUGAUGUUGCUGCUGGUUAGUAAAAGAGAUAACAGGGAGAACAAACACAUUACUCAGACACAGAUACUUUGUAAGGUGGACCUCCAGAACGCUCAUCCAUCUGCCAAAAGACAUCAAUAUUUUUCAGGUCUCAUCAGAAACAUAUAAGAGAAUAGAGAUACUAUGAUUGCUUACAGGAAACAUCAAUGUGAUAAGCUCUCCACUAGGUUUCAGAAGCUUUUCUAUUCGCUGUGCCCAUAGAGGUCUCACGCUAGCUUCAAAUGCACAGAAGAAGCUGCAAGAAUGGUCACAUAAUGUUAUAUAAGCAAUGGUCUAUAUUGUAUUGAAUAAGAUUAUACAAAGACAUACGUAUAGUCGAAAAUGAGAUCGAAUUUUUCAUCUGGCUCCCAAGUGAAGAAGUCUUCACACAAGAAAGAGAAGUAUUUUGCAUUAGGCAGUGAGGAAAAUCUCUACAUUUGAGAUUAAAACAAAAUGUGUUAGACCCUGUUAAAUGCAACACAAAGUGCUAAUAAAAGGUGUAAAGACAAGAAUCUUGACUCAAAAAUCAAGAAAACUGUUCACACUUUUGAUGAUUGCUCAACCACAGUUCUUGAUAUAUCUAGUCCAACCACAUAACGAUCAGGACAUGCCAUUGCCACCACAUCAUAACCCUAAAGAAAACAAACAUGUUUCAUUGCAACACACAACAGGAAGAUAUUCAAGAAAAAAGUCCAAGAACAUACGGUUCCACAACCAGGAACUAGAGCUCUGCCUUUAGGCAACGAACCAGUCUCUGUGAGAUGCUUAAUGAUCGGAGUUGGUCCACCUAAGUCCCAUGGGGUUGCUCCUGCUUUCCAGGUCUUCUCCCAACCACCUUAAAAACACCAAUACACAAUCAACAACGACCAAGAUCGCUUCAGGAAAGAAAAAAGAUCGAUUAUUAUAGAUUUAGAGAAAGUUAUGGUUUGUUACCAGAAGAAUCCUCUCUCACCAACCGUUGGAAGAUAUCACUCGGAGAUUCCACCGCCGGAGCUUUACCGGAGUUUCCCAUUCGACGACACGCAGACCAAGGAACCGGCGUGUUAAGCUAGUUAAAGAUAAUGACGUGGAUAUGGAAGUGAAGCUUCUUGUUCAGAUAGAGGUUUGCUGUACGGUUACGAAAGUAACACUUCUACCUCAGCUGGAGUGUUUGUUUCAUUCCGUUGAUCUUGUUGAAAAGCUUAUUUUUAACAAGUGAUUAAUAUAACAAUCAUCUUCUUAAUUGUUUUUUAUUACCUAACUAGAUUUUGACACACGUAUCUGUGUGGAUUAUUUGUCAUAUAUAUAAAAAUACUAAUAUUUGUAUUCUGAAAAUUUAUGAUUGUAAAUAUUUUGGUAUUAUUGUCUAACUUUCUAAAAGAAGGUUUAUACUAAUCUUUGUUACAGUGGUUUCACAACAGUAUUACAGAGAGAGUAUGCAAAAGUGUAAAUGAGACACUGUGAUUCUAGAUUUUUCUUUUUUCAUUCAAAUGUCCCAUCUUUUCUUGACUCGGAACAUCAAGACUGAGGUUUUGAUGUCAUCUUGUGGAACUUGAAGCAUGAACUGCACUUUCAUCUUUCUUGGGGUCGUUUUCACUUUCCCAGCUUCAUCCCCCACCUGUUCCAAUAACCAAACUCAAAGGCUUAUCACAAGAGCAAAGGGUAGUGUCUUUAGCUAUACUAUUACCCCUAUUGUAAAGUAACCACAGACUCAUCAGAUGCUAUGUCACAUUAAUUAGAAUGCUAAUACUAUGACUCGGUUUGGAGAUGAGUGAAAAGGAGUUUCACAGAUAAUAGAGGAUAGAAAAGAAAACGGUAAGUUUGGUGGUUUUACCCAGAGAGAUGCCCAGCCAAGGCGUACUUCAGAGUCAUAACCAGCUUUGAACUUGUAGUCUUUACCAUACGUGCGUUUGUACACAGCACUCCACAUGUUUGAAUCAAACUUGUACCAGUAGCUGCAUGCAUAGCAAGUCAUCAUCAUGAUACUUGUAUACUUCCACAUAGUCAAUGCACAACUAAUUAAGCAGAUGAUACAAAAAGAGAAAGGAGUAGAGACAGAGAGGCCACUAACCUCAACUUAUCUGAAGGGCUAAACCUGCGCUUGAAUGCAAAUGAAGCAGCGUUGGAAGGAAGGGAGAUUGUUGGGAUGAAAGACAAUGCUUCAUCCUGUAUGAAACAAAAAACAAGUAAAGCUUUGUUGUCACAUCCAAAAGAUAGUGAAGUAAGGAUGGAUAUUCUACAAGUCAUUUGCAUACUAAAACAUAAAGCAAAGAACAAAAUUUUGUAAAAGUCUAAACCUUAUAAGCAUAUUUUAGCCUCAACUCUUCAUCUGUGUACAAAGCGGAACAAACACCAUCCAUAACUUGACGUUUGAGGAUCCCAUUAAUAGAUAACAUUCUCUUAUUCUUCGCCUCCUCUUCCUCCUCUUCUUCUCUCUCUUGUAUCGAAACUUCACCUAAUGGGAACUUAAGAGUCGCUCUUGGCUGCAAGAAGACAAAACCAUCAAGCAUUACACAAAGCAUCUAUAAUGCACACACACCAAAUGGAAGAGAUGGGACUCACGUAACCAAUAGGAACAGGUGAUGAAAGCUCCAGAGAGUAGCCAGGCUCAGCCAGAUUCGCCUCCAUAGCAACCUCUCCUUGUUGUGCCUACGACAACACAAUCAAGAACUGAACUUAACAACUCUACAAUCCUAAUCCUAAGCUGUACAAAACAGCACUCAGAAACAAUGAAACAUUCUUAAAAACAGAACAUGUUCUGUUCCAUAACCAAAGUAUUGUUUUUUAUUCCUUAUCUACUCUCAAUUCGACAAAAACCAAUGAUAAUGAGCAAAGAAACAGAUAAAAGAUUCAAUCUUUACACUGACAUUAGGCAAGAAACAGAGAAAAGAUUCAAUCUUUAUUAAAAACAAUGAAACAUUCUAAAAAAACAGAACAUGUUCUGUUCCAUAACCAAUUUAGCUCAAAAAGUAUUGUUUUUUAUUCCUUCUCUACUCUCAAUUCGAUAAUAGGCAAGAAACAGAGAAAAGAUUCAAUCUUUUAUUACAUUGACGUUAUGAAGAGCACGGAGCUGAAGCCUAGGGGAAACAUCAACAGUGCUCUUGAUGAAAGUGUUCUUCUCCUCGACAUCGUAGAGAACAGAGAGGUACUUGGAGGUGAGAGAGAGCUGAGGCUGAGUGACCUCGCGCUGGGAGUUGUUCUGAAGCGACAGCUUGAGCUUGGCGAGGUUGUCGAAAAGCUUGCAAGAGACUUUGUUCAGGAAGAGGAGACUGUCGCUGUCGAAUUCGGAAGUCACGCGGAGCUUUGGUCUGUUCAGAGAGGUGAGGAAGGGGAAGAGGGAGGAGCGUGUCGGUGGAGGCGGUGGUUCCGAGGUUGUUGAUUGAAGGGUAGGUGGAGGAGGAG
rnacentral:lncRNA from 1 species